AUCGCAAGACGAAAGAAGAGGUAUAGUUUUCCAACCGGAAGAAGAAUUGGUGCAGAGGCAGCUAAAGAGCUCUAAAGCAUUGGCUUGCCCCUCGGUAGCUCUCUAGAUAGCUUCUAUGCCUUUCGGUUUCAAACUAAACGGAGGAGGUAACUCAAAUUGGAAGAGGAGUGGAAGUAGCUCAACCAGCGCUAGAAGGAAUCUUUAAUUUGGAAUAAUCUUCGGCUAAGAUUUCGUCGGGAAAAGGUCGUCGGCGAUAACUUUAGCCGACAAAAAAAAGAAGACGUCGUCGGCUAUAAUCCCACAGUUUAGCCGACGAAAAACAUGUCGUCGGUUUUUUUCCCAUACUUUAGCCGACGAUAUUCGUCGGCUAAAGUGUGUAAUAAAUAAUAAAAAAAAUAACCAUAGCCGAUGAAAUAUAGUCUGUUUCGUCGGCUAAACCUUAUAAAAAAAUUAAAAAAAUAACUAUAGCCGACGAAAGUAUUUAAAUAUCGUCGGCUAAAAUAUUUAAAUAUCGUCGGCUAAAGUUGCUGGUUUUUGAAAAAAAAAAACUGCAGAAACUUUCGGCCACUCCCAAUCACCACCAAAAUUUGACAGAAUCUUCCUCUCAACAUUUCGAACAACUUUUUAGAAGAAGUCGAAGCCCAAUUCUAAGCCUAAACAGGUCAAUUGAAUCAAAAUAUAAAAAUCCCCAAUUUUAAACCCUAAAAACUUCAAACCUUCGAUUCUCCUCACACACACCGAAUCGAGCAACCAAAUUCUAGGGGAAUGUAGUCCUAAUCAAACUCAACUUAUCCAUAUAUAGAACUCACCAAAUGGUGACCUGAGGAAGGAGAAAUUUGAUCGACACCGAAUCCGAACCGGCGGGAAUUUUGGAGCUCGAUUUAUCCCUCACGGCAGCGCCACUCGAUGCACCACCUGUCCAGCAAUGAAGUAGAGACGACGGCGAAGCUUUUGGGACAAGUGUGGCGGUCUCCAGUGGCUUGACGGCUGAGCUAGGCCGAGAAGAACUUUUUCUGGUUUUCUGACUUCUUACAAUCCACCUCCGGUAAAACUCCUAUAUAAAGAACUUUACCCGACGAAAUUCUUUAUUUUUGUCAGCUAAACACUUUUGAAAAUUUUGGUUGACGGCCAAAAAAUUUUGGUUGAAAAUUUUGAAAGUUUUGAAAUUUUUUGACAAUAGCCGACGACUUUUCAUAUAUUUUCGUCGGCUAAAGUCCUUUGAAAAUUUUCGUCCAAAUUUGGUUUACCGCCAAAAAAAUUUUGACCUUAGCAGACGACUUUUUUAAUAUCUCAUCGGCUAAAGUCUAUAAAUUCACGAAAACGCUCAUAUCUCCCUCUAUAUUACGUAGUUUGGUCAAACCUUCCACACGAAAAACUUUCAUGUAGAUGAGACCCAACCGCCUAUAUAAAAAUUUUGAGACAUUUACCUUCCGACGAUAGGGCUCUCCACAAGGAAUAAUAACGGUAAAUAGGGUUGACCGCUACUAUCGGCACCGAGACGUUACCCGAUUUACGUGCUUUUUGAACCAUAGCCGUAUUUCACCAUUCUGAACACAUCUUAUUUUACGAGAUUUUUGAUAAUUUUGCUUCCUAUGUAGAGUUGGUUCACAAAGUUGUAUAACCUUCUAAACAAGUUAUACAACAUUAGUAGACAGGUUGUGAUUCCGAUGACUAAAAUUCACAAACCAAAAUUCGACUGUCAGAUAUGAUCAUUAUGACGAAAGAUGUCUAUGGUAAAAAAUACAACUGGAUCCGACAACGUUAAGGGCUCGAUCGAAACGGUCAACCCUAAUCCAUCGUCACUUAUCACACGAAAACACUCAUAUCUCCCUCUAUAUUACAUAGUUGGUCAAACAUUCCACAUGAAAAACUCUCACGUAGAUGAGACGCAACUGCCCAUAUAAAAAUUUUGAGACAUUUACCUUCCGACGAUAGGGCUCCCCAUAAGGAAUAAUAACGGUAAAUAGGGUUGACCGCUACUAUCGGCACCGAGACGUUACCCAGUUUACGUGAUUUUUAAACCAUAGCCAUAUUUCAUCAUUCUGAACACAUCUUAUUUCACAAGAUUUUUGAUAAUUUUGCUUCCUAUGUUGUAUAACCUACUAAACAAGUCAUACAACAUUAGUAGACACGUCGUGAUUCCGAUGACUAAAAUUCACAAACCAAAAUUCGAUCGUCAGAUAUGAUCAUUAUGAUGAAAUAUUUCUGUGGUAAAAAAUUCAACUGGAUUCGACAACGUUAAGGGCUCGAUCGAAACAGUCAACUCUAAUCGGAAAUAAGAAAACUGCAUUUUGAAGCCCUAAACGGACUCGGAUGGCCAAAAAGGCCCAUAUGUCAUGGCAUAGCGAUGAGUUUGACUCGUAGGGCCGUUCGUAGGGCCGUUACGCUUCUGGAAAGGUAUCACAAUAGUCAAUCGGACACCGAAUGCCAAAUCUGCAGCAUAGUAAAUACCGGGUUUCGACUGUUCUACAUCAGAGACGUUACCCGAUUUACGUGAUUUUUGAACCAUAGCCGUAUUUCACCGUUCUGAACACAUCUUAUUUCAUGAGAUUUUUGUUAAUUUUGCUUCUAUGUAGAGUUGGUUCACAAAGUUGUGUAUUUGUUUAAAACCUACUAAGCAAGUUAUACAACAUUUUAAUGUUUUUCUUUUAGCCGACGACUUUUUUCGAUAAUAGCCGACGAGAGUUUUUUUCGUCUACUAAAAUAUUUUAGCCGACGAGUAAAAACUUUGGCCGACGAAGGAAAACAUUGGCUGACGAAAAAAAAAUUUCGUCGGCUAUUCGUCGGCUAAAGUAUCGUAUAGCCGACGAAAAAAUUUCUUCAACCAACGAAAAUUUAAAUUAGCCGACGAAAAAAUAAUUCGUCGGCCUGGUUUUUUUAUUUUCGUCGGCUAAAGCCUUUCUUCUAGUAGUGAAGAGUGCCUUCUCGAUGAAGUAUCGAUCAUUCUUCACCAUGACGAGAUAGCCCUAGUGUCGGCUUACCGGAUGUAUGCUAGAGACGGGACCCGUCAUGCCUAGUGGAAUGGUUUACGAGGUAGUUGCUUAAGUAACCAAAACAUAGGAGAGGCCUGAUGCAAAACACCCCAGCCCAAAUUAAAGAUCAGGAAAAGGCAGCUCCAUGAGAACAGGUCUAAAAAGCACAAACGUCAUCCCUAACCCGUGCAACUCUUGUGCAGUCGUGUAGGUAUGCCACCAUUCCGCAAUGUCGUGACCCGAGCCACAUAAUGACGUCAUUGCCACGGCUGAUCCAAAGAUCAACGAUGCUAUGCCGCGACUCAGACCCGCAUAACCAAGAGCAAUGCCAACAUAUAGAUCCGGGAAACUACACCACCGCUCAUGACGCAAGCCUCCCUACACAAGCAAAACCAUCUUGCCAAUGACGUACAAGACCUUGAAACUCCUUGAGCCUCAGCCUCCAAACCAAACCUUACGCUAGAAGCCCUUCUCUGAACUCUCUCAGCGCCUAUUUUGCAGAUACUCGUCUAACAACAGCCCAUGAGCGAAAAAGUGAAAUUCUUAACGAUUUCGUGCUCUGCCGGACAAGCCAAAAUUCGCAAACUCUAGAUCCAAAGAAGUCAGACUUUUUUUAUUCUUAAAGAAGUAUUACGCCAUUUUUAUGGGUCAGUAGCAUUAAGAUAAAUGCAAAUAUAUAAGUACAUGAUCCUCAUUAGUUUACUAAUCCUUCGUAGAGUUAAGAAAUCAUUAUAUAUAUACACACACACCUUAUAAGAGUGUUAAAAGACCUAAUCAUAACAUCCUCGUGGUUGUACACAUCAAUGACCAUAAUAUAAUGAAGAAAAUAAAUACUAACAAAAGUAAUAAGAUAAAAUGACAACAAUAAACUAAUACACAUUCACACGUUCAAUAAGCUCCUUCCUUUUCAAACAGAGAUAGCUAGUAUUAGCUGUUCAACUCUUCAUCUGCCCUCAUUUGCAUUCUCCGUUCUCCGGUUGCUCAAUGCUUUGAACCACCUCUUCCCACUCAGAAUUCUCACAUGCAUUUCUCUGCUCUCGCAGGAAAAUAUAGCCCCAAAUCGACUGGAGACCUUUGGAGCAGUCGGCAGCUUGCGGGACGACGACUUCUUCAGUUUACCUCCGGCUUCGGUGUGUCGUGCGGGGUAGUCUCUGACAUGAGCUUCUUCAUAAGAUAUGUACUUCUAGGAAGCCCUUCUAGUGAGGAUCUUUAAGUUGAGGACUUGGUGAGGACUUUUCGGUUUAUCCUACCUUUUGAUCUUAUAUACACAUCUUAACCGUUGAGUUUAUAAAUAUUUAUGAGUAGAUCAUUUCUCUAAAUUUUCAGCUAUAUUAAAAAUUGUUAAGGCAUUCAUAAGUGUGAUUUAUCAAUUAUGAACUUGAACGGUUCAUAUUUGACAGAUUUAGUUCGUCUAUUAAUUUGAUCUAGUUUGUUAUCUUAAUGAAUACAAAUUUUGCUGAAAAUUUAUAGACAUGAUCUGUUCAUAUAAACUCAAAAACUGAACGGAUGAGAUGUCAAAAUGUGAUUGAAAAAUGGGUCUUUUAAACCAUAAACCGAAAAGUCUUCAACUAGUUUUUAACUUAGUUCUCAACUUAAAAGUCCUCACUAAAAGGGUUUGAUGUAAUUUUAUAUAAUUAAUUAAUUUAACAAAGAAAGCAUGCUGAAUGCUACCCGUUUAUCUUUUGGGUAAAGGUAAUUUUGAGUGCGCCAAGACCAACUAAAUAACACACGAUAUGGGGCCAGUGCAAUACAUAUAUAAUUUUGGAUGUCAAGGCUUCUACGGUUCUACCUAGCUUGCUCAAAUGGAAAGUGUAAAAGAAAACAUGCAAACAAUUUAAGGCAAGUAGGUGUUAGGCGAUCUACACCGCUCCUUGUAUCGGAAAGGAGGGCACCAUGGAAAUGUGGUUUCAGAAAUCUGGUUGUGUAACUUCAACUUCGAGCAGUGAAAAAGGGGAAUUUUGUGAUGUAUCAAAGACCCAAUUCAUACAGUAGCUUACCGCACACUGGUAAGAAAUGGUUUAACCACUGCACGAAAGGGGUGUCCUCAUUGUAUUAGUACGUUUGGUGUAAUGUAGACUCGCCGACGUUCAAAGCUAAAAUCUACAAAAUCGAACUUCAAUUAUAUGGCUCUCUUCAUUUGUUUUCUCCAUCCAAAUGUUGGCUUUCCUCAACGAACUGUCCCACCAUCUGCAUCUGCAGCUCCAUUUGCAUCUGUUCCUUUACCAACACCUUAUUUGUAUCUGAAAAGGAUUUAAGGUUUAGCUUGAUCAGCAAUUGGAGCCACAAAGUUGAAGUGGAAUCAAGGCUGACAUCUAUCAUCUUUCACGUUCAAUAUCUAUUCAAAAAAGUAAUGAGAGCUCACUAGCCCUCAAAGUCUCAAACUCAGUGGCAUACACAAGCAGCCACUAUAGCAAGAGACAAUAUAUAAUAUGCCAACUCCCCUCCUCGCUAUUAUGCUUUCAUGUGUCCAUGUGUGUUUCACCUUCUAACAAAUUUUCAGCGCAUGCCCUACCAAUAUCUGAAAAUCUUCCAUUAUCUAACACCAUCUUAUUUAAUGGCCCUAUGUAUGGCUACCAAUUUAUAUAUGUCCAGUUGAUUAUCUACCAUCAUGGUUGUCAUGUUACCCCUUUAAGAAAAGGAUAGAGUUUCCACAGUCCCUCCACAAAUCAACCCUUGAAUUCUCUUCAAAAUUAUCAUUUUCUCUGAUCUCCAAUGACUGCGAUCAACACUCCUAAAAUGUUCUCCAGUCUUCAACGAUUGCACGAGUUCUUGACUUGUUAUGAAUCACAAUGAGAGUGGAAGAGAAGACAAACAUUGUCAGGCUCUUUCUGUAAAUUCUGUUUACCAGUAUGGUCUUCAUCAAAACCAUUUUCUUUCUUCUGUUCCAGCAUUUUGUUAUAACAUCUUGUAAUGCAGUUAUAGGUCAUCACCACACUCCUCAUCACUCUUUAUUAAGAGAUAAGGCUGCUCUUCUACAGCUCAAGAAGGCCAUUACAUAUGAUCCAAAUUCCACUCUAGCUAAUUGGAAUGAAGGUACUGAUGUUUGCAACUUCACCGGUGUAGGCUGCAACAAACAGCGUCAUCGUGUAACUGAACUCCUUCUGCAUGAUCAUAAGCUUGUAGGGAAGCUUUCACCUAUCAUUUCAAAUCUAACCGGCCUUCGUUACUUGGAGCUUGUAGGCAAUCACUUUUACGGAACUCUCCCUCCUGAAAUUUCCUUGCUCAGACGCCUGCAUCAUUUACGGAUUGAGGGGAACAACUUUCCUGGUUCUAUACCAGAUUCCUUAGUCCUUCCUUCACAACUCACUGUUGUUACUCUUUUGCAAAACAAUUUCUCUGGUGCAGUUCCACCUGCACUCUUCUCCAACUGCUCUGUCUUAAGGGUUUUGGAUAUUUCCAACAACUUUCUUUCAGGAAAAAUUCCAAGAGAAAUCGGGAAUUGUCCAAACCUAUGGACCCUCAAUUUAUACAACAAUCAAUUCACUGGAGAAAUUCCUUUCUCUUUGACUAAUACCUCGUUGGUCAAUCUAGACGUCGAGUUCAAUCAUCUUUCUGGUGAAUUGCCCGUCAAACUUGUGGAGAACUUGCCUCACAUUCUGUAUCUUCACUUGUCAAACAAUGACAUGGUAAGCCAUGAUGGAAACACCAAUCUCGAUCCAUUCUUCACUGCCCUUGCAAAUUGCACUAGUCUAGAGGAGCUUGAACUGGCGAGUAUGGGACUCGGAGGAACAUUACCUAGUUCCAUUGGAGGACUUGGUGUCAACUUUACAAAUCUGUUGCUGCAAGAAAACCAACUGAUUGGAUCAGUUCCUUCAAAUAUAGGUAACAUAUCUAAGCUUGUGGUCCUGAAUUUGACCUCCAAUCUUAUGAAUGGAACAAUUUCAGCAAACAUAAGUCACUUGUCACACUUGGAACAGCUUUUCUUAUCUCACAACUUUUUCACCAGCACCAUACCAGAAGCACUUGGCCAUCUUCCUCACCUAGGCCUGCUUGAUCUGUCUCAUAAUUCGUUCUUCGGAAAUAUUCCAAGCAGUCUAGGAAAUUUAGCCAGGCUGAAUUAUCUGUUCCUCAACAACAACCUCCUAUCUGGAACCAUCCCUCCCGCAUUAGGACGCUGCACAGAACUGUACAGGCUUGACUUAUCAUUCAACAGAUUGGCAGGGUUAAUCCCCCCGGAAUUAUCAGGUUUGAGUGAGAUCAGAAUUUUCAUAAACCUCUCACACAAUCAUCUUGAAGGGUCUAUACCGAUUGAGCUCAGCAAGCUAGAAGAUGUUCAAGAGAUGGAUCUCUCAUCAAAUAACCUGAGUGGGAGUAUCUUUCCACAGAUAUCAAGCUGUAUCGCAUUGACUCUGAUAAACUUCUCACACAAUGCUUUGGAAGGGAGCCUCCCAGAUUCCAUAGGUGAGCUAAAGAACCUUGUGUCUUUUGAUGUUUCAGAUAACCACCUGUCCGGAAAGAUUCCGAUGAGCCUCAACAAGAGUCGGACACUCACAUAUCUAAAUCUUUCAUAUAAUGACUUCGAAGGAAAGGUUCCUUAUGGUGGCAUAUUUGAAUUAGUGUCAGAUACCUCUUUCUUGGGCAACAAGCAUCUUUGUGGAAAACUUGCUGCGAAACAUGUUUGCCCUCGGACAAAGCAUUUGUUUCGUUCUCGUAUAUUCUUAAUAAUAUUCGUCAUAGUGAUAUUCAUUUCAACAUCCUUAUCAAUCAUAUGUUGUGUGAUUGCGUUCCGCCGCGUUAAGGUAUUGGUUUCACCCCAGAAGGCUGCAACUGUAAAGAAGCCAACACAACCUGAAGUGAUUCUGAAUUUCCCAAGAGUUACAUACCGAGAUUUGUCAGAGGCCACCGGUGGAUUUGAUGAUCAGAGACUGAUUGGGACGGGGAGCUAUGGACGAGUCUACAGGGGAGUUCUUCCAGAUGGGACAACCAUAGCAGUCAAGGUGUUACAUUUACAAUCUGGAAAUUCAACAAAGAGUUUUAACAGAGAAUGCCAAGUCUUAAGGAGAAUAAGGCACAGGAAUCUUAUAAGGAUCAUAACAGCGUGCAGUCUACCAGAUUUCAAGGCUAUUGUUCUUCCUUAUAUGGCAAAUGGUAGCUUGGAUAGUCGUCUCUAUCCACAUUCACAGGCCGGUCUAGGUUCAGGCUCUUCUGAUCUGAGUCUCAUUCAGAGGGUCAAUAUUUGUAGUGACAUUGCGGAAGGGAUGGCCUAUCUUCAUCAUUACUCUCCGGUCAGAGUUAUACACUGUGACCUGAAACCAAGCAAUGUUCUUCUCAACGAUGACAUGACUGCUUUAGUUUCUGACUUUGGGAUUGCAAGAUUAGUGAUAGCCGGAGGAGCAGGAGGAGGAAAUGCAGCUGGUCUUGAGAACAUGGGGAACUCUACUGCUAAUAUAUUAUGUGGAUCUAUUGGAUACAUAGCACCAGGUAAAGAACUAUCCCUCCUCUCUCUAAGCAUUGUAAACCAAACAUACUUAUCAAAACAAGCAAUGCAAUCCAAGUACUUAAUGGGGUCCAAAAUGCAGCUGCAUGAUAACCACGUACCAUUUCUUUUUUUUCUCCAUUGAUAAAGUUAUCAUACACUCAAUUUCUUGUAUGCAGAGUAUGGGUUUGGAUCAAGCACAUCUACAAAAGGCGAUGUAUACAGCUUCGGAGUUCUGGUUCUAGAAAUGGUGACAAGAAAAAGGCCAAUAGAUGACAUGUUUGUUGGGGGACUAAGCCUGCACAGCUGGGUAAAGAACCAUUAUCAUGGAAGGAUUGACAAAGUGGUCGACUCUUCCUUGUUGAGAGCUUCUAGAGAUCAGUCACCUGAGGUGAAAAAGAUGUGGGAUGUUGCCAUAGAAGAAAUGAUAGAGUUGGGUAUUCUUUGCACUCAAGAGUCCCCUUCGACUAGGCCUACAAUGGUCGAUGCUGCAGAUGAUUUGGAUCGGCUGAAGAGAUAUCUUGGUGGGGAUACUACUGCGACAUUUGCCUCUUCAUUAGGAAUUUCUUCAUCUACCAUAGACGACGACUAGCAUCAAAACUUGUAACUUCUGUACAAAAAUGGAGAUGCUGUGUCAUUUACUUUUAUCACGAAUAUUAACUUAUGACGACUGCGUAAAAUUAUCUUGCAAACUGCAUAGAAUCUAGGGGUGUGCAUAAAGCCCGUUGGAGAGAAAAAGCCCGAUCCGGACCGGCCGGCUCGACCGGGUCGGGCCGGGCUUUUUACUGGUCCCUAUUAUGUUUAUUGGCGGUACGGGCCAGGCCCGUUUAUAACCGGUCCGGGCCUGGGCCUUGUUUUUGGAAACGAAAAAAUGCCCGAAAGCCCGACUAAUAUACAUGUCAUACUUCUAUUGGGUGUUUCUAAGGAUCUACGAUAAUAGAAUGAGCUCAACCACACAGGAUUUGUGGUCAAACACCUAACUAAAUUGAGAGGGUCAAAAUCUCUCAGAGUCUCAAUCUCGCUCUCGCACUCUCGCUCUCGCACACUCGCGCUCGCACACUCUCGCUGUCUCAGACUCUCUCAGUCUCGCACAGUCGCACCCUCGCACACACACUACUUCACCAGAAAGCAGCUNNNNNNNNNNNNNNNNNNNNUCUCUCUCUCUCUCUCUCUCUCUCUCUCUCUCUCUCUCUCUCUUCGUAGUUCUUAUUCGCUAUUCUGAAUUUGAGAUUGGCUUUGAUUCUAAUCUGGGUUCUUGUUUCUUGUUUUGAUCGACUCUUCUGGAGAAGAUGAUUUACAGAAAGUAAGGCUCUUCCUGGAAUUAGGGUUUCGUUGCUCUUCGGCCUCUUCCUGGUUCGAGUUUUCCAACGAGUUCUCUUGGUAUGGUUUCCUUCCUCUUUUCCGACGAAUUUUCCUUUAUUUUCUCAGUUUAUAUAGAUGGUGAUGGUGAUUGAAGUUUAGAUUGAAGUUUAUUGACUUUAGUUGAACUAUUGAAGUGUUUCUCUGCCCUUGACUGGUUUUGUUAAAGUGUUGAAUGACUUGAAUCUGUGUAGUUGGUUUUGCUUUUUUGGUUUUAAACUGUGAGUAAUCACUAUAAUUGUGAUUUUGUUAAUAAUUGUGAACUGUGAGUAUAUGGAUAUGUGAAUAAUUGUGAUUUUGUGCACUAUGAGUUUGUAUCUUCAUGACUUCAUUGUUGUUUGGUUGCAACAAAGGGUUUAGUCUAAACUCUAAACUCUAAACCGUUUAGAUGUCGACGUCCUCUUCAUCAUAUGGCUGCUAUUCAAUCGAUUCUGAUUCAGAGACUGAGUAUUACGAGUCAAGCAAAGAAAUUGAAGUACCAGCUAAGACCAGGGAUGAUUUGGUUGCAGCAGAGGCUGAGAACAAGGAGACAGAACCAGAAGCUCCAAUUGUAGUUGAAGCUCCAACAGCAACUGAGGUUUCGCGGGGUGCACCGAGAAAAAGAAGAAGAGGUUCUUUUUCAACUCAGCCUAAGGUUUCUAAACUGACUUCAUAUGUGUGGGAGAACUUUACGAAGUAUGACAGAGAGCUCUUUACUACUCGAGAUGGGAAGAAAGUAAAAGCAGGGCAUGAGAAGCGUGCACUAUGCAUGCAUUGUGGCGCUAACCUCAAAGCGGAUUCUUCCUUUAAUGGUACGAGCACUUUGCGCAGGCAUAUUCAGAAAGUAUGCAAGAAGUAUGCUGGUAGGGAAAGUAUAGAUGACGGACAAGCUGUGAUUGUUGGGGAUGGUGAAGCCGAUCCUGAAAUGGAACUCCAGAAAGUGUGGACCAAUGACCGUUGUGUGCAAGCUGCUUGUGAGAUGAUAAUGAUCGAUGAGCUGCUGUUUAGCCAUGUUGAGAAUGAAGGGUUUAGGCAUUUUUGCAAGGUAGCUGUCCCGCAAUUCACUCCACCAUCUAUGAGAAUAGUAGUAAGGUACUUCUGGAAGUUGUAUGAUGAGAAGAAAUAGAAGCUUAAGAAGGUGUUAAGUAGUCAGAGGUUGUGCUUAACGACAGAUACUUGGACUUCAAUUCAGAACAUCAACUAUAUGGUGUUAACGACGCACUUUAUAGAUGAUGGUUGGAAUUUGCACAAGAGGAUCAUCAACUUUUGUAUGAUUCCCAAUCACAAAGGCACAACAAUAGGCAAGAUUUUAGAAUCUUGUUUGCUACGUUGGAGGAUAGAGAAGGUGUUGACUAUCUUGGUCGAUAAUGCAAGUGCAAAUAAGGUGGCGAUAGAGUAUCUUUGAGGGAAAAUGGCUGCAUGGAAAGACCCCCCGGUGUUUGGAGGAAAGCACCUUCAUGUGAGGUGUUUGGCUCACAUCUUGAACAUCAUAGCGAAGGUUGGUUUGUCCUUAAUGGAUAAAAGUUGUCAACCAAUUAGGAAUGCAGUCAAGUUUAUUAGAAGUAGUUCUAAUCAAUGUUUUAAAAGGCUAAGGCGUAGCCGAGGCUAUGGAGCGAGAGCCUCACCAAGGCGUAAGCCUUGAGGCGUAAGGCGUAAGCCUUUUGAAANNNNNNNNNNNNNNNNNNNNNNNNNNNNNNNNNNNNNNNNNNNNNNNNNNNNNNNNNNNNNNNNNNNNNNNNNNNNNNNNNNNNNNNNNNNNNNNNNNNNNNNNNNNNNNNNNNNNNNNNNNNNNNNNNNNNNNNNNNNNNNNNNNNNNNNNNNNNNNNNNNNNNNNNNNNNNNNNNNNNNNNNNNNNNNNNNNNNNNNNNNNNNNNNNNNNNNNNNNNNNNNNNNNNNNNNNNNNNNNNNNNNNNNNNNNNNNNNNNNNNNNNNNNNNNNNNNNNNNNNNNNNNNNNNNNNNNNNNNNNNNNNNNNNNNNNNNNNNNNNNNNNNNNNNNNNNNNNNNNNNNNNNNNNNNNNNNNNNNNNNNNNNNNNNNNNNNNNNNNNNNNNNNNNNNNNNNNNNNNNNNNNNNNNNNNNNNNNNNNNNNNNNNNNNNNNNNNNNNNNNNNNNNNNNNNNNNNNNNNNNNNNNNNNNNNNNNNNNNNNNNNNNNNNNNNNNNNNNNNNNNNNNNNNNNNNNNNNNNNNNNNNNNNNNNNNNNNNNNNNNNNNNNNNNNNNNNNNNNNNNNNNNNNNNNNNNNNNNNNNNNNNNNNNNNNNNNNNNNNNNNNNNNNNNNNNNNNNNNNNNNNNNNNNNNNNNNNNNNNNNNNNNNNNNNNNNNNNNNNNNNNNNNNNNNNNNNNNNNNNNNNNNNNNNNNNNNNNNNNNNNNNNNNNNNNNNNNNNNNNNNNNNNNNNNNNNNNNNNNNNNNNNNNNNNNNNNNNNNNNNNNNNNNNNNNNNNNNNNNNNNNNNNNNNNNNNNNNNNNNNNNNNNNNNNNNNNNNNNNNNNNNNNNNNNNNNNNNNNNNNNNNNNNNNNNNNNNNNNNNNNNNNNNNNNNNNNNNNNNNNNNNNNNNNNNNNNNNNNNNNNNNNNNNNNNNNNNNNNNNNNNNNNNNNNNNNNNNNNNNNNNNNNNNNNNNNNNNNNNNNNNNNNNNNNNNNNNNNNNNNNNNNNNNNNNNNNNNNNNNNNNNNNNNNNNNNNNNNNNNNNNNNNNNNNNNNNNNNNNNNNNNNNNNNNNNNNNNNNNNNNNNNNNNNNNNNNNNNNNNNNNNNNNNNNNNNNNNNNNNNNNNNNNNNNNNNNNNNNNNNNNNNNNNNNNNNNNNNNNNNNNNNNNNNNNNNNNNNNNNNNNNNNNNNNNNNNNNNNNNNNNNNNNNNNNNNNNNNNNNNNNNNNNNNNNNNNNNNNNNNNNNNNNNNNNNNNNNNNNNNNNNNNNNNNNNNNNNNNNNNNNNNNNNNNNNNNNNNNNNNNNNNNNNNNNNNNNNNNNNNNNNNNNNNNNNNNNNNNNNNNNNNNNNNNNNNNNNNNNNNNNNNNNNNNNNNNNNNNNNNNNNNNNNNNNNNNNNNNNNNNNNNNNNNNNNNNNNNNNNNNNNNNNNNNNNNNNNNNNNNNNNNNNNNNNNNNNNNNNNNNNNNNNNNNNNNNNNNNNNNNNNNNNNNNNNNNNNNNNNNNNNNNNNNNNNNNNNNNNNNNNNNNNNNNNNNNNNNNNNNNNNNNNNNNNNNNNNNNNNNNNNNNNNNNNNNNNNNNNNNNNNNNNNNNNNNNNNNNNNNNNNNNNNNNNNNNNNNNNNNNNNNNNNNNNNNNNNNNNNNNNNNNNNNNNNNNNNNNNNNNNNNNNNNNNNNNNNNNNNNNNNNNNNNNNNNNNNNNNNNNNNNNNNNNNNNNNNNNNNNNNNNNNNNNNNNNNNNNNNNNNNNNNNNNNNNNNNNNNNNNNNNNNNNNNNNNNNNNNNNNNNNNNNNNNNNNNNNNNNNNNNNNNNNNNNNNNNNNNNNNNNNNNNNNNNNNNNNNNNNNNNNNNNNNNNNNNNNNNNNNNNNNNNNNNNNNNNNNNNNNNNNNNNNNNNNNNNNNNNNNNNNNNNNNNNNNNNNNNNNNNNNNNNNNNNNNNNNNNNNNNNNNNNNNNNNNNNNNNNNNNNNNNNNNNNNNNNNNNNNNNNNNNNNNNNNNNNNNNNNNNNNNNNNNNNNNNNNNNNNNNNNNNNNNNNNNNNNNNNNNNNNNNNNNNNNNNNNNNNNNNNNNNNNNNNNNNNNNNNNNNNNNNNNNNNNNNNNNNNNNNNNNNNNNNNNNNNNNNNNNNNNNNNNNNNNNNNNNNNNNNNNNNNNNNNNNNNNNNNNNNNNNNNNNNNNNNNNNNNNNNNNNNNNNNNNNNNNNNNNNNNNNNNNNNNNNNNNNNNNNNNNNNNNNNNNNNNNNNNNNNNNNNNNNNNNNNNNNNNNNNNNNNNNNNNNNNNNNNNNNNNNNNNNNNNNNNNNNNNNNNNNNNNNNNNNNNNNNNNNNNNNNNNNNNNNNNNNNNNNNNNNNNNNNNNNNNNNNNNNNNNNNNNNNNNNNNNNNNNNNNNNNNNNNNNNNNNNNNNNNNNNNNNNNNNNNNNNNNNNNNNNNNNNNNNNNNNNNNNNNNNNNNNNNNNNNNNNNNNNNNNNNNNNNNNNNNNNNNNNNNNNNNNNNNNNNNNNNNNNNNNNNNNNNNNNNNNNNNNNNNNNNNNNNNNNNNNNNNNNNNNNNNNNNNNNNNNNNNNNNNNNNNUGCCACCGGUAUUUUUCAGAUCACAAAAUGCACACAGAAAAUAUGUCAAGUGACCAGGAAUUGGUUUAGUCCAUUGCCAAGCAAAAUCUUUCUUUUGUGUCCCAUCACUAGAACUCAUUGUGCUGCCUACAACACACGUACACACCAUUAACAAAGGCAAUCUAUACUUAGACAAAACCAGCACACCAUUUACAGGCAGCUUCUUGUAAAUGCUGCCUGCAACACACCAUGACAAAAGCAACCUCUCUUUAGACAAAACCAACACACCAUUUACAGGCAGCUUCCUGUAAAUGCUGCCUGCAACACACCAUUAACAAAGAUAAUCUAUACUUAGACAAAUUCACAAAACCAACACAGAGUUGUGAGCAUUUACAGGAAGCUUGCUCUAAUGAGUCCAAUCUAUACUUAGAUAAUCAGAGCACAAUGUUGCAUCAUAUACUAAGAAAACACAAUUCACAACACUGACAAGUGACAACAGUCCAAUUGAAUCAGAAAUUCAGAGGAAGAGGUGCGUACUGCACUACUGCAUACCUCAAAUUAGAGGUGAGUUGGUGACUGCAAUGCGAGGCUUAGGAGGAAGAAGACAACGACAACGAAGAGGCGGUGGUCGACUGGUCAGAUGGUCGGAAUCCUGGUGGUGGUCGAUGGUAUGGUCGAUGGUCGGAUGGUUUGUGCCUCUGUGGUGGUCGCGAUUCGCGAACUGGGGGAAUCUUGGUGGUGGUUGAUUGUGUGUCUGUCUUCGAGAGGAAGAGGGAGAGGGGUGUUCGAGAGGAAGAGGGAGAGGGAGAGGGAGAGGGAGGAGGGAGAUCGGGAGCAGGGAGCAGGGAAGGAGGGCGAAAUACAGAGGGAGGCGCACAACCCCCAGCUUAUGCGAAAUACUUACCCAAAACGACCCCGUUUUUAGUUGCUUCAACUAGGCGCACGCCUUAUGCGCCUUAGGGUGCGUUUUUUGCGCCUUAUGCGCCUUAGGGGUGCGUUUUUUGCGCCUCUGCGCCUAACCUGCAAAACACAAUGAAAUUUUCCUGCGCCUCACGCCUUUUAAGCCUCAAGGCGCGCCUGAGGCGCGUUUUUUAAAACAUUGGUUCUAAUAGAUUGGACGUGUUCAAGGUGUGCAUGGGGAAGGAGAAAUUAGAAGGGAACAAAGACACUGAAAAAAUACUGGCACUUGUUCUUCCAACAAGAUGGAAUUCUACCUUUUUAAUGCUGGACAUAGCUUUAGAUAUGAGGCCAGCUUUUGAAAGGAUGGCUGCGAAGGAAAUGAACAAGUAUAGAAGAUAUUUUGAUGAAGAAGAUGAGCUCGAUGAGGAAGAAGAACAAGAGUAUGUUCCGGUGACACCAAGAACAAGAAGAAUAAGAGUUGGACCACCACAAGAUGAGGAUUGGGAAAAGGCUGAAAUAAUUGUGUUGAUCUUGAGGGUUUUUCAUGAUGUGACAAUGAGGAUGAGUAUGACUAAACACCCCACCGCUCAUAAAGCAUUUUAUGACAUUGUAGCAAUAGAAGGGGAGAUUAAUGCACUUUUUGUGCCUACUGCUGGAACUAGAAGUGAAGUUUCAUUGCUGAUGUUGAAGAUGGCAGAAAAGAUGCUUGCCAAGUUUAGAAAAUAUUUUGGACGCAUUGAAGACAUGAAUCAGUUGUUGUUGGUUGCAUUGGUAUUGGAUCUUAGGUUCAAGCUGAAGAACAUAUCUCAUACUUACCUACAAGUACUCCAUUAUUCACCUAAGGAAGCAAAAGCCAAGGCCGACUCUGUUAAGGAGCUCUUGGCAUCCUUAACUGACAUCUAUAGAACAUCAACCAAUGUAUCAACCAAUGACAAUACAUCUUUUAAGAGCAGCAUUGUAGCAAGUGUCAUUUCCAGCAGCACAAAAGAAACAACCUCAUCUUUCAAGUCGAAGAGAAACAGGGUUGUGAAGAUGUCAGGGAAAAUGGCUGACUUAUUGGAAGGUAGUACCAACCGUGUGUUCUGUUUUUGUUAAAAUUUGUUUAUGGCUGUUCUUCAUUUCUUCUUCAAUUUUGAACUUACUGUGUGUUUUGAGAGGUUGUACAUGUAAGUUUUGACUGUUUCAUAUGUGUUUUGUUGCAGGUUGGCCAAAGGCUUUAGCUAAAUCCAACGAAGUCGUUGUUGAGAGUGAGGUUGAUAGAUACUUGCUUGAUCCAAUCGAGUGUCCACCCAAGAAAGAAGCAGCUAAUUGGUGCCUGCUACAUUGGUGGAAGACAAAUGGCUACAAAUAUCCAAAUCUUGCUCAUUUAGCAAAGGAUGUACUUGCUAUCCAAGUUAGCACAGUCACAUCUGAGUCAUUUUUCUCUACUGGAGGUAGAGUGAUUGAUCCUUUUAGGAGUUCUUUGACUCCUAAAACAGUGGAAGCAUUGCUUUGCUUGCAAAAUUAGAUAAAGAAAAAAGAUCAAUCUGAAAUUGAAUAUUAUCCAAGCCAAGCAGAGAUUGAAUUUUAUGAAAAGAUGGAAAGAGGUAUGUACUGACAGUAUUGUCUAUUUGUGAUUUUAUGAUUUUGUCUUAAUAUUAUUUCAUUUGACUUGUUUGAUUGUUUCAUUAUUUCAAACUUUAUUGUAGCUGAGGCAAAGCGAAAGGCAAAAGAAAAGGCUGCAAAGGGAAAAGGAAAGGCUAAGCUAGUGGCUGUGGCAGAAAGUGAAGAUGACGAAGAUGAAGUUGCACAAUUUGUGGCAGCUAAGCCAACUAGAACCUCAAAGUCCUUGAAAGCUGCAAAAGUAGCUAAAACAAGUGCUAAUGCAACUCCAACAAUUCCAGCUGUUCUUAGUGUUGGAACCACCAAGUCCAAUCCUGCAAAAGUUCUUAGAAUGACUCUUGCAACAAAGAAAGCAAAAGGUAUACAUCAGUAUGUCUUAAUUGAAUCAAGUUCUUACUCCUCAAUCAAUCAUUAAUUUAUACUGCUAGCUUGAGCUUGAUGAGUUGAUGUAUGUGAGUUGGUUAUACGUGACUUUUGAUUUUGAAUGUGAGACUUUAUAACUUGAGUUAGCAGCUUUGUUAGGAUUUAGGAAUGAUGAAUGUGCUAAUUUCUAAACACUAAAGUAGCUUCAUCUAGGUUGGUCUGUGGAAUACUAUUGUUCUAUUUGUUCCAUACUUCCAUUUAUUCACUGUUACAUUCUUCAUUUCUUAUAGACUAAUAUUCAAUUAUUCUCUUAUAGGUAAAAGAUGAAGGGCAUGUCAGCAUAUGAAGUUAUGAACUCACAGCAUAGCAGCAGACUUGUCAAUGGCAGAUAACAGAUUGAUGCCAUGAUUUUGUUCAGCUAUUUUGAAUGUUUGAUUGCUUACUGAUUACUUAUUUUUAUUGUGAAUUGUUGGACUAUUGGUAUUGGAUACUUGCCUACUUAGUUCUCUUGGAGUUUUAUUUGUUGUUUAAAAUGACUUCUCUUGUUAAUUUGUUAGUGCUAGACUGAUGGUUUUAUUUAAAUUCAGUUGAGAUUUGAUUGCUUUGCUAGUUUUUGCUGUGCUUUUACUGCUUUGUGCCUUUGUUGAACACUUGAACAGUUGAACACUUGGUCAGUUGGUCUGGUUUUGCUAUUGCAGAUUUGCAAUUGAGUUGUCACUUGUCAGUUCACUCAGUUGUGUGCAUUGUGCAGUGUGUUGAAUUUUCAGUCUUUCACAUUUCAGUGAUUUCAUAGUAUAAAAAUGCAGAUUAUGCAGACAAGUAGAUUGCAUUGCAGAAAUGUAGAAUCAUUCAAAAAUCAGGUUAUCAGGCCUGCAAGCCCGACAGGACCGACCCUAUUUUUACCGGUCCGGGCUUUUACCGGGCUCUAAAAUUCUUGCACCGGUCAAGGCUUUUUCCGGGCCCUGAAUUUGAAACAAUAAAACCCAACCCGGUUAAAGUGUGUCCGGUCCGAGCCCGGGCCCAGUAAAAUAGGUGUCGGGCUCGGCCCGUGCCCAACCCUAAUAGAAUCUCUUGCGUUCUAAAUUAUGAAGGAUAAGAACAAGUAGCUAGUUGGAUCUGGAAGUGGUGUCCUCACUACACAAACAUAGCUAAAUUCUGCGAGUCCAAUUAGCAUAUCUUAUGCAACAAGUCAUCAUUCAUCGAUCAUAGGUGAUGAUUAAUUAGUACAAGAUUCUGAUAAACUGAAAUUUACAGUAACAACUUAGUAUAAACACAUGGCAUGUAUACAGUAUAUGGUAUCUCUAAGGUGAUAACAGAUAUGGAAGUAAAGCAAUCAGAACUAGUUUUCUGGUAUUCUCAUAACAAAACAGAAAUCGUAGCCAAACAAACCAUGCUAGCAUAAUUUUUCUAUCUUUUCUUUGCAGGAACAUAUUCUUAAUCAAUUAUCAAUGAUGAUUGGAAGCACUAUGCUGUGUGCUCUUCCCACCUAUAUAUGCGAAUGUGACGAUUAAGAUGAGUGGGUGAUGGCUCGUAGUCAUUAUUGUGAUCGAGCCUAAGAUAAGUAUGCAUGGUCUAAGACACCCAAGUUGCAGAAAAUGGCAUCUUAAUAAUUAGUUAAAGACUGAAAGAAUGAUAAGAAGCAACGAAAAGCAAAGCUAUGUAUAACUUGUUAGGGAUUUUUUUAUGUUUAAUAACCAGAAAAGCACACACCCUAACAUCAGCAAGCAUAUUUGCAAAACCUAUUAGCCUGACAUAGUAGAGAUCAUUAGUAUGAAAUAUACUGAACUGAUCAAAAACAGAGACCGUAAAAAGUGAAAGCCAUAAAAGGGCAUCAAAAGUGAAAACGAUCAUAAACAUAAUUAUUAGUAAUACAUGAUUGUGCUCAGUGACACAACCUACUAACCAGCUUUGUUGUCAUGGUGACCAAAAUGCCUCAGGCAUCAUACAAGUUCCUUUUAUCAACUAAACCGAAUGCAAAUGAUACAUUUUUUUGCACUUCCAGAAAGUCAUUGCGGACUCCAAAUUAUUAAUACAGUAAACACAAGCUGACAAAAAGAUUGCAGAUGAGUCUAAAAUGAUCGCUUUCUAUGAGUGCCAGUAGCACUGAGCUAUAUGAACAUUAAUAUGACCCGCUCUUGAAUCUGUCGGUUGCUUGUUGUGAUAUUCCCAAAUGUCAAUCAAAAAGUUUAGCGUAUCAUUUCCAUAAAUUAACAGAUGUGCUGUUUCCAGUGGCUUUCAGCAUAGAACUAAGGUGAUCACCAUCUCAAAUUCUCCGGCACGAAAUGACUGAACACAGAAGAUUUCAACCUACGGCAAUGCCAUACACAAUCACAUUGGGAUGAUGAACAGAAGAUUCUGUAAAAUAAUAGAACUUAACAAGCAGUGAACUCAAUCAAAUUCGAACAAGCUCACACUGAAUAUAUGUAAACAAAAUCAAAUUAAAAUAAUCCAUUCCAAAGAUGUGCGCGCAAGAAGACGAGUAAAACCCAACACAAUUAGACCUAAAACUUUCUGGAAUAACCAACUUCAAGCUAGAAUUUUUUUGGGAAGUAAUAACCGGAUGGUUUUUAUAGAUUUCAAUUAAUUUCCUUCAGAUUUGGGGUAUAUUUUCUUCCGAAUUUAUAAUAUAUUUCCCUUCACGAUCGUCGAUUGAGUGCUAUAUACAUUAACACCGGCCAUAAUGAGUGCUACACUGCUACAGUUGCGGUCUUGCGGAGAUGUCUUCCUAUCCUGUCCAGCAAAUUUCUGAAUUCUUGAUAUAAAGAGUUGAAAUUUGAAAACAAGUUUUUGGUACAAUGGUUCUAUGUUUCGAAUACACGAGAGUCCCUGAUCAUGAUCAUUCUCUUCGGUUUUUCGAUACAAUGGCCCAUCCGGUCAUGUCUAGGGUUAGGGUUAUUUUUUAAUGAUCAUAGUGUUAGGUGGCUUCCUCUAAACUCGAAAACUUCGUUAUCACCCCUAUGAAGGGUACGGUGUUUUGGACGUGUUUCGAAACAAUGGUAGAAAAUUUUUGAAUUCUCGAUAUCAAGAGUUGAAAUUUGAAAACAAGUUUCCAGCACAUGCAGACAAACAAAAGCUUCCUUGCUCGCUCAAGUUCUUUCUUAUAUCAACUGCAUCCAUUAGAUCUAAUAGAUGCAGUUGAUAUCAAGAAUCGCUCGAGUCAUGAAGCUUUUGUUUGUCUGCAUGUACUGGAGACUUGUUUUCAAAUUUCAUUUCUUGAUAUCGAGAAUUCAAAAAUUUGCUACCAUUGUUUCAAAACACAUCCAAAACACCGUACCCUUCAUAGGGGUUAUAAGAAAGUUUUCGAGUUUAGAGAAAGCCACAAAACACUAUGAGAUAACCCUAACCCUAUCUAUGUUAAUUGUAUCGAAAAAAAGAAGAGGAUGAUUUGUACAUGAUCAGGUACUCUCGUGUAUUUUGAAACAUAGGACCAUUGGAAUAUUAACUUCCGAAACAAUAAUAGGUCAGAUGUUGAUCUAUACAGGAGUUUAGCAAAGUUGGACCAGCAAUUACAUCCCAGUAUGAGAAAACUCCUAAUAUCUUCUCCUUCCUUUGGGGUAACGUAGUGAAAGCUAUAGGUUGAAAAGUGAGAUAUGUAGACAAGCGUCGCACCGAAUUUGAAAUCAAUAAGUGAGAUAAAUCUCUGUGUUUUUUGAAAUAUUAUUAAAUAGAGGGUGUCUUAUAUAGGCUCUAACUCCUAACUAAAUCAUAUUUAGAAUAGAAAUAAGAAAUAACAAAACCUAUUGGAAAGAAAUCCUUAUUGAAUCAUGUAUCAUAUUCGAAGCUUAUCAAGAAAAGGAAAAGUAAUCCUAGGAAUAAUAGGAAACUUAUACUUGCUUACAACGUUAGUUUUUCAGCUACUCCUCGAACUCUUCUACAAGUUGUUCUACAUCAUAUAUGGGGCCGGAGCCAGUACUUCCUGAGGCUCUUCAACUUUGAACAACCUUUGCAUUAGAUUGGUUUCUUAGUUUUCAUCUCUCCAUUUUGAGUCUUAGUUUUGUUCCAAUGACCCCUAGAAGGCCUUUCUUACUCCUCCUAAUAGUAACAAGGACUUCCACAAGCUCACCGCCAUGCCAAUAUGAAAUAAUGUAGGUAUCUUUGCCUACCUAGGUUUCAGCCACUUUUGCUUAAUCCACUCUCCUUGACACCACUUGCAUACACCACAGUCAUCCUAGUAAUUUGACAUCAAAGUGGGUCACUGGAUAUAACUAGUGAGAUCCGUUAUCGUGCUUUGGGUAACAUGAUGUAGUGUCAUGUCGAACCUCAAUACUAGUCAUGCUUGAGUGCCAGCCCAUUUGUCGAUCUCAUCUGUUUACUAUUUGUUGUUACCACUAGAAAAAAGAAAUUAACAUCAUUAAUGCAUGUAUCCAUAGCUUUUUUAAAAAUAAUUGGUCAACCCUUAUAUUAUCAGACGUUAGAGUACACAUAAUGAUCCGCCCAAUGGGGCUGACAAAAAAGCAUCCUUUCCAGCUAUUAAGCCCAUCCAGAAGAGCCCUCGCGCUUCCCGUCUUCCCGUGAAAUUUCAAAGGCACAAUAUUCUUUUACAUAGCUAAACCCUUAGUAAAAUAAUAUUCUUUUACAUCUGUGUAGUUAUAGUAAAAUUGUUAUGAGGGCAGCUAUUGGGAACUUCAAAAUUGUUCAAUUGACCUCACUUUAUUAUGAGUGUCGGUGAGUUGCGGUCUGGUUGAUUAAAGUGUUUAACUAACAACUUUGAGGUCAUGGGUUCAAACCAUUGACAUAUGUAGAGUGUGUGAGUUAUUUUAUAAAAAAAAUUAAAAAAUAAAAAAAAAAAAACCUCACUUUAUUAUGAUGAGUUAUUGAACGACUGAUAUAUCCUCUUACACAAUGACUAUUAAGGACAAUAAUUAUACCAAAAAAAUAAAAUAUUUGAUCUCUCUAGACUUUUUAAUUCAAUAAUAAUAUAAUUGAAUUCUUUAUUAUUUUUCUUAUAUAUUUUUAUUUUAUAAUUUUACUACAUAUUAUUAAAACAAUUAAAUAUCUAAUAAGAGCUAAAACUAUGAUCAAUGUCGAAAUUUAAACAAGGGGAAUAAAAAUUUAUAUUAUCAUACAUGUUGAAAAAUAUACAAGGUGAAGGAAUAUAUAUAUAUAAAUAUAUAUAUGUGUGUAAAAAAAUCGAUAAUGAAAAAACUAAAUAACUAUUGAAAUAAUCUAUCAUGAGUUACGUACAUAAAACAAAGGAAAAAAAAAAAGGAAUAUACAUAGAGAAAAAAUGGUUAUCCUUAAUCCUUGUUUAGCACAGGUAAAAUAGAAAAAAGGAAAACUAAUUCAUGUUAGAAAAUUUUCUUGUUGAUAAAAGUUUUCUUUCUGAAACCCAAUACCUUGUGUUAUUUGAUUUGCAAGAGAUUUAGGUUCUUAAUUUAAGGAAUGGAAUUAUAAUUGAAAUAUGUAGAGUGAAAACUAAAAAGUAAUUAAUUAUAAUGAGUGUAUUUUUAUUUUAGAGAUAAUGAGUUUUUGAUGAUCGAUAAGAACAAAAAAAUGAGGUCUAGCGAGUGAUAAUGUCACAUCCCGACUCUUAUAUUUUUACCUUAUUUACUAGCUGGUUUAUAAUAAGAAUUUUACCGUCUCCGUCAUUGAGUUAAUAGUUUAAUUGGUCCCUAGAGGGGUUUCGGGGACGAUUAUGUGCGGAGGAUUAUUCGUAAGAGGAAAAUAUGACGACGAUAAAAAUAGUAAAUUUUGAGCUAGUAAAAUGUAAUUUUUAUUCGGGUAUUAUUUUUCGGGGUGUUUUAUUUUUGAGUUGGGUUGAUAUAAGGUUGGACCGGUUGGGAGGCCCAACCCAUUUUUCCUCCCUUUCUCUUCUUCUCUCUUUUCUCUUCCUUCUCCCUCCCGUGCUCUCUCUCCGCCGGAAGCUCCCAGCCACCAGCUGCCGCCGUCCGGCCAGCCAGCUGCCACCGCUCCAUCCCAGUUCGGAGCCCCGCCACCUCCUCUCCCUCCCCGGCCUAGCCCCCGAGCCUCUAACCCGCAGGAAGAGGAGAAAUCCCGCCGGAGACGCCGGGAAGCAUUUCGCCGGAACUCCCUCCUCCGGCCACCAAUCCGGGCAAGUUUGGUACGGUUUUGUAGCCCUCCAACCCAGCAGCCUUGCCCUAAAAGGACUCUCCCUCUCUUGAGCUAGGUAAGGAGAAAUGUGGAGUUGAAAUUUAUAGGGCUUUUAGGUGUUUGUGUUCGAUUGCCCUAGUUAGGCUUGGAUUUUGGGUUUGUGCUGGUCAGGAAAGUUGUAGAGCAUGAUGAGGAGAUUAUUCUGUCAAAAUUUCAUAGGUUUUGGAGGUCGCCGGAAUUGGCCUCCGGCCGCCGUUGCCGGCGGAGCCGCCGCCGGUUGGGAGAUUUUUAUGUUUUUAAAUGUGGAAUAUUAAGGGGAGUUUAUUGAAGUGAGUUAUAGAAUUUUUGGAUGAGUUUUGGAUAGGUUUGUGAUUUUCCGAAGUUUGGUAUUUUUUGCGGUUAAUUAAUGUAGAAUCCGGCCGUAGGAUUUAAGUCAUAUUCUGUGGGAAGUUGUUGUUACGGCUGCCGGUAUGUUCGGCGAAGUUUGAGCCGUAUUGAGUUAAGAAUGGCGAAUUUGGGCAACGAUGAGUGUGUGGGAGGCUCACGUUUAAUUUUGCCCAUUUUGUUUAAAUAUUAGAUUUUUGGUGGGAAAUUAAUUAUAUAUUUGGAACAGGACGAGAGGAGGCCCGAGCAGAGGAAGCCUCGGAGCGUCAUCAGGCUUAAGCCUAAUUUGUGAGUGGACCUUAAUUUUAAUUGAAAAGCAUGCGAUGAAUUAUCUGUUGAUCAUUUAAUUCUUUUCCUGAGAUUUAUUUAUUUCUCGGAUAUUUGGCAAUUUUCCUCAUUUGGAGAGAUCCCGAAAAUGAGAUUUUCGGUGGAUAUGUUUAUUGGUUGUUUAUGAUGAUAGUAUGUAUAUGUAAAUGCUAGCUAGCCAUACGUGCUGAUCCGCCAUAAUGAGGUAAAAUACCAUUAUGGUGUGACGUGAGUGUUAGACACAAGCUUAAUUAGUAGCCCUAUAUGAAAACUAUUUUUUUUAUUUGGUUUAUUUAGGUUUUCAUAUAGGGAGUCCACACGUAUAUACACUCGUACUCUUUCCGCCAUACUGAGGUACAAUUCCAUUAUGGUGUGACGUGAGCGUUAGACGCAAGCGUAGUAGCCUUGUAUGAAUUUCUAUUUUUUUUCUAAUUUGUUCUUAGAAUUCAUACAAGGAGUCUGACGAGUGUAAAUACAUACACUUAUAUAUUUUUAUAUAUAAUUUAGCCUGAGAGGCUGUAUUUUAUUAAGUUUUGGAGACUAGCCGGUGCUGGUCGUGAAGUUGCCAGUUUUUGAGUUGAGCGCUUUUGAGCGAUUGCAUGCAGUAUUAUUUUAUUUGGAAAUUAAAUUGGAGAAGCAUAAAGAAAUAUUUUUAUUUAAUUUAUUUUUGUCCACUCACUCUAACUGUUCCACAUGUUUUCCCCUGGGCUCUUCGUUUUAAAUUGCCCAGUCUGCAGAGUUCAGGUUGGACCUAGUAGGAGACGAGGCAUAGUUACCCGCUUUUCCGCUAGUUUUCAUCAGUAGGUUACCUGUUUAACCUACUAGUGUUUUCUUGCUUCCGCUAGUGUCUAGUAGCUCUGAAUACUUUGGGAUUAUUAUAUAUUAUUCCGGUGGUGUGCUCGGUCGGUUGACUUUAUGUUUAGAAUUGCUGAAGAAUAUUAUUUGCUUUUAUUUAGCUGGAUAAUUGUGUGAUAUUUUUGGAAGUGCUGUAGUAAGUGUGUGAAUUGGAGAUUUUUCAGGUUAGGGUUGUCCAUCUUCAAGGGAGGUUUUACCAAUCUUUUCGGUAAAUUUUCCUUGGAGGUGGUCCCCGCACGACUUACUCCGGGUUUCAGGGUGAAAUUCGGGGUGGGUCGUGUCAGAUAAAAUGUGUAAUGAAUAAUAUAUUGAAAUAUAUGUGAAUUAUAUUUAGAAAUUUGAAUAGAAGUCUAGUGAGUAAAUGCUCGUAUUUAAAAGUAAUUGGAGGUGUAUAGAGCAUGAGAAGUAUACUGAGCAAAUUUAGAGGUCUCAAUAACCGUACUCAAUUAUUAUCUAACCUUAUAUCAUGUGCAUGAAAAUAAUCGACUAGUUAAGCGAAUUUAAGGCUGAAAUUGUUUGUUUCUUGUUGCAUUCGAAUGAAAUUAAAAGGUUCUAUAUCCACGUACAAUGCGGCCAAUCUCAUUGCAGUCAUCAUUAACACUAGACAAGGUUAAAAUCAACAUAGCACAUGUCACUUCUAAAAGUUACCCAAAUUAACCGAUUAACCAAUAAUUCUUCAUGACAAGCAUUUUAGCAAAGGAGGUAUCCAUGUAUAACAGCGAACCAGAGUAAGGAAUAAUGGCAGCUAAACAAUCCCUUUCUCGUCCAAUUUUAAUUUGAAAAGGCCCUCUUCACAUGAAUACAUACUUGACAACACCAACAAUGAUAUCAGAAAAUAUUCCUUCAUAAGGAAAGUGAUAUGAUUUCGGAAUAAUAUAUGAAGCCAUUUGCAAAAGGCUGCUCCUCUUUAACGCUAACAUUCCCGAGUUCAUUCUACACUCAUUUGGGAAUGGUAUUGUACCUAAUGUGUUUGAUGUGCCAGUUGCUUCACUUUUAUGAUUCUCUCAAGCUAGACUUAUAUGCCUGAGGCCCUAGCAUUUUAUUAGUCUCUCUCUAUCUAUCAAACCAAACUAGAUACCCCUACCCCCCCAACCCAUACCCCAAGCUUGAGAAAAUGAAGCGUAAAUUACUUGCAUGGUUGCUGUUGAUGAUCCUGUCUAGCUUGGCUAUCACAAAUGGCUCUUUCCAAUUGGAACAUUGUCAAGGUGAUGUUGGCCUCUCAAGGCUGCAAGGACAAGAAACUAUUCAUGGUAAGAAUCCAUCCAUUAUUUAUAUAAGUUUGUACUUUGUACUGAUUUUUCGAGGCAUAUAACUAUUCCAUUCAAAAUCUACCUAAACCUUGGGCGUGCUGUUGAAGGUGUACCGGGCACAGUGAGACUGAAUAGAUCAGAAGAAGAUGAUGGAAGCGGAAGCAGCAAAGAACAAGGAGAUUUAUUGGUUGCUUCAGAAAAGGGACAAAAAGGGAAAACAGGAGUUUAUGGUGGUGGAAAUUCUUCUCAUCGCCCGAAAAGUAGUGCAACACCCAGCCCUUAUCUCAUGGCCAAAACCAUGUUGCACGUAAUCUUCAGUUCGGUUCUGAUUCAUUCCUUCAAAUUACUCUAACAUGUUCCGAUCGAUUCGAAACACAGUCAUAUAUUCAGUGUGUGGUGUUUUAAUAAUGGUGACAGAUUGUUGAGUUUCCAUUUUGAGUGUCCUUGGUUGGAUCGACUCGAUCGGUCUUAUGAAGGCUUUUUCAUGUUUAUUAGGUGUAUGUUAGAAGAGUGAUUAUAUCUCACUUUAAUUAUAUUGAGGAAGCAGGACAUAUACAACUGGUUCCUGGAUUUUGCUAAUCAUAUAUUUUCCAUUACAUCAAAACGAUUGGUUGUAUGCUAUUGUAAUUUUAUGUACUCUCUCUCUCUCUCUCUCUCUCUCUCUCUCUCUCUCUCUCUUAGAGAAAGAAAACUAGUUAAAGGAUUGUGAAAAUGUUUUAUAAAGAAGCAGGACUUCAACACACUUUAUGUUUCACUAGAGAACUUCCUCACUGGAUCCGGAAGAACUCUAUCUGCAUUAUGCAGGACUACUGGACUACUAGCAUACACCAACUGAUCGAUUCCUCUGCUAACACAGUCAUCAUGAGUUCAUGACAAGAACCGAUUCAAAGUUUUACUUCCUCUUAGAAAAUUUUAUUAAAUAAAGAAGAUAUAACUUAAGAUGGGGACAUGGAGCCAAAAUCUCUUAGAAAAGAAAUAGCAAAACCAAAAGGCAACCAAAACAUGAAAAAGAAGAGUAGAGAGCUGAUCACAUCAAAGAUCAAGGCACACAACAGGAGUCCGAUUACGGGCAGGAUAAGGGUCUUGUGAAUCCUUUUUGGUCUUCAUUUUUUUUUUUUGAGACUUCGGGAGAGACUUGAGCAGAUUCUCAUCUUCCAAAAUUUCACCCUCAUCAUACCAGGAACUCAAAUGACUCACCCUAUCAAUUUGGGUAUAUGUAUGAUGACCAAAGGGUUCUUCAUUGUCUAAAUCACCCCAACAAAACUUGGUUUGAUGAACACUAGAUACUACCAAAGCAGAAUCUAUAUUAUUAUUGUCAAUCAAAAUUUCAUUUCGCUCUCUAAUUGUCUCUUGCUCAUCUACACCCCCUCUCUGCUCAGACACAAUCUGAGGGACAUGUGUUACUACCAUGUUUUGCUCAACACUAGUAGUAUUAUGAUUAUCCUCUAUUGUUUGCUGAAUAGUAGUAACCCCAGCGACCAUAGUGAGCAGCUCAUGCUCAACUAAAUCACCACCAGUACCACAUGGAUUCUCCAUUAGUUGUAUAUCAAUAGGAUUAGGAGAUGGAGACUUACCAGCAAAAGACGGACCUUCUUCAAGGUCGCAUCGCCGGAUGAGUAUUAUCCACCAUCACUUGCUUCCCAUUAUCUGAUUUUUCUGGUUGUUUUUGAACAAAAAUCUGCUUAGCUUUACGUCGUUGGUGCCCUGUCCACAUUAACCUCCUUGUCUAAUUUUAAUCCUAAAAGCCCUGUCCACAUUGAUGUGGAGUCUUUGAUGGUCAUGCUACUGGUAAACUUGACAAUAAUACCAACAAUUUCUUCCUCUAUAAGAAAAGUGAUAUACAUAUGGUUUUGGAAUAAUGCUGCCAUUAAUUUCCAAAAUGCUGCUGCUCUUGGAUAUAUGCAAUAUCAUUCCCCAGUUCCUUCUACACUCGUUUGGGAAUGGUAUUAUACCUAAAUUGUGAAUGAUAUGCCAGCUGCUUCACUUUUAUGAUUCCCUCAUCAUGUUAGAAAGUUAUGCUAGAGGCCCUAGCAUUUUAAAUUUUUAAUUGUCUGUCCCUAUCCUAUCAAAAUAAACUAGCUACUCCUACCCCUAGCUAUCCCAAACUUGAAAAAAUGAAGAGAAAAUUACUUGCAUGGUUGCUGUUGAUGAUCCUAUCAAGCUUGGCCAUCAGAAAUAGCUCUUUCCAAUUGGAACCUCAUCAAGGUGAUUUAAUUAACCUCUCAAGGCUACAAGGAAAAGAAACUAUCCAUGGUAAGAAUCACUCCAAACUUAUGUAAGUUUGUAGUUGUUUUUUGUGGCACAUACCCCUAUAAUUCCAUUCAUAAAUCUAACAGAAGCAGCCAACACAAUUGAAGGUGUAAGACUGAAUGAAUCAGAAGAAGAUUAUGGAAGAGGAAGCAACAAAGAACAAGGAGAUUUGGUUGUUUCAGAAAAGGGAAAAAGAGGGAAGACAGGAGUAUAUGGUGGUGGAAAUGUUGCUCAUCGCCCCCGUCAAGAGAAAAGUAGUGCAACACCCCGCCCUUAUCACAUUGCAAAAACCAUGUUGCACGUAAGCUUCAGUUUGGUUCUAAUGGUUCUUUCCUUAAAAUUUCUCUAAGAUGUUCUGAUCCAUUAGAAACAGGUCUAUAUAUAUACCGAGUGUGAUCAGCUUGUUGGGAAAUUUUCUCCUAGUUUCUUUUGGGGUGGUCUUUUGAUGAUGAGUUGAUGACACACAGUCGAGUUUGCAUUUGAGUGUCCUUAAUUGGAUCAACUCGAUCAUGGCAAGGCCUUUUCGUGUUUGUUAGGUACGUGUGUUUGAAGAUUGUUUAUAUCUCACUAGCUUCAUUCAUGAGUUCGCAGCACUGGCGUGUUGCUACUAGGUUACAUAUAUAGUGUGCAAGUUUUUGAAUAAUUGUCGUCGAUCAAAUGGUCCCUCGAUUUUUCUAUAUAUUCGUGUUAUCAUGUAUUUUCCAUUACUCAAAGAGAUUCGUUGUACUGUAAUAUUAUGUACUCUCUCCCGUCGAGAAUGAAAACUAGUUUGAAGCAAGUAUUGUGACUUGAGAAAAGGAUCAAAGGAGCAGGACUUCGACAUGCUCUGUGUUUUACCAAGAGAACUUCGAUUCCAUAGUGGGAGAACUCUAUCUGCAGAACUACUUGCAUGACACUGAUAGAUUAUUCUACUAAAGCAAUUCGCUUAUAAAAUUCAGACAAAUCGGACCAAAAUCUGACGAAUCAUGUAACAACUAAUACUACAACUGCUGUAGUGCUGUUGUCUAGCUUUAGCAAAAUGAUACUUAUUGUAAACCCAAUAUCAAUUAGUAGCGCAAAUGUUUUUUUCAGAGUCAUUAAUAUGUGUACAGCAUUUGUCCCACUUCGGGUUUCAACAAAAUGUGAACUCACAUAAGUAUCAUACUGAUUUGCACCCAGUACGAGGACUGAAGCACCAGGAGAGAAACAUAACCACUUCAGAAAAUGUUUGGCCAACCUGAAGAUGAGCGGCAGUGGUGGUUCAAACCGUACUAGAAUCCUUAGCCACUUUGUUCAUUAUAUGUCGUACAGCAGCUUCGAAAAUGAUUUCAUAUGUUCAGAUUGCAGGGAAAUGGCAACUGAUAAACUCCCAUCAUUAGUUGCACUUGGUAUUACGAAUGCCAACCCCUCGUAUCCAAUUCCACCUGGUCCCAUGAAAAUAGGUCGACCCCAACCAAAAUCAGCAUCAUGAAUUGGCAGCCUAACCCAACUAGUAAUCCCGAGAUUAGGACACCUAAAAGUAUGUGCCCCACGCACAAGGGCUGACAGAUCAGGCUGAAGCUCAAGGUAGUCAAGAGCAGAUCUAAGAUAAUCAUUGUCCAUUCGCACCAAAGCAUUGUGAAUCUUGCUUGCCGCAUACCAUGUUGGUUUUGAUUGGAGAUCCCCUGCUACAGCAAUAGGUGUGGCUGUGAAAAUCACAUUGCCAAAGUAACCAGGUGGGAGUGGGGGUUGCAGUCUGGACCUGCCAUCAGUUGCAAUAUAUAAUUUGGUGUCUUGAUCAUCAGGAAGGUCUCGCGCCUUGCAUACACAUCGCCAAACAUGACCUGCCAACAUCUCAUAUGAGCUAUAGUUGACAGUGUUGCCAUCUUCCUUAGACUUGGCUUUCAAAGUGUUGAGUUGUUCUCGAGUCAAUUUAAAGAUGGAAAUAGUUGUCUCCUCCGCACCAGGUUUUGUGCUCUGCUGGGGAUUUUUCAUGGGGGGAGCAGGUUGGUAUUCAAUGUGAUGGAAUUCAGGCUGAGGUGGGUCUCGGGCACGAAGCAAUGUCCUGUCGAUGAAUGGUGGAAUUGUAAGGUCAAGACCUCUAGCCAUAUCAGACCAUGUAUUCACGAAGUGGAGACCAGCAAAUCCAUCUGCAACGUGAUGUUGCAUGCCAACACCAAGCGACACUCCACCACAUUUGAAGUAAGUGACCUGCACAGAAAAAAUCCAGGACCUAGUAAGCUCAUCUGUUUAAUAAUCCCCCAACUUUGAGUUAAACUUUGGCAUAUUCUUUCAAUUGACCCAGAAAAUGCGUGGUACUUGAAAUUUUAUGAUAAACAGAAGCUGUUUUGUAAUUCUGAACCCCAAAUAUAAAAACGUCUUCAUCAACAUAGAAUAGGAUGAUCUCAGUUGGUUCAAAAGAAUUGAUCUUAUCCCAAUGGCAAAAUGACAAACUAAAAGGAAGAAUCCUACUAUGCAUAUCAUACCAACUCUCCAAAUUCAAAGCAAUGCCCUGAAUAAAAAAAAACCAAUAUAUCCAUGUACUUCUAUACAAGUAACCAAAAGGAUGAUAAUCAGUUUUCGCAAGCAAGUUAUAAACUAAUGUGUAAACAGCUCACGAGUCAUGACCAUGCACCAGCCCUAUAUUUUUCAACACCAACCUAUUUCUUCAUAUAUGAACCAAAAUAAUGUAUUCAUAUGUAACCCAGAAGUAUCAGAAUACUCUCUUAAACCACCAGUUCUUACUCUGAAUGUGUUACAAUCGACAUAGGCUGAUUCAUCAAUAAAAAAAAGACUCGAAGGAUACUACAACAUGUAACCCAUGUUCAAGUUAAGUGGCCAUACACUCAUACCUAAUGGUCCCUAAUAAGAUUUCCAAUAGGAGUUAGUAAGUAGACUAAAGAUAAAGAACUAAUGGUAAGGAACAUCAUUGGUCAGACAAUUGAAAUGAUACAUAGUUACAGAACAUAUAAGCAUACCUGGAAUCAUUCAACCAAGUCCAAUGGGUGACAUGUUCAAACUUCAAAAGUUCUUUUAAUCCAUCACCUUAACACGUCAAUACAAAGGCUGCUACUUUUCCUUGGGGGUAAAAUUUGCUAGGUCAAAUAUUGAAAUUUUCAACGAAUAGUUGAAAUGAAUAAUAUUUCUUGGGCAAGAACUUUCAUCUGAUAUCUGACCACUUGUUUGACUAAGAAAAAAAUUGAACCUCUUAAGCUUACAAAAAGUCUGGUCCAAGUUUUAAGGAAUUUCCUUAAAAUGAAAUGGCAUGAAGGGGUUCAAAUUCCAGGUUUUCUAGGCAUCACUCCGUUAAUUAGUGUAUUAACAAACAAAGGGUCUAAAAUAGUGAAAAACCACUUGGAUAAGUUUCUGGUUGCAGUGGCCAUUGUAAUGACUAGUUUAGCUGCAAAUCUAGCUAAGAUCAACAAUGAUUCUUUACAUUUUGAUAACACAAAGAUUAACCAAAAGUCAAAACACUGAUUAGGUCCUUUGCAACUAAAAGGAAAGAAAGAAAAAAACAUUAUUAAUAUCACAUCAUUGUCUUUUGGUGCUUAGUUCUAUCUAGUUCUAUAUGAUAUUGGUCAUUACUUUCUAAUUAAUUUCACCCACUGAAGGUGCACCAACCAUGCACUAGAAAUUCCGCAAGCCAAAAUCCAAAAUCCAAUCAUUACUUUCCCUAAACAAUAUCACCCACUAGCAAAAAACAGUAUCUCGUGCAAUCGAAUCUCUAUCUCUACUAUUAGAAAGUCAUGUAUGGUUUUGGUGUCUUUGAUGAAAUCUUUUUUCAAUUGCCCAAAAAACUAAGGUUGCAGAAAAUUCUUAAAGAAUAAAAAUUAUAGUUAUUAUGAGCUUGACUAUAAAACUCCACUGGAAUAGGAGAAGAAAAAAAAGAAGGGUAGUUUCAUCCCACUUUUAGUGUAGUUAUCUACAAAAAAUAAAUGGAGCAGUUCAAGUAUACUAAUUCUAUUUUUUUUAUCCCCUAUGCACGGGUAAGAGGCUAAUGAUCUUCUAAAGGGUUGAUUUUCUAUCUAUAAAACAAAAGUUUUAUUUGUAUUUUAUAGCCUAACGUAACUUAAUAAAAUUUUACUCAAAAUUAUCUGUAUUUCAUCAAACUAUUAACUAUCUAAAAUUUUAUAUGAAACUUCAAAAACUAGAAAUGAAAAGUAUACAGACUAUCGGUCAUAAUAUUACAGAACAUUUGAAAAGAAACUCAUGUUUUACUAAUAUCGACAAGAGAAAAUAUAGAAAAUGAGAAUUACACUUGACAAGAGAAAAUAUAGAAAAUGAGAAUAUGUAAUUCGAACAAAAAAAAAAAACAACUACAAAAAAACAAAAAACGUACUGUAGUGCUAAUAGCACAUCUGCUUGCCAACUUUUGUAUGAAAUCAAAAUAAACGCGUGAUUAUGAGUGUAGAAUCACUCGAAAUUGGUGACCAACUUUGAUCUACAUUCUACAAAUACUACCAACCAAAUUAAUAAUAUUAUGAUCAUAAAUGCAAAAAUACGUAUAAGUACCUGCAAAACGAGGAGCGGAUACGACGAAAUCCCGGCAGAGUAAUCAACGGUGGGGAUGAGCUUCCGGAGCUCAAGAGUCGGCGCAAAGUCGCCAAAAUCAUCGAUGACGGAGCUACUCUCGGCGACGACAAACAGCACGCCCUCGCCAUUACAAUUGAUCUCGAUACGACCGUCGUCGUCGCGCUUCAGACGCCCCGCCAUGGGGUAGAACGGCACCAGCACCUUCGACAGCGCGUGUUUGAGCACGCGCGGAUCGAAGAAGUUGGACGCGCCGUUGGGGCGGUAAAAGUAGAUGCUGGGGGUGUGGAUACUGGGAAUCACAAGGUCGACGUUGGCGUUCCACAGCGACCGCGGCUCGGUGGUCUCCUCGGCCGGCUUCACUAUCGUCGACUCCUUAACGGUCACGUUCACCACCGCCAUGUUGUUGGCUUCUGCAACCAAAUAAUAUCAAAUGAUCAAACAUUAAACCAUAUAUAUAUUUCGCUGACGAAGAUUGAGUUCAAGUGGGAUUAAGAAAUAUGGCAAAUGAUGGAUUUGUAUGUACGUACCUGAGAGACAAUGGAGUGUUGGACGCAGCAGAGGCGGGAAUAAAGGAACCUUUGAGAGACACAAGCGAGAAGAUGGUGGUCGGUGAGAAGAAGAAGAAAAGAGGUAAUGGGGGUUUGGAGUUGUUAUGAAGCACUAUGUAAAAGUACUACGUGAAUGAUCAAGCCCAGAGCAUAUCUGUCACUCACCUACCGCGCCUGCCAACUUUCUCUCAAUCACCCUAUGCCACCUCAGAAUUCAAUCCAUGGAAAUGCGUUUCCUAAUCGGUUUUGUUUACUUUCCAAAAAUAAAAGGCCUUCCCAAUUUUACACUCUCCAAUAUCAAUUGUUUUGAAUGGUUAUUUAAUGGAAAUAUAAAUAUGUUAAUACUCAAUUUAGUAGCCUAAUUAUUUCUUUUGUAUAAAUUUAAACUCAUUUCAUUUAAAGUUUUCAAAAACAAUUUUCGUUAUUCAAUGCUUACAAUUUAAAAUACGCGUGUUCUUCUUAAAACUAGUGAAUACAUACCAGAUUACGACUCAGAGAUACAUGCAAAGAACCAAAAACGAUUUUAUACACGACGGUGCAAGACUGCAAGUACAUGGGUAAACUUGGAUAUUUAAAACUAUUUAUAUGUUAGAACCAUUAUGUAUCUAUAUUAAUAACUUCUAAUCAUAACCGUUUACAUAAUAUAUAUAUAGAUACACGCCACAAAUUGAAAACUCUCACGCAAUGAACUGCUUAGCAUUUACAUGGUUUGAAAAUUUUGUCACUAGCUACCGGUUUAGAAGUGUCAUUACUUUUAGAAAAUAUAAUUUUACUAAUCAUUUUGUUAAUUUUUAACUUUCUAUUUUAGACAAUUUUUUUUUAUCAGGUAAACAAUAUUAUAACUUCGUGAGUCAAACUCACAACCUCUCAUUUACUAAAGGAAGACUAUGCCGCUAAACCAAAUGGUACUGGCUCUGACAAUUUAAUUUGAAAUGGUAAACUAUUAUUUUUUAGGAAAGUAAAUAAGUUUAAAUUGAAAACAAAAACAAGUUAAUGUAUAAUUAUGAUUUUUUUAUUUGUGAUAAUUAUAUAAAUAUGUAAAUUAUUUAAUAUUGAAGAGCACGUACAGUCAUCUAAGAAAGCCUCACAUAUAUUAGUUUGAUAACACAGUUAAAUAAAAAGAAAGUGAUGUGAUUGAUUAGAAAUAAAUAUCCAUGAUUUAGGAAGCAAGAGAGUUGGUAAGACAGGGACACGCGGCUAUCUCGGAUCUUUUCUUAAACAAGAUGGCGGAUGCGCUCUCCGGUUGUGGUCUGCUUUUGUUGGCGUGAGUUGGUGAUUGUUUAGAGCAAUGCAAAAUGCUAAGUUGGUGAGACGGUGACCCAUUAACAAAAGUAGAAGAAGAAGACGCAGAUAAGAUUCGAGGCAGCCAACUCUUCCAUUUCCACUGUAAUCGUAAUUAGUAGCCGCAGCAGUAGUCCACCAACUCUUGACACGACUCGCGCCUCCUGACGGCGUCUCUCCGGGUUCGUCCUCUCCUACCUCCAACCAAACUUUUCAACGCCGACGUGUGUUCUCGGUGGGGUCCGCCCGGGGUUGGUGAGUUUGGUUUUGAACCUCUUCAUCCGGAUGCUGACGUAAUGUCGAAACGGAGAUACGGCUCGGUUCGUUUGGAGUUUAUAACGGUGGUAGGUGAGUCCGUUAGUUAUGACGUCAGCGUGACCGGAUCUCUAGGGGGCCUGGCCUAGGUUCAGGUGGAGCUUUCAAAUUCUGCAAGUUUGGGUAGUAGGAGACUAUGAAACUGGUUACAGUUGAAGCAUUUAUGUUCAUCCUCGUCUGCAACAUUUGAAAGAAAUGGUGGAAUAAUGGAACGUAAUAUAUAGAUAAAUGUUCUAUAAAUUAGGGGAUACCCUAACCGUAAACCACCGAAGACCAGCUCUCUUCGCUGUAACAGGUUCUUAUUAUUUGACCUCAAAGGACUUCCUCUUUUUUUUCCGGAGUUUAAAUUCAAGUUGCCCACUCUCUUUGAGAACCAGAACAUUACCUGAGGUAGCAACCAUACCUAGUGAUCGAGCAGAGAACUUAGGUGUAAAGUUUGGCACAAUGGCACUCUUAGCAAGGCAGUGCUGGAACAAAUCGGUAACAUGAAAAGCUUAUGUUGUACCAUCCAGCAUAAGGAUGUCCACCUCUCGCACAUUUGUAGGUAUAGGUUCAACAUUCUCUAGUGCCUUGGGGUUGAAACAUAAACACUAACUUUCUUCUCGUUUCUAAACAACAGUCAAUAUACGUACCUUCAACCCCAACAAUGCCUUUGAUCAUGAGCUUUGAACGUAAAUGUAGAGAGAGUCUUUUCUGUUCUAAAUAUUGUGAAGAUUGCGUUACAGAGUUGAAUGGGUGACAAUUUAUGAAUAAUUGUUUAAUUUGUGAUAACGAGAAAAACAUGUUUACUAGUUUAGACGGUAAGACUAUCACGCAACGAUUUCAAAAUUUGAAAUCUUGUCGAUAACACCAUUGUAAUUUAUAGAAAUUAAAUUUAAUUAAUUUUAUUUUUUUGUAUUUUUAUGUUUUGUGUCCCAUUAGACCAAAAUUUCUUAGAGUAAGUGUGAAGAUAUAAGUAACAAAGAGAGCUGGUGAUUGAGUAAACAAGAUGGACUAACGCUGGUUUGAUCCUUAAAAUUUAAUGUUUAUGUUUGAUACAGCAAAAAAGGUUUAUGCAUGUUUAUAGUGUUUAUGAAUGUUCAAGAUCCAAUGUUGUUAGUCAAAUGUCUCUAAUCUUGGACAAAUAUGCCAUAGAAGGCCGUCUUCUCUACCAUAUUUCCUCAGCUCAUAUUUGCCAAAACAUCUUAACCUUUGGUAGAGAUUUGCAUACCCCAUAUAGCCUUCCAAACCAGUGGAUCAAUGUAUGGGAGGUACUUGUAGGUUUGACAGAGUGGCAGAGAGUCAUGCAGUACGUCAUGCUUCUAUUUGUUAGUUGGUACAUGUUAUAAUAUCCAAAAUUGACCGAGAAUCAUGCUUUUACAAAUUUCGGUAAUGCCACAAAUGUUCUCUUGUUCUCGAAUUUGGCUUUUUUACUUAGAUUUAUGUUGCUUGGAUAAUUUCUAACUAUUGGAUUUGUAAUACCCUAGAUUUUCAUAUCAAUUUUCGUUGUAUUACUCUCAUAAUUAAUGAAGGAUUAUUUAUGGAAAUUCUUUACUUUGUGCGAAGUUGAAGUUUCAGGAUUAAAUUUUAAGGUGCUUUGCUUUGACUUUUAAGAGGCCAAAAGUUGACUUUAGUUUCAGUAAGUUAUUUGCAAAAACUUCCUUCAUGAAAGUUGUAGAGUUUGGCGAUACAAGUUCGUAAACACGCGGCACGUGUAAUUCGGGUGUCGUAUGAGAAAGUUUUGGUAAGAGGAAGUUAGUUUCCGAGUUUAGAAAGUGUAUAAGUAGAAAAAUGUGUGUGGGAGUUUUUUCUUGGGAACCCUAAAAUCAGCUCACUCUCUUCUCUCUCUUCUCUCUCUUCCUCUCCCGACCUCACCUGCACACCAAACUUUGACCGGAGCUAUCUCCGCCGUCCGGCCACCGAUUGGACCGCCGUUCGUCUUGGUCGACUCACCCGGGCGUCAUUCUGGGCUGGUGUGGGGCGGGGCAGCAAGCCAGAAAAUAGAGCUUUUGGCCGGAAAAGAGAGCUGUUGUGUCUCCGGUCGGACUUGCCGUUUCCGGCGGCGACGAGGGGCAUCCUUAGGUGAGUUUUGAUCCUCUCCUCCUUCUAGUUGUGGCUAGGCAUAGAUUGAAGCAAGUUUUUGAGGUUUUGAGGCCGGAUUUGUAGGUUUUGUAGUUUGAUUUCAGGUUGCUGUUUCGGGGCAGUUUCCGGCCGGUUCCGGCCAAAAUUGGUUGAAGCCUCAGGUAUGAAAGUUGUUCCCCUUGUUUCAAGUUUCAACUUUGCUGUUGAGAGUUCUCUCAAAUUCGGAAGUUUGUGGUGGCACGUGGGGCCCACUCGCCCUGCCUGUGGCGGCGCGUGGCAGCGCGUCCGGUAGUGUUUGUGGCUUAGUUUGCUGUGUUUUAGCUAACUCUUGUUGUGGUGAGCUUAUUGAGAUGUAGAAUUUUUAGUUUGUGAGCAAUGCUUGUAUGUUAGGACUUUAAGUUUGUUAUUAGACUUGGUUGAGGUUUGAAUUAGGGUUUGAGGAUUAGAGGCAGCCAUUUUGGGUCGCUAAGUUCGACGACUUUGGAAAAUUGUCCUCCCUUGAACUAAGGGUUAGUUUAAGAGUAUUGUGUAAACCUAUAGUAUUUUAGUUACUAAGGUUUUAAUUGUGUGAUUUUAGGUGAUUUGUGAAAUUGUGUUUUGGCUUGCUAUUGUCGUCUUGUGGAAUUUGCAGCGGGAUAUUAGGUGAGUAAAUCUCACCAAGAUUCACUUUUGAACCAAAUGUUAUUAUGGUCAUGUGAUGAUGAUAAUGAUGAUGAUGUUGGAUUUAAUAAUAUGUUUUUAAUUGUUUUUAAAAAGAAUUAACCUUUGUUUAGUCCCUAAGGUUUACACAACUCAUCUACUUAGUCCUCAAGGUUUAAAUUUCAUCUAUAUAGUCAUGAAGGUUUUGAUUUCUCAUCUAGAAAGUCCUCUAGUUAAAAAAAAACUGUUAAACCACUAUUUUUCCGUUACAAAAAGAUUUUUUUUUUUUUUUUUAAACCCUACUCUUAAAGGACUAGACCAAGCUUUUCCUAAGAACUAGCUUUCAACAUGUCAAUAUUUCACCUAACGACCUCCUGUCUAAUGGUUACUAAUCAUGGCGGAAUCACUGCUGUCUUAGUGUGGGCAAGCCUAAUCACUUACAAAGUAAAGUAAUCGUAAAACAACGAAACAAAAAGGCACAAAAUUUUUUUUUUUUUUUGACGGAUUAUAGGGCAAAAGGUAGAAGUUAUUUAACAUAAAUACAAAUACCAAACUCAGAGCCUUGCUCUCAGGUAAACAGCUAAAGGUUGUUUAACUACUCAUAAAGUUAAAUAUAAACACAAGUACUUACUUGUAAAUUUACAGCACACCACACUAGAUGAUUACAGACUUCACUCUCAAAACACUCUUAUUAUUCUCACUCUAUUCUAAAGACUGUAUACUGACUUUCUUACUUCUUAAGAAAGGUUGAGAAAAUUUCAGAUUUCUGUUUCAGGUUCCUUCUUCGAUGCCUUCCUAUUGAAGUUUGAGGUUUCUUAUAUAGAGAGCGGAACUCAAACAUGAAUUAAAACACACUUAUUCAUAGUGGUGGACAGGAGGAAUCCUAUCCUGAUAACUUUACCUUUGAAAAAGUAAAGUCGAAAGCUUUUAAGUGCUGGCAGCUACUUUCGUUUUACCAAAAGAAAAGCCAUUUGUCUUGAAGCGUCGGCAGCCACUCAACUUUCCAGCAUAUUCACAAUGUUGUGAUAUGUCUCUGGAUCUUCAGAAUAUCCCACUGAGGAGUUGGGACCACUAUAUUCCCAGUCGCGUGCCGUGUCUAUAUCUCCAUCGUCGAGGUCUGAAUCAUAGGGAUAGGAAAUUCUAUACUUAUCUUCAGUCUCCACUUUUUCUAACCACGUAGUGGUAGCCAGAGUGCAGUCCACUUCUUUCCUCAUAAGAGUUGUGAAAAAGUCACAGUUCUCUGGUGAAGGGUGAUUGUAACAGGUGACCAUAAUUUUUUCUCCACUGGCUAAAAGACUUGAAUCAUAGUCUCUUAAAACCACGUCUUUAAUAAUUGCUAUGGUCAUGGCUUUCAUCCAAGGAAUGCUUUGAUUUGGUCUUCCAUUUCCAUUGGCAAUAGCUGGCUUUUGAACCGGACUUUGGAUUAAUCUGACAAGAUGAUAUGGAGAGAUAUAAUUCAUUUGAUUAUUUACCACUGUCCAUUCUGGCGGAGUUGAAAUGAAUUUUAACCUUAGGAUACAACCAUCAAGUCUGAUAUUCUUAACUGCUUCAGAUAUUAUUUCUGAAAGGCCCUUCAGAUCUUCAUUGGUUUUUGUCCACAAAUUAUGAACAAAACCGUUUUCUACAAGCCAUAGCUUGUGCUUCUGAGGAUGUUCUGUUUGAACGUCAACCAGAUAUCUCCCAUAAUAUGGGUCAGGGGCUAUUGAUAAUGUGCCAGGCAGAAUAUUUUUCCUUUCACCUAAGAGGUUAUGGAAUUUAUACCAUUCAGGUUCCUUUAAAGUUAAAAUAGGAAUUUUAGCACUUUCAGGAUUUUCGAGGUAUUCAACCUUGGAAGAUUCUGCAAGAACACCUUUGUCUUUUGUAUGGAAUCCAUACAUUUCUUCAAUUAAAGCCUUUAGUGUUUGAAGCAAGUGAGCUUCAUUUUCUUCAUAGAAUGAAUACAGAAUAUUAUCAAUAAUAAUCUUCUGCUUAAAGGGCAAUAGCCUUUCAGUCCUGAAAACUGGUCUCUGAAAGAUCUUCAGAGGUUGAUCGUGAAUAACCUUUUUUCCAGUAACUAAAGGUGACUUAUCUGCCUUGAGAGGGUCUCUUCUGCUUUUUGGCAAAGCAGCAACCAUUAACGGACUUGAUAUGUCUUUACCGUCUGCCGUUUGAGACGGGCUAUCCAGUCUUUUCCCCUGAGACUGGUCAGUUAAGACUGAUCCUUUCGGACACAGCAAAAACUCAUUUAUGAGUUUAUCUUCAUUAGUACCACCUGAAUGACUGGAGCAACCAUCUUUUUCAGGUUUAGGCUUGAUUCUUAAAGCAUGACUGGAUUCAGCAGCUCCAUAAGAAACAAUAUACUGAUAACUUGGUCCGUCAUGGAGCGGUCCUACAAUAUUAUCACCGCUUUUGAAUCUUUCCCAAAGCUUCUUUUCUUCUGAUUCUGGUUUUCGACUUCUAGGAUUGCGACCUUCUCUUUCAAACAUCGCCAUUUCUCUUGUGAGAGCGUCGGGCAAAUAGUUCUUGUCACCUGCAACCGUUUCAACAUCAUAUUCAUAUUGGGUUAAAAACAUUUGCCAUCUCAGAACUCUUCCCCUAUCAGCAGCAUCAGUUAAUUUGUAGUUUUUGAAGUUUUUGACUCUUUUGUUAUCAGUUCUAACUACAAAUUUAUUUUCUAAGAAUGCCUCAGCACCCUUAAUGCUUUUAAUUAGGGCAAGGACUUCCUUGUCUCCAGUAGAAUAGUUUAACUCUGCUGCGUUAAACUUUCCUAAUAGAAAUUUACAAAUCUUUUCAUGAUUUCUGUUUGGAGCAACAGCUAAAACAACUCCUGCCCAAUAAUAAUCAUUUGCAUCAGUUUGCAAAAUGAUCAGAUCUCAUUCUUCAAGUAACUGUAGAGGAGGAAUGCUUUUUGUUAACUCUUUAAUCUUUCUGACAGUAUUACUGUCAUCAGCUGUGAAAGACCAUUUCUUCUUAAAACUUGUUUUUGGAGAGAGGAGAGCAGUUAGACCACUAACUUGUGGAAUAAAAUCUCUGGCGAAAUUAACAACUCUCAAAAAUCUCUGUAGAGACUUUGCAUUUGGGAUUAUGUCUGGAAAUUGGCUGAUUUUCUUAACAAUAUGGUCUUGGAGACGAAUCUCUCCAUCCUUAACAUGAAUGCCAAGGAAAUCAAUUUCACAUUUAAUAAGAUGAAUCUUCUUCUGUCCAAGAAUGAUUCCUUUUUCGACAAUAAGUUUACACACCUGUUCAAGAUGCUUUAGAUGCUCAUUCAUAGUUUUGGAGAAGACAAGAAUGUCAUCUAUAUAAACUAAACAGAAAUCUAAGUAAGGCUUGAAGAUAUUAUCCAUUUUCCUUUGAAAAAUAGACGGGGCUUGCUUAAGACCAAAUGGCAUAACUAACCAUUCAUAAUGCCCUUGAGGAGUUCCAAAAGCUAUUAAGGCUAUGGAAUCAGGAUGCAUUUUAACCUGCCAAAAGCCUGAUUUUACAUCAAACUUAGAGAAGAUUUUUGCUCCUUUAAGCCUGUUGAUGAGAACUCUCACCUGAGCUAUCUGAUAACCGUCUUUAACGGUCUUUUUAUUUACAUCCCUGUAAUCGAUCAUCAUUCUAGCUUUUCCUCUUAAUUGUUCUGCAUGAUUUCUCACCAAGAAAGCUGGGGCAUGAUGAGGACUGUUUGAAAGCCUGAUUAACUUCUUUUUCAGAAGUUCUUGGAUUUGAUUCUUCAUUUCUUUUCUAUCUUCUUCUCUGUAAUGAGGGAUGGCCUUAACAUGACAAAUAGUAUUUGCAUUAUGCAUUUUUAGCUGACAAUAUAUUGGGUCUCUUUCCCAAUACUUUUGAGGAUCUUCACUUAUUACUGGUUUCAACAAUUUUUCUAUUUCUGUGAGAGUUGGUAUUUUCUUUUGUUCUACUUUGUUAGCAUAUACCUUUAGAUUAUGCUCUCUGAUGUAUUCUUCUUCUCCAUCAGAACUCUCGUUGUCAGAAAUUUGAUAUUCAGAACUUUCCUCUGAAUCAGAGUCUUCUGAACUUGUUUCUUCAUUCACCAAUAUCUCCUUAUGACUUUUAAGCUGCUCUUGUAGCAACAAGACUAGCUUUAAAAUUGGCGUAUAAUCACCACUCUUCGCUGGCGACUUCUGAUAAUGGUUUGUAAAUCCUUUACUGGUAACGCGUACUGCGUCUGUUAAUCGGGAUUCCCAAUGGUAUUUUUUAUGUUUUUCAAACCCAAUCAUUUUUUGCGUUUGAAUUACUGUUUGUUGAAUAAGAAAGUCAUUCCCUAUCAACAAAUCAGUUGUCUGACCUUCACACUGCCAAAGAAUCUUGAUGGUAAAAGUGUCUCCUCCCAAGGAAACUUGCACAUUUCGUGCCAUUGUAUCCAUAACUAUGUUGUUUUCUUCCAUUGCAACUCCAGUAAUUGUCUUUGGAGAUUUUUCUCAAUAUUUUUCAGGGAUAGCAUAUCGUUUAGCAAGACUAAACCCUGAACCAGUAUCGACAAAUGCAUGUAGAUGAUAUUUUUUGUAAUUGGGAAACUUCAGUCCUAUAGUAAUAUAAUUACUAUAUAUGCUUGUCUGGACUGACAUUAUUCUUGCUUGCUUUCUUGGAUCAUCAAGUAAUUCUGUGAAAUGAUUGACCCUUCUUUCUGCAGGUUUUGAUUCCAGAGGAUUGUCAUUUGCUAGACCCAGUAUCGGAUUGGAACUGGAAUUGAGAGAACCAAGAGAUUCCUUGAUUUCCCUGUUCUGACUUAAUGAAGUUACAAACUUCAUCGUUUUUAUAUCCACUUCAAGGUUUUUUCUUUUUUUAUGGAAUACAUUAUAUUCCUCUUCUACCAGGACAUGUGCUUCAUUAUCCUUGGUUUUUCUUCUGAGUUCUGCAACAAAACAUUCCCGAUGAUAAGUUUCACAUGUAUCUUCACAGUACAUGGGAAUUGUAUUAUUAUCAUCACAUUUGCAAUAGUCACAAAUAAAUCUUCCUGGAUUGGGAUGGAAGGUACUGAUAAUAUCAGUGUUUUCUUCCUUCCAAUUUUGUAUCUGUAAUAAAAAUAUAGGACAGUCUUCUUCUUCUUCUUCUUCUUCUUCUUCUUCUUCUUCUUCUUCUUCUUCUUCUUCAGAGUUUUCUGAAGUACUUUCUGUCUCACUAUCUGAUGGGUACUCAAGAGAAUAUAUUGAUUCAUUCUCUUCAUCAGAAUAUGCGACUUCAAAGUCUUUUAGAUUAGCAUACUCUAUUGCUUCAUUAUACUCUUCAAUUAAGGCUUUAGAGGAUCUCUUGUCCUUUUUAGGACAUUCAUUUGCAUAAUGUCCCUCUGCCUUGCAAAGCCAACAUAUGUAUUUCUUUACUUCUCUAAAAGAAAAAUUGGUCUUCUUUUUCCUUUUGAAAAAUCUCUUUCUAGGAGAAGUUUGAGAAGAUUGUUCUUUCUUAUAUCCAGGUCUUUUCCUGAACUUAAUUAUACUUCUUUUUAGAAGCAAAUUUUUUAUCAUGCUUGGUGCUAGAGAACUUCCUUCGGUGUUUUCUUUCUGUAGGAAUAUGACAUCCCCAUUAGGGUAUCCAAAAUUUGUGGACACAUAUUCUCAACUCCUCUGAGUUGCUUCUUGGCCGUUUUGGAUUUUCUGUUCUCUAUGCAUUGCUUUCUUAAGAGAUCCCUAACUCUUUUUGCCUUCCUCCUACAGUAAAAUACUGAAGAGGGUUUUCUUCUAAUGACUGUGUUACUGCAUCAUUCCAGGGUUCUGGCAAUUUUCUGUAAUAAGUUCUGAUGAAAUCAUUAUUUUCAAUGUCUCCAAUAGUGCAGUAGUAGUUUUGAAACUCAUUGGUGUAUUCUUCAAAAUACCUCAUGUUACAAAUACUCAAUUUUUGAAUAUUUGCUUUUGCUCUUUCUUUAGAUUGCUCACUAUGCCCCGUGAUAUCUCCGCAGAAUUGCGCGUAGAUAGGCACUGCAAAAUCUAAAGGAUUAUUAGUCUGAGCCAUUUUUGCUGCCCAAUCAGUCCAUUGAGAACUUCUCUUGAAGGACUGGUACCAUUUCUGCACUAUUCCAGUUAAGGUAGACUCAUAAUAUGCAUGAGCUUCCUCGUAGGCAUAUUUGGAUAACACUAGGGCCUGAGUUAGCUUUAAACUAGCAACUCAAUUGUCUAUUGUCUUUCUUUUAUCUCCUACUUGGUCCAGAUCCAGAUAAACCCCUCUUUCGGACACUGACUAUCCCCAUUUGGGUUCUGUAGGGAUAUACUUCUGAGAACUUCGUUCUCCGUAUCUUCUUGUAGGGGCUUGCCCUUUUGGAAGCUUGAUAUUCUUUUCACGAAUGAUUUUUGAAGGAUUGUUAGUGAUGUUCUGUAUUACAGUAUGCCCACUUUCUGGAGGAGUUUGUCUUUCACCAUCUGUGUCCAUCGACACUCCUAAUGGCUCUAGGUCUUCUUUCACUGCUUGAUAAGGAAGAAUCUUCCUCUUUUCUUUCCAAGUUGAACUUGAGAAAUUUCAUUUAUGAUUUUCUCUAGUUCUUCUGGGGAAUCACAAGUUUUGGCUUGUGCAUUUAAUUCUCUUAAUUCUCUUGCUUGGAACAUUCUCAUAGGACUUUUUGUAACAUCCCGGACCCAAAUUUUACCUAUUUACUAGGUAUUUCACGAGUUACUGGAGAAUUUAACCGCGCUCGGUAACUUAUAAGUUAACGCUUGAGUUUAUUUGCGAGUUUUUCUGGAAAUGUCAAAUUCUUCUUUUAAGGUCUCAAUGUCGUAGUUCGCGUCGACACGGGUUCUCCGGUAUUUUCGGUUUAUUUUCGGAGCUUUGGAGUAUUUUCUGAAAUUAGAACUGCUCAUUUAAUCCUAGUCGUAUGAUCGAGUCGGGUUUCGAUCUUGACCAUUGAUUUCAGUAUAAAGGAAAAAGAGCUGGGUUGACUUUGUCAAACCCAAUUGGGAGCGUUGACACGAGCUCCGGUCUCUCCCUUCACUCUCUUUCUUCUCCGUCGUUCCCCCGCGCCGGAGUGCUGCCGUCCAGCCACCUUUGGUGACGAGGCCACCACCAAUCUCUUCCUCUCCUUCUCUUCUAUCUAACCCGGUCCAUAGAACUCGAAGUUAGCUCGAUUCAAAGCCAAUCCGAGGGAGAGAAGCUCGGCUGUUUUCCGACGAAUCCUCGAGAUUCUGACCACGGCGUGACGAGUGGGAGGUAGGGUUAUCUUCCUCUCUUCCUACUUCACCUGUUGGUACCUUUCCUUUCCCCAAAUCGUGCCCUAAUUGAAAACCCCUUUUUCUGUGUUUUCCAGGUUUCGAGCUCCUAGCUCCGGCGACCGGCGCUCGGUGGUUUCUGGCGAGUUCUUCAGCGUUUUGGUAGGUCCUGCGAGCUUUGUGUGAAGUGGAGACAGACAGGGGUGGAGUUGUAUAUCGAUCGGGACCAAGGCAGAGGUCUGGUGCCCUUGACCGGAGAGGAUCCAAGGUGAAUGGUGUCGUUACAGUGAAGAAUGAGGCAGCGGUCGUGGACGUUUGGGGGUCCGACAUAUUGAGUCCAACCUGGAGAGUUCUUGGGAUAGCACUUGAGAUCGAUGGAAGGUAAUCUUGAUCUCCUUUGAUGUUAUAUAGUUGUUGUGUGGAUUUUCGGACUGAUUGGAUGCAUUUUUGGUUUGUGUUCAUGUCGAGAACUUAGAGUUCUAAAGAAUACGGAGAGGCUAUGGCGAAAUUCCGGCAAGUCACCGGAAUCCAACGAGUAUUUCUGGCAAUCGGGAUUCCAGCGAGGCAGCAAUUCCGGUAGAAUCCGUGAAGGUAGCUUGUCGACUUUUCUUUUCGUGUAAGUGGUAGUUUACGGUUUAGGAAAACCUGCCAUAUUUAGAAAGUCUCUUUUUAGGGAACUUUCCCUUUUAUGGAAACUUCCAUUCUUGGAAACCCUUUUGGGUGCCCUUAGUAAUUGUUUGUGUGAAGUUGGGUAGAAACGAAAUGUUGAAAUUGUUGGUGUUGGUUGGCUUGAGAUAGGGGACCAUAAAAUAAUUUUUGUUAAUAUGAUUACUAUCCAUAGUAACCCUAAAAUCUAGACCAUUGGCUUCGUGGUGAUUUUGGAAGUGAAUUGCUUAGUGUGUUAAAGGCAUGGAGAUAGUGUGUGACUUCCAUUUUAGGUUAAGGUUUGGUUUGAAACCGAAUAAAUUUUGGAUGCGAAGUUAGUAGUAGAAAAUGAUUCUUUUAUCUGUUGGUCAACCUAGGAAAUCCUAGUCAAACUAGGAAGUAGUCGAUCCGUUAAUGUUGAUGGAGUCCGGUCUGACCAAUUUAUUUUUCUGUUUAUCGUCAGACGUGAGAUUGGCUAGAGUGUGUAACUAGUUAGAGGCAGCACUCGAGGAGUAUUCCGAGCAUUGGAAGACUUAGACCUAAUACUGUGAGUGGACUUUUAUUUUAAAUAAUAUGCAUGCUAUAGUUUUGGUUGAGCAUUUAAAAUUGUUGGAGUUUUGACGUCAUUUAAUUUUGACGCUUUUGUUUCUCUUGGAGAGUUACCGAAAAAUGGGAUUUUUCGGUGAGUAUAAAUAUGUAUAUUGAGGAGAGUAUGUAUAUAAAAACUAGCUAGCCAUAUGUGUCUGUCCACCUUAAUGGCGUAGCAUAUAGCCGCAUUAUGGUGUGACGUGAGCAUUGGACGUGAGCGUAGUAGCCUUAUAUGAGUGUUUAAUUCAUAUAGGGGUAAUGGGCACAUAUUUAUACACCCGUCUGUCCACCUUAAUGGCGUAGUGUAGCACCGCAUUAAGGCGUGACGUGAGCGUUGGACGCGAGCGUAGUAGCCCUAUAUAGACCCAUGAAUUUAUAUAGGGAGUAUGGACGUGUGUAAAUACAUACAUAUAUUAUAGAGCCUGAGAGGCUCGACAUUUAUGAGAUAAAAGUUUUAUCGCUUGCAGCAUGCAUUCGAUUUUCCUUGGAAAUUGAUUUGGGGAAACAUAAGUAUUUUAUUCGUUAAUUUAUUUUUGUCCACUCACUCUUAGGUUUCGUUUUCAAAUGUUUUCCCCUGGGCUCUUCGUUUUAAAAAUGCCCAGUUUGCAAGAUUACAUAGUUGAGGUCGCACGUAUAUGGAGAAGAGGCAUAGUCAAUAGUGUAGCUUCCGCUCAUUUUUAUAUUUCUAGUUCAUUUCCUUUCAAAUAGAGUUGCUCUGAACUGUGGCUGUUGGCUAUGAGAUUUUCUUGUUUAAGUUAGAAAUUAAAUUGGGAGAUGUUGUGAUUUGGGGAGCACGAAUGCUUCAGGAGUUUGAGGUUGGAUUUGGAUUUUUUAGAAGUGUUUGCAUGUAUUUAUUAGGAAGGGUUGUCCAUUUUCAAGAGAGGUUAUGCCGAUUUUUCGGUAAACUUUCCUUCGAGGUGGUCCCCGCAAGACUUACUUCGGGUUUCAGGAUGAAAUUCGGGGUGGGUCUUGACACUUUUAGAAUCCUCUUCUUCAAGGGAUUCCUCAUUAUAAACUGAUUUAGUUCCAAAGGUACUAGCUUCUUCAUAAUUAGUGAAUGAAUGCUUAUGAAAUUACUAGCUUAUCUUUCCCCCCAUGUCUUCAUAAAUUGAAGCAUUGGAGCUUUCAAGCUGUCUGACAGGCGGGGUAAGAUUUCAUUCUCUUGGGAAUGUUAUUUCAUGCCAAUUUGUGACAUGUUUUUGCCUGAGAAUUAUUUUUUGGGUUGAUGAGAACAGAUGUAGUAAUCCCAGGACUGUUUAGAAACCUGGUAUUAGGAGUCACAUUUGAGCUUAUCAACUUAUAAUAGAUUCGAUAAUCUAUCGCUAGCUCCAUCAUUCCUUUUUUCAUAGAGAUCCCAUCUGUCUUGAUUCUCAGUCUUAGACAGUGAGCAGCAUCUCUAAGAUGUGUUGUGAAAUUUGGAAAUACAUUAAAAUAUGCAACUUGGUUGCACAAAGAAGCUUCUACUGUUCCCAACAGACUUUUCUUAAAAUCUAUUAUUCUAUCGUCUUGUAGGACACAUAGAACAGAACAGUCAAUAUCAUCUCUGGCUAAGAGCUUUAUUCCUACUUGCACUACACCUAUAUGCAUAUAGGAAUACUUUUUCUGGAAAGCUUCACUUACUUCCUUUGGAGUUAUCAACCUGAUAUCUAUUUCUCCACCUGUGGCUGGAACUGUUAAUUCAAGAAUCUUGAAUCUGUGAGAAUCCAUAACAAAAUAUCUUUUUUUAUAUAUCUCAUUGAACCUAAAUCUAGGAGCAGAUGCUUUUCGCACACUAGAUUCGAUUUCAUUAUACUCAAAUUCUUAAGCGUUUAUUAAUUGUACCGGAACUGUGUUCCUUUUACUGAGAAUUCUACUCAGCAUCUUCAUAUCUCUCUUGGUUGUAGAUUUUGAUGAUUUCCAUUCAAGUAGCUUUGGUUCACUAAACCUUAGCCUACUUUCUGGUAGGGGUGGAGAAUUAUGAUAAUUUUACUAGCUACAUUUUGAGCUAGUGAUUCUUCAUCUAUUUUUUCAUAGCCUUCUCCUUCCUUCAUCUUUUCUACAAUCUUUUGCAAACAAGAGAUUCUGUUAUGUAACUCUCGAAAUUGAAUUUCGAGGUCAAUACUUAUCUCUUGGAGAUAAGCGAUAUUAUAAUUCUGCUGAUGAAUUAUUGCUUCCACAUUUUCUGACAAUUUUUCUGUAGGACGAUCAAAGCUAAUAGUUUUUACAUCUUCCUGUCUUACUUUUAGAUCUACUCUUUGAUUCAUCCUAUUCUGGAGAUAAGAGUUUCUAAAAGCUUUUUCAGGUUUUCCUGAGUUUUUCUUAGUUCCACUGCUUGUUGAUAAAUGUUGUUUGCAAGAUUCUCAGUGCGAGCUAACUUUCUUUCAAUAUCUAUUAGAUAUUGUUUUUCUUUGAGGUAAUCUAGCUUGAUUUUUCUUUGAGGUAAUCUAGCUUGAUUUCAAGCCUAGCAAUUUUUGAAUUAAUUUCCUCAAGUUGAUUUAUCCGUAGAUUAAAUCUCUCGAGUUAAUCUGAUAUUUUAUCAGAUGUCUUAUGUCACAUCCCGACCCUUAUAUUUUUACCUUAUUUACUAGCCUGAUUAUAAUAAGAAUUUUACCGUCUCGAUCAUUGAGUAAAUAGUUUAAUUGGUCCCUAGAGGGGUUUCGGAGACGAUUAUGUGCGGAGGAUUAUUAGUAUGAGGAAAAUACGACGACGGUAAAAAUGGUAAAUUUUAGCUAGUAAAAGGUAAUUUUUAUUCGGGUAUUAUUUUUCGGGGUGUUUUUAUUUUUUUGAAGUGGGUUGAUANNNNNNNNNNNNNNNNNNNNNNNNNNNNNNNNNNNNNNNNNNNNNNNNNNNNNNNNNNNNNNNNNNNNNNNNNNNNNNNNNNNNNNNNNNNNNNNNNNNNNNNNNNNNNNNNNNNNNNNNNNNNNNNNNNNNNNNNNNNNNNNNNNNNNNNNNNNNNNNNNNNNNNNNNNNNNNNNNNNNNNNNNNNNNNNNNNNNNNNNNNNNNNNNNNNNNNNNNNNNNNNNNNNNNNNNNNNNNNNNNNNNNNNNNNNNNNNNNNNNNNNNNNNNNNNNNNNNNNNNNNNNNNNNNNNNNNNNNNNNNNNNNNNNNNNNNNNNNNNNNNNNNNNNNNNNNNNNNNNNNNNNNNNNNNNNNNNNNNNNNNNNNNNNNNNNNNNNNNNNNNNNNNNNNNNNNNNNNNNNNNNNNNNNNNNNNNNNNNNNNNNNNNNNNNNNNNNNNNNNNNNNNNNNNNNNNNNNNNNNNNNNNNNNNNNNNNNNNNNNNNNNNNNNNNNNNNNNNNNNNNNNNNNNNNNNNNNNNNNNNNNNNNNNNNNNNNNNNNNNNNNNNNNNNNNNNNNNNNNNNNNNNNNNNNNNNNNNNNNNNNNNNNNNNNNNNNNNNNNNNNNNNNNNNNNNNNNNNNNNNNNNNNNNNNNNNNNNNNNNNNNNNNNNNNNNNNNNNNNNNNNNNNNNNNNNNNNNNNNNNNNNNNNNNNNNNNNNNNNNNNNNNNNNNNNNNNNNNNNNNNNNNNNNNNNNNNNNNNNNNNNNNNNNNNNNNNNNNNNNNNNNNNNNNNNNNNNNNNNNNNNNNNNNNNNNNNNNNNNNNNNNNNNNNNNNNNNNNNNNNNNNNNNNNNNNNNNNNNNNNNNNNNNNNNNNNNNNNNNNNNNNNNNNNNNNNNNNNNNNNNNNNNNNNNNNNNNNNNNNNNNNNNNNNNNNNNNNNNNNNNNNNNNNNNNNNNNNNNNNNNNNNNNNNNNNNNNNNNNNNNNNNNNNNNNNNNNNNNNNNNNNNNNNNNNNNNNNNNNNNNNNNNNNNNNNNNNNNNNNNNNNNNNNNNNNNNNNNNNNNNNNNNNNNNNNNNNNNNNNNNNNNNNNNNNNNNNNNNNNNNNNNNNNNNNNNNNNNNNNNNNNNNNNNNNNNNNNNNNNNNNNNNNNNNNNNNNNNNNNNNNNNNNNNNNNNNNNNNNNNNNNNNNNNNNNNNNNNNNNNNNNNNNNNNNNNNNNNNNNNNNNNNNNNNNNNNNNNNNNNNNNNNNNNNNNNNNNNNNNNNNNNNNNNNNNNNNNNNNNNNNNNNNNNNNNNNNNNNNNNNNNNNNNNNNNNNNNNNNNNNNNNNNNNNNNNNNNNNNNNNNNNNNNNNNNNNNNNNCCAGUCUGCAGAGUUCGGGUUGGAUCUAGUAGGAGACGAGGCAUAGUCACCCGCUUUUCGGCCAGUUUUCAUCAGUAGGUUACCUGUUCAACCUACUUGUGUUUUCUUGCUUCCGCUUGUGUUUAGUAGCUCUGAAUACUUUAGAAUUUUGUAUAUUAUGUGAUGUUCAGAAGUGUAAUAUGAAAUUUUCGAGUUAGGGUUGUCCAUCUACAAGGGAGAUUUUCUUAAUCUUUUCAGUAAAUUUUCCUUGGAGGUGGUCCCCGCACGACUUAUUCUGGGUUUCAGGGUGAAAUUCGGGGUGGGUCGUGUCAUCUUAUCCCUAGAUAAACGAUCUAGGAACUCGAUUAAGCUUGGUCUUGUUGGAUCAAGCUCUUCUACUCCAAUUUCUCUUUGGAAAUGAAUAUGUUCGUCGUAGAGCGUAUUUAAUACUCUACAAACGUAUUCAAUGGAGUACUGAUUUUCUUGAAUGUGCCUUGAAUGAAAACACACUUCCCACUUGUCAGUUCCUUUUGUAGUACAAAAGGACUGAUAAUUUUUAAGUUUGGAUUCUCUCUUAUUCGUCAAGAGAAGCCAACUCUGUGGCAUAAGCCUUUUUCCUUUUCCUGCUUUUGAGCCAAGCAGGCUCUUAUACCAGCUAUGGCGGAUCUAACCGAUACUCAAAAUAUCAAGAGAUUUUUUAUCUUCUUCAAAUGUUUCUUGAAGAACUUCAAUUUCUUCUCUUGACUCGUAUAUUCUUCGUUGUAAUUGGAAAAUAAUAUCCCAGUAAUUUUUUGUAUUUCUUGGAAGCUUGUCUCUUUUUUCUUUUAGUUUUCUAAUUUUUCUUCUUUCUUCUUGCAAUUCUUUAAAGGAUAAUUUAGCUUCUGCUAAAAAUUCUAGUCGAGUAGCAAUAGAUUCUCCUAUUGAUGAUAAAAAAUUUAACUGUUUACCUUUGAGUAGAAUGAUAGAUUUUAUAUUUGUAGAAUGCUAAAUAUAAACAAAUUCAAAAUUCAAGGCCCACCAUGCUCCGUGCACUUUUCUUUUAAACAGGAAAAUUAAAAAGAACAAAGACAAACAGAAUAUUCCUUUUCUGACGGAAUAUUCUAUUAGAAAUAUUGGAAAGGACUAACUAGAUUAACAAUUGUAAGUUCAAGGACUAAACAGAUUAAAAUGAAAGUUCAAGGACUAAAGGGAUGAAGCACCUAAACUAUAGGGACUUUACAGAAUUUUACCUUUUUAAAAAUAUAUGAGCUUAAUCGCCAACGGCUCAUAGGUAAGAUAAAACAAGUUUUCCUUAUAUGUUAUUUUUGAGAUUCAUAUGAUCAUAAUUUUAUUGAUUAUUGAUAGAUUAUUCUUGUGGAAUAUCUAUAUUUUGUUCAUGUAAAUAUAUCUAUGUGGAAGGAUAUAAUUUAUGAUGUGAUAUUGUGUUGUUGAGGAUAAUGAUGUGAUAUUGUGUUGUUGAGGAUAAUGUUGUGAUAUUGUAAUUGUUGGAUAAAUAGCGAAACCGGGUUCCAAAUCUUUAAUUGGGUGAUUGGUUGCGGUUAAGAUGCUAUUUAUCAUUCUUGUGUUUGAUAUUAGACAGUCAAACCGGGUUCCAAGCCUUUGGCCGGGUGAUUGGUUGCGGUUAGGAAUAGAGCUCUAGUCCGUCUGUCAGUGUAGGUCAUGGGAGAUACUGUAUGGUAUCUGGGACCCAUGGAUACACAUUUUGUUGUUGUAGGUUAUGAGGGGUAGUUAUUAAUAUCUGGGACUCAUGGGUACAUGUUAAUUGAAAAGUGUUGGAUUUGUAGAUUUAAUUAUUGAUAUAAAUUGCUCUUGUGAUAUAAUUGGUAAUUUGAGGUUUUUGUGUUAUUUUGAGAAUUACUUAUACGGGCUUUUUAGCUUACCGGGUUUGUUGUUUACAACCCGAUGCACCAAUUAUUUGGUGUAAGGGUUAGUACUACGAGGUGAGAUNNGNGGUGNGNGNGNUGUGNGUUAGGUUUUUUUUUUUUUGUUGGGUUUUGUUGUACAUUGUAUAUUUUUAUAUUUGAGGUAGACAACAUUAAACUUAUGUGAGCGUUUUCAUUUUCUUGACUUUCAAGUUUAUAUAAACAAGGAAAUGUAAUAUUUAACUCAGUGUUGAGUUGUGUAACAUUUACAUUCCGCAUUGAGUUUAGUUUUCCUUGAAAUUUGUUUGAAACAGGUUUUGGGAUUAUAUUAUUUUAAGUUAUAUCAUGCCAAAAUUUUUGAAAAUUAUCCUUCAAAAAUUGGGGCGUGACAGGAUUGAGAACAAUCUAAAACCACCAUGUCAUUCUUAUGUCAACUUUACUUCAUCUAAUGGUUAUAAGACAUCCAAGCAAAUCUAAGCAGAGAAUUCGGAUCCCUUGUUCUCGGGGUUAACUUGUGCUUUGUAACAUGGUAGUCCUUUACCUAAGGAAGUAAGGAAUUCUAGCUUAUCUAAAAUAAAUCCAUAUUGUACUACUGCAUAGGAAAAGAACAAUGCAUCAUUCGAAGGUGAACAUAUAUUUUCAUGCAUGUGAUGACCCAUUUGUUAACUAAAAACAUGAAGCUCAUUGAUAUCUAGUCAGUAAUGCACCUGGGUAGACUUGGAAAGGUUUCUUGAUUGCUCUGCAUCUCUGCAUCUACACUCAUCACUGUAGUCUAUUGUAGCACCCAAUUUGGUUACACACACACACACCAGUUCUGAUUCUUUUUUAUGAUAUAUGAUUUAGCUACUGUAAGUUCUGUAACUUUCUAGCUGUGGUUGUUCUCGAAGUAAUUGUGUAUAUAAUUAACUGGAUGUACAAUAUGUUACAGAAUCACCCCCAUUUUGUUACUCAAAAGUACUAAUCAGUUCAACUCGCAAACCAGUAGUUGUUUUCUAAUUCUAGUUGCUAUUUAAAAAAGGAGAAUUUUAAAUACACACCCCUAAUAUCUUAAUACACACCCCUUUACUUAAUACAUUACCUAUCAAGUUUUUNNNNNNNNNNNNNNNNNNNNNNNNNNNNNNNNNNNNNNNNNNNNNNNNNNNNNNNNNNNNNNNNNNNNNNNNNNNNNNNNNNNNNNNNNNNNNNNNNNNNNNNNNNNNNNNNNNNNNNNNNNNNNNNNNNNNNNNNNNNNNNNNNNNNNNNNNNNNNNNNNNNNNNNNNNNNNNNNNNNNNNNNNNNNNNNNNNNNNNNNNNNNNNNNNNNNNNNNNNNNNNNNNNNNNNNNNNNNNNNNNNNNNNNNNNNNNNNNNNNNNNNNNNNNNNNNNNNNNNNNNNNNNNNNNNNNNNNNNNNNNNNNNNNNNNNNNNNNNNNNNNNNNNNNNNNNNNNNNNNNNNNNNNNNNNNNNNNNNNNNNNNNNNNNNNNNNNNNNNNNNNNNNNNNNNNNNNNNNNNNNNNNNNNNNNNNNNNNNNNNNNNNNNNNNNNNNNNNNNNNNNNNNNNNNNNNNNNNNNNNNNNNNNNNNNNNNNNNNNNNNNNNNNNNNNNNNNNNNNNNNNNNNNNNNNNNNNNNNNNNNNNNNNNNNNNNNNNNNNNNNNNNNNNNNNNNNNNNNNNNNNNNNNNNNNNNNNNNNNNNNNNNNNNNNNNNNNNNNNNNNNNNNNNNNNNNNNNNNNNNNNNNNNNNNNNNNNNNNNNNNNNNNNNNNNNNNNNNNNNNNNNNNNNNNNNNNNUACAAAAAAAAAAAAAAGACAACCAAAAUGAAUUGUGGAGAAGAAUUAGGGUUAGAGGAGAAGACAUGUUUUCGAAAAUUUUAGGGUAGAAGACGUUGAAAAGAAUACUUCUAGCGUGUAUUUUUUUUUUUAAUUAAUAGAUGUAUGUUUUGGUCAUUUAGCUUACCUAUAAAAUCUCAACAGAAACAUAAAAUAGUAAGGGUGUGUAUUAAGAGAUUAGGGGUGUGUAUUUAAAUUUCUCUUAAAAAGUUAGGAGUACAAAUUAAAAUAGAAGUAGAACAAAGUAAAACGACACAUGGUAAGUCUUCAAGGAACUUGAGAUUCUUGCCAAACUAGGCAUUCAUUCUUUUUCAAUUUGAAGUAGAGGCAAAGGGAUAAGGAGGCAUGCUUAGACUGUCACCUUCUCUCUCCAACAUUUGAACAACAUUGCUCAUGGAUGGGCGAUCUAUUGGAUGCCAUUGAAUGCACCAUAGACCGAUGAUUGCUAGUUUUCUAGCUAAUUUAACAUCUUCGUCCUCGAUAUGGAUUCGUAGAUCACUCCCUUGUUCUAAAAGGUUAUAAAUCCAUUCUGGGAAGUAGAUAUGGCUGGUGGAGUCCUCCAUAACUUUAAAAUUUUUCUUUCCCCCAACCAUUUCAAGCAACAAGAUUCCAAAACUAUAUACAUCUGACUUGUAAGAUACGUUUCCAAAGUUCCUAGAGAACACUUCUGGUGCAAUGUAGCCCAUGGUCCCCCUAGCUGUAGUCAUGGAUAUUGCACUCUGAUCCUUAGAGCACAACUUGGCUAGACCAAAAUCAGAAACUUUUGGAGUGAAAUCAUGGUCUAGCAAAAUGUUAUUAGGUUUGAUAUCAAAAUGCAGAAUUCUCUGGUCACACCCUUGAUGAAGAUAUUCGAUUCCUUUAGCUAUACCUAAAGCAAUAUCUUGCAGCUUUUCCCAACCAAGAAAUGAGUUCUUAUCAUCUGCAGAUGACAAGUAAUUCUGCAAUGAGCCAUUUGGUAAAUACUCAUAUAUAAGAGCUCGUAUGAAUCCAUCAGCGCAAAAGCCAACCAAGCGAACCACAUUAACAUGGUGGAUGAGACCCAUUGUUCCCACCUCAUUAAUGAAAUCUUCCCCCUUCUCGUUUGAAUUGUCGAGGAUUUUCACAGCAACAAGUAAUUCAGAGGAAAGCUUUCCUUUGUACACGGUUCCAUAAGCUCCCUGACCCAACUUGUCCUCAAAUUGAUUUGUUAUCCGCCUAAUAUCACCAUAGGCAUAUCUACUGGGUUUGAGAGCUCUGUAAUCACCCAAAAACUUUUCAAUUCUCAGUUGAUUUUCUUCUUCUGUCUUCUUAGAACUAUACACAUAAUAUAUUACAGUAGCCACUAGCCACUCCUAUGAGAACAGUAGCAAGUGCACAAAUGCCUGCAGAUAUAUAUGACAUCCUGAAUUAAGAUUGACAUGCAUUUUCUACAGAACAUUUGAAUUAAUACGAAAAGACUCCAUUUCUGAAAAAUAAAUAACUAAAGCUUCCAAAAACUUACCUAAUAUCUCCAAGAUUCGUUUUCCACGAUUAGGACCUGUAAAAUCAAUGGAAACCAGAGUAUUGAUUAAUAUACAAUCUCAAAGUAAUUGCUUGUGUACGAGUAUACAGGCCUACAGGGUAGCUAGCUAGUUAGGAGUGAAGACACAUGAUUUACGUACCUUUAGGCACCUCUAAACAUUGAGUUUCUUCAGUUUUCUGAUCAUCUGCAACUUGAUUCAGAAAUCCACAUUUCUUGCCCAUCUCUUCGCAACGUUUACAUGAUGGUCUGGUCCAUUUGAGCUUCACAGGCUGCAUCCAGACAGAUGGUACUGACAUGUAAUCUUCCACCUUGGUACACGACACCAGUUGGGGCAUGUACAUAAGCUCUGCACAUCCAUCCUCAAGAGCAUACAUCUUGUUGCUGUGAUUGCCAAGGCAAGGGCUCAGUUUUGCCAGUGGACAAAAGGAUGGAGACUGAUCUCUUUCAUCUGACGGUGGACAACUGAAUAUGGUAUAGUUAGUUUUCUCUUGGGCGUCUGAGAAUUCGAAUGGAGAGGAACUGAGCUUGAAAAUCUGUCUAGGAAUACAGAUAUAUUGGAAAUCAUUCAUAUAAUCGUAGUGACUAUCAUAAAGAUAUAUUUCAAUUUCCUGAGCAGUGUAGUUAAUCCUUUUAACCAAGAACUUGUCAGCUGAUGAUGAGUUGAUCUGGAGCACGGUCUGCUUGUCCGUGGUGCAUGACAGAUCAAAGCCCGGGUAGCCGCAAUGGAGUGGUUGAAUUCCUUUCAGCCGAAAUGGGAAUCGGAUCACAGGGCCAUGCCGUUUACAUCGAACCUCUGUGCAAUUUUCAGGGCCAACUGAUUCUCCAUGCACAAUAAUAUCUACAUCUAGUACUGCACCUAUGAGAAACCAACAACAUAACAAAUUCAGAAGCAUUUUCUGCAUUUCUAAUACUAAAAUUAGCUGAACUGGAUAUGCACAGCGGCUUGGUUUCCUCUUAGUUUGAUUGUGUGUGUAUACACACACAUGUUUCUCUUACAUAUAAACCAGACUACAUGGAUGGCGUAGCUUGACUUGUCUAGUCAACACAGCUCACUCAAGAACUUCUUUCGUUCAUAUAUUUACUUGAUGAAGGCGAUAGGGCCGCAUCUGAGAUGAACAAGUCACAAUGUCACACCAUCUCUCUGCUGUGAAGAUGGUUAACGCUUAAUUUGACUAGUCUGCCUGUUCAACAAAAUAAUAAUAAAAUAAAAUAAAAUUUGACUAGUCUGCAAUUUGACUAGUCUCCAUUACUUGAUUGAUAAGGUUCCAGUAUAUAUAACGGUGACAAUUUGGUCCAUGUUUGCGUCGUGUUUGAUGACUUGGCUUGUUUUAAGACUUAUUUGAGACAUGAGACUUGCAAAGUCCUCACGUAUGACUUGUAUAGAGCCACAUAACAUAAACAAUCUCCCAAGUGAUUGGGAUCCAGAUUUGCCAACCAGUCUCUCUCUCUUUCUCCCCCUCUCUCUUCUCUCUCUUCUCUCUCUCCCUUUUGAUUGGAUGAUCAUGGAGACCAGCAAAGGUUGCUGGUUGGCAAAUCUGGAUCCAAGUGAUUGGCUUGACGGUGGAUUGAAGAAAGCUGAUAGAGCUUGGACAAUUUAAAGGGCUCCAAACUAAAUAGACAUUUCUAUUUACCCUUAUCAUCUCUGUUUCAUUACGCCUUCUUCCUGCUCACCAUGUCUAGAAGAAGUCUCCUUUUUGCUUCUUACACCAUCCUCCUCCUCCUUCCUUUUACGGUUAUUUCACAAACGUCGGAUACCGGAAAUCCUUUAGAUAUCUGUACCUCUUCUUGUGGAGGUAUUUACAUAAGCUAUCCAUUUCGACUGAAAGGAGACCCUCAAAACUGUGGAAACGAAAAGUUUGAGCUGUCUUGCGAGGCAAAUAGUACUACUGCAGUACUAUACUUGGAAUCAGAAAAGUAUUACGUGAAGUCGAUCCAUUACAAUAACUUCACAAUCCGAAUCGUGGAUUCCGGUGUUCAGAAGAAGCGGAACUACUGCUCCACCGGACUACACUCUAUGACCACCUUCAACUCUAGUUAUCCAUAUAGCUUCUCUUCCUGGUACACUCCUUACAUGGAACAAGUGCCAAUAAUACUUGUGACCUGCGCAACUCCGGUGAAUUCCACUCUCUUUAUUGAAACAGCUUCAUGCCUCAACAGCACCACCACCGAUUCUUCCAAAUACAAUUAUUUCAUGGUUGGCUCUGUAACUUCAUUUGAUUUGAAGAGUUCUUGCGAAGUAACACAAAUGCUUUUAGCAUCCCCUUCAAUCAACAACAGCUACAUGAUGUCAUGUGAAAGCAUAUGUAAUGAAAUAGUGAAUGGUUUUGAACUCUCAUGGUUUACAUAUGGAUGUCAAAAAUGCAAAUCUGAUGAGGUGUGCGACACGUCGUACGACUCUGACAUCCCACCGGAGCUCAAGACUAUCAAGUGCAGUAGGCCAUCCUCAGGUACAUUGAUCUGGAUAUUAUCUCUUUGGUUUCCAUUUCCAGGGGAAAAUGUCAUACAUAUGUUUCAUCUAAUUUCAUUAUUCGACUUCCAUAUGCUAAUCCCAAUCGGUUUAUUCAUCAAUUUAGGAGAACGCUGGUAUGACCCGAUAAAGAAUAAGUUUUCAGGCAAGUGCUGUUUUACUCUGUUUUCUUUACAUUCACAAGUGGUCUUUGAGAAGUUCUACCAUACAUCAAGGUAGUGAUACAUUAAUGUCGUGAUACAUCAAGUAAACUUAGUUUGGUACAAACAUAGACUAAUUGAAUUAGUUUACUUGAUGUAUCGGUAGAUUGAUAAACUGUACAAGAACCUGUAAUCUUUCCCCUCGAUUAAUCAUCUUAGAGUUAAAAAUCCAAUUAAGGUUUUCUAGGUCCUUGCCUUUAACCAGUUGUAUGAUCCAUUUUCCUCAAUUGCAGGGAAACUUCUCAUAUAUAACUCUAAAUUUCAUGUUCAGCUCCUUCUAAAUGCACCCGUUUAUUACGGUAAGAAAUGGAUCUCCAAAUCUUAUUCAGAUUAAACAUUUACAGUGCCAUUCAAUAAAUGUUUUGUGCUUGCCUACAAUGUCUUUUUAAAUUUUAAUGAUUCCAUCUCUGGGAACAACAGCAAUACUACAAGCAGCUAAACUUGUAAUUGGCAUUCCUUGUUUAACUGCAUUACUGAUAUACAAGUGGAGGAGAAGACAUUUGUCGAUGUACGACGAUAUAGAAGACUUCCUGCGGACUAAUAAUAAUCUCAUGCCAGUGAGAUACUCUUACUCAGACAUCAAGAAGAUGACAAGGGAUUUCAAGGAAAAAUUGGGUCAAGGAGGCUAUGGGACGGUAUACAAGGCAACCCUUCGUAGUGGUCGGCUUGUAGCCAUUAAGAUGUUGGGCAAGUCCCAAGCUAACGGGCAAGACUUUAUCAAUGAAGUUGCGACCAUUGGAAGGAUUCACCAUGUUAAUGUUGUGCAACUAAUUGGAUUUUGUGUUGAGGGAUCCACGCGUGCUCUUGUAUAUGAUUUCAUGCCUAAUGGGUCUCUUGACAAGUACAUUUUUCUUCCACAAGGAGUGAGCACCUUAAGUUUCAAGAAAAUUUUUGAAAUUGCGCUUCGAGUUGCUCGUGGUAUCGACUAUCUGCAUCGAGGGUGUGAUAUGCAAAUUUUGCACUUUGACAUCAAGCCUCAUAACAUCCUCCUGGACGAGAAUUUCACUCCAAAGGUUUCCGAUUUUGGGUUAGCAAGGCUAUACCCAUUGGAUAAUAGCAUCGUGUCUCUGACUGCUGUAAGAGGCACGAUAGGAUACAUAGCUCCUGAGCUAUUCUAUAAGAACAUUGGAGGUGUUUCCUACAAGGCUGAUGUAUAUAGUUUUGGAAUGCUAUUGAUGGAAAUGGCUGGGAGAAGGAAGAACUUGAAUGCAGGGAUAGAAUAUUCAAGCCAAUUUAGUGAAAAUUACUUUCCUUCAUGGGUAUCUAACCAACUGAAUGAAGGAAAAGACAUUGAGAUAGAAGAUGCCACUGAGGAUGAAAUGAAAAUCAUAAAGAAGAUGAUUGUAGUAGCAAUGUGGUGCAUACAAAUGAAGCCCAGUGAACGCCCUUCAAUGACAAAAGUAGUCGAGAUGCUUGAAGGAGAACUAGAGAGCCUCCAAAUACCCCCAAAGCCUUUCUUAUAUCCGCAAGAAUUCCCGGCAGUGGAUAGUGGAGACACUUCAACUACAACAGGUGGAUCAACAAUGACACAGAAUCUACAGAGAUCAACUAAUUGAUCUCUUCUGAAAAUGCAAGUUAGUCAAGUGAUUUAAUAUUAGAUAUGAUGUGCUAGGCUUAUGGAGACUAGGUCUAGUUCGGGAUUGCUUAGCUCAGACCAUUAGCAGCUAAGCUGUAGUUUUAUUCAAUUGGUUAGCAGCUAAGGUGUACAAGUUUUAUUCAAUUGGUUAGCAGCUGUAGCUUUUAGCUUAUGAAUACUUCUUUUUGCCAACUUUUAUCAGCAACAACUUGGUGUAAAUUUUGAAGCAAGAUGUUUCUUUAACUGUGUUUUUUUUUUGGCUCAAAAGGAGGAUUAAGAGAGAGGCAAGAAACCUCCUUACCUCCCCAUGUUAUUAAAGAAAAAAAAGAUGCAAAGGGAUGAAACCAAAACCUCCAUAGUAAAAUAUAUCAGACAAUAAAGAAAACUAACAAACCAAAACAAAAUUGAGAAACACCCAGACAAUCACUACUGUAAGGCGAAACAAUGAAAGGAGGAUUCACAUCUCACCAAAUUAAACCUGUUACCUAAAGUUUUAAUAAAUUUCACCCAUGUUUUACUAGUUAUAAGUUACGCAGUUCUUUCGCUUUCAAAACUACUUCAAACCAGACCUGUUUAGUUGGUCUACAAUUUGAAUAGUCUAGAAUCUAUGAUUGAACUAGUCUGCAUUUUGACUAUUCAGCAAAUUUUCGAUUGAGAAGGUUAGAGCAUUACACUGACCUUUUCAUGCAUGUUUGUCUCAUAUCAUGCACUACGAUUAUGCUCGUUGGGUCUACCCACCUUAAUAAUUUAUUGGAUGGAGACUUCUAUUCGAGGCAAGACUUCUUCCGUUUACUGGUAUUUCACAGACGUCCAUAUGCAACACUGGAGCAUCCUCAGCAUUGACCAAAUAAUACCAAAAAGGUCUUGGUUUGAUCGUCUUUUUGGUUGACUACGGAAAGAGGAUUAACUUGUGGACUUCGGAGUUCCAAUUACUUAACCAUCACUAUUCAUCUCUAUCUCUCUGUAGCUUGCCUCCUUGUUCACCAUGUCUAGGGGAAGUCUCCUGUUUGCUUCUUGCACCAUCAUCCUUUCUCUUCUUCUUCCAUCUACUGUUAUUUCAGAAACGUCCCAUACCGAUACUUUAGAUAUCUGUACCUCUUCUUGUGGAGAUAUUUACAUAAGCUACCCAUUUCGACUGAAAGGAGACCAUCAAAGCUGUGGAGACAAAAGGUUUGAGCUAUCUUGUGAGGUAAAUAGUACUACUGCAGCACUAUACUUGGAAUCCGGAAAAUAUUAUGUGAAGUCAAUCCAUUACAAUAACUUCACAAUCCGAGUUGUGGAAUCUGGCGUUCAGAAGAAGAAGGACUACUGCUCCACCCCACUACACUCUAUAACCAAGUACAACUCUGCUUAUCCAUACACCUUCCCUUCUUAUGAAAUUCCUUACCUGGAAGAACAUGUGCCUAUGAUACUUGUGACCUGCGCAACUCCAAUGAAUUCCACUCUCUUUAUUGAAACAGUUUCAUGCCUCAACAUCACCACCACCUAUUCUUCCAAAUAUUCUUAUUUCAUGGUUGGCUUCGUAACUUCUUUUGAUUUGGGGAGGUCCUGCAAAAUAUCACAAAUGCUUUUGGCAUCACCUUCAACCAACAGCAACAUGGUGUCAUGUGAAGGCAUAUGUGAUGAAAUAGUGAAUGGUUUUGAGCUCUCAUGGUUUACUUAUGGAUGUGGAAAAUGCAAAACUGGUGAGAUGUGUGAAUUACCGUUUUACAACAUCAACAACAGAUUCAACCUCAACACCAUUGAAUGCAAUCUGCGGCCCUGGAUCUUCGGGAAAAGUAUGCAACUUCUGGAUCUUUUAAUUUCCUUAAUUCUUUUCCAUGUUUUAAAGCAAAAUGGCAUACAUACUUGAGGAAUAUAAAAUUGUUAGAACUAGAAAAAUGAAAUGGCAAUGCUAUUCUUUUGAUUACUCCAUCCUCUUGCAUGUACUAAAUUUUUUUCGUCCGUUACUCUAUUUAGAAUUAUGGUGGAUGCCAAUACAAACAACAUUAUCAAGUAAGCUUUUUUCUCUGCCUUUUUAUACAUAUCCUGUAGUUAAGUUUCUGUGCGUCCUUGGCUAUAUCAUUGAUACCAUAUAAUCUUCCAUUGCAGGAAUAUAUUUAAUUCAUAGGUAUAGACCUGGAUACCUUGCUCUGUUCCUUCUCAAUGGUGCCGUUUACCUUGGUAAGAGAUGGAUUUCAAAUUCCUUUUAUACAAUUUAUACAAAUUAAAAAGCAUUCAGAUGGUCUAUGCUGUAUACGUAGUAUUGUAGAAUAUUUGUAAUCAUUGUCAUUUACGUGUUUCAUUUUUGUGAACCACAGCAAUGUACCAAGCAGCUAAACUUAUCUUUGGCCUUCCCUGUAUAACUGCAUUACUAAGACACAAAUGGCGAAGAAGACACAUGUCAAUGUACGACCAAAUCGAAGACUUCCUGCAGAGCAAUAAUAAUCUCAUGCCUGUGAGAUACUCUUACUCAGACAUCAAGAAGAAGGCAGGGGGUUUCAAGGAAAAGUUAGGUGAAGAAGGCUAUGGGACAGUAUACAAGGCAAAGCUUCGUAGUGGUCGUCUUGUAGCAAUCAAGAUGCUGGGAAAGUCCAAGGCUAAUGGACAAGAAUUUAUCAAUGAAGUAGCCACCAUUGGAAGGAUUCACCAUGUUAAUGUGGUUCAGCUGAUUGGGUUUUGUGUCGAUGGAACAAGGCGUGCUCUUGUGUAUGAUUUCAUGCCUAAUGGGUCUCUAGAGAAACACAUUUUUCUACAACAAGGGGUAAUUCUCUUAAGCUUCAACAAAAUUUUUGAAAUUGCACUUGGAGUGGCUCGUGGUAUUGAAUAUCUGCAUCGAGGAUGCAAUAUGCAAAUUUUGCACUUUGACAUCAAGCCUCAUAACAUUCUUCUGGACGAGAAUUUCAUUCCCAAGGUUUCUGAUUUUGGGUUAGCAAGGCUAUACCCAUUGAAUAAUAGCAUCGUGUCUCUGACUGCUGUAAGAGGCACGAUAGGAUACAUAGCUCCUGAGCUAUUCUAUAAGAACAUUGGAGGUGUUCCCUACAAGGCUGAUGUAUAUAGUUUUGGAAUGUUAUUGAUGGAAAUGGCCGGGAGACGGAAGAAUUUGAAUGCAACCAUAGAGCAUUCAAGCCAGUUUAGCCAAAUAUACUUUCCUACAUGGGUAGCUGAUCAGUUGAAUGAAGGGAAGGACAUACAAAUAGGAGAUGCCACUGAGGAUGAAAAGAAAACGAUAAAGAAGAUGAUCGUAGUAGCACUGUGGUGCAUACAGAUGAAGCCUAGUGAGCGCCCUUCAAUGAGUAAAGUAGUCGAGAUGCUUGAAGGAGAACUUGAGACCUCCAAAUACCCCCAAAGCCUUUCUUAUAUCCACAACAAAUGCCAGUAGAGGAUAUUGGAGACACUUCUUCUACUACCGAUGGAUCGACAAUGAUGGAAGUGUCAACAGAGAUCAACUGAUUGAUUGCAUAUGAAAAUGCCAGUUAAGUGAUUUAGUAUUAUAAAUGAUAUGAAUUUGUAAUGGAGAACUAAUAUUCCUAUUCAAUAACGGUGAUUGAAUAUCAUAUCAUGAAAGCAUCGAACCAUAAGACAAUUUCAACAAAUGUUCAAAAUUCCAAACGACUCAUGAUCAAGCAACUAAAUUCAAAUUUCAUCCGGUCACCAUUUACACUAACCUGAUUGCACGCCGGGAAUGCAUACUAGGGUUCUCGUGCAACAAAAAAAACGUAGAAAUAAAAAAAAAUCGAGUUUCUGAAGGAAAACUGACCCAGAUGCUGCCGCGCUGCAAAACAGAGUCAAUUGAUACAAAUAUAUACAGGUCCUACAGAUUGAAUCGAGUUUCAAUCAGAAGCAGCUCGAAUUGAUAUUCACAAUCCCUAAAGCCCCAAUUCUGAAACUGAAGGAGGGAUGACCGUUGUAGCUUACGAUUAGUUUUGGCCUUUUGGGGUUGUUCUAGGCGUAGUAUGCACAAUCGGCCUAGAACGAAAACGGCCCAAGUUUGGUCUGUGAACUAAAAUGUAUUUACUGCGAAGUUUUGGAAAUAAAAAUCCUAAUUUUGCAAAUAAGUCUAAAUUUUUAAAGGGUCAAUUACAUAUAACUCCAUUUUAAAACAUUUUUUUUUAUAUAAGUCCAUCAAAACAUUUUAUCCACAUAAGUCCACCCAAGCUUAAAUAGAGUUUUUUUCAUUUUCUCCUCAAAAAAAAAAAACUUAAAUAGAGUUUUAUAUUAUGUAUUAAAUUUCAAUAAAAUUACAUACUAUCAACUAAUCAGAAAAUUAGAUGAUCUCUUAUAUUUAUAAUGUUACUACUUACUAGUGUAAAAAAUCAACAACCACUCUCCUUACUAGAAAAGUUUUCGGCCGACCUCCGACGAGAUUUUCGGCCGAUCUCCGAUAAAUUUUCCAGGCGGACUCCGAUGAAUUUUUCAGCCAACCUCUGGUGAGAAUUCCGACGACCAUAAAAGCUACUACAUCUGACAACUAAAGUCUAAAGAUACUACCGUCAGCAAUAAAAACUAUUACCACCAGCAAAAAAAGCUACUAUCAUUGACAACAAAAGAUACUACUGUCAACAAAAAAAAGCUACUACUACUAACAGUAAAAGAUAAUACCGCUAGCAACAAAAGCUACUAGCCUACUACCACUGACAAUAGAAGAUACUACUGCCAGUAAUACAAUAUAGUAUCACUGACAACAAAAAAUACUACCGCAAACAACGAAAGCUGUUACUGUCACCAACAAAAACUACUACCGUCAAGAAAAAUAAUAGCUAAUGUUACCGACAAAAAAAUCUACUACCAAGCAGAUCAAAAACUACUAACAAUUAAAACAAAAUCUACUACUAGAGGUUGAGAAAGAUACUAACAUAGAAAUUGAAAAAUACUAUGAUCAUGUAUACAAAAUACUAUCAUUGUGUUGGAAAGAUACUGAUAAUACACACAUUAAAAAAUACUAUCACUUUAAUAAAAAUAUACUAACAUCAUUCAAUGUCUAUACAACGAAAGCUAUGCAGAGGUGCAGUAGUACUAGCUCUCAGACCAACUCCUCCUUCUUCAUUGACUAAAGCCAUGGGAAGCCUCUCUGUACUAGUUCAAUAACGUCGGAGAGAGACGACUCCAAAUCGGAGAUCGACGUCGGAGAGGAAAUCGGAAUCGAAGAUCGACGUUCAUAGAGAGACGACUCUAAAUCGGACUUGACGACGCCGGAGGUCGAAGACUAAGAGAUAUGGUCGGAGAAGCACGAAAUCAAGAAAUUGAAAGCUAAUUUCAUAUCUAACUGUCGCAUUCUCUCUGGCAAAGACAUCGUCGUCGAGGUGUUGUAGUCCUUGAGGCGGCAUCGUCGUCGAAGGAAUCAGAGAUACAGUCGUCGUAGAGGUGUCAUCGUCGACUGGAACACAAAAUCGUCAACGGAAUCAGAGAUGCGGUCGUCGUCAACAGAAUUAGAGAUAAGCCGGAAGUUGAGAGAGAGAGAGAGAGAGAGAGAGAGAGAGAGAGAGAGAGAGAGAGAGAGAGAGAGAGAGAGANNNNNNNNNNNNNNNNNNNNACUGGAAAUUGACUCCCUCAUAAAGCCUGAAUUGUAUUACCUAGUUAGGAGUGAUAUUCCAUUUUCAUUCCCACCGCAAAAAAAAAUUACAAAAAUUAGACAACUAAAAAGUUUAAAUUUCCUUAAAUAGAUCACAUACGUAAUUAGUAAAAGGGUGUUAUUGGAAAUUAUAGAUUUAAAGUUCAUUAUUAUGACUUAUUAAAUAUGGUGUAAUUGGAAUAGAAAUAAAUUACUAAUUCAAUUACAAUAACAAUCAAACACCUAUAAAUAGCAAAACUUUUUCCUUUCCAUAUCAAUCAGGAAAGGAAAAUAAAUCAAUUUACAUAUCCUGACAUUCCUGCUAACCAAACGAGGCCAUAGAGUUUAUAGGAGAGACUCCUAACCAUGGUCUCUAUAAACAUCUCAAAUUUUAAGGGUGUGUCUAUUGCCACCCCACAAACCACUUUGUUUACCAUGCAUUCUCUCCACACCCCACUUAUAUAUUUUUAAUUGUAAGUCUACUUUGGUCACUCAUUUACAAUACCUGAACUACCAUUUUCUCAUAUUUGCUUUGUUCACCCUAAAUUCUUUUUUCACCCACAUAUAUUUUUUUCAAUUUCAUAUUUGCUUUGUUCACCCUACAUUCGAUCUCUUUUCACCCAGCAUAUAUAUUUUUUAAUUUUAAAUUUACUUUAUUCACCGAUUUGCAAUACACACAGUAUCAGUCUCUUUCAAUAGCCAUUAAACUCCAAAAACAAAACAAAAUUGAAGAAAACAUAAGAAUAUCAUUUGAGUAAGUGGAAUCGCAAACUGAACAAUAAAAAUCACAUUAAAGUAUAAAUCUUAAUUAAAGAACAAGAAAAAACUCUCAAACUUAACAACUCAUUGGUAUCCGUCAAUAUCAAGAUGCACAAUGUUUGUAAACUCUAUUUGGAAAAAGCUCUGACGCCAAUGAAAAAAAAAAUCGAAUACAUAUAAGUGAGUGACUAGACAUGAAAAUUUACAUACAAAUCGAUAUGAGAAAUAAUGAGUAAAGAGAUAGACGAAGCAUCAACAAAAAAAAAAAUAUAUAUAUAUAUAUAUAUACAAACAGUUCACCUGGUCUUCAAUUGAAUGUUUGUGUCUUCUUCAGACUUCAUAGAAAGAUCGAAUAUGAUAAAUUAUGGGUUAAGGUUUAUGAAGUUCGUGUUUAUCUUUAAAAAAAAAAAAUUGUAAUUUGUAACAACUUUCUUGCUGUAAUUUUACAUUAGACGAUAUUAGUCAUUCAAUAAAUCAACAACGUGUGGGAUGAUCAAAAUGGUUUAUGGGAUAGCAAUAGACGCACCCAACUUUAAUUUCAAUGUGUUUGAAGAAUCAUGCCAUUAUGUUGCUGCAUUCCAACUACUCUCUUUGGGUUGCUCUAUGUCUAUAUAUAUUACGUUCAGAUUGAUUCGAGAUCAAUUUACCAUGAGUUUUCUUUUUUGGUACCAUGAGUUGGUUUCAAUGCUCAACUCGAUCUCUCACCUUAAACUAACACUUCCAUGAAUCCUAACUUAUCUCAUGAAUUGUAGGUACCAAAUUUAAUUGGGAUUGUGACUAUAUUAUGUAUGUAUGAAUAUUUGAUGUUCAUGUACAAUGUCCCCCGGGUUCGAAGAAGUGAAGAAUUCCAACUCCAAAUAAACUUGGAACGAAUCUAUAAUUAAUAUAUUCAAAAGGGGCAUUCAAAUAUUGAUCUACUUUAUGUGCAAUGACAACUUCACAUCUUUCUUAAGAUUAUUGCUUCUAAUAGUGAUUGUGUUGCUCGAACUUGUAGAGCUUCCUUACCGGUGCAUAUGUCUGUCAUCAUGGACUAUUGGUAUAUACUGAAAUAUAAAUAAAAAACUAAUAUGAUUAGCUAAGUGAACAUAAGAAGAUGAACUUUAAAAUGUUAAUGCAGUACUAGACUUUCUUUCUUUUUUAACAAAAGUAAAACUUUAUAUGAUAACAACAAACGUUACAACCAUGGGAGAACUUGGUGGGUGGACUACAAGUCCCCACAGUCCUCCCUACCAACACACCAACGAUUACAAUGGGCAUGAAGAAUGGGUCUAAAUGUAACCUACCUCUAACCCCAUCUAGAAGCCUCGAUACCAAAACCGCCAACAUAUAUGCAGCCAACCUUAAGAAGAAACAACAUCAUCAAGAACUAUAUAUACCAAAACCGCUAGCUUAUAUGCAGGGGCAACCUCCCAAUUACAUUAACAACAAGAAAACACCGAUGAUAAGGCUGAUAGUCUUUGUACAUGACACCAAACAUGACCCUACUAAAACUACCAACGACACUAAACUACAAACACCUUAAAACCCUCGCCCACAGAGGAGGGACAACAAACAAAAAACACCAAAAUUGAAAAAACAAAACUAAAAAACUAAGAGAAAGAAAAAAGAAAACUAAAAUGACCCAAUGACCUUGGCCCAUAGAGGGCCCAAGCCCAAUCAAAUCCUCUGGGCCUCAACAGGUAAGGCAUUGACCCAACACAAAAAGAUUGCUGCAACAUGAAUGCAUAGCCGCGACCCCGCUGCAGCCUCGCCGUCAACGUCCGUUGCCGCCUCAUCGAGUAAACUAUCUAUGCCUCCAUGGCGCCAUAGAGGUGUAGAACACCACCCACCGUACAUAAUCAUCAAAUAAAGCAAGACAUGGGACCCGACCAUCCCAUCAAGCAACCGAUUCGGAAUGACCAUCGCCGUAACCGCCGCCGCCCCGUUUGCCCUAACAGGCGCCCCACCGUUCUAGCACAUCACACCACCUAAUGCAAUAAUAGACUUAUAGAAUCAAAAACUUAGAGUUGUACCUCAUUGUAGAGUGUCAUCAAUAUAGAUUCAUUUUCAUUGAUUCUAUGUUGCACAUCAGAUUCCACCAAAUCCUUUGGAUUGAUUUGCUAACUCUUCUAUGUGAAUACACACACACAUUGGUUUUUUCAAAAGGUGUUUAGUGUACGGCAUGCAUCACACAUACUUAUGUGUAUUGAGAUUAGAUUACACUAAUACAUAUACAUGAUGGUCCCACACAUAUAAGUGAUUGAGAUUGCAUCGUAUACUUGUUGUAUUGUCGUGUAUACAUAAAUUUUUGGUUUUCUUUUAUUUUUCAAUGUGUAAUUAAGGUCGUCUAUAUAUAUAGUAUAUCUUGAUGAUGGAAAUCUAUUAUUAUUAUUAUUAUUAUUAUUAUAUUUAAUUAACUGUAAAGAUUCACCGAUAGUUUUUCCAGUUAUCCAAACUACUGCAACAUUGAUAAAUUAUUUUAGAUUGUCAGAUGUAACUAAAAUUAAAAAUAUUGUAAUAGAUAAAUAGUUUUAGUUUUUAUUUUCUGAAAGACCGAAAUUAAAAUUUACACUCACUUUUACCCCUUUUAGUAUCUUGUUUUUUCUUUUUUUUUGAAGAAUGAUGCUAAGUCAUAUUAUUAAUCAAAUAAAAUGUGAGAGUACAACAUAACAUAAUUAACACUCUCACGGGCAACAUAAAAUUGGAGUUAUGCAAAACAACUUAUAUGAUGUAAGUCAUCUUAAUAUUGUAAACCCUAGAAUAUGUAGUAUAAUCAAUAACGCCUUGGUAACAAAAGAACUGGGUAACUAGCCACCAAGACACAAGUAGGAAGGGACGUGUCCGCAACCCAUCAUUAUUGACCAUUUUCGAGACCACCCUACGUAGAGGGGGCAACCCCAAAGCAUUAACAAAUCUUAUUAAAGGCCAAAUCCCAAUUAACUAGGAAAAUGCUCUAGACCCGCAACCAGAUCUAGUCUAAUCCAAAAAACAAUAAAUAAAAUAAAACAAAGACAGAGCCAAGCCCAAUAAGGGAGUCCCAACCCAAUCUCUGAAGCAAGGCCCAGAAAUGAUGACCAAGCAUGGCCCAAACCCGAGCAAUCUUGAGACAUGAACAACAAGCAUCAACCAACCUUGCCACUGUCACCGCCGGAGAACCAUCCACUGCACCCCUGCUCCUUGUUAGCCGGAACGCCGCCAUCGCGUUCUCGAUCACAAGUUUCGUCGCAAACCAAAGACACCAAGGUCACAAGCAUGCAUCAAACUUGCCAACUCAGAUCGGAAAUCCUAAUCCGAGCCAACCCAUGCAUCCACGACCGAAGCACCUCCAGUCCACCACCAAACCCGCAAAACCACAACCCGUCAUCCCCUCUAAAGUCUGACCGACCCACCACCGCUCCCAUGAAUCCGGACCAGCUUUGCGUCGACUUGGAAGGCCCACCCACCAUUGUCAACCAACCUGAUGUCACUCACUUAUAUCGCCAAUCUCACCACCAGAGACCAAAGCACAAACCUAGAGGGCUGUUAGAUCUCAUCUGACGAUAGCGUCACCGGACGAAGAUGAAUAACUUUUUUGGAAACCCUAGUUACGUUGUAUACCCCUUUUAGUAUCUUAAAUUGUAUCUUUUUGCAUUUUUAUAAAAAUUUGAACUAAAAAAAUAAAAAAAGAAGUGUAGAUUGUAAAACAGCUAGAAGUAGGGGUUUCACUCCUUAUUUCUAUUUGUCUUAGCAUAAAUCAUUCUUCAAUGAAAAUCUUUGAUGUCUUAAUUGUGUAAGCUUCAAACAUGCAUGUUGUGAAUAUGAUGUUACUCUAGAGAGACAUAGUGUGGUUAAUUUUCUAGCAAUUUUAUUACUUAUUUUUGCCGUGACUUUUCAGAAAAAAAAAAAAAAAAAAAAAAAACCAAAACUUAUUAAACAAAACAAAAUGACAGUUUGGCGGUUUACUAUCUCCUAGGUUUUCUUAUGCAUAGCAUGGUAUAUGUGUCAAUUAGUUAACUUCACAACUAAUUUACCACUAAUUUAUUAUGUACAACUAUGAUAAUACACAUAUCGGAAAUGAUGGUUAUCAAAAAAUGGCAACUAAGGCAGUGUAGCAAACCUAUUCAGUUAGUUUUAUAUACAAGUAAAGAAAAGAGAUGAGAGAAACAAAUUAAUAUGGUAACAAACUCUCUCUAGAGAUGGAUAAAUAUAGAUACCAAGAACAAGUAAUUAAUUGGUUUUGCGAGUAGGUGGACAACCGCAAAAUAGAACAGUUUUUAUUUGUACCAAAUUAUGUAGGCUUUUGUCAGUUGUUUAAUCUCUCAUAUGAGAGAAUUGGUUCCUCCAUCUUAUAUAUCAUUAGAUCAGAUCCUUUUGGUUCAAAUUGAUCAUUUUGUUUCCGAAUCAUGAACCUGAUCCAAUUGAUUCUUAAACAAGUCUCUGGGAGAGCUUAGUUGCUUCAGGAUUUAUAUUUCUUCUGUUAUUUCCUCUUUGAUGCGUUUAUUCGUCUGGAGUUCUAAUGAGACUGAAAAUACAAGCUCGCUUCAAUCAUAAUAGCUCUAAAGAUCUCUAGUCUGGGUUCUCUAAAAGGAGAGUUAUUGAUUGGUGAUCAUCAUUUCUCAAAUUAAGUAACCUGUUAAAAAUAUGAGAGGCAGAGGGCAUGUCGCAGAACAACAUUUGAAAGAACAGGCAGUGGCAGUGGCCAUAGACAAGGACAAAGGAAGUGAAUAUGCAAUUAAAUGGACCAUUAAUAGUCUCUUAACCAAGGGGCAAGCUCUCACAUUGCUCCAUGUUAGACAUCCAAUUUAUGGCCAAAGUACGUGAAUGUCUCUCUACAUUAGAUUUUAACUUUUCAGUUUUAAACAAUCGGGUUAUUUGCAUGCUCCUAUCAUGCCCAUGUUUUCCUAAAUUUUCUAAUGUUCUCGUUAUGAUAAUGCAGAUGCGUCAACGGAGAAUCAAAAGGAUCAUCAAUCACAUGAGUUAUUCAUUUCAUUUCGUUCUUUUUGCGCAAAAAAGAAUGUGAGUCGUGCUUUUCUAUAUUCUUCUAUAAAUUUUAUCAUAGUACAUAUACUUUUGAUAGUAUUUAAAGGUGUUCAGUAAUAGUAGAAGUAAUUUUAAGUUAUUUGAAGUGUUAUAAUUUGAGAAUGAAAAGCAUUAUGUCUAAUAAUGAAUGAGCAUGAGAUUUGAAUUUACAACAUCAUCCAUCAUUACGGACAAAAUUAUUAUGUCGUAGAUUCUCAAUUGUAUAUGCAUUGAAUAAACAUUUUCUACCAACAAACCCUCUUACACGUGAAGCUAUUUUCAAGAAUUAAAAUUUAUUUAGUCCUUAUGGUUUAAAGUCGACAUUUGUUCAGUUUUUAUGGUUUUAUUUUAAUUGGAAUGAUCCUUAAAGUCACGAUUUUUCAUCCAAAUGGUCUUUCCGUCAAUUUUUUUGUCAGAAUACUGACGUGGCCGUUAAAGACAUUAUAAUUAUUCUUAACAGUCACGUCAGCAAUUUAACUGAGAAAAUUGACGAAAUGACCAUUUAGAUGAAAAAUCAUGACUUUAAAGACCAUUCAGAUUAAAAUAAAACCAAAAAAAUUGAACAGACGUCGACUUCAUACCACAAUGACUAUACAGUAUUUUACCCUAUUUUCAAAUACCUAUUAUUAUGUAUUACGUCUAUUAGUUUCCUUUCUCUUUAUGACUUGAUCUACUCCACAGAUAAAAUGCACCGAAAUUGUACUCGAGGACAAUGACAUACCAAACGCACUGAUCAAGUAUGUCAAAGCUAAUUCAAUUGAGAUUUUGGUACUCGGUGUUCCAACAAAAGGUGGCAUUUUCAGGUACUACCUUAAUCUCUCCACAUUUCUUGUCUCACAUUUGUAUUAAUCAAUCUUGAUUUUCCAACAAAAAUAUGAUCAAAUAUUCUUAGGUAAUAUCCUUUCUUUUAGGGUGAUUAAGCAGUAUUCUUAGCUUUUCUUAUCUCAAGUUUGUGUUAAUACAUCUUAAUUAAUUAAUUAAUUACACAAAUUUUAUUGUGUAAAAGAUUCAGACUUACAGAUGUACCGAGCAGUGUCGUAAAAAUGACGCCAGAAUUUUGUUCUGUUUAUGUCAUCACCAAAGGGAAGAUCUCAUACAUGCGAUGCUCCACUAUAGCCCCGCCACCACCUCCUCCAAGUAGUAGUAAUCUUCAACUGCAGGACCAUGCAAGCAAUGUUUCUGAAGCAAGUAAUUCACAAUUCAUGCGCACCCAGUUGCCUAACAUCAAAGGUUUGCAGGCUAGUUAUCUAUGUAAUUAAAUCAAACUAUUAGUUACGGGUUUAUUCACUGCUUACUCAAAUUUUCUUUAAUGUUGCAGCAUCAGAGAGGAUGCAUUAUCAAUCGGGAAACCAACAUUUUGAUGAGAUCAGGUAAGAUCGUAAAUAAUACUUUACUAUAGAGGGAAAUGCAUGUAAUGAACAUAAGUGCUACUACAGUCACCAAAUUUUUUUUUAUUUUUUUUUUAACUUUGUUUACUACAUAAUGCAUACAUGUGAGCGUUGAUGCGCAUUCUUUUAACGGGUAAGAUUAACAAAUGUCAUCAUUUUAUAGCAAGUUUGGUAAACAAAUUAUGUGAAACGAUAUUAAGUCUAAAAUGUAGACAUUUUUAUAGAAUGAAGUCUAAAAUAUACACCAGUAUGGAAAGCUUAAUUAGGUGGUAGGGCAAUAAUACUCUUUUCUUAUUGCAGGCUUUACAACAUUUUUUUGAUUUUUGUAUGUCCAAAAAAAGUUAUUUACGGCGCAUUUCGCACAUCAUAAAGGACAUACUGUAGUGCAAACCAAUUAGGAUGAUUGAGUAAAAACAUAGUUGAAUAUGUAAUAACCACUAAAAAUGAUGACACAGGUCACCAUUUAGAAGAGGAAGACAUUCGAUGGACAGAUCAUAUGACCUCUCGCCCGAUAUUGAUAUAUCAAUUGUGAGUAGUGAAAGACCAAGUAUGGAUCGCAUGUAUCCCUCUUUCUUAGAUAGUAUGGAUUCAAGAAGAAACUCUCGACAUUUGAAUAGCUCAGAAUCAGAAUACGGAAGCUCUAUGUCAUCCCACUCGAGAAGCACACAUUUUAAGGAAAUCAACUUUCCGAAACCUGAAUACUCAUCAUCCUCGUCAGUUGAUAGAGGGGAUUCUUGGUUAUCACAAAACAAUAAUAAUACCUUGGUAUGAUAGUUCAUCAUUAUAGUUAAAAGUCUAGAAGUACCUACAUAUAUAAAUUUUUGUCACCGAGAGUAGUAAUUAAUACUUCAUUUUCCAUGACAACAAUAGGAUGAUGUGGAGCUUGAGAUGAGGAGGCUCAGGCUAGAGCUCAUGCAAACAACGGAGAUGUACAAUACAACGUGUAAAGAAGCGCGGACAGCAAAGCAUAAGGUAUAUCUAACAUGAAAUCUUAUAUGAGCAUAAACUUUGUUUUCAUAAAUUAGGUGUCAUCUUUUGAAAACUUGGUAAAUUGACUUGUGAGCAUUGAGCAAUAACUGUCACAGGAAAAUGAACUUAACCGAUGCAAAAUAGAAGAGGGACAAAGAUUAGAAGAGGCGCGACUAGCCGAGGAAUUUGCACUUGUAGAGAGGGAGAAAACAAAAUGCCAGGCAGCGAUUCAAGCUGCUGCAUCAGCUAAAAGGCUUGCUGAACUGGAAGCACAAAUGAGGUGGAAUCAUGCAGAUAAUAUAGCCCGUAAAGAAUCUGAAGAAAUGAAGAAGACAUCUGAAGCAAGGGCAUACGAUGUUAGGUACAGGAGGUACACGAUUGAGGACAUUGAAGUGGCAACAUGUAAUUUUUUGCGAGCUCGCAAGAUUGGGGAAGGAGGCUAUGGGCCAGUAUACAAAGGUGAACUAGAUCACACACAAGUUGCUAUAAAAGUUCUACGUCCAGAUGCAGCUCAAGGACGAUCACAGUUCCAGCAAGAGGUCUGUGACUUUCCACAUGAACAAACUUUAACUACUAUGUUUAACUUUACAACAACGAUCAAUUCUUAACUUGUGAUUGUUCAGGUAAAGUAAUUAUCUAGAUCAUGUAUUGUUGCAUAGAUGUGACAAGUACACUUGGUUAUGUAGGUUGAAGUAUUGAGCUGCAUACGACAUCCAAACAUGGUUCUCCUUCUUGGAGCUUGUCCAGAGUUUGGUUGUUUAGUCUAUGAAUACAUGGGUAAUGGGAGCUUGGAGGAUCGUCUAUUUUGCCGAGGUAACACCCCGGUUAUCCCUUGGCAGCUAAGGUUUCGGAUUGCCGCAGAAAUUGCAACGGGGCUCUUAUUCCUUCAUCAAGCAAAGCCAGAACCCCUUGUGCACCGUGACCUAAAACCCAGCAACAUAUUGCUAGACAAUAAUUAUGUGAGCAAGAUUAGUGAUUUAGGUCUGGCUAGACUUGUGCCUCCAUCAGUGGCAGAUGUUGUCACUCAGUAUCACAUGACAUCAACAGCUGGAACAUUUUGCUACAUCGAUCCAGAGUAUCAGCAGACAGGCAUGCUCGGAACAAAAUCUGAUAUCUACUCAUUGGGUGUGUUGCUUCUACAAAUCAUUACAGCUAAACCACCUAUGGGUUUAACUCAUCAAGUAGAGCGGGCUAUCGAGACGGGAAGAAUUCUUGAGAUGCUUGAUCCUGCUGUUCAUGAUUGGCCAGUUGAGGAAGCAUUGAAGUUUGCCAAGCUUUCUUUACAGUGUGCUGAAAUGAGGAAAAAAGACCGACCGGAUCUUGGGAAGGUUGUGUUGCCUGUGCUUAACCGAUUAAGAGCCUUCGCUGAAGAUAGCUUGCAACGUGUUAUAUUUGGCGGAGGUGGAGUGCUCCCACCAAAUCAAAACUCAAAUUCUGCAUCACAAGUGAGUUGCAUGUCAUAAACAUUACCGUAAAUUUGAAGUAACCGCAUAUAUACCAUUUCUCUUGAAGAAGAAAACAUGCCGAAAAAUGAAAAUUUCACCUUAUAUACCUCAAAAUAUUCUUCUCCUUUUUACAUAUGUAUACAGUUAUACAUGUUCUUAAUUUCUUGGUCUUUUUCUUAGGAUGUCAUAAGUCGACCACAGUCUGGAUAUGAUAGCUCAAGGAGCCGUACUUCAAGCAUGUCAUCUCAUCCUGGAAGAAGUAGCUAGAGGAUUCUCAAAUUCAGAAAUAUUUCAUCUUAUUGUCAUACCUUGGGAAAAUUCAGCAAAAAUUGUAUCCGAUUGUACAAUGUAUAAUUAGAGGUAUCUUGAUAAUUUGUUUCUACAAAUUCAAUUGUAGCUAGUCAAGUUCUUGCCGGCCUUAAGUAGAUUGGAUAAGAGGCCAAAUGUGUCGGAUCAAUGACUAAUAUGAGAGCUAGAGGCUCCAUUUAGAAAUUAUAUUUUCAAUUUCAUUCAAAGCUUAUAAUUUAGUUUGCAGUUUGGGAGACAUACAUACAUGGAUCAUGGACGGUGAGGAUUAGUAGAAAUAAUAUAAAAAUAUAGUGGUCAAACAUAUAAAUUGUUAUGAACGGUUAAGAUUGCGUCGUGUAAAUACACGUCGUGCGUAUAAGAAUUUUCGGUAUUUAGAUUUAAUUUUGAUGUUACGACUGAAGUGACAAUUUUCAGUAUUUAGACUUAAUUUUGACCUUGCGACUGAAGUGACAAAAAGGUCGUGUCAAAUACCUGGCGCGUGCCAGCCCGCUGGUUUCACUUGGACGGCCCAAUACCUAUAUAUAUCGAAUUCCACUUCCUCUCUCACUCAUCAAACCCAAAAUUAAAAUCAUUUCUUUGCAAAUUUCCAAUCUGAUCUCUCACUCUCUCGCUUUGCUACGAUCAUCAACCCAAUUAGUAAGUGCACCACAAACCCUAGCCCUCUCUCUCUCUCUCNNNNNNNNNNNNNNNNNNNNCNCCUCUCUCUCUCUCUCUCUCUCUCUCUCUCUCUCUCUCUCUCUCUUCUUUAUCGUGAUUAAGUUUCUUGUUUUCUUUCGGAUCAUUUCUGGUUUUGUGAUCCGUUUGGUUGCCAUGAAACCGCACUGAAAUUGAAAUUGUUUGUUUCCGAUUCUGAAAAGCUUCAAGUGGUUACGAUUCAGUCAAUCUUGACAACCACAUGUGCAUGAUUGAUUGGAUUAUUAGAUUGGUAGGUUUUUGAAUUGAAUGGGUUUGGUUUCGAUUUCAAUUAAUUAAUUUUGUCUUGUUUGCAUUUAUUAGUUUUGGUUCUGUUGCCUUUAUUUCUUUCUUGAUUUGAAUAUUGCAAUUUCUGGAGUGAUAUGAAAUUUACUUUUUCUGAAAUGAAGGAUUUGAAUUUGUGUCCUCAGCUGGAUAUGGGAAUAUAUUUGAGCGCUCCGAAAACCGAUAAGGUAUCAGAAGAUGGUGAGAAUGAUAGACUUCGAUUCGGGGCUUCGUCUAUGCAGGGGUGGCGUUCCACCAUGGAAGAUGCUGUAAGUCUCUUUGAUCUUCUUGUUUAUUUGUUUCUGAUAUAUCUUUCAGAGUGUAGCCAGUACUUCUGUUUGGUAAUGAUCUCUUUAAGAGUGUAGCGAGUACAUUGUGUAAUGAUCCUUAAAUGGCGAUGUUAUUCUGUAUACUUCCGAUAAUCCAUGGAGAUUGACGAGUAAGAAUAGCAAGAAAAGAAAUGAGUGUUUCCUUAAGAUUCACGGAGUACCAUUUAAUGCUGAUACAGUACAGAAUUCUGUUCUAUGUCUUAUCUAGUUCUUCAGCAAGUACCAUUUAAUAUUGACAUAAUACAAAAUUUGUAGCUGUUUCCCCAUGGACGCAGGAUAACCCUGAAUUGUUGUCAUCUUCUUGGUUUUUGCGUUUUUUUUAUUUUCUAUUUUAACUGAAAUAAGUUAGAGCUUCGAAUAGAUAACGAAAGACUUGAAUACUUUGAUUAUUAGCAUUCAUAUUCAUGGUGGAUAAAGGUUUCCUAAGCCUAUUAGGACUAUUAAUCUAGGGUCAUUGAAGAAAGUUCAUUUGGCCAACUUGUUUGAAGGCAUGCUAUAUUCUUAUUUCAUGAAAGGUUAUCUUGACUUUUAAGUUGUAUUCUCCAGUUCCAAAUUUGAAUCCUCAUUCUAUUGGACUGGGUACUAUAAGUAGUUCUAAUAGGGUGUAAAAUGAUAUUGCGGUAUUGCCUAUUACAUACUAAAGGUUCUUGUUUUGUUGCAGCAUGCUGCUUUGUUAGACCUCGACAAUUCAACAUCUUUCUUUGGUGUUUAUGAUGGUCAUGGAGGUUAGCUUUUUAACUUUUUUAGUUGAGUAAUUAUAUCAUACUAUAUGAUUAUUGUAUCGACUUAGAUAAUCUUGAUCAUUAUUGUGAGAACAGAGAACAUGAUCCAUUUAUAGUCGGUUUCAACAGUCAUGUUGGAUGCCCAAGUACUUCAACCAGGAUUAAUAUUCUUUGAGAUCAUUCUUUAAAAUCUUGUACUUUUCAUAAUGGAAACCUAUUUGCAUUCAAAUCAAUUUUGUGAGCUGUGUUCCAGUUCAUAGGUUUGCUCAUCUUAUGUUUUGCUAUCUUGCUUUUCCUUGUGCAGUUGGCUUUGUAAAACUAUAAAUUUUCAGGGGCAUCAAAAUUAACACUGUUGCAUGUAGGUAAAGCUGUGGCAAAUUUCUGCGCCAAGUAUCUCCACUUACAAGUGCUUAAACAGGAAGCAUAUCUAACUGGCGAUUUAGGCACUUCCUUACAGAAAGCUUUUCUCAGGUUACUUCAUCCUUUGUAUUAACUUCAAUUUAUAAAUUAAUCGAUGCAUGCAUCUAUCAUGUCAUUGCGCAAGCACGGGGGUGCAGAUAGGUGUCAUUCUCCUGUGAGUAAAAUAUUUAGAGGAAAAAAAAACUUCAAACCUUGAAUCAUGGCCAUGAUUCUACUACCGAUGCAACCAUUAUCAUACUGUAUUGUAUUCAUUUUCCUACAGUGUUUCUCUUGCAUUAAAUCCUGUUUGUUGAAUAUUUUUUUUCUCAUGUAGUCGAUUCUGGAGAACCAUGUUUCUGCUCCAGCUUUUGUUUUUAUUACCAUUCAGAACUUAUAAGAUAUUUCUGGUUAUUACAGUACAGAAAAGAAGGGAUCACAGUGGUUGGAGGGUACAAAGAUGUUUAUAAAACUUGAGAAUAUUGUGGUAUAUCUUGGCAGACAUUGAUUUUGAUGUAGCUUUUAAUAUCUAUUGUGAAACAAAAUAAGCUGCAGAAAGUAGAUUGGGGGGGCGUGGUUGGGGAUUUAGAGGUGUGAUUAUCUAUGAAAGAGUUGCUCACCAUCUUAUGUUGCUUCUGAUUGAUGCAGGAUGGAUGAGAUGAUGCGUGGACAGAGAGGAUGGAGAGAACUAGCUGUAUUGGGUGAUAAGAUAGAUAAAGUUUCGGGCCUUAUUGAAGGGUUCAUCUUUACUCCCAAGAGUGCUGAAGCCAAGAGAAGUGCAUUCAAUGAUCAAAUGGAUCAGUGGUCAUCUGAGGAGGUAACCUUUACUGCACAUAUAAAGUAAUACUUAAUCUAUCAGAUAUAUACAGAAUGAUUUCAUAAUAGCAUUUAACUUUCACCAUAGAACGGUUAAACCCAAUAAGUUUGAAGUCCAAGCAAUAAUUAUUUUACUUGUUUUAAAAUAAAAUUAAAAAUUUUAGUACAUAUUUACCUUUUGAGCAGCGUCGGUGUGGUUCCUUGAUUUGAAUGAGGAUAUGGUGAUAAUCUUACAAUGGCAGUGUCGUGUGGUUGCUUGAUUUGAAUGAGGAUAUGAUAUGCUGAUAAUCUUAUAAUGGAAGUGCUUGUAUUUGGAAACAGACUUGUAGUACUUCUGAAAGAGUUAAAUUUCUUAAAUGUGACCAUUUCAAAUUAGUGGCUUUAAUUGCUUGCAAUUGCGUGCAUGGUAAGGUGCUAAUUGAUCACUUGCUAAAUCUGCCUUCAUGUAUACCUAUUAAGAACUAAAUUGGAUUUAUCUUAUCAAUAUACUCAUAUGGGUGGUAUAUGUAAGGCAUAUGUAGUGUACUGUGUACAUUUGUCAGUGCACAGUUACGGCUUAAAUCAUGCCUACAGUUGCAAGAUAAUUUACAUUCCAUCAUGGUUAUUCUGAUUUAGUCUAAGAGGUUUAUUAAGUUCGUUACUAGGUUGCACACAUCCAAGCUAUUCCCUGUAUAGUAGUAGAGGCUUUAUUUAUGCAUGAGCGUGAGAGAAUCCUUAUUUUUUUGGUUCCUUCUAUGUGAAGGAAGGAUGAUACUGUUAAUGACUAAGCAUCAGACGUUGAGUUAGGCCUGGUGCUCUUUCCAUUUAAAAUGUUGAAGGAGCCAAUUGAAAUGUCUUGUAGAUCCUAGUAAUCAUCAUGGAAAGGUUUUGGUUAGCUUUGAGCAUCUAUUUUGGAAAUGUUCAUCUUCUGCAUUCAGUUUAGCAAAGAUGGCAUUAGUGUUUUAGUAAAAUACUAUUCUGUGAAUUCAUUUGAGUACCCGAAUAUUCUAUUCUGAGAACAUGGUUGCUGUACUUAUGUAAGAUUGAUCUUUUUAUGCAAUUCCAUUUUUUGUAAAAGAACAAUUUUAUCUUGAAACCAGGGGCCUCACUCUGAUUUUGAUGGACCAACCUCUGGAAGCACAGCUUGUGUCGCUAUCAUCCGAAACAAUCAACUUGUUGUUGCCAAUGCUGGUGAUUCGCGUUGUGUAAUAUCCAGAAAGGGUCAGGUAUUUCUCCCUCUUUAUGCAGCUCCUCUAAAGUUUUUAGCUUAACUUAGUGCAAGGGUUCUGUUCUGAUCUUGUUCAAGUAUCGUUGUGACCCCAGCUGUGUGAACUUGGUAUAUUUGUUUUGCUGUUGGAUUAAUGUCAACACGCAGUGAUACUGAUUUAGGAUAUGUUAUGUUUCCCAAACUUCUGUAAUUGUCUUUACCAAGGUAAGAUCUUUAUGUAGUGUAAUAUUCAAAAUGCAUCAGCACUGAUAUUACAUAUAUAUUUGACACAAGACAUAUGGAGCAUAGUUGUAGAUAGAAGAAGGUUAUACGACAAUGGAGAAUUAGCUGUUGUCUGCUAAUGUGCCUAUCAAGUUCUAAUCUGAGCAGGUGUUCUAAUCUGCAGGAAUGGGUCUGGAAUUUUGCAUGUUCACGUAGAAAAUAAACAUAUUCUUAAACAUGUAAACUAAAGGAAUCUAGGUUCUUGAAGAGCCUGUCAUUAUUAAUUCACCAAAAGAAUGUUGGUGUCUAGCUUUGAAUUUGUGUUGGAUGUACAAAUUUUACUAGAAAGUUAAUGUCUGUCUGUCGUAAUAAAUUUUAUUUCACACCAACACUUUGCCAGGGACAUGAGCACUUGUAGCCAGGUUUUGUCACCUGUCCAUGAUUUUUUGUUGAUUGCUUCUUGUUUGGUAUGUAUUUGUCAGAGGUAUUGAACAAAGAGAGGAAGAUAGUGAAACCAAACAAAUAAGAUAAACACUUGAAUGGUUAUGGUCCCCAAUCUGCCAAGAAUAAGCAUCCCCGGUCUCUUGUCCCCAACUUCUAUGCUAGUUUCUAGGCAUAGAUCAAAUGAAUUUGGCUUCUUGCCAUUGUGGUGUUGUACUGCUGAGUGAUAAUCUUAUUAAGGAUGAUGUGUACCUUAUCAAAGUUAUAAAUGCAGGCAUAUCCUUUGUCUAAAGAUCAUAAGCCUGACAUUGAGAAUGAGAAGGAAAGAAUUCUGAAGGCUGGUGGAUUUAUCCAAGUUGGACGGGUCAAUGGAAGUUUAAACUUGGCAAGAGCUAUUGGUACAUCUUUUCCCUAACCUGGUGAAUAGAAAAGUGAAAAUAACCUCCUUUCACUUAUUGUUGUUUGAUAUUGUUGCUUACAGGUGAUGUGGAAUUCAAGCAAAACAAACACUUGCCUGUUGAAAAGCAGAUUGUAACUGCCAAUCCAGAUGUACAAAGUGUAUGUGAUAUGUCAUUUUGGCUUUCAAUACUAGAAUUUGACGUUAUUUUUUAUGUUUGAGGUAAAUUUUUCAGUAGCUAGUUAAUGGGACAAAUUGAUCUUUCUUCUUGUUUUGACUUUGAUUAGCAUUUAAUUAUAAAAUUUGCUAACACAAGUUAACAAUUGGGUUACUUUCAUGAAUACUUGUCAUCACGUCUCUGUUUCAUUUUAACUAAUUCUAUCCUGCUUGAUGUAGGUUGAGAUUUGUGAUGAUGAUGAGUUUCUUGUCAUAGCUUGUGAUGGAAUAUGGUACGUUAGUUUCUCCUUUUGUUAUAGUUUCUUUUUAGAAAACAAAGAAGCGUUGGUCCUAAUUUAAAGUGUAGAAAUGUGGUGCAAAUGAAGUGAAACAUAGUUCAGCUGCAAGAUAUUACAUGUCAUUAUGUGAGCUGCUAGACAUAUCAGGAGAUUUUGUUACUGUUUCAGAUUGCUUUGCUUCUUUUCCUCUUGUUGAAUUUGAGCCGUUAAGGCCAGAUCUAAAAUGUUUGGGAUUACUUUCAAGGGACAUUUGGAGGAGAUCUGUCUUUACUUUCUUUUCCUCUUGUUGAAUGUGAGCCCGUAAUGCCAGGCCUAAAAUGUUUUGGAUUACUUUCAAUGUUCAUUUGGAGGAAAUCUGUCCUUGCUUUAUUUUCCUCUUUUCUUUUUACAAGAAGUUGAUAUCUCAUUUCAAAAUAAUAAUAAGAAUUAAAUUCAGUUUACCCACAUGAAGUUUGGGAGUAACUUCAUGUUAAUCCCUAUACUUUCAAUUUCAUCAGUUUACCCCUCAAACUUUUGAAUUUUCCUCAAGCGUGACCAAAUGUCGUAUAUUCUGUCCAAAUCGGACGUUAACUGCUGAUAAUUUUAAUCUUAACUGUGAGGCCAGUAUCUAGAAUUUGGGCAAAUCGGACCUUAUAUGUCCAAAUCGAACCUUAACUGCUGAUAAUUAAAGGUCAAUUCAAACGGAAUAUGAGAAUUUGGGCACGGCAGACAGAAAUUGAAGAGUUCAAGGGGUAAACUGAUGAAAAUAAAAGUGUAGGGACUAACAUGAAGUCACCCCCAAACCACAAGGGGGUAAACUGAAUUUAAUUCUAAUAAUAAUAAUCAUAAUAAUUGAUAUCUAAAUUCAUCUCUAUAUCUAUCAGUUAACGAAAAUUUUCUUGUUUGUCACGUUCUUUAAAAAUCUGAAGUCAACACUUUGUGUAAAUUCCAUUUUUCAUAUCUUUUCAAAUUGAAAGAUUCUUUGGGUGGAAGUUUGGUAGGUAGAUGAAUUCACUAAAAGACAGUUAUAUUUUUUGCGGAAAAUAAUCACCGUCUCGGGGUCUCUCGAAAAGCCUGUAAUUGCAUGCAUUCUGAUAAUGUAGUUGAUGCAUGGUUGAAUGCAGUCCCAUAUAUUGUAUCCCUUUCUUACUGCAUGUUCAAUCAUUGGUGCCUCCUUGCUGUUGUUUUUAGAAGUACAUUGUUGUGGUAGCAUGUAUUUUUUAACAUUGCACUAAGCUAUGUCAUGUGUUCCUUUGAACUCUUCUUGUCAAUUUCAUCUUUUCUGAAACACCGGUGCAUUCUCUAUAGGGACUGCAUGUCAAGCCAACAACUUGUGGAUUAUGUUCGGGAACAAUUGAAGCAUGUAAGUUAACAUUACAUGUUUCCCUUAUGUUUCAAGUUUCAAGUUGUUUGGGCAACAUAAAUACAUUUUCAAUGAUGCAGGAAAAUAAACUGUCGGUGGUUUGUGAGCGAGUGUUUGAAAGGUGCUUGGCGCCCUCAACAGGCGGAGAAGGAUGUGACAACAUGACAAUGAUCUUGGUUCAGUUUAAGAAUCCUGUUAAUUCAACUGCUUGUAUUGGAAACAACCCUAUGUCAUCUGAUCCAUCACCUGAGAAGGCUUCUACUGGGAACCAGCCUCUCUUGUCUGAUCCAUCACUAGAGAAGGUAUCUACUGGGAACAAGCCUCUCUCGUCUGAUCCAUCACCUGAGAAGGCUUCUACAGGGAACAAGUUUCCGUCUGAUCCAUCACCGGAGAAGGCUUCUACAGGGAACAAGCCUCUCUCGUCUGAUACAUCACCCGAGAAGGCUUCUACAGGGAACAAGCCUCUCUCGUCUGAUCCAUCACCCGAGAAGGCUUCCACUGGGAACAAGCCUCUCUCGUCUGAUCCAUCACUUGAGAAGACAUACACUGGGAAUAAGCCUCAUUCAUCUGAUCCAUCACCUGAGAAGGACAAAAGCUUGGGAAAAGCUAGGUAGUGGUUGACAUAGUCAUCUGAUGGCUAUUGAAAGAAGGCAUUAUCUGAAAGUUAUGGCUCUGGUGAUUCAGGAACCAAAAAUUCAUUCGAAUUUCGAUUGAAUCCUCAUAACUGUACAUGUUCAUGGAAUUUCGUGUAGUAGUUUAGCUCGAGUUCUGUACAUGUGUUCUGAGAGUUUUGCAAGUUUUCUCCAGAUCAGAUGGAGCUUGCAGCUUUUCUGCAAAUUUUGUGGAUGGAAUUCUAAACACUACUGUCAUGAUAUGGUCCUUUACGAACAAGAUUAAGAUUGUGGAGUUUUGUAAACAAAAAGGUCAAAAGCAUUGAUGUUUUUCCUUUCAUUUCAAGAUUGUUCUGUUGUUAGGAAUUGAACAAUGCAAUCAUCUCUGUAGCUAACGUACCUCCCAAGUCCCAAAGGAGGGAACAACGAGCCAAACCUCCCAAGCCCCUAAGGAGGGAACAACAGAAGAGAUCAAAAGGUUCCAUGGGAACCUAGAAAUACAGAAUAAGCCGUGUGCCCGUAACGUUUCUAAGGUUCUUCCUAAGCGCCUAGGGUUAAGGAAAAAAGGACCCCAGUAGAAGCUAACAAGGAGAAGCCCGAGUUUGAGGGGGCUGUUCUCCUAUUGUUAUCAUCGCAGAGUCUCCCCAAUUAUCAUUCGUGGUGGACAUCCUGCAGCGGUUCCUCUCCUCCGCAUCAAUGGUGUUCCUCCGAUCUAGUAUGUAACAUGCUCCGGCCAACGAUAAAUGGUUAUACCUAAAUUACUUGAGUUCCCGUAAUGAUAGCUCACUUAGUCAUCAUUUUAUAUUCAUAGAGUACGAUUUGAGGGAAAAUUCCUGGAUGCCGAACUCUAGUUAUAUAGCUAUAAAUCGUAAAAAGCACAUGGUUCAUGCAUCUUCAAACAUAUAAUAGAAUCAAAUACAAACACAUGUGUAUUGUAUUCAUGUUCAUAUUGGAACAAAACUAAUUUCAUUAGCAUGUUGUAGGACACGUAUGUUAAUCAUCAAUAUGGGACCCGCUUCAUUAUUGCGGACAAUGCGGACCUUUCCCACAGGGCCAUGGGCACCCCUUAUUUGAAGGGAAGGGAUUUCAUAUGCUGCCAUUCUACUCCCACGUACGCGUGCCACGUGUGAGUCACAUGUAUCCUCAUUAUCCAUUUCCCAGUCCAACAGUAUUAUCCAACAGUGUCUCAGCUUUUCAAAGCAAUAUCUUUUUCUUAAUUUACGGGCCACGAGAUAAACGCCACAACGCCUUUUAUCUGGCCACACACAAAUCUCCACGUGUUCUCGUGCAAAGCAAUAAUUCACUUUUGGUGUUUUUACCUUCUGCCCAGUAAUAAUAAUUCAAGAAAUUACGUGGACACGCGGUGAUUUUUUUGUGGAAUUGUAAUAGAGGGCCCUAGAUAUAGAUUAAUUCUGUUUGUUCCGCCUAGGUUUCGGUAUUUAGCCAGAAAGGACCCCUGUUGAGGUUAGUUUGGUCUUUCCAAAUGACAAAAGCUUUUAAAAUAUUUCAGUGUAAAUCUUCUGUGUAAUAACUUGCUAAUUGAGACGGAGCAUCGGUUUUUCUUCUACGUUGCCAUGGUGUGACCGAGACGUAUGUGUGUCAAGUCAUGUGAAUUAUGCAUUUAUGCUGGUGAGAUGGUGACAUGAUAAAUUUUUUGAACUGUGGUUAUAGCGGUUUAAAAGUGUAAUAUUAUAUAUAUAUAUAUAUUUGUUUUAAUUAAAGUAUGGAAAGUGAGUAAACCCUAUUUUUAAUAACCUCAUUACAAGUCAACGAAAAUCUCACUGAAUAGCGAGCAUAUAAACAAAAAAUUUCCGGUUUUCUACAGCAAAUUCAUCUUUUAAAUUCUCAUUAACCAGUCACGCAAUGUUGAAUAGGAUCUCCAGCAACACUAAAACCAGUGGCAAGCUAGAUAGAAUUUGUUCAACAUACCAAAAUUCAAAUUAUGGCUAAUACUAGCAUUUCCAUUAAAUUUGAAACGAAAAUAUUUUAGCUAAUUUAAUUAUUUUUGUUUCUUAAAAAUGGGCAGGCGCCUAUGUAACGUAAAACAUUUUCACGAUUGCAUGAACAAGUCAAUUGUGGCUAACAUUUUUUCUUUCCGUCAACAGCUAAUGUUUCGUUCUACAUAAGCUGCCAAAACAAGGUGCUAAUCCAAAUUGGAUAAAAUUAUUGGAUCUAGCUCUCUAGAUGCAUCUUUGAUAAGAUUUAGUGCUUGUAAUUAGGUAUAUCGAUAUCUUUCUUUCAAUAGUACCAAUGAAUAUAGAAUUUCAUUACUAUUUACUUGUUCAUCAAUCAAUUAUUCUCCAUCAUAUUUACUUAAUCCACAUAUGUGUUCCGAGCUCACAUAAUGACACAAUGAUUGAGAAUACAUAAAUAAUAAAUAGAAUCAAUAAAUAAUUCAAAGAAAGCUGGUGAAAAGGAGGGAAUAGUUUCCAAUAAAAAAAAAAAUGUGAUGGUAUUUAAUACACAACCGACAACGAAACAUUUUUUUAGUAGUCAGGUCAUUCUCUUCUAAACAAAAUGUAGAAUCGGUAUAAGAACGUAUUAGCAUAUCUGCGUACAAAAUGAAUUAAAAUUUUCAAAGUUGAAUACAAGCUUGAUGUUGAGAUGUUGAAAACGGUCCAUUACUAUAAACCAAAAAUGAUAUCAAGAAGAUGUAAGAAUGAGACUUAGCUUAGCCACAACAUAUUAAAAAUUCUAAAAACCGGGUCAAUGACUUCAGCCUAAUGAAUUGAGAAAACCGAAAAGAGCAGGGUGACCAGGUGAAGGGGACCAGAUUGAUUAGUGAAUAAUCACAAGAUAAACCCAAAGCAAUGUUGAAUCAGUCUACUUCAAGGUAGGACCAAAGUGCAAAAAUAUCAAACAGUAUUGCCAAAAACGCAAAUUUCCCAAAAAAUAAAAAUAAAAAUAAAAAACCAACAGAAUAUUCCCAAGAUAAACCCAAAGCAAAAGUCACCCGAAACCGAAACUGACUCAGACCGAUCGAGCAAACCAGAUAAGCACUGGUCUGGUUUUUCUAAUCCGAGAAGAAGAAGAAGUGACACGUCACCUUUAAAACGGACCCAAUUGGAUAAGGACCUCAUAAACCUCUCUCCCUCCCUCCCUAUAAAUACACCCCCACUUUGUCUUUGAAAAAGCCCCAUAAUUCCCAUUCUAUUCUAUUCAAAAAAUCAUUGAAAUUUCAAAGCAAAAGAGAGAGAGCAGACCCGUCUCCCUUGCCCAUUUUUCUAUUUGGAAACAAGAUCCUGAUAUAGCCAUUGUUUAUAUAUAUAACCUUUUUUGGGGUUGUGUGGUUUUAUAUAUAAGACCCAGGUGAGAAGAGGUUUUGGUGAUUUGGGUUCUUGAGGUUUUGAUUGAUUUUGUGAGAUUUGAAAUGGCUGCUGCUGCUGCUGGUGUUAUUGGAGGAAAUGGGUCUUCUUGGAUUAACUCGUUUAAGGAUAAGUCUUCGAGGAAAAAGAAGACUGUGAACCGGGUUAUGGUUUCUUGUGUUUCUUCUAAUGUGAUGGAUCCGUAUCAGACUUUGAGGAUCCGACCCGGUGCCUCUGAAUCUGAGGUCCGGAAGGCUUUCAGACAGCUUGCCUUGCAGGUUUGAUCUCAUCCCAUCUUUUCUUUUUCGCCUUUUGAUUUCUUGAACAUGUUUUUGUAUUAAUUUACAACUAUUUUAUUUGGUGAUUUUAUUGCUUGUUUUUGGGCCCUGUUUGAUGAUUGUGUUUGUUUUAUGGAUUGCAGUAUCAUCCAGAUGUGUGCAGGGGAAACAAUUGUGGAGUUCAGUUUCACGAAAUCAACGAGGCUUAUGAUGUAAGUACUCAUGACUUCCUUCUUGGCGUAUUGUUUUGUAUUCUGUUGUUUUCACAUAUGGCCAGCCUUUGUGAUUUAUGUGUCAAGCCUGCUGUUUUGUACACAUGCAUGUAUUUCUUGGAUAUAAUUUUAGUACAGAACCAUUAGAGUUUUUGGGUGAUUGGAGAAUUAGCUUAAUAGGUUGUGUUGAUUUGUUUUCUUUCACUACUAGUGGCUAACAAAAACCGAUUGGGGGCAAACAUUGAUUGCUAAUUUGGAGUUCUCUAAACAAUUCUAGCGAGUUGCAUUGAAAUUAACAUCUUUGUUUUACCUUAAUUGAUCGAUUGGUGUUCAAAAGUUCAUUUCUCUUUCAACAUAAAUGGAUUGUGUUUGUGAAGACAACCCUUUUACCAACUUUCUUGCAUAAAGUAGGAUUCACCUACUCCAUCCAUAGCCGGGAACAAAAUUGAGAGUGAUUCGUAGCCACUUCCCUGAAAGUAUAUUGGUAAUCCCACUCUCUCACUGAGAGUCGGUGGAGUCACAAUACUACUAUGGGACUCAUGAUCUAUAUGAUGAGAGAGUUGGGAUAAAGUUGUUGGAUUCCAUGGACUGUUUUGAAGAAAAUUUGUAAACCAAUGGAAUAUGGUGAUUUAAGUAAUCCUUAACAUCUUGUGAAUUGUGGGGUGAAGAUUUAAUAAUGUGAUGGGACUGCACCAGAUCAUUCACAAUCAACUAGCAGCAUCUUUUUAGAUGUUGCAAGAAAUUCUUUUGUGGUAUUAGGUAAUGAGGUUCCUGGAUAAGUACGUGAUUAGGAUGUUUUAACAAGUGGUAGGGUCUUAAAGGAUAGUGUGCUCCCUGAUUAUGAUGUUUAAUAAUUAUCUUAUUGAUUUUCCUAUGAUUUGUUUAUGCAGAUUGUUAUGAGCAACUUGAGAGACGAAACGACUCCAAUACAGAUGUAUGAGACAUAUGAUGAAGGAGAGGAUGAUUCGAUGAGAGGAAUGAACGAUCCAGAUUACGAUAUGUGGGAGGAAUGGAUGGGAUGGGAAGGAGCUGGUAUUAGGGACUACACAUCUCAUAUAAAUCCUUACAUUUAAAGAAAGAACCAAUUGUACUACACAUCUCAUAUAAAUCCUUACAUUUAAAGAAAGAACCAAUUGUAAUUAAUCAAUAGAUGGUUCACUCUUCAUCCAAAUCCAUUACAACCUGAAUGGUUGUUCCUGUAUAUAAUCCAAGCAAGGAUAUAAAUAUCCUUUUUGUACAUAUCCCAAGCUAGAGAGGUGUUUUCCCUGGCAUUUUACAAAUGAAAAGUCCUCAAGAUUUUGCUUCUUACACUUGAGUAGUGGCAUUGAUCUCUAUUUUUCCUUAUACUGGACGAUAUCUUGUACCAUUCGGGUCAUUGUCUAUUUCUUAAAAUGUUUUGUGUUUUAGUAAUUUGUCUAUUCAUUCUGAUCUGAAAGAGAAUCUUUACCUUAGAGCCAGGACAGAGUCUGGAAAUACCAGCCCAAGUCUAGUGCAGAAAUUGGGGUUGCCGAUGACCUCUUGAAUGUCGUUUGACCGAUGCUCGUCUACACUGGCCUGACUGAGCAGCUGCAACGUUUCUUCAAGGUCAAAUUAUCAGCAGCCAAUGCGACAUUGUCAGCCAGAAAAGAAGCUAGUUCUUCUACCAGUGUCUCAAGGGGAAGAGGAAUCUGGAAGCUUGGAAGGCUGGGAAGUAGUGACGAGAGAGAGGCUUCUGAAUGUGAGCGAGAUGGUAGAGUUCUCACAGGAGUUGUUGUCAUGGCUCAACAAGAGUUCUGCGAGUGAUCUGCAGGAGGCUUUCGACAUAAUUGGUGUAGUGGUGAUGUGCUGUCGGGUGGCAUUACACUAUGCGAGGACUUUGUGCGAGAGAAUCAGAUGAACUACUGAGGGAGCUGUACGUGAUGUGUGUAUUGUAUUAGUAGCAGGGCGAUGACAGACCUGUGCCCAUUAGUGUUAAAUUUGUGUUCCAUGCAUACAUACCGCCAUGAAUUUUGUGGGUAGAGACAGUCUUCUGUAGCACAUAUGGCUCCUUUGUGAUGAAAAUUAUUUUUCUCCCCACAGGCAGAUGUUGAAGCGCAAGUUUCUAGUCAUUGACAGCCAAGAAUAGAGUUUUUCUUUCUUAGCCGCCGGGAGUUUUCUCUUGCUUCCUUACACUAGAAAAUUUGCUUUCAAGUAAAUUUGCAAAGGUAAUAACCCAGUCGAGAUACAAAAGUGAAAGAUUUUGGUAAAUUACUAUUUGCUUUACACUGCGAAAAAAUAGGUGACGAAGUUUCUUUAGAAAAGAAAAAUUCGUUCUAGAAAAAUUUUGAAAUAUAACCACGGGCCAAUUACAUAGAAGUCCACUUAGUGACAUUUUAUCCUAUAUAGGUCCACCUAAAUAUUUUUACCCACAUAAGUCCACCCAACUCUAAAUAGUGUCUUAUAUUUGGUAUUAAAGUUCAACAAAAUUACAGACUGCCAUCCAACAAAAAAAAAAUUAGAUUUUCUCUCUUAUAUUUACAAAAAUGUUACUAAUGUAAAAAGUCAACAACCACAAAAAGUCUUUGACCGAACUCCGGCAAGGUCUCUGGCCGACCUCCGGUGAACUUUCCGGCCGACCAUCAAUGAGGAUUCUAGUGACCACAAAAGCUACUACCACCGAUAACAAAAGAUACUACCGACAGCAACAAAAUAUACUGGCACCAGAAAAAAAAGCUACUACCACUGACAACAAAAAAUAUUACCGCUAGCAACAAAAGAUACUACCGCCAGCAAAGAAACCUACUACCAUUGACAACAAAAGCUACUAUCGCUAGCAAAGAAAGCUAUCACCACCAGCAAUAAAAACUACUACCGUCAACAAAGAAAGCUACUACCACUGACAACAAAAGAUACUACCGACAACAACAAAAUCUACUGUCACUAGCAAAGAAAGAUACUACCACUGACAACAAAAGGUACUACUGCUAGCAACAAAAGGUACUACCGCUAGCAACAAAAGGUACUACCGCCAGCAAAGAAAACUAUUAUCACUGAUAAUAAAAGAUACUACCAUCAUCAACGAAAACUACCACCACUAGCAACAAAAAUUACUACGUACUAUCAGCAACCAAAGCUACUACCACUAACAACAAAAGCUACUUCAUCAGCAACAAAAAAUACUACAGUCAACAACAAAAGCUACUACUGCCGACAACAAAAAGUACUACCGUCGAUAACAAAAAAUACUACCGUCAGCAUAGAAAUUGAAAAAAAAAAAAUACUACGAUUAUGUAUACAAAAUACUAUGAUCAUGUUGAAACAUACUAAUCCAGACAUUAAAAAGUAUUAUCACUGUGUUCAAAAUAUACUAACAUAAAAUUGGAAAAUAUUUGGCAGGGCUGCCAUUAACUCUAGCAACAAAGUGCAAAAACAUAAAUUUGUUUCGCAAUCCUAUUCUUUCCCUUAGACUCCACCACUGAUUCGAUCAAUUCGUUGAAGUUCGACUUCUCCGCAGCAACCGGCGCUUCCUUCACCACCAUAUCGGAAAUCCCGUUCCACAGAUCCUCCACCACCACAGAUCGACUUCAAAUCAGAGAUCGAUGACUCCAAAUUAGAGAUCGACGUCGAAGAAAGGCGUACUACUGAUCAAGUUAGCAUCCUAAAAUCCACAAACAGAAAUAAGAAAAGCACCGAUCUAGUUAACAACAUCGUCUACGAAAUCUAAGAUUGUAGUGAAUUCAAACCUUGAGUGAGGAGGAAGGACGAAGAUGGAGCGGAGAUCGCAGGCCUUGUUGAUCUUCAUCUUCAUUUUGCUUCGGAUCGGCGAGUUAUAGGUUUGAGAGGUACGGUCGAAGAUUGAUCUGCAACGGAGGUGAAUCCACCGAGCGCCUCUUCGGCAAGAAGUCUGCCGCUCGGAAAACGCAGUCAACCGAUUCCAGAUGAAGUUGGCGAAGUCGAUCUAUGACACGGUCGAUUAGGAUACAUGUUGGAGUCGUCGUCGUUCAUGGAGGUUGUCAUCAAUGGCUUCAGCGACGAUGGAGUCGAGAUUGGUGGAGAGAGAGAGAACGAGAGAGAGAGAGAGAGAGAGAGAGAGAGAGAGAGAGAGAGAGAGAGAGUAGUAGUAGAGNNNNNNNNNNNNNNNNNNNNNNNNNNNNNNNNNNNNNNNNNNNNNNNNNNNNNNNNNNNNNNNNNNNNNNNNNNNNNNNNNNNNNNNNNNNNNNNNNNNNNNNNNNNNNNNNNNNNNNNNNNNNNNNNNNNNNNNNNNNNNNNNNNNNNNNNNNNNNNNNNNNNNNNNNNNNNNNNNNNNNNNNNNNNNNNNNNNNNNNNNNNNNNNNNNNNNNNNNNNNNNNNNNNNNNNNNNNNNNNNNNNNNNNNNNNNNNNNNNNNNNNNNNNNNNNNNNNNNNNNNNNNNNNNNNNNNNNNNNNNNNNNNNNNNNNNNNNNNNNNNNNNNNNNNNNNNNNNNNNNNNNNNNNNNNNNNNNNNNNNNNNNNNNNNNNNNNNNNNNNNNNNNNNNNNNNNNNNNNNNNNNNNNNNNNNNNNNNNNNNNNNNNNNNNNNNNNNNNNNNNNNNNNNNNNNNNNNNNNNNNNNNNNNNNNNNNNNNNNNNNNNNNNNNNNNNNNNNNNNNNNNNNNNNNNNNNNNNNNNNNNNNNNNNNNNNNNNNNNNNNNNNNNNNNNNNNNNNNNNNNNNNNNNNNNNNNNNNNNNNNNNNNNNNNNNNNNNNNNNNNNNNAAAACCUUAGGAAACAUUGUAACCUCUAUUCGAUAGAUUACAAAAAAUACCUUCCCCUUGGACUUCAGUACAUACAUCCAUAUAUAUAUAUAUAUAUAUAUAUGGAGCCCUUCUAAUGAGGACCCUUAAGUUGAGGACUUGGUGAGGACUUUUUGGCUUAUCCCACCUUUCGAUCUUAUAUCAACAUCUUGACCACUCAGUUUAUAGGUAUUUAUGAGUAGAUCAUUUCUCCAAAUUUUCAGCUAUAUUGAAAAUUGUUAAAGCAUUCAUAAGUGUGAUUUAUCAAUUAUGAACUUGAACGGUUCAUAUUUGACAGAUUUGGUUCGCCCAUUAAUUUGAUCUAGUUUGUUAUCUUAAGGAACACCAAUUUAGGUGAAAAUUUGUAGAAAUGAUCUACUCAUAUAAACCUAAAAACUGAACGGAUGAGAUGUCAAAAUGUAAUCUAAAAUUGGGUCUUUUAAACCAUAAACCGAAAAGUCCUCAACUUAAGAGUCCUCACUAAAAAGGCUCCAUAGUUCCUAUCCAAAGCAAAGCUUCGUUUUGAAAUUAAAGUGUAAAGUUCCUUAUUUGACUCACUUUUCGGUCAUAUUUCCACAUCUCAAUCGUUGAGUUUAUUGAUACUAAUGUAUAGAUCAUUCCUGCAAAAUUUCAUCCAAAUUGAUGAUCGUUAAUGUACCGAAUUAGAUUAAAUCAAUGAACGGACCAUAAAUCUGUCUAACCAGUACUAUCUGUGUAAAUAAUGAUUACGAAAACCCAAAUGAUCUUCAAAUUUGAUGAAACUUUGCAGAAUUGAUCUAUACAUUAGAUUCUACAAACUAAACGGUGGAGAUAUGGAAAUAUGACCGAAAAACGAGUCAAAUAAAGAACUUCACACUUUAAUUUCAAAGCGAAGCUUCGCUCUGGAUAUGAACUGAUAUAUAUAUAUAUAUAUAUAUAUAUAAAGAAUCUUUGUUGAAGACAUUGAUUGAUAAUCUCUUUGUGUUUCAUUUAUAUAAUGGGAUAAUAAUUUACUAGUUGGGAUUUGAUUAUGUUCUUGAAUAAUAAGGGUUUUUUAGGGCUGUUCAAGAAGAUGGAUAUAAUAAGUUGAAAUUGAGAAUUAAAAGUUUGGUUUGUUUGCAAGCAUGAUUGCGUGGUUUGGUACAAGUAUAAUUGUGUGCUUCUUCAUUUUUGUUGAUGAAUACCGAUGGAUUAAGGGGUGAGAAUUUUAUUAUUUUGUUAGAUUGUAGUUGUACAGGCCUUUGCCUGCAAAUAUUGUUUACGUUUGGCUGCUAGUAUUCAUAUUAAGUUUUGAAUUCAUUAGGAAUGACUGAUUAAAGCAACGUCAAAGAGAUUUCAAAGAGAAAACGAGAAGCAACACUUUUAACUUAUCGAUAUGACGAGUAUCCUUUUCCUCUCAAUACUAAAAGAUUAGUUUUCAUGAGGGCACUUCUGUUGCGGACCACUUUGUUGCGGACUCUAUGCGGACUUUUAAACAUACACCGUUAGAUUAGAUCAAUGGUCUACAAUUGAAGAAGUAUAAACUAUUCUCAUGAGGCCACAUGUAUCCAAACUCUCCCACGCUGCCUUCAUACUUCUCUGAGUUCUCUCAGUCUCAGACUCUCUCCUCUCUUCGUUUCCCAAAAAUUUCGAAUCCCUUUCUACUGUUUUUCAUUUUUCUUUUGUUUUUCCUUUAAUUUUGAGUUCCUAACAUGAUUUUACAAUCGUAUUUUUUCUCAUACACCUCCGUAUGAGCCUUGAGAAAAUGUUGUGAAGGAGGAGGGAUUGAGAUCCCACAAAACAAAAUUGAAUCCUGCUAACAAUAAGCACUAGCAUACCCAGUAGCCCAUGGGGAGAAAAGAGAGAAAUUUUACUGUUGGAGAAAAGUGGCCAUCAAAGGAUUUGUUAAUGUUGUCUGGGAAACGAAGAGAGGAGAGAGUCUGAGACUGAGAGAACUCAAAGAAGUAUGAAGGCAGUAUGGGAGAGUUUGGAUACAUGUUGCCUCAUGAGAAAAGUUUAUACUUCUUCAAUUAUAGACCAUUGAUCUAAUCUAACAGUGUCUGUUUGAAAGUCCGCAUAGAGUCCGCAACAGAAGCGACCCCUAGUUUUCAUAUCCUAGUUUUCAUAGGAGGAAGGUAUUGACUAUAAUACUCCAUUCUCGAACGUCAACAGACAACAUUGAGGUUAUUGGGCUUGCCCGUGAGUAGGAAUCAAAGCCUCAAAGGGUCUGACAAUGUGUUUUCAUAAUUUCUGAAGAUACAAGAUUACAAUACAUAGAUUGAGUGAGAGUUUAAUAAGGGUCUUAAUGACCUUUUACCUUUUUAAAAUGUCAAUUUUCAACUAAGAAAGAAAACAUGGUCAGAAAUCAACUUGAUGACCAAAAAAGGGUUAUUUCUCAAAGUUUCUUGUCCUAGUAAUUUUUUUAUAUAUUUUUCUAACUUUUGGACUUCCCAUUUCUGACUAAAGACUACAUUUCUUCUUCACCAUUUUGUACCAUCUUACCUGAAGAAGUAGUAGAUCAUAUCCGGGUUACUCCUCUCCCUUAUUUUCCUCAAAAUGAUAAUUUGAAUUGGGGCCUCAUUGGCCAUGGAAAUUUUACCAUCAGCUCAACCUCUCGUUUACUGACACAAAAUUUGACAGACCACUCUCAAACCCCUCUUUUAAAGAAAAUUUGGAAGCUCUGUGUUCCACCUAAAGUUAAAGGUUUUGCGUGGAAACUCAUAAGAAGUAGACCGACGAGAGAUGGACUCUUUAAGGCAUGUUGAUAGAAGUUGUCCGUUUUGUCAUUAUACUUUAGAAACUGUUGAUCAUCUAUUCCUAAAUUGUAUUGGAAAAGUGUGGCUUAGAUAUAAGCCAUUUGGAAUCUCACAUCGGAAACGUCAAAGAGUCAUCCUUGAGUUAUAAGAAAUGGUACCACACACACUAUUAUCAAGAUCUUUUGUGUAAAACCUCAUACAUGUUUCUCCACCGGGUGGCUAAAGUGGGGGGAGUAUCGACAUUAUUGGACGUGUCACGUGUGUGUGGGACCUGUGGGGCUCGUCAGCCGCUUCCACGUAACAAGUGGUAUCAGAGCCCAGGUGACGCUUGGGACUUGGUGUCUCAUACGAUCGAGUUGCAAUUUGAUGGAGCUCCUGUUUGGAUUGGGAUCACAAGAUGAAGAUGGUUGUGAUCGAGAUUGAGCUAUUGGAAUUUGGAUCGUGAGACAAUUAGAGAUGGCUCGAAUCAUGCUAGGUGGAGAUUAUUGGAAAAAUGUGGCUUAGAUAUGAGUCAUUUAGAAUCCCACAUCGGAAACGUGAAAGAAUCACCCUUGGGUUAUAAGAAAUGGUACCACACACACUAAUGUCGAGACCUUUUGUGUAAAACCCCAUACUUGUUUCUCCACCGGGUGGCUAAAGUGGACGUGUGUGUAGGACCCGUAGGGAUGGUAAUAAUCCCCAGCGGGUAGGGUACCCACGGGUAUUCGACCCUAACGGGGAGAUAUACGAGGAUAAACGGGUGACGGGUACGAGGGUCCUCAGUAUUUAGAUUUUUGAAUCGGGUACGGGGCGGGUAUGAUAUUUUGAUAUUCGUCCCCAUCCCCACCCAUUUAAGAUGGAAAUAUUAUUUUUUAAUAUAUAUAAUAUUUAAAAAUAGAUAUUUAUGUAAAAUCUUUUGUAAUAUUUUUUUUACUAUGAUUUUCUUAAUGAAUAUUUAUAGAAACUUCUUUUUUAACCGAGACUUGUAUUCGUUUUUGUUGGAUUGAAUCAAGAAACUUAUUUAUAUAUGUAUUUGAUUUUAUUUUCAUAUUUCUAUAUUUCGUAAUUAUUUUUAAAAAAUUAAUUAUCACAUAAUUGUUAACGGGGAUCGGAGCGGGUAUGGGAAUGUAAUCCCCAAAGAGGACGGGUACGGGGAAUCCCUAUUAUCUAAUUACGGGGAAUGGGGCUGAUACGGGGAUGAGGAAUGAAAAAAGGUACGGGUAUGAUAUUUUGAUCCCCUGACCCUACUCUACCUAUUGCCAUCCCUAGGGACCCGUGGGGCCCGUCGGCCGCUUCCGUGUAACACAUUGUAGGUUUACAACAAGUUUGGUAGUUAGCUAUUCCUAACUUACAAAUUCAUCUCUUGAACUCUUUUCUACAGUGGCUACAUUCCUUAUUUGUUACUCCGUCAUCUUUAACUCUUUUAGAAAUAGUACUUACUACAUCAUACAGUUAGCUAUUCCUAACUUACAAGUUCAUCUCUUGAACUCUUUUCUACAGUGGUUACAUUCCUUAUUUGUUACUUCGUCAUCUUUAACGUUUUUAGAAAUAGUACUUACUACAUCAUACCGUCUAUGGAAAGCAAGAAAUGUUCUUGUCUUUAGAAACGAUGUUGUCCAUCCUGAAAAUGUUGUUUACUCUGCAACGAAUCUUUUUCGUUAUUAUUUUACUAUUAAUGCUGAUUACACUAAGAAAUCUUACAGGUUUGUUAAGCCAAUUCGUUGGCAUGCUCUUCCUCCUCAAGCAUUUUAGCUCAAUUUUGACGAAUCUGUUUAGAAUCACGCUACUUCAUCAGGGUUUGUCAUUAGAGAUGCAGAUGGUCAACCUAUUGUAGCAUCUACAAAAUAUAUUGGUCCUAAUGAUGUAUUUACUGCUAAAGCUUAUGCGUUACGUGCAGGUUUAUUAGCAGCCUGGAUCCAUGGUUAUCAAAAAAAUUUAGUUGAAAGAGAUUCGUAAAUCCUUAAUUCCAUCAAUGGUACGUGUCUUACCCUCGGAAGAUUCAACUUUUUGUUAAAGACAUCAUCUUCCUUGCCUUUAAAAUUGGUCAAGUUUCUUUCACACAUAUUCAUCGAGAAGCAAACUUUGUCGCGGACGCUAUUGCAAAUUUGGGACAUCAACUUGAAACUCAAGCUUGGGACAGAUCCCUUCCUCUUGCAGCUAGUCAGACAUUCUAUUUUGACUCUCUAGGUGUUGGUUGUAGUAAGGGUUUUGUAAUUUGAGGUUGUCUUUAUUUUAUCUCUUGUCAAAAAAAAAAAAAAAAAAAACAAAGUUCUCCACUAUCCUUUCUUUGUUAUCUCCACUUUGUCUUGUUAUCUGUAAAUAUCAAAUGUAGAUCACAUCAACGAACAACAAAAAUGUUGAAUGUAUACUAUACCCCCAAAUCACUAUGUUAUGUUACAAAGGCUUUGGUUCUUUCACUCCUAAAUCUGGCAGAGAUGGGCUUUACUAUUUCUAAUGGAGGUGCCCUUGGGAUUAAGAAGAGCAACAAGUCUCCGAAAAAGCGAGUACGUCCGAGGAGGAGUCGCAACAAGAAUAAGCUACAGUUGGGAGAGUGUUUGGAUUCUAUGGAACUAGGAUCGACAUAGAUCACAGAUUGUGACAAAGGCCUCGACUUAGAGGUUGAAGCAAAAUAAUCUCGUAGUGUAACUGGGAAAGAUCCAUGUUUAUGCCCCAAAAGUGUUGAUUCUCUUCUACUUCGAUGAAAGGUACAUUAUUGGGUUCGAGGCCUCUAAUCGGGGAGAGAAGUGUUGCUCUUAGGGUAUGGCAGGGUAACUUGCUUUCUAGUAUAUAUAUUUCAUAUCCACCUUUCUAGUAUGGUUUUUUUUUCAAUUCCCAGACGUAAUUCGAUUUAGUUUUGCUAUGCAGUUGUAUGGUCUUCAGACUAUUCAUGUUUGACAUUUAGGUCGUCAUGUUGAUCAAUGAAGAUUUUUCUUUUUCCCUAAAAAAAAAAAAGUUUGAAAUGAGUAUCUAGUAUUUAGGAAUCUGUGAAUAAAAUUUCUUUGUUGCUUAUAAGUUGGCUAGCCCGGUUUAUAAAUCUUCAUUUUCAUUUCAGGCUGAGUAAUUAAGUUCAGCUUCGAUUUUUAUUUGGCUAUCUUAUUACAUGAUAUAACCGAUGGCGAAAACACAACGUAUCUUUAUACAGAAAAAAAAGAAAAAAAAAAAGUUAAAGGUUUAGAAUAUGUUAACAAACACCCUUGUCGUUCAUUCUUCCUUUUUUCCUUACGAGAAAAUCCAGAAAGUUUGAGAAAACAAAAGAAAAAUGAGAUGGACCUGGUUGAUGCUGAUAAAUUGGAAGCACCAGAGUAGGUGCAGUGGCACUGUACGACCCAUCCUAAGCGGUUCAUUUUAGGGAUACACACAACCAGACAAAUUCAACACUUUGUGUACAAAAUCACAUUUAUCAAUUUCUUUUUUAUAUUAUUCGUAUCAAUAUAAAAUAAAACUAAUAUAUAUUAUUAUUAGCCUUUUCCAUAUGUAUUCUUUUUUUUUUUUUGGCGAGAUUUCCAUAUGAUUCUUUGGUCCCUGUAACAAACCUCCUGAUUCCCCUACUCCGAAGCUUCAAUCACCUCCUCAUUCGGGCCAACUCCAAAGGCCAAUAUCUCUCUUCUUCCUUACGCCUCCUCCUCUUUCUCUCCCUCGCUCUCUCUCCGAUUCCGAAAUCUAGGGCUUCUUAUUCUGUGAAUCAAUUUCGUGCUUUGGAAUCGUUCAGUUCCGGUUCGAGGGAGCAGAGGAUCAGUCUUCAGUCGCGCCAGGUGUUCUUUCUCGCCUUUUAGUUUAUGAAUUUUCAUAUUCUGUGCCCUUGUAUGUAUUCAAAUGGUUAUACGCGUACUCUGGAUAUGUAUGUAUGUAUUUUUGUGUAUUUGUGGUUUGGAAACUGGAAUUGCGGCACUAUAGAUGUGAUCAUUGAGUUGAAUGCUUCGAUGCUGUUUUUAAUCACCUGAAUUUUAUUUAGAAUUGCAACUUAUGACUGCGUUUCGGACUGCAUUUGUGAUUUUUACUUCAACAGUGCAAGUAGUAGUCCUACAUUGGUUGGGCAAAGGGUUCGCUAAAGGCAUAUACACUCAUUUGUAUCUCUGAUUAGUUAAUAGGUCAAGAUUAAGCUUUCAGGAGCUGUUUAUGACUUUAUGUACAUGUAGGAAGGGUUUUUUUCGCACUCGUCUUGCAUUGGUUGAGGUUUUAUGACUGAUUGUUUAUGCUGCGUCCUUUAAUUCUUUUUUAGAAAUUAUUUGUCAUGUUUCAGUAUGGAAUUUAUCAAAUUCAGCGCAUAUUUGCCAUGUGAUAAAGUAGGAACCAAAUGCAUAAAAAGAGCUGAGAAAUUUUAGGAGAGUUUUUGAGAAUAACUUUGGUAUUUGUUGCAGCAUUUUGGGGCUUGUAGAGAUGGAUGACAUCAAAGAGCGGCUGCUUCCGCCAAAAGUUCCGAAACCUGCAUCUGCUAUUAAUCUUCGAGAUUCAUCUUUUCGAUCAUCGGCCUUUGGGAGGCAACCUUUUCAAGGCGUGGAUGUUCUGGGGCUGAAGAAGCGGGGCCAGGGCCUUCGGUCCUGGAUUCGUGUUGAUACAUCUGGGAAUUCUCAGAUCAUUGAGGUUGACAAGUUCACCAUGAUGCGACGUUGUGAUUUACCUGCCCGUGAUUUGCGCUUGCUUGAUCCUCUAUUUGUGUACCCCUCAACCAUCCUUGGCAGAGAGAAGGCUAUUGUAGUUAAUCUGGAGCAGAUCCGUUGUAUUAUCACGGCUGAUGAGGUUCUGCUUUUGAAUUCCCUUGAUAACUAUGUAUUGCAGUAUGUGGUGGAGCUACAGAAAAGAUUGACAACAAGUGGUGUAGGUGAUGUUUGGCAGUCUGAUGGUUCUGACAUGAGUAGGAGGAGGGGAGGUAGAAGUUUUGAUAAUGUGUUUGGGAGCACAUCUCCUGACUAUUUACCCUUUGAAUUUAGGGCUUUAGAAGUUGCUCUGGAGGCUGCCUGUACAUUCCUUGAUUCUCAGGUGUGUAGAAGAGUACAAUAAUUUGGAUUUUCUAUCUCUGUCAAUAUUAGAUGUGUGGGUGAUGACUGUUUAUAAUAUGAUGCUUGAACAUGCACAUAAUUUGCUAUAUUGAGGAGGCUUUCAAACAAUGGUGAUAUUGGCAGUUGUGUUUUGGUACUGUGGAUAGAUAGAAAUAUAAGGAGUUCUGACAUACGGGGAGGGGACAGAGGCUGGGGGUCAGGCUUUGUGCCUAAGAUUCGCAAUUUUGAUCUUCCUUGUGGGUUUCAAAUCUCCUUGCAGUAUAGGAGGCAUUUUAUCCUCAUAUUUGUUUGUUAUCUGCUAGUUUUGAUAUCCAAUGGAUUUCUUAUCCUAUGUUUUUUUUUUUUUAAUUUUAUUAUAACAAUGGUAAACUCUCGUGUCUUACAUAAGUGAAGUGCAUUCUUUAUUACAUAUUUUUAAGGCCAAUAAUGCUUUUCAGAAACUUUGUACAUGAUUGGUAGUUUGAACUUAGAUUAUCUUCAUGUUGGUUAAACACUCUGUAAGUUAGCAACUAAUUGGUUAAUCUGGUAUUUUGAAGGCAGCUGAACUGGAAAUUGAAGCGUAUCCAUUACUUGAUGAGCUUACGUCGAAAAUCAGUACUCUGAACUUGGAACGUGCUCGACGAUUGAAAAGCAGACUUCUUGCCUUGACUCGAAGAGUUCAGAAGGUAAGGCUGUGGCAUACUUAUGUCACAUAAUUACCUGCAUUCUUCUGUUCAGAAGGUAAGGCUGAGCAUCCAAAUGGGACCAAAGUUUACUUUAACCUCUAUACAUCUGUUCAGGUUCGGGAUGAAAUAGAGCAGCUCAUGGAUGAUGAUGGAGAUAUGGCUGAGAUGUAUCUCACAGAGAAGAAAAGUCGUAUGGAGGCAACAUUUUAUGGCGAUCAAUCUGUGAUGGGGUAUAGAUCUAAUGAUGGUGUAUCUCUUUCUGCUCCUGUUUCCCCUGUAUCUUCACCUCCCGAUGGUCGAAGACUUGAGAAAAGCUUGAGUAUUGCAAGGAGUCGACAUGAAAGCAUGAGAAGUUCAGAAAGUGUUACAGAGAGUAUAGAAGAGCUUGAGAUGCUGCUGGAAGCAUACUUUGUUGUCAUUGAUAGCACCCUGAAUAAGCUGACUUCGGUAUGUAUAGCACCUUUCCUAUUGAACUUUGACAUCACUAUAUGUAGCAGUUGCUUGAGGGGGGUAGAAUCUUAUGUCAUCUCUCUCCUAUGUUUCAGUUGAAAGAAUACAUUGAUGACACAGAAGAUUUCAUUAACAUUCAGCUGGUAUGUGCUUUGUUGAUUUCUUUUUCUCCUUUAUAAGUGUAGUUCUUUUAACUACUUCAUUACGCACUGUGGUAGCAACUGAUCAUAGAAGACAAAAAGAAAAAACAUGUCUGGAUAAAACUUAGGAGCAUAGCUAAAUUGAUUCCAUCCUCAAGGAAAUCAGAUCAGGAUAAUUGACGGUUAAAUACUCAAUUAUUUAGUAACUGUAAAACUGUUCUUUGUCCACUAACUGUGCUGAUUCAGAAGUAGAUGUAUUUUUCAACUUGUUCGAUCCAGCUAUAUUUGGGAAAUGCAGAAUUAAAGUUGUAAAGUUUUUGCUUUCAGGAUAACGUACGUAAUCAGCUGAUUCAAUUUGAGCUGCUACUAACAACUGCAACGUUUGUGGUUGCGAUAUUUGGAGUUGUAGCAGGAAUCUUUGGCAUGAACUUCGAAAUCCCAUUGUUUGAUGACCCUGGCGCUUUUAAGUGGGUACUUGUAAUCACAGGAGUAACUGGCAUAUGCAUAUUUUCUGCAUUUGUGUGGUUCUUCAAGUAUAGAAGACUCAUGCCACUAUAGAGAUGUAAAAUGAAACUUCUAAUGAAGGCAUUAAAAUUAGAAGAAAAGAAAGUCAGAUGAUAAAUCCCCAAGUUGGCUGGUUGGGUCAAUUAUUUCAUUUUGAUUCAAAAAUCAACUGUGAGAUUCCAUCAAAUCCCUGUAAAUUCCCUGAAAAUUAUAGCUCUAUUAAGAUGAUUCUUUCCCCAGUCUUGGGUUCUUGGACAACCUGUGCAGUGCUUCAUUGUUUUAGUUUUUUCUUUGGAUUUCUUUUUUCUUUUUCUGUUUGGACAAGAAAGCUAAAACACUAUUACAUAGUCAAACUGGAUCUUAGAACUUGCUUGGGGAGGGAUCACACCACACCAAAUCUAGGGAGAAGAGAUGGAAUGGCGGCCAAUAGAAGCUAGAGCAUCAGCAAGGAAGUUCGAAGAGAUUGCAUUGAAAGAGCGAGAAUAUUAAAACUUGAGUCUCCAGGGAACGCAGUGCAAAAUGUUGACGCAUCCAAUAAUUAGAGAUUGAUGAAUCUCCUUGAACCCCAAGCUUCUUGAUUUUGAAUCUUCAUACAGCUAAGAGACAAUCUCUAAGAGCAGAGCAUUCAACAACAGGCACACAAGAAUGAAGCCUACGUUUGCCAGCUACCACAGGGGAACCAUGGUUCCUGAUGACAAAAAGCCGGCAGCACCGGAGGCAGUGUUGACCUAUUUGAUGGCAUUUUGAACACUUGAACUGGGAGGGGAAGCCAUCACAUUGAAUUUGCGUGGUAAGUGGAGACAAUGGAGGAAGCAACAUGAGUAAUUGAGGGGGGUGUAACUUGAGCAGCUCGAAAGCGUUUGAGAUUUGUCAGCACACCAAAGAUUCAGUUGUAAAUGAUAGAUAGCAAGAGUGGCGUAGCCAGAGAUUUAGCUAAGAGAGGUCAGACUUACAUAGCUAGUCGAUUAAGUUAAUGAAGAAAAAGACCGUGGUUAAUAGUCACAUAUGAAAGUGUUUUAGAACCGAAAUGUUUCCAUAUGAUAAGGAAGAAAAUACCAAAGUUGUACAUCAAAAAUCAAGGAGAAGUAUUUAUAUACAAAGGAAGCACAUUUCAUUGUUAGAAUUUAUAUCUAAAGAGGAAGGAAAGUUCAUUGUUAAAAGUAACUACUAUUUUAUAAAUGACUUAACUAGCUCAUAUUUCACUUACAUAGAGCCAAAAACUGAUGCAUGGUGGAGUUAAUCAAGAUGUCUAUGUAGCUACGCCCUUGAUAGCAACCAUCCCUCUGAUUGGGCAAAGAGGAAGGGAAAAGUAAACGAUUAGAUAGUUAUCGACCAAACAGCAGAGGAUAAAAGAUGAGUAGCAUUCUCCACUCAUGUACCACAAAAAGCCCAAGUGUCGAUACUGAUGAUCAAUUUCCAAGUUUUCUUCAAAAGAUCAGCCUUAAAAUGUUGUGGCACACAACAAUGCAUCCCCUGUGCAGAUUUAAUUUAUAUCGGGAAAAAAGUGCAGAUUCAAUUAAGAAGGUACCAUUUGGGGCAGGAUCCCAAAUGAAUUUAUCAUUUUGAGUUGACAUCGGAAGGCCGGAAGCUCGUGAAUAAGUGGAACACUUCAGGUUGGAAACAAGCUCUUGGCACAAGCAAGUUCCAUUACCCCAAUCAUGGCCAAUUUCACUACUAUCUUUAGCUGCUGUUCCCUUUCCCAUGCCGUGUUCACCCUUGCUUUAGAGGUCAGGGCAUGGAAUUGUCCACCUUACAGUUUUUAGUUUUUAGUUUUUAGUUUCUACCACCGCUCAUUUACUGGCUUUCAACUUUGCAUUGAAGCACAACAAAUAAGCAUACAGGUGGUGCUAUGGAUACUGAAUGUUCUUCACCCAAAAUCCCCCAGUUCCAAAUUUUGGCAUGGUCGAAUUACCUCUUCCACAAUAUACCAAGUACUACCCUCGGCAAUGAAUUAGCAGUAAAGAGUCUGAAGGCACCCCAAGAUGCACUGUGAGACUUCAGACAGUCUCAAACACUAAUUUCCAACUUGAUCAGCAUGAAUAUUUCUACAAGUUGUAAAAGCAUAUAGUUACAGUUUUCUAAGAUAAGGAAUGCAUGCUAAACAUUCAUAAGAUUUCAACAAAAAUUCACUUCUACUGCAGCCAAACAUGACAAUGAAAGAUGUUUGCUUUUAGCUGGUUAUUGAAAUGUAUUUCUCAGAGAUUAUAUUUAUAUCAAGGACAGUCCUUAAGGAUCGUAAAGAGCCACUCCUCUGAGGAGAAGGAAGAGGUAACCACACUGCCAAAAAGCAAAGACCUCUUACACCUUCCAACCAUACAAAAAUUCAAGAGGAAAGUUACAUACUUUAACAGAAAACUUUCACAUCAUUUAGCAGAAGAUGCACUACUUGAAGACAGUCUUUGGCUCCUUGCCUUAUCAGCCUUUUCCAAGUAAUCUUGAUGGGAUUGAUGCUUUGCCCCUAUAGCAGAACACAAUUGUAAUAGAAUUAGGAUUUUAGCUGAUAAAUUGCAGCUGCAAAAUUCCAUACACAAGUAACACAGAUAGCAGGUAACUGAACCAUAAGUAUGAUGAUGGAGUAUCCAACCAGGGCUUUCAGCAUCUAUUUCCCUACAAUACAAUCUAAACCGGUUCAUCAUGUGGAAAAGCAACAACACAGAAGUUGACAGCUCGUCCCCAUUUUCCGUUUGCAAUAACAGAGAAAAACAAACGCUACUGAAAAUACUGGUUAACCAAAACAUUUUAUGACAACUUGCAUAACACGAGCCUAGAUAUAUCAAAGAGAAAGAUUUACCAUCACACAUUCACAAAUAAAAACCCUACCACUAUCCUGUUUGUCAAACAUCUUAAAACUCCAUUAUGUUGUAGUGAAAUCAAUAUUUCAAAUUAAGGAUUUGCACUGAUUACAAUUUCAGGAGAAAACCAUUACAAUGUAUUUGGUACGACGACUAGAUGCACUACAUGACAUGGAUUUGAAAUAGCCAUAUGCAUGGAGUCAUUUGAAAUUUCUGUCUUCUAACCCGUGUCUUGACACACUAAUUGCAAUGACGAGACCUGCGAUCUAACUUAAAAUGCAACUUAAAUCCCGGUGCUCCAAAUUAGUCCAUUCAAUCGGGGCAUCUAAUGUUACUUGAGUAGCUAGGUAGCCAUAGCAAGAAUAAAAUCUUUAACUGACUACAUGAAGGAGACUGAGUUAAUACUAGCACAUCGGAGAUCAAAUUUCAAGCCCCUAAGAAUAAAUUCAAUUGAAACCGAGCUGCGCAGUAGAAUAGAUGUGGAAAUAACAAACACAAACUCUAAACCCUAAACCCCAAAAUUGGCAUUGAUAUAUGAAAAGGUUUUCUAAUUGAAUCCCUCUUCUUUAUCCCAUCUAAAGAAUCAAAAACGGUGCCGUUUUAACCGAAACAUAAGACUGAGAGAAGUGAAGCAUUCGGACCUCGAGUCAUGAAGUACCAAGGAACGGCGAAGACGGCGCUGAUGAGAACGAUGCCGGCCAUGACGUGCUUCUUGUCGCCGCUGUACAAGUAGUGCUCCAUUUUGCCCCUAAACCCCUUUCCGGCUUUGGCCUCGCUGCUGCUGCUGCUCAUCUUUGUCUCUCAAAACCUCAGCUUUCUCUCAAACUGUGUGUCUUUCUUUCUUCUGGGGGUAGUUUAGUUGUUUUGCUGCCGGGUUCUCUCUUAACCACGUGUAAGACACUUGGCCGCCACCCUCACCUCGCCUUUUUUUCUUCUUCUCAUUUUCGAUUUUAUUUGAGCUAGGUAUUAUUUGAUCCAUUCUAAAAAAUAAUAUUAUUUUUGUAACCAAAAAAAAAACAUAUUAUUUUGAUCACAAUAUCCCAAAAUACAAGAACUUGCAAUAACAUUUAUAGAUGAAGGUUGAGGGAGACUCGAAGAUUUUAAAUUUUGAUGGUUCUUUCAUUAAUAACACUCAAGCAUAUGCAAUACGCUCUCGAAAAUUCUGAGCUGAGGAAGCCAACAACCAUAAGUUCUUGGGUAUAAGCGACGAUGAUCUCCGGCUCACCGCCUGCGUUUAGGCAUAUCACUGGAGUCGUCCUCUCUCGUGGAAAGGAGUGUGUUGUGAGGCUUUGGAUCUCAACUGAGGUAAAGCGGUUGGGUAGAGCAGUGCUGGGUGACGGUGUGUAGUGUGAGGCUGCGGUGAAGGACUGGUCGACUUGAGAGUUGCACAGAGGUGUCGUAGUCUACAAGGGUGAGCGUCGUCGUUGUCGUGUCUUCCAUAACACGGCUAGGGUUUCAGACUUUCAGUGGCCUAAAGGAGAAGUCGGGAUCGAGAAAGAGGCGGUUUCGAGCUUUGUGGCGAUCGAUCCUGCCUUGGAUCGACAAACCUUGUAACAACGGCGGCAUUUUGGAACUUAAGGUUGCAACAAUGGUGCUCCGAUUGGGCAAGCUACUGAUACGAGCUGGUUUCUUAAACUCCUAUUACGUCACCCAUUCGGGGAAAAAAAAAAACUCCUAUUUAGUCCUUUUUUUUUAUCAAAUAUUACAACCGCAUCCGAUCAAAAAAUAAUAAUUACACCUGUGUGAAUGGGGAGACUAUGAUGCUAGACCAAUUAGUAUUAAAUUCCUAUUUAGAGCCGAUUAGUAUUAAAUUCCUAUUUAGAACAGAUGCUGCAAUGGUGUAAUUGGAUGGGUUGGAUUAAAGGUUGGGUUAGACGAGGGUCUCAUACAUAUCUCACCUUACCCGAUCAAAACCUGGGGUAAGAAUUAACCAGCUGUUAGUCUAAACCAAUUCCAACAUUAGGCCCGUAAACACACUAUUUUGUACAUGGCAUCAUAUAUAUGUUUUUGUUUAAUUAGUCUUAGGAUUGAUCUCCUUAGUGUAUUGUUAAACCGAGGACUAAAGACUGAUAAAAAUGAACAAUGAAUCAACCCCGGGUUGAAAAUUGGUCUAACCCAUCUAAAAUAGGUGCAUUUGCUGGGUGCAUUUGCUCUUAGUCUUAUGUAUUAUUUGUUCUUCGCAUUUUAUAUCAAAUAAUCAAUAUGCCUUGCAGCUCUGUGGAAGCUCUUUAGCUUUUCGUGGAUGCUGAGAGCCAAUAAGAAGUUAAGAAAACGGAAGAAUAAAACCCAAAAUAAUCCUGGUCUUCUUGGACAAAAUCCACCUAUAUCGGUAUAUCCCAUUACCAUUGCCAGUCCACUCGGUCCAAAUUCGAAAAAGAACCGAUUAUAGCCUAAUUCCAAUUUCAAAGUAUCCGAACAACUAAACCGUCACCGCUGUCACUUCAACCAGUUAUUUUCGUAAAUGCUUAACCUCAGAAUUUUUGAGUUGCACAGCCACCGCCAUCAUUGGACCUAACCUGAAAGCCAAUGAAAGAAGCAGUCCAGAUGCACAAUAUAGCAACAAUGACGCCAAGAAUCGAAAAACUUGACAACCAGGGCAACUGUACUAUUCAGUAUUGCUGAUCAUAUCCAACUCUCCCUACUGCUCCGAGUCCUGACAAAUUCAUAUGCAUCGAUUAGGCUAUUGAGAUUAGAGUUACAAUGCUAUAUUAGUGGGGCUAAUAAGUAAUUCAUGAUUUGUUAUAAUAGAUAGGUGACAUGUUCACAUGUAAAUUCCAUCUAUAAGAAAAAUAUGAAAACAUUUGUUGCUGAGGCCUUGUAUAGCUGAUUGUCAGAAUGUAGAGUAGUGAUUUCUAGGCCUUGAUUUCAAAGGGGUUUCUUACAUGAAACUCCAUCUCUUGAUUUCGGUUGCGAUAUGUCCCUAGUCCUGAAAGUGGACACUAACAGAUUAUGGCCUUGCAACUAUUCCUCAGUCAGCAAAAACAUGACCUAAGAUGUUGAUGGGCUUGAGGAACUCAGUUGACGUGCUGGUCCUUGAGGUCUUGAUAAACUUGAUUGAAUUUCCUAUCACAUUUUUGAUUGACAUAGUUAUAAAUUAAUCAAACAAUCUAAUAAGAGACUAAUGGAAGUUUGAAAAAAACAUACAAGGCUAUUUAUAAAGAAGACAAACCUGUGAAUACAUAAAUGAGGGAUUGGGUAUCCUUGGAAGUAUAAAUUGGUGGCCAGGUAGGUGAUGAUAAGGCAAGGCUUGUCCCCCAGAAACAGUUGGAAACCCACCUGGAAACUGUCCGCCUAGACAUAAGGAUGAUCUGAUCAACUCCUUCUCUUUUCCUACUCCAGUUGAUCCCUAAACGGUAACAAAAUGAUCAAUAUCAUAACUCAAUUUCGGUGGGCCACUCAUCUCAUGAAUUUGGUGCUGAAUUUUUAGCUACAAGUACACAAGAAACAACCUGAACAUUUUCCGAUAAAUUUGAUGGGCCAGUCAUCUCAUGAGCGUUUGUAUUAGGUUCCUGAGAAUCUGUUAAAAAUACAAAAAUGCAAUUAGGCUAACAAAAAACAUAAGUUACGUAGUUUCAAUAAUCCAAAAUAAUAUAUCAACUAAUGUACUAACCUUUUCUUUCAGAUGAAACUUCGUUUUUGGAGUCCUUAGAUUUUAGAGCAUUCUUCAUUUUACCCUUCCCCCGGCCUUUAGACUUCUGAGUUUCUGGUUCCUGCAACUUCAGAUGCACACCAUCUUCAUUCGUACGAUUACCAGAACCUGUAUCGCCAUUUCUUACGGCAUGUUCAUGUCCAGUAUGCUGAAGAGCUUUUAAUCUUUCCUCCAACUUUAACAAUUCAGACUUCACAAAAGUGUAUGAAUGCCUGUUCUUUGCACCCUCUGAUGUGAUUCUAUGUGCUAUUUGACAUAACUCGCCAAACUGAGCCAUGGGAGAGGAGUCCCGAUUAUACAAAACAUGUGUACUUGAUGCAGGAGCAAGAGAAUGAGUAUGUUCAGCUUCAAAUUUAGUAACAACAUACUUUUUACUUUGGUUAAGUCUAAUCUCAAGCAUUGCCUUGCACCCAAAUCUUCUUUCUUCUCUUUUUUUCUGUGGACUUCUCUUUUUAGUGUAGAAACCUUGGCAAGAGCAACAGUACUCUCUUUUCCAUAUUUCACCGUGUUUGUUUUGAUUUUGUCUAAGCUUUCUCACUUUAAAUCCAACACUCCUAGCGUAUGAACAAUAAAAAUGAUAUACAUCUUCAUCAUUAUCAAAAGUCAUACCUACUUCAGGCUCCCCAUAUAAUACCACCGGUCUUUUGGUCAUGUUGGUGUCUCCUCCUGUUUGCUCAGUAUCCUCCGCAAUAUGAACAUCCUCAGAAUCAGACCCUAUGUUUACAUGAUCGAUAGCUUCUUCAGUAUCAUUAGAAUUAGCACGGAAUUCAUCCACUUGAUUUUCCAUGGUGACAGUGUAAGCUUUUGCGUUGAUGUGGAGUGAACACUACAGCAUCCUAUUUAAGAAAAUUAAAUUGAAUUAACCAAAUUCCAUGGACAGGAAGCAUGUAUAAGCUAUAUACUCCUACAAGCCAUCACAACACUGAGUGAGCUCAAUUACAGGCAGAGUUAUGAACAAUGCAUAAUGACAAAGACCAGAUAUUUCUUUGGUCUAUUUUUCCUUUUAACUGACGAUGCUCUACAAUUCCUUGCUGUAUUCCUCUUGGAUCAUCAAUUAGACUUAUUAAAAACUUACAACAAUAAUGAAAUUAAAAACAUGCACACACACAUGUAAUUAGGAUAUUAACCGGCAGUGGAAUUGCCUAGAUAGAAAAAUGCCAGGGUCUCUCAUGCAAAUACAAGGAGCUCACACAGAUUAAACAAACAACUUACUAGCAAGAAACAAAGGCCAAACAAACCCAGAAGGAAAACGAAUGAUACCAACAAAAUUAGAACCCACACAAGAGUACCCACUAUCAAAAUGAAUGAGAAUCGCAUAUACAGGACAAAAGAUUAGAAAUUGAUUACCUUCGUUUUCAACUUGCAAGAAGAAUUGCAGGGGAUCGACCUCCAAGAGAUGAAGUAGUCUCUAUUGAUGUUUGGGGAACCGGAGAUGAAGCUGAAGAGAGGGAGAGAAAAUUCGUUCGGGGACUCGGAUCUCUCCUCAUAAACCUCUGCUAAUAUUUCUUAAUAAAAAGAUCCUGGCCGUUCAUUCUAAAUCAAUGGCCAAGAUGUCUCCUACCUUACCACAAAACAUAUUUUUUCGUAUGUUCUCCCUUCUCUCUCUCUCAAAUUACCGUGUCCCAUCUCUCUCUCUCUCCUCCGGUUCUCUUCCCAACCGCCGGCUCCCCUCUGGCGUCCUUUUUCUCGAUUUGAAUCCUCCGGCGUCCAUUCAAGGACAAGAUCUUCGUGCCGGAUUCCUCAGAAUGGCAAGUACCAAGGAGCUUUCCAAAUUAUCAAACUCAAAUUCGUUCUUCCUCAUUCACUAUCGCAAAUAGAAAUUGUCUAUGGUCUAGAAGCACAGGCAUCCACAACCCUUCAAUUCUACAAGAACAUGGUAUAAGUAAGAUAUUGAGUAAAAUCCAUCGAUCUGAAUACCAACUACAAACCUUAUAAUUCCUGUGUAAUUACAAGCACCAACUACAAACCUAUAGUUCCUGUCCAAAUUACUAGCCACACUGUACAAAAAACCCAGAUGAAACAAUUCGAUUCUUUCUACUAAAGCAACUGAUCAUCACAUUGAUUCCAUACUAGAGCAGCUGAUCAUCACAUUGAUUCCAUAAACAAACAAAAAAAUAUGCCGGAAGCUCUGCAAAAUCCACAAGAAAGUCGUCGGCAUCGAUUUUGGGACGACGAACUCGGCCGUCGAUGGUUAGAGAACAACCCCGUCCGUGGUGGCUUAUACUAAGAACGGCGAAAAGAUGAGAGAGAGAUGGGACACGGUAAUUUGACAGAGAGAAGGGAGAACAUACGAGAAAAUAGGUUUUGUGGUAAGGUAGGAGACAUCUUGGUCAUUGAUUUAGAAUGAACGACCAGGAUCUUUUUAUUAGGAAAUAUAAACAGAGGUUUAUGAGGAGAGGAUCCGAGUCCUUUGUUCGGUGUCUUCCGCUUUUGAGAUCCCUGUAUUGCGAGAUUAGUCUCCUGUCGUUUUUUUUUUUGAUACGUAGUCUCAUGUCGUUUCAAAUUUUGUGUUUGAAUUUUGUUCUUUUCAUUUUUUCAGGGAUGAGAAUUUCGGUUUUAAGUGCUCGCCCCUGACUACAUACAGUUUUUUGUUGUUGAAUAUGCGGUUGUUCUUAAACAUUGAUAAAUAAAACUGUCGAAGAUAAAUAAGGACAUUUAGCUUAAAUCUUUGAUUACAAAUAUCUGAAAUAUUAUCAAGACCAAUAAAUAUGUACUCAACUAAGUACCAAUUAACAAAAAAUGCUCUAAUAACUACUCUAUUUGUUUUGAUAUAACGGUGAAGUACCGGAAAGAUAACUUGACUACUGCAAAGCAUAAAUGCCAAAUGCACAGCUUUCACACUAUGUUGCUGACGGAAAACAAGUUUGACGACACUUAGCUUCACCCUACCACUAGGAAGCAACGACCAUUUGACAAAGUAAGGAACUCGUCGUCUGCCUAGAGUAAAUGAGACACUUUGAAUGCACACACAAGCAUAUAACCCGAUUCCUCCUACACAACUGAUGUGGGGACUUAUUGCUAGCGAGAAAUGCAACAAAGCUAAACAACCAAAAAACAAAACAACAUAAAGUAAAAUAAAAACAACCUGGAUAGGGCCCAAAAAAUGAGCCCUAACCCUACCUCUAGCCCACAUAGUAGAGAAGUCCAAUCCACCAAGCCAGGCCCAGCAGCCCAGCCCAAAAACUGUAGAUCUCUCACCAUCGUUCCCUCUGCAUCGUGCCAUCGGUGACGUGAUGUGAUCGGAGAUCCAAAGCCACCAAGCAGUUGCUCCGCCGCUGACCUAAUAUGGUAAUCCACUGCCCACCUUCCACAUCCUGCCCCCUCCAAAUUCAGGAUGAACCCAAAUCAGAUGUUCGCGAACUCUACCAUUUCCAUCGAGCCAGUAACCAAUCCAUCGGAACAACGUCAACCACCCUUGCCUUCUUCGCCACUAAACCAGAGCCACUAAUUGCACUCCCAGCUAGAAAAUCGACCCAUAACUCCGAUCUACAAGCCUUCAAUCAAAACCUAUCGACGUCCCACAUCUCCCCUACCACCAUCUACCAAACUCUUUGCAAAGCAACCCCGGCCAACUAGAAACGGAUCUUGUCCGACGACAGCGUUUAUAACACGCCAUCAAACGGAUACAACGACCAAGUUUUUGGAACCUUAGCAGCGACAGCUAGAGAGAAAAGUUUUUGUAGAAAAUUUUCUUAAGGAAUAUUUAUAAUCAGAUGGAGAAAAUGUAAAGAUAAAUAAAUGGGUAAGGACAUAAAAAUUCGCUCCAACCUUAGGGUUUGGUAGGCAAGACGACGAUGAACUCCGGUUGUAAGAUCCUCUCGACGACGUUUCGUUGGGAGAAAGGGUCAGGAUUCCUAUAUGUACAUGGAGGUGAUUAAAGUGUAAUUCUUCAUUCGCGUUGGUGAGACAUUGGUGCGAGUUUGUGCUAGAGAGAAUAAACCUAAAAGUAGCAGUGAAUUGUGAGAUCACUUUCGGAGGUGGUGGUAGCGGAUCGGCGUCAGAGUGCUCAACUAACAUCCUCCUGGGCGUGGAGACGCGUCUGAAUCUAGUGUCGAGCAGGCCCUAAGGUAAGAGGAGGAGUAUUUUUAUUGUCCUCAGCGGUAGCACUUGUAGUAGCGGUGACUAUAUAUAGGUUUUAAGACUGUACAACCACAGGACUGAAGUGGUGGUAGGAGGCUCCUUCAUGAAACUCGUUGCCGGUCCGAUCUGGACGGGAGAGAGGAAAAGGCAAUUUGGGCCUCUGGGUCUUAGCAUGCUGGGUUGCAGCUUUGCUUCCUAGUGGGCUAGGCCUUUGGGCUUCUUCAUUUCUUUUUUCUCUCUCAAUUGGAUUGGCCCUAAGUUGGUUUUUUAGGGGAGCCGAAAGAUCCCUACAUAACCUACCGAAGAGUCUACCCAUUUUUUGAUGGAAAAGUAUACCAGAAUGGUCUUAGGCCUCGAUUCAUUGAGCUAGGGUACUUUGGUUUGGUUAUGUAGGUUAUUUGCUUUCUAGACCAUAAUAAGUCUAAUUUUGGACAUUAGUUCUUUUGAUAGAUUUUGUAGUUUCUUUCAAAUUAGAAACAUGAUUCAUGAGCAGCACAUUGUAUACAAACAUGAUUCAUAAGCAGCACAUUGUAUACGAACCUAUCAUUGGACAUCUUCAAGUUCGACGUAGUAUGGUCGUAUGAUUAAUAGAUGGGUUGUAUGUCCCAUGAAGUAACAUCCAUUUUCUCUUGAACAAAAAAAAAUGGAUGUUACUUUAUGGGAUGUACAACCCAUCUAUUUGGUUGACUCUUAAUCAGUGGUCGGCUUAAGACAAGAGAUAGGCUAUCCGGGUUUGGUUUCAUUGCUGAUAACUCUUGUUCUCUUUGUAACAAUAAUAAUGAAACAGCUGACCACCUCUUUGAUUAUUGUGACUUUACUAAAAAUGUUUGGAACCUUUGGGAAGAGGGUUUCCUUAAUGUCCUUAAGGAACUCUUUAUUUCAUAGCCUCAUGAUGCUGGGUUAUUUGCAAAAGUUAUUACCACCUGCUGACAGGUCUGGAAAGCUAGGAAUGACACUGUUUUUAGAGGAGUUGUUCCUAAUCCUCUAUCAACUGCCUUAGCAGCAGCUGAAACGACUUCAGGUCAAAACAAUCUUAGUGAAAGAGUUACUGAGGUACAGUACAUUCUCAAAACCAUUGUACCGUUAUCAGGUGGCAAGCACCUCCUAACUCUCUUGUUAAAAUUAACUUUGAUGGAUCAGUCAUAAGUAAUUCAGCUGCUUGUGGCUUUAUAAUUCGAGAUGACAAUGGAAGACCAGUUUUUGCUACCUCUUGUUGUAUUAGAAGUGCUUCAGUCCCAAUUGCUGAAGCUAUGGCGUUAAGAGACAACUUAAUUAAAAGUAAAGGAGAAAAACUUCACCAAUGUUGAAGUUGAAGGAGAUUCCAAGCUUGUGAUAGAUGCAGUGAAUGACCGUCUUGAACCGCCUUGGAGAUUAAUCAAACAAGUGCAACUAUGCAAGACAUUUGAACAUUAACUAUUAGUUUUGAUUCCAUUACUUUUAUACAUGUUUUUAGGGAGACUAACUUUGUAGUCGAUGUCAUAGCUAAUCUUGGCCAUUCUUGUAAUUCGCCUCUAUAUAGGAAUGAUAAGGUUCCUCAUGAGAUUUCAAGAGUAUUAUUAUUUGACAUUGUAAACGUUAGUUGCUCUAGAGGUUUUUUUAAUGUAAUUUAUUUAUUUUUAUUUUUAAAAAAACAUCCAUUUUCUUUUUUUUUUUUAUUAUAUUUUUUUUGAAAAAAAGAAAAGAAAUAAAUUGGUGAGGUUUUAAGUGGCUUCUUGGACAGAAAGGUGCAAGUGAUGGGCUGAUGGCACUUCCCUCCAUAGCAAGAAGUCUCCGAAUCAAACAUCCCCUUUACAUAUCACUCUCCCUACUCCACCACCAACCCAUCUCCACCUCUCCCUCUUCUUCACAUUCUCUCCACCACCAUCUCUCUCACCCAACACCUCUCAUCCCAUCCCAAACUCCUCGCCAUUUCUCAACUCUCCGACCCUUCUCCGGCCAAGUCCUCAACCACCCAUUGGGCUUCAAUGCCCAGCGCUUCAACCCAGACAACACCCACAACCUGGGUCUCACCCAUUUUCUUGAAUUGCUCACAACUAGUGCUGGUUUGGCCUCUGAGGCCGAGGCCAUGGCUUUUCUCGACGAGUCUGGCGUCGAGGCAAAGCGAGAUACGGUUCUUUUGGCGAUUUGGGAGCUGAGGGGAGAUUGGAAGCUGGCGUUUUUGGGGUUCAAAUGGGGUGAGAAAAGGGGGUGUUGCGAUGAAGAGGCGUGUAGUUUGAUGGUUUGGGUUUUGGGGAGUCACAGAAAGUUUAGUACUGCUUGGUGUUUGAUACGAGACUUAAAUCAGGCUCUGAUGGAUACACGACGUGCUAUGCUUAUUAUGAUCGAUAGGUAAAGCUUUUGCAAACUUUGGCAUUUUCAUUUCUACAUUAUGUUGAAUUGAUAUGUUCAUGGGACAAGGCUUAGUUAAGGCUACAUCAUUUUCUGUUUACAAGUAGAAAUAUUUAUAUGAUGUUAAAUAUGCAGCUUCAUACUCUUGAGAGCUUGAAAUAUGAUAUCCUACUCAGCCUGAAGAACUAUUUAAAAGAUUGCUUCUUGGUGCUUACGAUAUAAUAUAUGUGCAUAUCAUCAUGUAUCCAUGUUUCCUGGGUGUAUAUAGUUUAGGACAUAUAAUGUUCUUAUCGGUCCUGGUUUGCUGUUUCUUGGAAUACUUGGUUUUUAGGUUUUAUUAUCGCUGACUUUGUGUGUGUCAAAACUCAUAUGAGUUUCAGAAGUUGAAGUCAAAGAAUAUGAUUCCCUUUUUGGUGUUAAUCAGAUAUGCAUCUGCAAAUCAUCCGAGUAAGGCCAUAAAGACAUUUCAGAUAAUGGAGAAGUUCAGGUUGAGCCCUGAUCAAGAAGCAUUCCACAUUCUCUUGAAUGCACUAUGUAAGAAUGGAAACAUGGAGGAAGCUGAAGAAUUCAUGCUUGUAAGUAAAAAGUUCUUCCCACUGGAGGUCGAGGGCUUUAACAUUGUUCUUGAUGGGUGGUGUAACAUAUCUGUUGAUGUAUAUCAAGCCAAGAGAGUUUGGAGAGAAAUGUCAAAAUACUGUAUUACACCCGAUGCGACUUCUUAUACACACAUGAUAUCCUGCUACUCAAAGGUUGGGAUCCUUUUCGACUCGCUUAGACUAUAUGAUGGAAUGAAGAAAAGGGAUUGGGUUCCUGGUCUCAAGGUUUACAAUUCCUUAAUUUAUGUACUAACCCGUGAGAAUUGCUAUAAAGAAGCUCUCAAAGUACUGGACAAAGUGAAAGAAAUGGGUUUGCAGCCCGAUGCUACCACAUAUAACUCAAUGAUAGGUCCUUUAUGUGAAUCAAAGAAGCUAGAGGAGGCACGACAGAUGCUUAGUACUAUGAUAAAUGAUAAUCUCAGCCCAACUGUAGAGACUUACCAUGCAUUUCUCCAGAGUGCAGAUUCAACGGAAACUCUUGAAGUUCUUGAUCGAAUGAAGAAAGCUAAUUUAGGUCCUAAUGGCAAUACAUUUCUUAUUAUUCUUGAAAAGUUCUUCAUAUUAGAACAACCUCAGAAAGCAUUGGAGAUUUGGAAUGAAAUGAAGAACCAUGGAAUAGUGCCUGAAUCCACACACUACACAGCUAUGGUAAAGGGGCUGGCAACUUGUGGGUUGUUCACGAAGGCCAAGGAACUUUUGGCUGAGAUGAUGUCAAAUGGAUUUUCAGAAGAUCUGAAGCUUAAGAAGCUCUUGAAGAAGCCAAUUAGAGGUAGUGUUAAAGGAAAACGGAGAGUUAGACAACUCAAUCAAGCAAAAAGGAUUAAUCUCAAACAAGACAGGGUUGUGAGAUAGAAAUGUCCAAGUCAGUCAAGAAAGAAGAAGACAUCAAGUGAAUAGUCUUAUCUUAAAUUUUGACUGCAUAUGCAAAAGCUGCAAAAGAUUAUCUCUUGCAGCUUUUCUUGGGAAGACAUGGAUUAUAUUUGUCCAAGAUUUCAUUGCCCUAAAAACUUUACAGCUGAUGCCAUCUGAGUUUCAUGGCAGCUGAUUGAAACCAAAGUGGUUUGGCUUUUUAAGAAAAGGAACUCGACCUCUUGAACAAUGUAAAACACUACUGAGGAGCAUUUGAUUAAUUGUUCUGGUAGUUGCAGACCCAAUGUGUUUCUCUAUGUUCCUGCAGGUACGUACAAUAAAAAUCCCAGUGUUUCAUAUUGCACUUCUGAAGAUGCAUCCUUUCCCAAUUGAUCCACUGAUUUGAUUUGCAGUUUGUGUUUGUUUACAUGACUUGGAUGUAUAUAUUCCUCUUUUUUUGUUGAUCUUUCUUUGCUCAUACUAAGGGAUACUUAUUUUUAAAUUUUGUGUGUGUUUGUGUUCCCCGUCACACGCCCCCCCCCCCCCCCCCCGGCCCCUCCUUCCUACAGCCUAUAAAAUUUCAUGUCAUGAAAAAUUAGUUUGAUGUUCAAAUUGUUCAACUGGACUUGUAGACGAGGUCACAUUGAAGAUAGACUAAACCUAGUGUAGUGUGAGAUAAGUGUUUAAUAGUUGGAACAAACCUUAAGGUAGAACCUAUCAUUUGGAGCUUCGCAAUUUCUUGGUCUUUUAAUAGGUUAAGAGAAGAAUGAAGAACCUAUCAUUUGGAGCUUCACAAUUUCUUGAUCUUUUUAAUAGGUUUAAGAUAAGGUAGAACCUAUCAUUUGCAUAUUAACUCAUCAUUAGAAAUGAAUUGUUGAUGUAAUAUUAUCCCUAAUAUUAUUUAAGUUCCAUCCACUUUGCAAUAUUUGAACUAGCAGUGUAAAAACUUGAUGGUGGUACUUAAUCAUUUUGCUAAGCUAGUGGAGAAGUUCUUACAGGCCAAUGCUUUAUCCCACUAGUCGCUGACUGGAUCACAGAUUCAUGUUUUGAUAUGUUGGAGCAUAGGAUCAUGACUACAUGUAUCUGUGAUUGGAACUUUGUAAACAGUUUUCAUACCAUUUUUUCUCCAAUCUAGAGUAUAUGGUAUGACACUCUAGAUUGGAGACUCUAGUCUGAGAUCUUACUUGUUAGUACCUAUUCCUAACCAAGCAUUUUGUUUUUGCUUUAUUUCAGGUAUCAAGUUAUGAGGUGAUUCAAAGUCAUGAAAGAUGGAAAAUUGGAAGGAGUAUUUACUAGGCAACUGUUGCCACCCUACAGAAUGGAGAUUCUUAAGCGCACCAUGACCACCAGGCUAAUAGGCAGUUAAGCUUCCUGAAGUCAGGUUGAUUCACAGAUGGGGAAACCUGAUAGACUUGUAAGUUAGUCCUCUAACAUGACUCUAACUUGAUGUUUCAACCAGUUGCCCUCAUUAGAAAUUCCUGGGUUGAAGGCAAAACAAGCUUUGAAUGUGUGUGCCUUCUUUGCUACUUGUGCAGAAUGAGUAUCCUUGGCUCGAUAAUGGUUACUCUAAUUAUAAUCAAUUUUCUUGUUGUGGUCAUUGUUAACUAUGAUCAAUCUGGCAUGGAAAAAGGAAACAGAAAGCAGAAAAAGGACUGAAAUCUGAAAAAGAUAAGGGCGUUGGAGGCUUUGGAGCCUCUCGGACCAAUCCCACAUGCUGCUGAAGGAGAAGGUCGGACCAACCAUGGGCAUGCAUUGAGCCAAUCAUUUGCCAUGAGUGAUGGUUUGCUUCUCUGUCCUCAAUAAAUUUAUACUAUUUGGUGUCUUCAUGCCCUAUUUGCUUACUGGAUUCCUAUCUAACCACCGACAUCAGAACCAAACAACCAAAAUAAUUCAGACCCUAAAAGAUAAAAGAAAUCCAAAGUAUUGUAAAAAAAUUGAUGGAUUUCAUGAUCUUUAUAACACGAUAUCUGAUCAUAUGCCAUUUCAAUAUAGUUUAGUGUCAAGCUGUACAUAGUUUGACAGCCUAAAUUGCCUAAUAAGGCAUCAUAUCUAUUUCUCCUCAUUCCCUCUUAUCUAUUUCUCCAAUAUCUUACGAUUUCAUGAGUCAUCGCUGCUAUCUCUCUGUAACUGCUGCGAGUCAAGUUGCCUCGACGCAAGGGGAUGCCAAGACUGAAGAAACAUGUCUGCGUAUGUUAGCCUGUGGUAAUCAAAAUGGUGGGAAUUUAGAAAAAAUGCCAACAAAAUAAUUACAAUUGUCCAACGGAUAGUCACCCAGUAACCCCUUGCAUUUUUUACAUAAUUUACCAUCAGUUCGGAAGCACCACUUGAAGACUUAGAAGAGAAAACUGAAACUGCCACUAGGGGCAGUCCUCGUUGAAAUUCAAAUAAGUUUCCCAAUUAGGCAAGAGAGCGCUUAAUAUAUUAAGCGCCCAAUUGACACUUUAAUUCAAAAUCUAAGAAACCACUGAGCAGUGGACCACUCGGAAGGGCCUCUCUCUAUCCUAUAUUAUUGUUGUGGUUCCCCACUACCCAGAACCCUCCCCUUCUCUUUUGAACUGCCUCCAGCGAAUACCCAGCUCUUCCUUCUUCCUUCUACUAAACCCAGAACAGAGGAACCAACCAUUCAAGUGUUUUAAAGUCAAGUAUCAAUGUCCAACAACUCAACCCACCUCCUUCUCCUUCUCCUUUUCGUCUCCGGCGUCGCCCUCAUCGCUCCGAUAAUCGCAACCGACCACAUUGUGGGUGCUAACCGUGGAUGGAACCCAGGGAUCAACUACACCCUCUGGGCCAACAACCACACUUUCUAUGUUGGGGACUAUAUCUGUAAGCUGCACAACCCUCUUUCUAUGUUUCUAUUCCCAGUUAGGACUUUUGUCUUUCCUUAACCCACUUUGGUUUUCACUUUUUGGGUUGUUUGUUUAUGUUCCUUAUUAAAGUUAGAAUCUUCAAAUCUUCAAACUCAAAAUUUAGGUAUACUGUAUCAUGCUGUAUAGAAAUUAAAAUAAAGACUUUGAUGGUUAAAAUGAACACUUAGAAUAUUUGUGCAGAAUCGGUUUUAGGACGUGUAAUUUUUGUUGUUCUGUAGCUAUUUUUGGUAGGUCAUGCUUCAUCAUUCUAGUUGUUUGAAUAUUUGACGUCUCAUUGCAUUUUUGAAAGCGAAUAGCAGUCUGCGAUCUGUUUUAGCAUUUUGAAUACUACCAUUUUCGUAGAUUGAACUAAUUGUUUGUUUAAUGCAGCAUUUAGGUAUCAGAAGAACCAGUACAAUGUGUUUAUGGUCAACAAAACCGGGUAUGACAACUGCACCCUGGAUAGUGCAGUAGGGAACUGGACCAGUGGCAAGGACUUCAUACUCUUCAAUGAUUCCGGGAGAUACUACUUCAUUUGCGGUAACGGUCAGUGCUUCAAUGGGAUGAAAGUCUCUGUGCUCGUCCAUCCUCUGCCCACGCCAACAGCUUCUCCAUCUGCUACGAAUUCUUCUUCAGACUCGGCUGGCCUGGUGGCUCCACGACUGGGAUUUCGUGUUUUGGUGGCAUCCUUGGCAGUGAUGUGGUUUGGAGGUGCGUGGGUCUAGUUCUUGUGGUGCGGUUUGUACGGGAUGUUGAAGCUGUUAACUCAGGGAAGUGUACAAUUUAUUCUUUCGUCUUUUGUUCUUAGUGUUAAGGUUUUCUUUGCUUUUGGUGUAUGUUCUUUGGAUAUUUAUCUUAUAUGAUUUGGUUGAACUCUCCUAGUCUUUUGCUUUCUACUUCAAGUAGUAAAACAAAAGAUGAGGAACAGACUAUAUAUAACCAUCUAUCUCAUUGCAUUUAUUAUUACACAUUAGGCUUCCUGUUUCACAAAUUGGGUAAAAGGAGAAAGGAUGCUGCCUCUACUUCCUUAUUAUAGGAAAUGAGACUGCUAGAUUCACUUUAGCUACGACUUUAAGCACUUGUUAGAUAAAAAGGCUGCUAGAAUCAGGUAGGAAAUGAGGCCGCUUUCGUUAGAAUAUCUAUAUUUGUCUGGCAGUUUAGAGUUGCUUCUUCAAACUUACUGCGGCUUGAUUCAUUUCCAAGCAUGUAGGCUGCUGGUUUGAGUUCGAGGUGUGUGUCUGCUAUUGCUCCUCUAAUGAGCUGGUAGCCUCCAUGCCUUCUGGUUUGCUUUAGUCAAAUGUUGAUGCCCCUACUCUUUCAACCUAGUCAGCUCUGUGGAAUUGGUUCUAUAGUUAGGAAGUAAAUUAGUUGUAUAUGAAUGCUGCUUUGGCAAAGUAACCCAACCCUGAUGGCCGACUGUUUAUCAGUUAAGUGAAAAGAAACCUGCUCUAAUGUAAUUUGCUUUCUUUUGAAUCCUUUGCCAUAAAUGCCCGACCAUAAGCUUCUUAUGUAGAUUUUACUUGAUUGGUAAAAUGCAUUUUUCUGUUGCAUGAUUUUCACCAUCCAUUGUACCAAAGUCUUCAUAGUCGUCUGUUUCAAAGUUUGAAGGAAACCCGGACCUUUUAUGAAGCUCCAGUUCAGUAUUUUUUUAGUUUUAUUUAUUUAUUUUGAACUUGUUUGUUAAGAAAUUUGCUGUGUUGAAUCAUUAUAAUAAUCCAGUUCAAAUUUUUCAUUUAUUUUGUUAAUCUGUUUCAAAGUUUGAACUUUGAAGGAACCCUAAUCAGCUUCAAUUUUGUCUCAUACAUGUCUAUCAAGGAAACUUCCCCCACCAAUCAAUACAAACAAAAGAAAUGGCUUUAAAACAGAUUUUCAAAGCCGUCUCAGUAAAAAAUAUAAAAAAUAAAUAAAAAUUCAAAACACCUCAUCCACCUUACAAGUCCAAGCUCAGGUUGGCUCAAGUGCUUAGUGCUUAGUGCUUAGCUUAUACUUCAAUCCGGCUUGACUUUAAGAGCCAUAUAAGCUUUAACAAUUGACAAGAUAUACCUUUGUCCAAAAAACCAAUUUGAAACCUAUUGCUGAAGCUAUGAGAAUGGUAUAAUAUUUCUGCAGUCAACUUCAGAUAAACCAAGUGAUUCCUCUAGACAGGAAAUCCUUUGCUCUCUCCCGAAUUCCCAUACACAUUGCAGACCAUCUUCUGAUCCGAUCAUAAUCAUGUUUUCCACAACCUUAAGGUCUGUCUUGGUUAGAUUAUUAUGCCUGCUCACCAGCUCUGCUCUUUGUGGUCUAUGUACUGGGAUCAGUCCUAACACUAGGUGUAUAGCGAGUGAGAAAACUGCACUUCUUCAGUUCAAGCAGGGACUCCUAGAUGAGUCGAAUGUUCUUGCCUCUUGGGAAAGCAAGAAAGACUGUUGCGAGUGGAGAGGAAUAGCAUGCAACAACCAAACAGGUCAUGUCAUCAUGCUCGAUCUUUACUAUAAUUCUUCUGAUAGUUACAAUGUUGAAUCUCCCUUAAGAGGUGUGAUUGCUCCUUCACUACUUGGAUUGCAACACCUAAGUUACUUGGACCUCAGUAACAAUUACUUUGAAGGACUGAUUCCCAAGUUUAUUGGUUCUUUGAGUCGGUUGAAAGUACUGAAACUUGCAGGUGCUAGUUUCACCGGACCUAUUCCUCCCCAACUUGGGAACCUCUCUAACUUGCAUACACUUGAUCUUGCAAGGAAUUUUGUAACUUUUGAAAAUCUUGACUGGUUAACUCAAAUUUCUUCCUUGAGAUACCUAAACAUGUCGGGUCUAAACUUUUCUGAGGCUGUAAAUUGGCCACAGGCUAUAAGCAAGCUGCCAUCACUGAUAAAACUUCAGUUACCUUCAUGUAAUCUUCCUAAUGUUGAUUUGAGAUCACUUCCCUUUAUUAAUUCUUCCACCACUCUUGAAGUCCUUGAACUCUCUGAUAAUCUUCUCAACUCUUCAAUCUUUUACUGGAUUGCCAAUGUCAGCACCAAGUUUGUCCAUAUUGGAUUGAUGGGAGAUCAAUUACAAGGUCCUAUCCCAGAUGUUUUUGCAAAUAUGAUUUCUCUAGUAUCUCUUGAUCUCUCUUAUAACCUUCUAGAAGGUGGGAUCCCAAAAUCUUUUCAAAACAUAUGCAGCUUAGAGUCAUUGAAUUUAUGGGAAAAUAAGUUGUCCGACAGACUUGAAGACUCUGUAGGAAAUUUGGCUUGUUCUAAGGGUACCCUCAAGUCAUUGUUGUUAAGUGGGAAUCCAUUUUUUGGGUCCUUUCCUGAUGUACUGACAAGAUUUGUAUCCUUGAGAGAAUUAUAUAUUGAUGGUACCAAUAUGAGCGGAUCACUCCCUAAAAGUUUCCAGCAACUUUCCCAGCUAGGAUCCUUGAGCUUAGUUUUUAACCAGUUGAGUGGUUCAUUGCCAGAUUUUACUGGUCUUCCAUCACUAAGGUUGUUAUUUCUUUCCAACAAUCAAUUCAACGGGUCUAUACCUGAGAGUAUGGGGCUUCUUUCAAGCCUCGAAGAUUUGGCUCUUUCUUGGAAUUAUUUGACCGGUGCCCUCACUGAAGCUCACUUCAGAAACCUGUCUCGGUUACGGUCUUUGUCUAUAGAUCACAAUUCUUUGUCUUUCAACUUGAGCUUCAGUUGGUUACCACCUUUUCAACUAAAAAGUUUAGAUGUGUCUUCUUGCAAGAUUGGUCCAGCUUUUCCUAGGUGGAUUCAAAAGCAGACAGAACUCACUUCUCUUUAUAUGUCCAAUGCAAGUAUUUCAAAUUCAGUACCAGAUGAGUUUUGGGAUCUAUCUUCCAGCUUACUUGACUUGAAUCUCUCCAUGAACCAUAUCCAUGGGAAGUUACCUGAUCUAUCAUCAAAAAAUUGCACCUACUUUACAUUUGACUUGUCAUCUAAUCACUUGUUUGGUCCACUCCCCCCGUUCCCUCCAAAUGUAGCCAUUCUGGUUCUCUCCAAAAACAUGUUUUCAGGGCCCUUAUCUUCCUUUUGUCCAACAGAAGCUCAGGAGUUAUCGAAUCUCGACCUUUCUGACAAUUUACUAUCAGGGGAACUUCCUAGUUGUUGGGUCAAGUAUCAGGGAUUGCUGUCCUUGAAUUUGGGAAACAAUAGUUUCUCUGGAAAGAUUCCAAGCGCAGUAGGCUACUUAAAGAAUCUUGUAUUGUUACGCUUACAGGAUAACAAGCCUUCAGGAGACAUGCCUUCUCUUGAAAACUGCACAGAGCUGAGGGUUGUUGACCUCGGAGCUAAUAAAUUAUCCGGAAGAAUACCAGCAUGGAUAGGCCAAACGCUGACAAAGUUGUUGGUUCUGCGUUUACAUUCUAAUGAGUUCUAUGGAAGCUUACCCUUGAGUCUUUGUGGUCUACCUGUUAUUCAUGUUCUGGAUCUGUCUCAGAAUAACAUAUCUGGAGUAUUGCCACAUUGUCUCAAUAACAUAACAGCUUACACUUCUAUGUCUUCUCAGUUGGAGGAUCUCACUAUUCUUGGGUUUGUGCAAGUUGGUCUGGAAAGGAAUAAAUAUUGAAUGGGGCGAAAAUCUGAAGCACUUGAGAAGCAUAGACAUUUCGAGUAAUUACUUAAGUGGGGAUAUUCCGGAAACUAUGACAAGUAUGAUGAGGUUGAUUUCUCUGAACCUGUCAAUAAAUAAUUUGACCGGAGUGCUUCCCAGUGACUUUGGAAAGCUGAAGAACUUAGAAGCUCUUGAUUUGUCACGAAACCAGCUAUCUGGUAACAUUCCUGCAAGCUUUUCGGGCUUAAACUUUCUUAGUGUCAUGGACCUUUCGUACAACAACUUGUCAGGAAGAAUUCCACUAGGUACUCAACUUCAGAGUUUUAAUGCCUCUUCAUAUAUGGACAAUCUUGGACUUUGUGGACCACCGUUAACUCCACGGUGCCCUGGAGAUGCAACAAAUCAAGAUUCUGCAGGCACUAGUGGAGCUGAAGGGGAUAAAACAGAAGAAGAGGAUGAUGGUCUAAUAACAUUGGGGUUCUAUGUUAGCCUUGUGCUUGGAUUCAUCAUAGGAUUCUGGGGAUUCUGUGGCCCUUUGUUGCUCAAGGUUUCUUGGAGAAAUGCCUACUUCCAGGUCUGGAAUGAUACCAAAAUUUGGAACUGCCAUGUAUGAGGCCACCUUACAGAGAAGAUUCAUAGAUAAAUGGUGAGGUAUAUUAUCUUGUAUCCUUAUUUGUUUGUGUUUUUUUUUUUCAUUCUUAGGAAAACGUAAUUUAUUUGUGUUUUGGAUUUGAUGUACAAUAUAUUAGAAACUCUUUUAUGAUGGUCUAUGACAUUCCAGUGUAGAGUUUCUUUAGUCUUUACUUAAAUGAUUUGAUCCCAGAAGUUUGCUUGCCUCCCUUGUAAAGAUGAACUGCAGUGUAGUUACUUCUUAUAUAAUUAGUUUAACAAAAGAAUGAUAUCAUGGCUCACAUUAAUGAUCAAUUACUGCUUGUUGACACUGGAAUUUUAUUCGUAUAUGGAACAUUUGGAUUUUAAGAACAAUGUUUGGCCCUAGUAAGUAGUAAUGAUUCAAUUCAGUUGAGUCAGUUGGCUGCUGUUAGCUCAUCUCUUCAUUUCAAAAGCAUCAUUCACUAUAUUUGUUAACAAAAAACUGUGUGUAAAGCUUCUCUGUCUGCGAAGAGCAAGUCAAAAAAUUUAAUCUAUGCAUUAUAUAUGCAGAGAAAGGUAGUGAACAGGAUAGUGCGGUUUGGAAAGCGAGGAAAGUUGAGUCCUCGAUUUAUUAGUCCUUGUGAAAUUUUAGAGCCAGUUGGUCCCCAGUGGCUUACCGUCUAGCUUUGCCUUCACAACUAAUAAGCAGAAGAGGCCAAUGAGCAGGAACCGAAGGAGCAAAUGUGAGUAUAACAUCCACACCUCUCUCUAGGCAUGCCCUCAACAUGAACAAAAGAACUACAACUCUAAUUCUAGCAAAAGAGUCAUAAAAACAGUGUACCUAUAUAUGAAAGUGGAUUAACCCGCGGUUUGUCCAGUUCUUAGACUAACAGAACUAGAUUGUUCUUUUAAUACCUUAUUAAGUUAUUAUUCAUUCAAGAUGAAAUACAUUCAUGUAUAUACAACUGAGCAACUAAUCCCCCACGGAAAACAGUCCAUAUGCAGUAGUUGGUAGUUAUAAACACAUGCCUCCUCGCGCCUUAUCUCCCAAAGACAAAUUCCUGAUCUACAGUUCUUCCUGUUCUGUGUAGGUAUGCAACAAAACUGCGAACUGGACCGUCCCAUUCGACAUCGCAAUCCAUUCUUGUUUCUCCCCUAAUAAUGCUUGGUGAAAAAACAAAUUCAAAGUGGGAUCUGUAAUCGAUCUCCUGACCUCCAAGAUCUUUCUUCUGUGUUUUGCAAUGGACGCUGAGACUGGUGUUGACUCCACCUUCGGGAGACAAAUCAUUAGUGAUGUGAACAUGGACUUGGUGAUCAGCAAUAGCAUCAUGGCCAUCACAUAUAGCUAGGAGCAUUGCAAGAAGGAUUGACAUUAAUACAUUUCUCGUAAACGUACUCAUGAUGGUUUCAUUGGUUUGGACUUUGGAGAGAAUAAAAACCUCUAUGUUUAUAUUUUUGUACAAUUGCUUAUUCCUUUCAGUGUCUCAUGUUUUAUAGUGCUCAUUUAGAGUCACAUUUAAUACUAUUAUAGAAAAUUAGAUCUCCAUAUUAAACAAGAUCUAGCAACUCAGAUUACACUUUUCAUACAAAAAAAAAAAAAAACUCAGAUUACACUUUAAAAAAGCUGCACUUUAUUUGAUUGAGGAAAUGAGUGUUAGGAAGGAAUAAAAUGAGUGUGUCGAUCGAAUCGAAUGCAUCAUUUCAUACGUUCCAGUUUAUCUCUUGUCUGUACCAUGCCCACCAUAUGUUUGAUAAAAGUUGCGACACAAGUUUGGUUUCUCGGAUUUUACUGCAGCACUCCAGGGCAAGUAAUCGUUCGUUCUUCUUUGCUUUGUUUGUGUCUCACGUCAAAUCCCAUUCUAUUUUUCAAGUUUGAAAUUCUAGUUACACAUUAUUUAAUUAAUGGAGAGAGUGACAGUCGGUGGUAGCACAAUUCUAGUUACUACCAUAGACGAGACGAAGCAUUAGAGAGUAGAGACUAGCGACUAAUGCUUUGUCUAUGGUAAGACAGAUGCAAAUUCACUUGUGCGCAUAUGUGAAAGCAUUAAGAUGCGUUCCAAGAACUCAUCCUAGCUACAUGUAUAACUUACAAUACAUGUAAAACAUGUAGAAGUUGUAGGGAGCAGCCAACAUUGACCACUGCUUUCCUUUACUUCCAAACCACCAGUUGUUCAUUUCAAAAUCUUCAUGAGCCUAUUCUAAAUGAGUAAAUGUUGAAGAAAAUGUUUGAACCCCAUGCAGGUAGGCUGCAAGUUGACUUUCUGCCGUGUGAGACUAAAAGAGAAGCCUGUAAUCUCUUAUUAGAUCAUACCUAGAGCUGUAUUGGCAGCAAAUGAAACCCAAUCUUCCAAUAUGCUACCACUCUUCAGAAACCAAAAAUCAAAAGCAAAAGAGGGCUUCUUCCAGAAGAAUGGAGCUACCAUAUUGGAACAGCUCAUUCAUGAUUUCAAUGGUAACUGUAAUCCGAUUCGACUGUACUCCGCAGAAGAGCUUAUGAAGGCAACAAAGGAUUACCACCCGUGACGGGAUGAUAUAUGAUGGUUGGAACUUCCGAGUGUACAAAGGAGUUUAUGGAGGUCGUGAAAUUUUGGUGAAAAUAUUCGGAGAAAGAUCAAACUACAGGAGUGGUGAACUUCUAACUGCUACUGAACUUGCAAUUUCUUCAAACAUGAGCAACCACAAGAACGUUUUGAAGCUCUUGGGAUGUUGUCUUGAGACAGAAUUGGCCACUCUAGUUUUUGAAUUCCCAGCAAAAGGUAAUCUCCCUCAUCACAUUUAUGGUGACAAUGCACAAUCAUUGCCAUGGAAGAUCAAGUUGAAGAUCGCAAUUGAAAUAGCAGAUGCAGUUUCAUAUCUUCACCACGGCUCUUCCAAGGUGUUUAUUCAUAGGAACCUAAGAACUGAAAACAUCUUCUUGGACCAGGACUGGGUUGCCAAGCUGUCUGAUUUCCAAGUGUCACUACCAAUUCCUUUGGACGAAGACCAUGUAGUUUCGGAAUAUCUCGGAUUCUUAGGGACAUUAGCUCCAGAAGUAAUGAUCUGUAAUCAUUAUACAGAAAAACGUGAUGUCUUUAACUUGGGGAUGAUAAUGUGCGAAAUGUUGACAGGAAAGAAAAUGUAUGAGAUACAAAGACUCCGGUCUUCUGGGGAUUCAAAGGAACUGGAAAGCAUUAUGGAGAGAAAUGUAGUGCAUGAGAGCAACAUGAAGCAGGUGACAGAAUGCAGCAAGCUCGCAGUAAGGUGUCUCGACUCAGAUCCUGAUGCAAGACCAACGACGCAAGAAGUCUCACAGACACUCAGAUCGAUCAGAACGUUUUAGACUUUUAGCUGUAAAUAUUUCUCUGUCCCUUGUGUUAUUUUUUUGUUGAUUUGUUCAGCUCCCAAGACAACUAAGACAUGCAGAUGAGAAACAACUAAUUCAUGUAAUAAGAAAUAAUGAUUGCUAUUGCUUUCCCUCCAAUAAUACUGAACUGUCAACAUGCAAGUUUGGUCAAUCUCUUAUUAGUUCAGAGCUGGCACAAAGCAUCCACCCAUGUUCAGGGCCGGCCCUGUGUGCUUGGAGGCUAUAGACGAAUUUUUUUUCAAGACCCAAUAUUAAAUGUUUGGCAAAAAAUCAAUAUAUAUACUAUAUAAAGGUCAUUUUUAAUCAUUCAUUAUAUAUAUAUAUUAAAUAAUUAAGAAAAUAGUUAUAACUUUGUUCUGAAUGAGAAAAAAAUUGACAAACUACGUUACAAUAAAGGAUAAAAAAUUAUAAAAUAAAUCUUAUUAUAUUAAGGUAAUAGAAAAGAAUUGUAUCAAAUAAAAUUUAAAAUGAAACAGGAUGUUAAAUACCCAAGAAUUAAGGUGUAAAAGAUAUGAAUUUAAUACAAACUCAAAGAAAUAGUAAAAUAAAAUUUAUAAAAUGAAAAUUGUAAAAAUAUAUGAAUGACCAAAUAAAUGAGAGACAAAAAAAAAAAAGCUAAAUAAAAAAGGAUGAGACCUAUAGGACUCGAUCUCGAUCAGAACCCAUUAGAAGUUAAAUGUAUUACGUACUUACCACCACAACUAACUCAUCUUUACAAAACAUGCCUACACCAGAUAUUAGAUAUAGAGGCCCCUUGGAAUUGGAGGCCCUAGACCUGGGCCUUGCCCCAAGGCCGGCCAUGCCCAUGUUGAGCACACAUAUAUCCUGAAGCUGACUAGUGUUGUACUCGAUCGAACAGGCGAAGACCCAGGGUUUGGACAGAGAAUGAUCCACAAAUUGAUUCACAAGUUAAAAUCUCUGAAUCACUACUAGGAAGAGGAGGACUAGCUGCAGAUUUUGAAUAGAAAUAAUUGAAAGUGAGCACAUGAAGAGUUUUCAUCCAGAAGAAUGCAAAGCAUACUCGUUGACCUCCAAGAUGGACACAACUGUAUGCGGUUCCUUCAACUCUUUUAAGGGCACCAGACAGACUUAUCUUAGCAACUCGUUCAAUACAAUCAGUUUCACCUUAAGGGGACAACACCAUGCGGUAGACUAUUAUCUGUUCAUCAUCAAAGGUAAAAAUUAGCUUCUCAUCCUCCUCUUCCGAGUCCACCACUAAAACCUUGUUGUACAUUGUAUGGAAAACACCCAUAUCGUCCCGAAUACGGGGUUAACGAUCAGACCAUGUUGCCUUGGGGUCAGCCACGUCAAAGAAGAGUAGACGGCCUUCUGUUUCAUAGCUUGUGCGAAGUGUGACAAAGAUCUUGGUGCCCACAACUGCAACAUUGGAUGGACGAAUCGCAUCCCAGGGAAGGUCUCCAACCGGAAGACUUGGGAGAGAAACCCAUGCUUUGGUUUCAGGGUCAAAUACAUUGAAGCCGGACAAUCCUAGAAGCGUUUAGGAGUAAAGAGAGCAUAUAGCUUACCAUCGAUCUCCCGAAGCCAGGGAUGAAAUUUCUGUCCUCCUGGCAAUCCUGGAAUCACAUAAUAGGAGGGUUUAUUGCCUUUGCUGCGGAUGAACCUGGGGUUGGGUUCCACACUUGGAUCAGUCUCCAAAACAUAGGUUCUUGUAGGGAGCACUUCCAUGCCGCCGGUGAGAACAAUUCGAGAGCUGAAGACACCAACACCCAUAGUGAUGGGAACAUCAUCUCCCUCUAGAACAGCAACUUGUUGUACGACAGAAUCGGAUUGAGAAGAAAUCAUGGGAAGGUCAUCUCCCUGAUGAAGAACAGUACCUUGUUCUAGGCCGGAAUCAGAUUGAGAAGAAAACAUGGGAAUCGGGGUAAGGUCAUUACUGAACAAUUCCCUCAAUUUGAUGGCGUGGACACAAUAUCGAUUGAAAGAAUCACCAAAAUGAAACUCGCUCGAAAGUGCAAACGUACAGUUUAGCUUCAACCUCAUCCAAUUUCUUCUGAUCCCGGGGGGCCAAGUAGGCAAUUUUACCUUCCUCAACCCUCAUCAUCGCCCUCCUCCGAUUCGUUGCUCCUCCUCUACUUAUCCUUGGAAACCCUAACCCUAGGCUCUUACUAGUUUGCCCAACCGUAACCCUAGCUCCGACUUUGUGGUACGAUGAACAUAUAUAGAUACUUCUUUGAAAAUAGCAGAAAUCCUAACAAAAUUAAACAUUAGAUAUAGUAUUGUCCUCGCCUAUAUUACUUUGUUGUUGUAGGAGAAACACUAAAGAGAGGAAGACAUCAAAUAGAUCGGACUCGGAGAACUGUGUAUCUUAUUCAUUCAUAAGAGCUUAUAGGCACAUUUUAGGUGUGUAGAAAGAAACAUAUUUUUGCAGUAACUUGGUAAUCUAUCACUAUAUGGAAACAAUAUUCUUAAUCAUGUUAGCAUUAGACCAAAGCACACACAUAUUAAGUGAACAUUCUAAAACACUUCUCUUUGUGCCACGUGUGUACAUACCGAAUGGUGCAUAUGGUGUGCAUAUGGUGAUUGAGAUCUUAUUAUUUAAUUGUCAUCAAGACAAAGAACCUGUGUACGUGGAUGACCUAUAUAUAUGAUGUAGUUGCAGUCGAUGAGUUACUCUUAUUUUUUUUUUUUGAAAGUAAUGAUUUCAUUUAAACAGCUAGUGACUACAAUCACUUAAGAUGACAUCCCUUACAAAUUCGGGAGCAACAACAAACCAGCUAUGGCUUUCACUAUAGUUCAAAGCAUGAUUUGCGAGGAUAUGGGCUACUCUAUUAGCCUCACGAGGUACAUCUAUUAGCCUCACGAGGUACAUGGAGAACUCUAAAAUCUGCAUACCGGUGAAGAAACUCUUUCACCUCUGCUACGAUGGUACCCUAUGAUCAUACUAUCUUUGAUCCCGAACCCCAAUGGAAAAGUUUCAACUUUUACAAUCCGAUAGCCAGUAGGAUCAUACUCUAGAUUUGCUUCAGUGAUUUUUAUUUCUUAGCUUAUUGCAGAAUACUUAUAAUGUCCUUUAUAUAUAUCUUUAAAAAAUAAAGAAAUUUUAAUUUUUUACUUCUUUUGUUAAAACUCCUAAUAAAAUGCCAUAUUUUUUGGGGGUUAAAUAAUAAAUGUGAUAUAUGAGUGUUCAAACAAUUGAUUGUCUCAUCGUUUUCUUUAUUGCUAUAACUUUUUCAUAUUUAUAUUUUCUUUAGUUUUUGUAUAAUGUAGCAUAUUCAUUUCUUUUUUAAAUAAAUCCUACAACUAUAUGCAGUUCAAUGGAAGAUUCACUACUUUCCAGUGACGAAUCUAGGAUUCAAAGUUAGUCUAAGACUCUAGGCUAAUUUAUUUCCUUAUACAGUACAUGCGAUCUUUUUUCUUGUAUAUGUGUGAAUUUUUUUGUCAAAAUGAUAUUUCAAACAAACAAAAAACAAAGAAAAAAAUGUAAAAAGAAGAGAAAGGGAGAGCAGGAAUCGAACCCUGGUCAUGGGUUUUGGAGUCCAAAGUUUUAAAAUUCAGUAAGCCAACUGAGCUGACAAGAGUAUCCAAUUAGAGCUAACAUGUACAAGUAUAUAUAAUUUUGUCUGCGCUGCAGCCCAUGCAGCCUUUCAAGUAUAUCCGUUUAUUUGCAACUAAAGAUUUGAGCUAUAGAACUCAGACAGUUGACAUGGCUACUCUUCUAUUUGAGCUUUAGGACCUCUAAAAUGAGGACUAGUUGAGGACUUUCUAGUUAAUUAGUGGUUUUUAUGAAAUUUACGUAACUUCACGGUUCAAGCUAUGUAAUGAAUUACAGAGCUGGAUCGAUUUGUAUAGCUUUGGAAUUCUACUCCUUGAGCUUUUUGCAGGGAAGAUAUUUAGUAGUAAUUUGGGAGUUCAUUGAGAUUUUAGCAGAUUUCUAACACAGGCACAUUAGCAAGAACCGACUUGGAGGUAAACAACUUGGAAGAUGAAAGCAAGAAAGAAGUAGUUGAAUGCGCCAAACAGGUAGAGCUGGAGGUGUCUCAAAAGAAAAUCGGGACGAGAGGCCCAUCAUAUGAAAGAGGUAGCACAACUACUCAUAUGAUCACAAGCUUAUGCUAUAUACUUGGCCACUGGUGUACGUAUUGUUGUUGUUGUUUUCUCUACUGUCAUAUAUAGCUUAUGAUAUUUCUGAAAAUUAUUCUAUAAUACUAUGGUUCUGGCAAAGAGAUAUGAUUUCUUUUUUCCUGAUAUUUCCCAUCAUGAGCGGCCAACAGCAUGUUUUCUUGAAAGCACUAACAAAUUGACAUACUAAGAUUUGAAAUCAAAACGCUGAGCAUGAGAGAUAUAUGUAGAAAAGUAGGAUUCUCCUAAUGUGCUGAAUAUUCAAAAGUCCAAUUAUGAUCGAGUUGAAUACUGUGUAAUUAUGUAAUUACUAGUUUACUACCAGGAUGCUUUUCUGUCAAGAACAAAACAAAGCAACUCAAUGAAUUGGACAAGCCUCCAUAGUUCGCAGUCGUCAAUCUCUCAAAAAUAGACAUUACAACUAGAGAGUCCCUUCCCACAAAACCUAACGAUCAUCGAUCUCUUGUCUUAAAAGUGAAUCACUGUUUGAAGAUUUGCAAAUUAGUUAAGAACCUUUUUUUUGGUACAAAUUAGUUAAGAACCUUUAAUGAGAGGUAACCACUAGCAUAAGUCAGUUUUUGGGUACCUCAGACUAGUUUGGUUUCCUAAUAGCAGCUGUUGAAGACAAGAGGUAGUGUGCAUGUCCUGGAUUAUUACGACGAAAAUGGGAGUCUUAAACAGUGUUUACAACAUGGAAAUAGAUUUUUUUUUAACAUGUAAGAAACCUUGUAGACUCGGUCUUAACUUUUGUAUGGUUGCACAUCUAUUCAAAUUCUUCUUCUAUGUCUUUUUACGGUUGUCCUUUGGCCAUCUAAAGGGAUGCUUAACGAUUUAGGUUAGGUACAAGUAACUUACAAAGUAAAUCCUAAAGAUGAAAAAAGAAUAGUACCAUAAACAAAUGAUGUUUUUCCUAGUGUUGGCAGAAGGGAAAAGUUUUCAUAGUGCUGUCUGCAAUUCUGAGAUUAAUAGAUAAAGAGCAGAGGCCAUGAUGCUUGUUCUCUAAGCAACAGCACUAUACAACCUCUUCAAUGACUCAAAUGGCACAAAAGUCCUUUGCUGUUGUCUUUUUUGUGGUCCAUUUAGAAAAGAGGAGCACCAAUAUCACACUUCCAAUUCUUCCUUGCCCAGAUAGCUAGUGACUUUUCCUUUCUUUCUCUUCUUUCUAGAAAAGGAAAAAAGGAUAGUGAUAAUUCAGCAGGGAAACACAUAUGAUGAAAAUAUAUGCAUCCUGGACUUUGUGAUUUAUACUUUUUGGUGAUUAGUCUUAACCUCUCGUGGCCUAAUAGUUCAUACUUUAGUAGUGAUUAUCUUCGGCCCGUGAUUAAGACUUCAGUGGUUCAUGACUAGUCAGAAGAAACAAAAACUCCCACCAGAAUUAAGGGGUCAAUCAUUUUCUGGUGAACUAAAACUACCUGGCUUUAAUGGUGGAGCAAUUCUUGUUUAAUCACUCUACUCCUGAAAAAUCACCUUUAUGGAAUAAAGAAAUCACAGUAAUCACAUCAAGUAAAAGCAUGUAACCUCAACUCUCAAGCUUCAAUUAUAAUGAUCUUUUUCAAACUUGAUAGGAUUGCUUUGUAGUUUUUGUCAAUGUUUGGAAGGCUAUUUGCACAUCUUUGGUGAUUAACUGGUUAUUCCAAUGCACAAAUUUACGGAAACUUUGAUCUGAUUAUGAUUGAGAAAUCCUGGUUACAUGGAUGAAACAACAAAGGGACUUCUUCGAGUGAACCUCAACACGAACCCAGUAAUGGCAAAGAAAGCAGAAUCAUCUAUCUACUAUACACAGAACAAGAAAAUCCCCAUGAUACACAACUUUCAGGCCUCAACUUUCCAAAUGAAAUCUUCUAAGAUAUAAGAAAACUGAAAUGAAGCAUAUGGCACGGUGCCUACUCUGCAGUUGUCGUCUGUUUUCUCCUUGACCUGCUCCUGCUGUAUAACCUAGAAGGAGGGGAAGGAGAGAACUCAAAAGGGAGUGGUGGGAGAUCCAUCUCCCCUUUCAAGAUCUUAACAAUCUCCCCAAUGUCUGGCCGCAACUCUGGCAUCUUUUGUAAGCAAGAAAGAGCCAAAUUUAUACACAAACUUGCCUGGUCUUUAUUGUACUCAUCCUUCAGUCUCUCAUCUACAAGUUCUAGUAUAUUUCCGGCUUGAGCUAACUGUCGACACCAGCUUAUUAGAUUUGCCUUUUCUAGCUUCAUCGGUGAUGCAAGAACAUGUAGUGGUCUUCUACCGGACACAACCACAAGGAUUAGCACACCUAGACUGUAAAUAUCUGCCUUCUCCAUCAAGUACCCACAUCCACCAUAUUCUGGAGCAACAUAACACAAAGUCCCUCUCAUGCUUGUUGUGCUGCUUAGCUCACGGCUAAAUAGAUCACCACUCCACAUGUCACUGCCAACGGAAUGUGCAUUCUUUUUCUUCCAUCCCCUUCUGAAACUGAACUCACCAAUGUGAUCACUCUUUUCUUGACUUUGUUCCCUAAAAUUCUUUCUCCUGCGAAAGUGAUACCAUCUGCCAAGAUCAAAACGCUGCAUUUUUAAGCCUUUCUUCCACUUUGUUUCAAGAUUUUUGAGAUUGCUGCCCUUCUUGCUAAUCUCUGCAAGGUGCUCCUCCUUCCACCAUUCUUGCAUCUUCUUCGGUUUCCUUUUCCGGUUCUUCCUGCCCUUUGAUUCAUUCUUCUCAAACUCCUUGCUGAGAUUUCCAAACCCAAAUUGUUGUACUUGAGGUCCAUUUCCAUUUUCAAGUUUAUCAACUGGAGAUGCAAUAUCUAAGUCGGUCUUCUGAUCAGGGAUGCUCUUCUUGUCAUCAUCCCAAUCAGGAUUCGAAGACGGGCAAAUCUGACUCCCAAUCCACUCUGUAACAUAAUCUUUACUACACAAUUCACCACUCCCAUCUUGCUUCCACCACCAAUCCUUCCCCCAUUGCUUUGCAUCCUCUGCUUCAUCAACAGCAGAACCGGCAGUAAAACCCAAAUCCUUACUAUGAUCAAUACUAUCAAGUUCAUCUUCAUAAGGUACAAACCUGUUAUUCCAAUCAUCCCCACCAAAAUCUACACUUGAAACCUCUUUGCCCUUUGCAUCACUACUCUUAACCUCACUCUCACAGGCAAUGUUAGCAUUAUAAUUUACGGAAUUCAAGUUCAAAGCUUUAACAUUACAGCACUUCCUACUAUUUUUCGAUGAUGAAGAUGCUUGCAAAGCAAGAGCAAAAUCUACCUCAUUAGAACUCUCCACGGGUGUACCAAUGGCCGGAGAAGUAUCCACAGCAAAGUUUCCAGACAGCUCCUGACUCUUCCCCAAGUCCUGGCUAAACAUGUCAACCCCAAACUCACCAUCCACCUUAAUCCUUGACAACCCAAAGUCCGAAAUCUUCGCCCUGUUGUCGAAAUCAAGCAAAAUGUUGCUUGGCUUAAUAUCACCAUGGAUAACAGGAGGAUCACAUCCCAAAUGCAAGAACUCAAGUGCUCUAGCCACAUCUGUAAUUAUCUCAAACCUCCUCUCCCAGCCCAAACUCAAAACACCUUCUCCAAAAAGUGACUCUUGGAGACUCCUAUUAGGCAUGUACUCAUAAACCAGAAUCCUAAAAUCCUUUUCCACACAAUAACCCAAAAGGGUCACCAAAAAUGGUGAUCUUAACCCCCCAAGAAUCUGCAACUCAUUCUGAAACUCUCUCUCAGUUUGCAAGUUCAAAGCAUCCAACUUUUUAAUAGCAAUCAACUUGCCACAUUUGAGUAUACCUCUGAAGACAGUUCCAGAGCCACCCUUGCCUAUAACAUUGGCUGAAUCAAAGUCAUUGGAAGCAUUCUUAAGCUCCUUGAAUGAGAAUCUUUCAAGCUUCAAAGGUGCACUGGAAUCAAAUGGGAUUGUCUUAGCUCUGUCCACAAGGGAAUGCCAGAGGUGAUAGACAAAGUAGACAAUGGAUGAGAUUAUUACUAAAGAAGCUGAGAUUGUGAGGGCCAAGAACAAGACCCUGGUCUUGGUGAAGAAAUUGGGUGGGCUUACAAUGGGAAGUUGAGGACUUGAAGGAGGGAAUGGUCUUGCAGGCAUGGUUUGGUGAGGUGGGUUCAGACUUCAGAGUCUUAGGGUUUCUGGGUUUGUGAUAGGCUAAAGGUUGAGGAAGAUUGGGGUUUGGGGAUGCUCAUUUUCUCAUUCCUACAUUUUUUUUUUUCUUGUUUGUGACUGUCUAUCAGUAUCCAAUGUGGGUUUGCUUUACAGUUGGAUAAUCUAUGCAGAGAUUGUUGCUAAUCUCUUUGCCUUUUUUUAAGUUUUUGAUGAUUGGGUUUUGAUUCUGGAUUGUUUGUUGUUUUUUAUAUUUGGUUUUGUGAUUGGAAAAUUAGGAUUAGAAAACAGUGGUAUGGAAGGGAGGGUCCCAAGGUGGAGGUGCUUUUGACUAAAGAGAAAGCUUUGCCAGACAGUCUUAACAUGGCAGAUUGCAGAGAAGAAAACAAAAUGAAAAACCAAUAAAAAUAAAUUGGAGGGAAAGAUGGUAUCCAGUAGGAUAUAUAGGAACUUGGCUGAGGUUUACCUCGCAAAUGAGAACAGUAAAAUUUGGUCUGUACUCUGUACAAUCUUUCAGAAUCCAAAUGAUCCAUAGUGAAAAAACUAAAUAAAUAAAAGUACCUUUAUAAGGUGGGGUAAGGUCCGUGUAAUACAGUAAUCAAGUAGUUCACAGAGCCUCACAUGCCUAGUCCCUAUUCUCUAUUUUGUCUAUAGAAUUAUAUGAUGGAGACUCCUCUUAUUUCUGACCUUAAAAAGGAUAUUCGUCUCUCAUCUCUGUACCAAAGAAUUUGCCUUCGACUUCUGUUUUUAUUUUUUUAUUGUUCAAAGAUACUUUCAUUUACUAACGAAAAUUACAUAAGAUUUGAGAUUUAAGACAAUCUGACUACUUCAGAUUAGAUAAUCAGAUAACUCAGUUCACAAGAUUUCACACACGAAAUCUGAUACUUUAGAAAGAAAAUAUGCAUUAUUACAUGUUCGAAAAACAAACCAAUGAAUACGAUUGAAUAAGUGAUUCCAAAAGCAAGAAACCAAAUGCGGAGAGAAGGAGAGGACGGUGGGUUUGUGUGUUAUCAAUGUAGUUUGAGAGAAAACUUCUCGACUUAGUUAAUUAGUGGCCGGAUUAUUUGCAUCAUUUAGUAACUACUAAAAAGAAUAUGUUCGACUAUGUUUGAGUGUAAUUAAAUUGUAGUAAUUAAUUUUAAGAUAAUUUGUUUUUAACAUAAUUUUUGUAGUGUUUGUUGAUUAGAUGAACACGUACAUUAUCGACUAAUAUAUGACCGUAUAAGCUACUAGAAAGCCACAAUGCCAAGUGCAACUCUAUAAAAGGCUUCAAUUAAUAGUCUUUAACAUCUAAAAUUUUAUAUGUAGAGUUAUAAGAGAAUGUUUUCACUAUAACAUUUCCCACGUGAAUUGUGCAAAUGGUGGUGAGAAGAAAAAGAAAGACCGUGACACUCGCCUUUAUUAGCAGCUCAUUAGCUGAUCGUGUCAUCCAAGUAGCAUGACGUACCUACUGGGUAUUUCUACUCGAGUUUAAGCGUGCAUUGUGCGAUGAAUGUUUGUGAUGAAAUGCUAAGAGAGGAGAGAGGGAAAAUUGGAGUUACGGGGUCUUCUCAUACUGCACACAGUUCGCUUAUGUAUGCAGACCAGUUUGAUUAGGAGCAAAAGAACAUGGGAGAUGUUUGGUGAUGAGUGGGACAUGUCCACCAGAUGGGAGGUCAGAUUUCAUGGUGACACUUUUGGUUUGGAUAUUAUCCCAUCAUCUCUUGGCUUGUGUCUUUUGUAUGCAUUCACAUAAAUAUAUACUAUAUGUAUAUUGGUAUGUAUGUAUAUAUAUAUAUAGAAAGGAUAUGAAGCGGACGUCCGGACUCGGUUUAAAGUGCGGACGUUCGUCUGUUCUCCAUCCUCCGGCGCCGGCGACGGUGCGCCUCUACCUCAGAAGACUCCAGCAGCGUCCCCGAUCACUUUCCCUCCCCGGCGAGUCCGUUCUUUUUCAGUUUUCCGGUGAGAUCACCCAAACUUCAAACAAAGUCAAUCUCGCCGAAAAACUGGAAAAAAACGGCCUCGUCGGGGAGGGAAAAUGGUCGGAGACGCUGCUGGAGUCUUCUGGGGUAGAGGCGCGCCGUCGCCGGCACCGGAGGAUGGAGAANNNNNNNNNNNNNNNNNNNNUUUUUAUAUAUAUCUAACAUCAAAAAGUGUAAGUAUAUUAAAUUACCAAAAUAUGUUUAUAUUAAUUAGAUAAUAUUAUUAAAAACUUGAAAUACACUACAUCUCACGUUAACGUUUUCUUCACUAUAUGAAUGAAGUUUCAAACUUAAAACUUAACAAUAGACAUAUUUUUAACCGAGUUGAUCGAUGAUUAAUCAUGGUCUCAUGGGCAAGAGCUUAAUAAUUCAUAAUAAUGGAUUCCCUCAUGAAAAUGAAGGUUUUUGGUUGGCUUCGACCAUGCAAAGACUUAGAAUGGUACUAUCUAUCCUGCAAACUAGUGGAGUAUCCAUGCUUGAGGUUUUCAAGCAGAAGAAACUGGUGAUCUGGUUUGGCAUUUGUUUUGCAAUGAUCUAAAACAUGUGUGGGUGCAAAACGUCCAAAAUAAUGAAUAUGUCAAAAGAUUCUACAUAUAUUGAUCAAUCAUGGUGGAGCAGUUUGAAUGCUCUUGAGUUUGCAAAGAAAACAUAGUCUUCUCGUUGUUUAGCAAGGACAGAGAAAACUUUUAUUUUAUUUCUAAGUCGAGAUGAUAUAAAAAAAGGAAUGAAUGUGUAUUUAGAAAAUAUAUAUGGUAGUAUCGGUAUAUUUUGAAUGAGGGUAAUUUAGGAAGUUUAAAGAUGUGUAUCUAGUUAAAUGUUAAUAUUAUAAAAUUAUGGGUGCGGCUAUUUCCACCCCACUAAAUACUCAGUUCACCCAAUGCCUUAUUUUUUACCUUUAACAUUCCUAUUUCGCCCUUAAAAUUUUGAGAAAAUCUGUUUUUUUUUUAUUUUAUAUUCUUUCUUUUUAUUUUCCUCAAUCUAAUAAAAUCUAAAAAUAUAUACAAAUAUCUCAUCAAUAUAUUUGAUGUAUACCUCCAUUCUUCUCAAACCACAUCCUAUAUAUAUUCUCCUCGAUCUUUUUCUAGAGUUCCUUCUUUAUGAUUAUAUAUAUAUAUAUGAAAGACUACAUUUGAAGCCAUAAAUAAAAUUAAAAUAAGAAUGAACAAUCCCACCACACUGUAUAACCACCAUGUUAAAGAUUGAAGUGAUUCUCAAAUCUGAUUUGAAAGAUGUAGAGAAUUUGUUUUUUUUUUUUUUUUGAUGUAAAGAUGUAGAAGUUGUUGUUUGGAUUUUAUAGAUUUUAGUUUUUUUUCUACAAAAAUUCUUGAUUGUGGGGUUAGUAUGGAAUAUUUAGUUUAAAAUUAAAAUGUGAGGUAAACAAAGUAUUUGAUGGGGUGGCAAUAGCUGCACCCUAAAAUUAUUUGGUGGUGUAUUAAGUGUGAGAUAUGUAUUUAAUUAGUAUUUAGCCAUGUGUGAAUAAAAUUUCUCUAUGCACAUUGGAGUUGUAAUCUAAAAUUAAAUACUCACUACUUAUGUUGUAAGAAAAUGUUAUGUUUGUUAGAGCAUGUUUAGCAACAUUAGCCAUUUUUUAGUUAAAUUUGUUAAAAAUUCAUUUUAGGGGUUCUAGUUGCACCUCCAAAUCUACUAAAUAUAUAUACCUCCAUCAUUUUUUAACUCUGAUUUGACUUUAAUUAUCAACUCAUAUGAUAUAAGGACAAACUAGUUAUUUUUUUUUUUUAAUAAUACAAACAACAAGUUGAUCUAGUGCCUUUUGCUUCCUCUCCAUCUAGAUAUGCAGCAAGUUGAUCCUUCUUCCUUUUGCAAACUCUAGCUUCUUAUCUAGGUUGAUAAUCUGGUUCAUUCCCAAAACAAAACAUAUAAAACAAAACUGAGUAUCCCAUUAGAAAAUUGGCUCGAAAGAUAAGCUGUUAAGGGUAAUAUCUCCGAUCGCUCUCUAUAUUUAGAAGCGAGAUAUCUAGAACUCCUAGAAGUAAAACUAGAGAGCCACUUUAGAGUAAGGGGGACGUCAGUCCAUUAAUAUAGUAAAAGUUACAUAGAAAUAAUUCACCCAAAGAGCUACGAAAACAUUGAACUACCCGUAGGAAACCUUAAUUAGCCUAAAACCAAGAUAUAACAAUACAUAGGAAACUUGACAUUCAACCAGUACAGAAUUAAACCAAAGAAUCACAUAGACGAUUUUUUGACGCUGCGAUGCUAAAGAAGAAACAGGAAAGAAACCAAACACUUCCCCAACGUAUUCAAUUACCAAGCUAUGACACACCUAGGAGCACGAUCCAGUCCAUUUGACCCAAAAAAGUACCAGAUAGAGCAAGGCCCAAUCCUAGAUACAAACUCAAGGCCAUGAGCCCAGGACCAACUGCUAAGGUCACCUAAAGGAUUGGACAUGUAGCCUUCAACUUGUUCAAAGCACUGCCCGCCGCCGCCGUCGUCGUCGAUCCUUCCAGUGGUCGGCCUAGUCCUCACUGCCCCAUCACCAUCAUGUGGAACCCACCAAAAUGAAUGAAUCCCUAACAGCCAAAACCAACAGAAAGCAAGUAUCCACACCUGAAUUUAGCCCGACUUGCCUUAACAACUUCGCCCGACAAACACCGAGGUCGACAUAGUCUCUCCUAAGCUAUUUAGAGAGCAUAUUUAGCUUUUCAUAUAAUUAAAGAUGCAUGAAGCUCUCUCUAUACUUUAAGGAAAAAACUUGCGUCCGACCCAGUUUGGACACAUUCGUCCGGACUCUCAUAUGUAGUCCAAUUCUAGUCUGCCAUAUGUCAUUUUUUUGUUUUGAUUUUUAUUCUUUAAUAAAUUAUGCUUAUGUAGGGAAUCUUUAAUAUAUAAAAAAAUAAAAUAAAAUAAAAAAAUAAACAAAAAACCUGAGUGCAAAGCUCUUGCAAACAUUGUUGGUGCGGUUAAUUCAUGAAAACAUGCAUCGCAUUUGCUUCCACCUCAACUAUUUGUGUUUAAUAUGAAAACAUCAAACGAGAAUAAAACUUGCAGUGACUGCAUUUGAUUUGAAAUUACUUAAUGAAGUAACAAAAGACACCGGUGAAGACUGUGCUCAGUCCUCUAUACAAUAGAACGCCAGAACGAAAAGGGCGCAUAACUACGUGAAUCCCAUUUUCUAAGAGAAUCAAUUUGUGUGAUGGUUAUGUUCUCUACAUUUGAAGAUACAUAUCUCACAUGCUCACUACCAUACUCACCAAGUAUUGCAUGUGUGUAGUAUAUAAAGUUUGGCUUGCACCCUGGGUGGUUAAUUUGAAGCUAGAAUAGACACUAAAUGACCAUGACCUAUGAGAAAUUUUUCAGUCCUACGGGAGAACCACUAGACAUGCCUAAUGGUUCUCUCUAGCUAAUAAAAAAUAGCCAUGUGGUUAUUUUUUACACAUCAUAGCUGGGUUAAAAUUUAUUCUCUAAAAUUUACUCCAUUCAACUCAAGUAAAAUUAAUCAAACGUCAUACCAGAAAAAUCAGUUAGGAGAAUCACCCCAUAGCGAACAAAAAACAAUCUUCUUAAUCCUAAUGUGAGCAUUAUUCAAUGUUGUUUUCUAGCUUAAAAUUCUUGAAGCAAUAACACAGUGAUAAAUCUACAGCACUGAAAUGCACGAAAACAAUUUCAUUGCUUCUCUAAGUCCAAUCCGAAUUCGAUUCCAGAAUCAGAUAAACAUCAACUCUUGCAAUCCUUCUGGUCAUGGUUAAUCUAUUUACUGAUCGAAUUGGAUUAUUGUCAAAAACUUAGUCUGAAAUAUGGCAAAAACCCAGGAGAAGAGAUAUGGCUAUGCAAGCAGGGGCCAUAUCUCCGUUUACAUGCCCUUUUGGUUUUGAAGUCAAAGAGAGUAGGAGCCAUAGUUUCAAUAUUUCCAACAUUUUUACUCCAACUCAAACCUCCAUUUCUAUCUUGUUCUUCCUUCCACACCUUCAGCUUCCCACCGAUUUCCCUUGAUCAUUAAUCCGUUUCGAGUAUUGGAUUUUGUGUUUUAAGGGUUGAGCUUUGACAAUGACUGUGAUAUAUCACUCAUUUGAUCAACACAAAAACUAAUGACAAACACAAUAACUCAACCCCAAACCCAGAAUGGCCCUUACUCUCUUCGAUCGACCUUCAACCCCAAAUCAAUGGCAUGCCAAAUGGAGAUCUGAGUUUUUUUUGUUUUGUUUUGGAUGACGUUUGUUGGUUUUACUUAAGUUGAAUGAAGUAAAUUUUAACCAUGUGAUGAUGUGUAAAAAAUAACCACGUGGCGAUUUCUUAUUAGAUAGAGAGAACCAUUAUGCAUGCCUAGUGGUAGUGGUUCUCCCGUACGUAGCACUGGAAAAUUUCUCGACCUAUGAAUUAAGCAUCAUCUCCUAUGUCUUCCACUUCAAACAUCUGUAAAGUAUGGCUUCGAUAUGAGCCUUUGUAUGUAUCUUGUAGAACUAACUUGUAAACUAUAAAGGUAGUAAUUAAUAGUUUCCAAAGUAUUACCCAGCUCCUUAGCUAUUAAAGAAUUCCUACACAAGUGAUUUCGAAAAAAAAAAAAAAAUCCCUACAUAAGUAUAAUAUAUUAAAAAAAACAAGAAAAAUAAAUUCAAAACAAAAAAAUUACAUGCGGCAAACUGUGAUUGGACCACAUGCGGCAAACUGUGAUUGGACCACAUAGGAGUCCGGACGUGUGCGUCUAGACUAGAUCGAUCGGACGCAAGUUUUUUCCUGGUAAAAUUGAUAAAAACUAAAUAAAUAUUUAAGUAAUUUGGACUUAAUUUGUCCAAAGAGGUCCAUUUCUAGAAAUUUUGAGGGAAAAGCUGUCAUAUUUAGUUUUUUCCCAAAUAAUUAAUUUUAUUCAAGAGAAGAAAGAAGAAAAUGAGAAAAAAGGGCACAAAAUCAGCUAAUUAACCGUACAAUGGUCUGACUCUCCUCAAAAUCAGCUUCUAUUCCUUACUACCCGCCUUCGUCUCUCGGAAUCGCCCACCUCCUUUAUCCUCCUCGAGCUCUAAUGACAACACUAUCUUCCAAACAAUUACAUCAUUGAUACAGAAUCAAAGCUGCAUUUACCAACGUAAGUUCCCUUCUUCCUUGUGUUAUUUCUCGUCUGUCUUUUCUCAUCUUGUUUCACAUUGUUGUAGGGAAGAAAGUUGAGUUUCCAUUUUGUUCUUUGCAUGAUACCUGCCAUAAUCUGAUAUGGGGUAUGGUUGCAAUCCAUAGUAAUGCCAACAACUUGGAUCAUAUAUAGAAAAUGGAAGACAAGAACACAUAAAAACUUGAAUAAUGGAUUUGUUGCAUCAUGUCUUCUGGAAUGAACAAUGUGUUACAACAAAUUUAUACGAGAUGCUUUGAGAAUCCAUUUUACUGUUCGCCCAAGUUUCUAUUCCGAUAGAUAUCAUUUCCAAAAAAAAAAAAAGGUUUCAAUUGCGAUCAAAUAAACACAAACAACCUAAAAGCACUAUGGCUUUUCUGGAGACAAAAGCAACACCGUUAAUUUUGUCUACUUUCAUUCAUUGUCCUGUCCAAACUGCCAAUCUGUAUCUAUCAGCCCUGAAAAACAAGUUCUGAAACUUGAAAAAUGCAAUUUCUAAUUUUUGUGCUAUUUUAAUGUCUGCCAUUGCAGCCUUUUCAUUUUUGUACUAUGAUGGCAUAAUCUGGGUUGAUUGAACUUUGUGCUAUGUUACCCCCAAUCAGCGGAUGAAGCGAUUUGGGACUUGCCUGCGGAUUUUCACAUUCUAGUCUGAUAUCUAUGUGACCGAUCGACUGUUCAAGAUGUACAAGUCGCAGUAUUUUGGAGGUCAGAAGGAGAAAUUUGUGAGGUAUUAUUUUUUUUUUUUUUUUUUUUUUUUUUUGUUAGAUGUGGUAUGGUUUGUAUUUGUGCAUUGUCUAUAUUUCAACUCGGACAUCAACUGGUCUUGAAGAUAUUUAGCAUCUCUCAAAGAACAGACUUGUAGAUUCUUAUUGUUAUUGUUUAUUAUGAUUUGGCAUAUGUUGACUUUUGUAGGUUGGAUGAUUUGGAUACAAUGUCAAUAAGUUCAGAUACCGGGAAAGUGAAGAAAUGUGGAUUUAAUAUAGAGGGUUUGGCUUAUACUGAUCGUCGAAAAAGAAAAUCAAAGUCAGUUAAGUUUGGAUUUCCGAGGGGAUCAGAUGGAAUAAUGACAGUUGGUAGAUCAAUAAAAACUGGUGUCACCCGUGCAGUGUUUCCAGAAGAUCUUAAAGUUUCGGAUAAAAGGAUAUUUGAUCCACAGGACAAGUCGCUUCUGUUCUGGAACAGGCUUUUUGUCAUAUCAUGUAUCUUUGCAAUAGCCAUUGAUCCUUUCUUCUUUUAUCUCCCUAUAUUCAACAAGGAACAGGAAUGCCUCUCUAUCGAUAAAAGUUUAGCAGUCACAAGUAUAACGGUGCGAACUUUAAUAGAUGUUUUCUACCUUAUUCGCAUGGCUUUUCAGUUUCGUACAGCUUAUAUUGCACCAUCUUCUCGGGUGUUUGGAAGAGGUGAACUGGUGAUAGAUUCUUCAGAGAUAGCACAGCGAUAUCUACAUCGUUACUUCUUUGUUGAUCUUUUGUCUGUGCUACCCGCACCACAGGUUAGAAAUGCCAUGCUCAGUUUCUGCUAGUUUGCACAUAUAGAGGAACUUUUAGCCAUUUCUUUCUCCCAAUCUGAAUAACAAGCCUAAGAGAAAAAGUCUUUGAUAAAAAGGAUACCCGCACUUCAUGGUUUACGAAUUAGCUAUUACCUGUAGCAGUGCAAUUGUGGAGGUGUCAUGCUAAAUUUAAUAAGCUAGUUUUGAUAGAAAUAAUAGAUUGAGACUUAUCUUGUUUGUUUUGUUAAUCUGCAGAUUGUUGUUUUUGUAUAUUUGCAUGGAAAUGGUGCGGCGGUACUGACUACGAAAAAGGCAUUGCUAUAUAUUGUCUGGUUUCAGUUACUGCCAAGAUUUGCCCGCUUAUUAGCUUUAAACUCAGACCUUAAGAAGAGCGCGGGUUCUUUUGCCGAAACUGCUUGGGCCGGGGCUGCAUACUAUAUGCUUUGGUUUAUGCUUGCUGCUCAAGUAAGUGUUUCUUAUCUUGUUAAGUAAGGCAUGCUGUUUUGCUGCACUACCCUAUAGGCCUAUAUCCCCACUGUUGGUAAGUCUUGGUUGAAGUUCCUUGUAGAAUGACUUUAAGCAACUUUUUGAACUUAUAGAUAAACCUUUCCAGGUCACUGGGGCUGCCUGGUACUUGUUAUCUGUAGAACGCUAUGGUUCAUGCUGGUGGGAUAAGUGUGCAGAAAAUGGUGGUCAAUGUAAAGUAGAAUUUUUGUACUGUGGCAGUGAGAGUAUGCCGGGAUACGAUGAGUGGAGCAAAGUCAAAGAGGAUGUUGUAAAGAAGGGCUGCAGCGCUGAAGGUGAAGACACCGAAUUUGAUUAUGGCAUCUUCAAAGGUGCUGUAGAAUCUGAUAUUAUUUCAUCCACCAACUUUGGAGAAAAAUUUUUGUAUUGCUUGUGGUUUGGAUUGAAAAGUUUAAGGUAUGUUAUCAAUUUUAAAAUAAUUUUUUUUUUUUUUUUUUUUUAGUCUACCUGAUUUAGUUAUAACUGUUUAAAACUGUGCAUACUCAAAGUCUGUUCUGUUUAUUGGAAUAUCAUGAUGGUACGUAUGUUGACGAGUGCUAGUUAGCACCAAGAUAUCAUUUGAUGUUUUUGAACCAAAUUCUUAAGUAUAGCCUUUCCAAAUAUAUUAUUAAAACACAGAACCAAAUUCAGUACUUGAAUUACAUUGUUCAUUGAAUUUUAAUUUUGAAACCAAUACAGAUAGUUUUAGAGCAAGGUGCUACUAGUUGCAAGAUGGAAUGAUAAAUUCUUUCAGGAUAGUAAACAUAGAUGUUCUGUUGAACAAUGUGGAAGCCAUUACUACUCUUUGCUACUUUAUAGCAGAGUUUUCACCCAGUUUAACUCUAGCUACUUUACUAGUAUUUAGACUAUUAACUCUUGUUAUGCUCUUCUACAUCCCACAGGCACUACGGAGACAUUGCUAAUACAUAGUUGUGUGUAUCUUUUGAUAACAUGCAAUUCUAUUACUAUGCAGUAUAUGGAACGCUUACAUAUUACUGUAGAAAUUUGCUAGUUUUCUGCUUUGGGUUCUCAAGUACUUAUUACUGCUGUUUCACUUUCUUCAGUACGCUUGGCCAGGGGCUUGAAACCACUUCGUAUCCAAUGGAGAAUAUAUUUUCCAUAGGGGUAGGCACUUUUGGCCUCAUCCUCUUUGCCCUUCUGAUCGGAAAUAUACAGGUGAGCUGUUGAUCACUCUACUGGAUUCAUCAUUUUAUGUCCUUGGCUCUGGUGGAAAGUGGUUAUAAUCUGGAUGGAAAAGGAGGAUCAACAUGUCGGACCGAUAAUACUCCCCAGAAAUUACUUCUAUUGAAAAAACAAUGAUGCUACAGAACUUAUUUCUUCUUUCUACUAUUUUGUGGUUGUAACCUUAAGCCUUAUUGCUGACUUUUGGAGCUUAAUGAACAUUGUACAGACCUAUCUUCAGUCUCUCACGAUUCGUCUUGAGGAGAUGAGAAUAAAACGGCGUGACUCUGAGCAGUGGAUGCACCAUCGCUGGCUUCCGCAGGAACUUAGAGAAAGGGUUCGCCGCUACGAUCAAUAUAAAUGGUUGGAGACUCGAGGUGUAGAUGAGGAGAGCAUUGUCAGGACUCUCCCAAAAGAUCUCAGGAGGGACAUUAAACGGCAUCUCUGCUUGAACUUGGUCAGACGGGUAAGUAUACAUGGUUUCAUCUCCUUCCUUCAACGGGUCUAAGUUAAAAUCAUAAGAAGCAUAUAGGCCACAAGGUUGGUUCAUUUUGUGUUUGCAAAUUUUUAACUUCAUUUGGUUGUGACUGUAGGUGCCUCUUUUCACCAAUAUGGAUGAGCGGUUGCUUGAUGCCAUUUGUGAGCGUCUGAAACCAAGUUUAUGCACAGAGAAUACUUUUAUAGUCCGGGAAGGAGAUCCUGUUGGUGAGAUGUUAUUCAUCAUCCGAGGUCGCCUAGAAAGUGUGACCACAGAUGGUGGCAGGACUGGAUUUUACAACAGAGGUUUGCUCCAGGAAGGUGACUUUUGUGGAGAAGAGCUCCUAACAUGGGCACUGGACCCGAAAGCCGGCUCUAACUUACCAUCAUCUACUCGAACAGUGAAGGCUAUAACUGAGGUUGAGGCAUUUGCUUUGGAAGCAGAGGAGUUGAAAUUUGUUUCCACUCAGUUUAGGCACCUUCAUAGCAGACAGGUGCAGUACACCUUCCGGUUCUACUCACAGCAAUGGAGGACUUGGGCAGCCUGCUUUAUCCAAGCUGCUUGGCGCCACUACAGGAGAAGAGUGGCGUUGGAAAAACAAAGAGAGGAGGAAGGAUUCGGAUACAGUGACGGAGAUGAUGAUAAUGAUGACGAUGAUGGUGGUGGUGGCGGUGAUUCUAAAGGCGGUUCUGGUAAACAUGGGCUUGGUGCCGCAAUCCUUGCAUCCCGGUUUGCAGCAAAAACUCUUCGUGGUCAUAGGCUUCGCAGUUCAGGCAGGAGGGAGCUACUGAAGCUGCAGAAGCCCCCUGAGCCAGAUUUCUCGGCUUAUGAUGAUAAGUAAUCUGUAAUCAAAUCUUAAACUUGAUAUUGAAAAUCCAAGUCUGGUGUGUACAUACAACUUGGGCACUCACAGAAAUGAUGUCAUACAGACAUACUAGGUUUUCGGAGCAGUUUCACAGUAUAAGUUGUGAUCAAUAGAAGCCAACAUUGUAUGGCUAAAUAUUAUAGCAGCAAGCAGCAAGAGUUGAACUUCAUAGAAAAUACAAAUUACCACCAUCUACUAAUGAACACACUCACCCACAAGACUUAUGUACAUUUCACCAAUGAUGCCAGAUUACCUGUAACCUUCGUUGCCUAAAUUGAUGGUACAUUACCUAUGAUCUUUGUUCCCUUAAUUUUAUGAAGAUAAUCUGUCUUGCCUUCAUCGGUGUAAGGUUACUUCCCAAAUUGUUGUAAGAUUACGUGUGAUCUAAAUUAGUUGCGGAGGAUGGGCAGGCUUAGUUGCCUACAACCAAUAGGCUUCAUGUGUUUCAAGAGCAGUUAUAAACAGUAACAGAGAGGUGCAAGAGCAGCAGCAGAAAAAUUGACCCAACUCCAUUACAAAUUUAUUUGAUUAUUCAUGGUGAUGAUUUUUUUUCUUGAUACAUUCAUGAUUUUCGUGGUAGUGAAUUUUUUUGGAUAAAAGAAAAUACGCACAACGUGUAGAGUCACCAUUUACUGAAUUCUUCACGCCACUCAUACUCGGUUUCAUCAAGUUCGAGCGACUAUGAUCCUUGAAGUCAUCUCAAACCAGGUUGCACACCCGCCAAUUGUGGUAGAAGAGUAUGGUGACUAAGUUUUUUCUGUGCAACCAAGUAUGAUCACCAUCUUUACCAUCUUGCAGUCCAUACACCAAAAAAUGGGUUGAUACAUGUCAAACGUCUCAUGUGCACGUUGCCUUCGUUUGUGAUUCAAAUUAGAACUACUCUGUGGAUGGCUAAGAAUAGGCAAAUAGGUUGCUGGCAUGCAGGGGUUCAAAAUAAAAUGGAGGGUUUGUUUUCAUAAUUACGAAUUGACAAUGACGCUGUAACAUACAGGUUGGAUUCACACUUGCUUGAGCAUCUGAUUCUAAUUCAAGAUGAAGAAAGCCUCGCUCUAAUGCUAGUGUAGGCCGUAUGAUAUCAUUAAGUUCUCUGCAUGUCAAGAAUAAAUAUAUACAUUAAGGAUAAGUUUUAGUGUGCUAACUGAUAAUAUAAAACAGGGGUACUCAGAAUUUAGGGGUUGAUUUCUUGAGGUGGAAUAUCUGAAUGUGAGGGGUUUGUACAAAACUUGUGGUUUCUUUGAACAUGGUGGGCAGGGCUGUAGUGGUUCAGGGCCGAAUAUGGUGGUGAGUGGAAAUUGGGUCAAGGGAUAUGGUCCAGUGCCGCCAGGUUUAGAGGAUGUAUCUCUAGGUUCUGGUACAGAUGACCAACUGAUCAGUUCUCCAAAUGUGACUCCCACAAUGGUGGAGGGAUCAGCCCUGCCUUCAGCGAAGGGUGUGAUAAAGGUUGGCAGCGAGGAGGUGGUUAAGAUGAUUGAGGGUUCAAUGGUUGAAGCUCCUCUUCCGGUUCAGAACUUAAAGGAGAGAGGCUGAGAGCGUAUGGACUCACUACCCUCUCCGCCGAAGAGUGGGAAGACUGCAAUCAUGAGCUCCUUCCGUUCUGCCAGAGACUGGCAAUCUGCUGGAUUGGUAUUCACAGGAGUUCUUAAACAGGCUAUUAGUUUGUCUUCACUGCAAAGCGUAGAGCUCAUCUCACCAGGCUGAAUAAAGAAGCCAUUUAGGCUUCUAAGCUUUCCUGCUUUCCUGCUUUCUGUUUUUUUUGCUUUAUGUUUUUUAUUUUCCCAUUUUGGAAGGGUUUGGUAGUGAAACGUAGGAUUUUUUUUUCUUUUUUCUUUUUUAGAUUUUGACUUAGAAAAAUUUUAUUAACACAUUCCUAAUUAUUAGAUACACAUAUUAUACUUAAUACACCACCUAUUAACUUUAUUAUUUUAACAUUUUACUAGAUACACAUACCCAAAUUUCCUACAAUACCCUCGUUUAAAUACACAACUUAUUCAUUAAAUACACAACUCAUUCACUAAAUACACAUAUUUUCUAGAUUUGCUACUCAAUUUAUUAAAAGAAAAUUCACAUUAGUUAGAUCUCAUGCGUCACCAGGGCACCGAUUUUGCUUGAGAUCUCUCUCAUUGAGUUAGAUCAAUGACAAGCAAACUAGAAGGGUAUAUAUAUAAUUAUAUAUAGCAUCAUCCCAAGUUCUAGUUUGGUGUUCAAACGUAAAUGCUUUUGAACGACCUAGCAUGUGUGAACAGUAAAAAAUAAAUUUUCCAACUUCAAUUUGUACUGUCUAAUCAAACAACAUACCCUAUAAUCUAAAUAAUACCACUAGAAUCCAUUACGUUGUCUUUAGUUUUUGCUUGAAACUAUGGCUGUCCCUAGCUAUUUCUGAGUAGGGCUUGGUAUCUUCACAUACGUUGUUCUCGUAAAGGAGAAUAAUAGUCUUAAGCGAGAUAUUUUUUUUUUAACUAGGUUUCUUUACUUUUGAUAUAAAUGUCUCUUUUGGUAAUUUUAUGUAUCUACAAAAUCUUAUCUAAUUUGUAUAAAAAAGCGAUGUGUAUCUAACAUUUAGGGAUGUGUUAAUAAAAUUUCUUUUUGACUUAUGAUUUAUGACGGGUGAGCGACUCCAAACGUUUUUAGUGGUCUCUAGGGGUUUGGGAAGGUUUGUUUCUAUAUAGGGGCUAGAUUCAGUGGGAAACGAAAACACUUUUGGGCCACGUAAUGUUUUUAUUCCUGUAAUGUUUUUUCUGUUUACUGAGGUCCGCGUAUGAAUAAAAGUGUUUUCAUUCCCCAAAAAAAAAAAAAAAAUUAAGGGGUUGAAACAAGUUGUGAAGGACAACCCGAGCAAAUUCAAAAGGUUAGUCAACUGUGUUACUAUAACUCUCAAAGACAUUGAGAUGUUCUACGGACUUCUACCUGAACAAUUCCUGUUCUAGCUUUUUACACAAGCAAUGUUGACAGUGUAUCUAAGAGCACAUUACAAUGUGCACCUUCAUGGAGGAAUGUUAGAGACGGCUCAAUNNNNNNNNNNNNNNNNNNNNNNNNNNNNNNNNNNNNNNNNNNNNNNNNNNNNNNNNNNNNNNNNNNNNNNNNNNNNNNNNNNNNNNNNNNNNNNNNNNNNNNNNNNNNNNNNNNNNNNNNNNNNNNNNNNNNNNNNNNNNNNNNNNNNNNNNNNNNNNNNNNNNNNNNNNNNNNNNNNNNNNNNNNNNNNNNNNNNNNNNNNNNNNNNNNNNNNNNNNNNNNNNNNNNNNNNNNNNNNNNNNNNNNNNNNNNNNNNNNNNNNNNNNNNNNNNNNNNNNNNNNNNNNNNNNNNNNNNNNNNNNNNNNNNNNNNNNNNNNNNNNNNNNNNNNNNNNNNNNNNNNNNNNNNNNNNNNNNNNNNNNNNNNNNNNNNNNNNNNNNNNNNNNNNNNNNNNNNNNNNNNNNNNNNNNNNNNNNNNNNNNNNNNNNNNNNNNNNNNNNNNNNNNNNNNNNNNNNNNNNNNNNNNNNNNNNNNNNNNNNNNNNNNNNNNNNNNNNNNNNNNNNNNNNNNNNNNNNNNNNNNNNNNNNNNNNNNNNNNNNNNNNNNNNNNNNNNNNNNNNNNNNNNNNNNNNNNNNNNNNNNNNNNNNNNNNNNNNNNNNNNNNNNNNNNNNNNNNNNNNNNNNNNNNNNNNNNNNNNNNNNNNNNNNNNNNNNNNNNNNNNNNNNNNNNNNNNNNNNNNNNNNNNNNNNNNNNNNNNNNNNNNNNNNNNNNNNNNNNNNNNNNNNNNNNNNNNNNNNNNNNNNNNNNNNNNNNNNNNNNNNNNNNNNNNNNNNNNNNNNNNNNNNNNNNNNNNNNNNNNNNNNNNNNNNNNNNNNNNNNNNNNNNNNNNNNNNNNNNNNNNNNNNNNNNNNNNNNNNNNNNNNNNNNNNNNNNNNNNNNNNNNNNNNNNNNNNNNNNNNNNNNNNNNNNNNNNNNNNNNNNNNNNNNNNNNNNNNNNNNNNNNNNNNNNNNNNNNNNNNNNNNNNNNNNNNNNNNNNNNNNNNNNNNNNNNNNNNNNNNNNNNNNNNNNNNNNNNNNNNNNNNNNNNNNNNNNNNNNNNNNNNNNNNNNNNNNNNNNNNNNNNNNNNNNNNNNNNNNNNNNNNNNNNNNNNNNNNNNNNNNNNNNNNNNNNNNNNNNNNNNNNNNNNNNNNNNNNNNNNNNNNNNNNNNNNNNNNNNNNNNNNNNNNNNNNNNNNNNNNNNNNNNNNNNNNNNNNNNNNNNNNNNNNNNNNNNNNNNNNNNNNNNNNNNNNNNNNNNNNNNNNNNNNNNNNNNNNNNNNNNNNNNNNNNNNNNNNNNNNNNNNNNNNNNNNNNNNNNNNNNNNNNNNNNNNNNNNNNNNNNNNNNNNNNNNNNNNNNNNNNNNNNNNNNNNNNNNNNNNNNNNNNNNNNNNNNNNNNNNNNNNNNNNNNNNNNNNNNNNNNNNNNNNNNNNNNNNNNNNAAUGUCCUUUUGUAGGACAUCAAUCCUUACAGACAUAUUUGCAACAUGUGAUCUCGUUACUUUAACACUAUAAGCAUUUGGGAUCAAGAUGAGAUUUAGUGGGGACAAACCACGACAAUUCACGUCGUUCCACUUGAACACUUGUGUUCUUAUCUCCCUCUAACGGUGGGAAUAUUGCCUCAUCAAAGUGACAAUCCGCAAUUUAGCAGUGAAUGAGAUCGCCUAACAAGGUUCCUACAUAUGCGGAUUAUAGGUGGAGGUUUAUAUCCAACCUAAACUUAUUCAUCUCAAAUGACCAAUCAUUGUACGCAGUGGCAAUGCGAUUUGGCACUUAGAAAUAACAUCUAGCCGAGCUCAAGGAUUGGAGAUCCGUUUCAAUCCUGCCGAGCUCAAGGAGUGCAAUUUUGUGUCAAUCCUGAUACACAGUCACGAGCUGUAGUACAACAAAAUUCAAUGAUAGUGGAUCGUAGAUGAAUAGUAAAACUGCAUGCAAAGAUUACAUAUCCCCAAGACGCAAUAGAAAGAGUGGUGCGCAUCAAUAAUGUUCGAGCGACAAGCUAAAGUUGCUUGGUCGUAGCCUCGGUGAGACCGUAUUGCGUGUGAACAUGGGGUACAGGACACUUCAACUUACAUCCCGAUGAACUUCUUUAAAGAAUGGGUAGUGAGCCCGUAGAAGUAUAAGCAGUAUAAGCAGUAGAUAAUAGUGUAAAACGUNNNNNNNNNNNNNNNNNNNNCCUUAUUUAGCUAAAGAAUAGGCUUUCAAAACGAGCAAUGAGCAUUGCAAGGGGCCAAUGCGACAUCGAGGAAAGGCCGAUGCACCUCAAUUGCUUGAGGAAUUGAUCGGACGACCUCCAGGAAGUUGGAGUCGUGUUCGGGUGACGUCAAUGUCCCCCGGGCCACCACCAUGCUUCAUGGUGAUGCUAGAUCUCGAAUGUCUUCGUUUUGAGCGGAAGAAUGGAUGUCCAUGAGAAUUUCUCAAAAUUUAGACCAUUAUAUCUCUUCCAGGUUGACCAAUUUGGUCAAACCAAAGCCUAUAUGAGUCGGUGUCCCAAAUAUCAUGUUUGGCGAUAACAUGGGAUUCGAUAUUCGAAUCGUAGUGACAUACAGUUCACUAGAUUGACUCAUGAAUUUCUCCAAGAUGCGCUUCAGUUCGCAUUCAUGAGGAGAUAUACACAAAAGAAUGUUACAUUGCUCUUGCAUACAAAACCAAGCUGUUAUGAGACUCGAUAGAGGUCACAAACGAUGCUUUUAAUGGUUUGUUCUUCGGAUUGAUCAUACACAAUCCGGAAAAGCCGCGAAUUGAUCAAACACAAUUCGGAAAAAUGCCUCGGAUUGAUCAAACACAAUCCGGUGAAAGGUCGGGGUUGAUCAAACACAACCCGGACAACGAAACAAGAGUGAUCAAACACACUCUUGACCCGCGAAUAAAAUUCCGGGAUUUGGGUACCUGCACGCACAAAAUCCCAAGCAUAGAAUGGAGAUGGAGAAGGGAGGAAAAGAUUUUAUCCUCCCCGAGUUAUUGAACUUGGAAAAGUUUAAGGUUUCAAAAAACAUACCUUUCUAGAGGCUGCCGAGAGGAGAAAUAACGUUUCGCCUACUUAUACUUCGAAUUUGGGGCUGAAAAUUUGAUAGGAGGAGCAGCUAUGGAUGGGGAAGCUGCUAUCAAAAUUUGAGGUUGAUCGGAGCAAGGGAAGGUGGUGAACCGGUGGUCGGUAGCGGCGGCGGUCUGGAAUCUUCCGGCGGCCGGUUCGGAGACUUUCGGGCCGGUUCUCAGGGUGAGACCGGCGGCGUUGGAUCCGGGGCGGAGAGAGCUUUCUGGGGAUAUAAAAUUCCGGCGGAGGGCAGUCGGAAUUUUGGUCGGAAAUCGGGAAAAACAAGGCUGCCCGAUUUUAGGGUUUUGGUUUUUUUAGGGUUUAGAAAAAAAUGGUGGGCUAUUGGCUCUAGGGUUAGAACAAAGUGGAUAACGUGAUAAAGGAUAAAGUGUAGAGACAAAGAGAUAGCAAGAGAGUCAUCAUCUUAUUCAUUGAUAGGAGCCCUUUAUAUAGGGAAUUACACAAUACCAAUAUGGUAAGGAUAUGAAUACAUAGAUCUAGUCUAACUACAUAUCCUAUUGGCAUAAGGCCAAGGCACACAUAGAGAAUAUCCUAGAACAUGGACCAAGUUUCUUAUACAUUCUCCACACUCAAACGCACUUUCAAACUAGUUGCCCCCUAACAAAGCUAAACUCAAAUUCAACCAGAAGUGAAAGGAAUUGAUACUUCAAAGAUAAACAGCAAACACAGCUUCUAUGGUAUAAUGAACAGAAAAUGAAAAUUACUAUGCACAGAAUUAUCACUUUUUCAGAAAGGGGUUAUGUACUAACCUCUGAGAACUCGCCAUUUUGUACAAGUUAAUCAUUUUGAUGAGCAUCAUAGGAUCACAAGACCAUUAAAAUCCCAGAGAGUAUUCAUGCCCAGAUUACAUUUGAGAACUGAUCUGCCGUCCAAUUGACUGGGGCACUGGCCUCCCACCCAACCAUUGGAACACUCGCAUUCUGCACCCAGCUCUUUCUGCUGCUCAAUUACGCCAAGCAGAAGACAAUUCCAACUCAACAUCUUCUUCCCACCAAGUAGCAGACUGUGAUAUCAGUUCAGAACACACAAGUAGAUGAAUUUUGGAGUGCUAUUCAUUGUUUCACAAUAUGCUUUUGGAUUUAAAUUUGUAAGAGUUACAUAAAGAAAGAACCUCAGAUACACAAGGUAAAUAGAGUACAACUUAUCAAUAAGCAAAGAGAUAUUGCCAGCCAAAGAUUUAUUGACUUGACUGGGCAAGUGUAAAGGUCACAUCCAAAUGAAUUAAGUUUUUUUCAAAUUCGUAUUAAUCACCAGGUCCUAAUUGGAUAAUUGGGAAUAAGCUGAAGCAUUAUCUAAUUUCACAAACUAUGUUUUUCUCAUCAUACAUCCAGUUACAACAGAGUAUGCAGUGAACCUGAUACUGCAUUGUCCCUAUACAAAAAAUACUAGAGCCAUAGGUCUAUCACUAACAAAUGUAACUGUUCUUGUGCGCGUAUGUGAGAGAGAGGGUGUCAACAUUGAGGAAUGGUAGUUUAAAUUGUAUCAAGUUACUAAGAAACUGUUUUUCUUUGUUGGUCUGAAGUAUAUCAUUAGACCAGUAACAAGAAGAGGUAGGAAAAUUUGUCAAGUUGGGAGAUUGACCAUUUAAACAGAGUGAAACUAGCGACAUAACAAGUUCAAAAACUCUGAACAGCUAAAAUAAACUGUUUAAGAUAAGGAGAGGGUAACCUUGUAGCCUCUACGAAGAAAUUCCAGUGAGCUUCCUUCUUCUUCUGUAAGUCCCAAGACCCUCAACAGUUCUUCUUUUGUCUAAAGAGCAAACAAAUAAUGAGCGUGAAAGCAUAACAACCAUAUCUAGCAAGUAACAGUGUAAGAUGCUUGGAGUUUCAGAUAGAUGUAUACUUCACCCAGAGUGAAGCGUGUUGCACUCUCUGCUACGCAAGCAAAAGAACCAUCUGCUUGUUUAAGCAUUACCUGCCAAGGCCCUGAACUUAAAAAAGAUGAGAGAAAUACCACAACAUCCUGAUUAAGCAGCAAGUAAACAUAUUGAAGAAGAGAAUAUUUGAGAGUGCGAAAUAGAAACCACCAAGCAGAAGAAUAAAGUGUAAGAAAAUCAUGGUUAACAACUACAGACAAGCUGAUAGUAUAGCAAUAGCCUUCCUGAGGCAAGAUUGGGUUAGGAUGCUAUAUCAUAAAUGUAAAUGUAUUCUUCAUCAUGUCCAGACCACACAGAUAAUAGGCCUUGUAUGAAAUAGCAUAGCAUAAAUAAGUCCAGAUUGUUCUCUAAUUGUUCCUCUAAAAAGAGAUUCAUAUGUGCAUAAUGUAAAAGAUCAAAGGACUGUGCUCUAGUUUGUAGCACAAUAUUGGAUAUAAACCGUAGUCAUCAAUACUGACAAUAAGAUCAAGAAUGAGCAAUAAUCAGGUAUAUACAACUGGUUUUAAGAAAGUACUACAUACCAGGGUAUUGGCGAAAUAAUGCUCCAUUGUAAUUCACAAUAUAAGGCGCUACUGCUACUGUCUUAGGAGUUGACAAAUAAAUGAUUACCAAAAAUUUGAAAUAAGAAAGGAAAAACAGUUAAGGUUUAUAAUUUAACUUACCUUCGAGUACUCUCUUAUUCGAAUGUAGAACACUGGAAUAAAUUGUGAAAGAAACCGAUAAUGUAAAUCCUUGGUUGGAAACCCCACAAGACCCAAGUCAGCACUGCAUAAUUAACAGCGUCUAAUUCAUAGUUAAGAAGAAUAUUCAGCAAAUAGCAGAUAAAAUUUGAAGAAAGGUCAGGAAGGCAAUAGGAUUACCGCAACGUAUCGAGUUCGAGAUUGAAUAGAAGUGAUGGGGUUGACAUGGCAAAUUGUUCCUGUAAAUACCAAAGGGUCAGUAAACAAAGAAGCGCCACAAUACGUUCACAUAAAUUGAAGGAUUUGGAAAUGCUAUCCACAAAUUUAUUCUCAUCAUUAACAAGAAACAUUGUCAACUUUAGGCUACAGACAACUACAAAGUUAUAAGAAUACCCUGAAAUAUUUAUACCUACAUUAAGAUAAGUUAGACUUAGGAAGGUUAUGUGAUUGCGAAACAGUUAAAACACAUGAACAUGUUAAUACGGCCACCAGCAACUAUUUUAUCAGCCUCACUAGUGCAUGUAUAGUUUGAGGUAGCCAGCAUAUCAAUAAAAUCACACUAAACUUGUUAGCAAGAAGAAUUUUAUUGAAAGAUAAAAGCAAAGUAGAACACAGGAGAACAAGAUGCCCACUCAAUUAGCUAGCUCUUAAGUCAGACUCUGGGUCUCAAAAUAGCAUCGAACACAAAAACAGUAAAGUCCAAAAGAGGUAAACCACAGCAGCAUUACAACGGUAAAGAAUACCAUGGAAUGAACUAUUUCUAAUUUUGAGGAACACGACGCACACAGAGAUCCCCAAAAUGAAAUCCUUUCCCAAGAAUUAUCAUAUUUCUGUUCAUUCAAACGACCCACCAUUACACCAGUCCCAAUCCAUUUUUCUCCCUCCCAAAGACAUAUCUUUUACAGAAUCCACUGGAUUGUCCCCACUAACAUUAGACUGCGUAAAAUCACUUUCCCAAAGGCUAAAACAAAUGGUUCAGACAUCCAGAACCAUCUUACACAUUAAACACCACGAGGGACAGACAAAAAAGCAUAGAUGUCUGAACCAUAGAUGUGAGUACAUAUCAAUAUACAUCCAUUGAUAAGUCUCCCUGCUCUAGACCUUCUAGAUAAAUUUAGAUUCCGAUGAAUAAAUAUACAGCAUUAAAAAGAUCAGCUAGCUUAUAUGAAACUCAAUUUUGCUGAAAUAUAACAGAAUGUUUAAAUUUUGUAAUUAUCAUCCAAAAGUUAUCAGAAAGAAAAAUCAUAUGAAUGAUUUCAAGAGUACCGUAGUUAUAAAAGUACACGGUGUACACAACCAUCCAGCGUAAUACUCAUGAAACAAUAGAACAAAAAUAAAUGGAUUUGAAAUAUGUAAGACAACUAACAAGAAAACGACCAUACCACAAACUUCUCAAUUCCAGCAAGUUCGCGCGUGCUACAAUUAAUGAACAUAUAAAGAGAAGGAGGCUCAUUGGAUGCCCAGCGACCUAUAAUGUAAGAGAGAUAACAUAGAGAUGAUUGUUAAUCCUCUCUUCCAAAGAUGAAUAAUGUGCAUUGAACACAAAAAGAUAAUUCAAAUUGGUGUAACUUCUGUUGAGAUCAAGUUCAAGAAAUGAAAACAAGCAAUCAGAAACAUGAAAUGCUUGAGUCCUGUAACUGACCUUCAUUUUCAUCUUCGAAAUCAAAAUCAAGUGUGUUCCUUAUGGAUCUGAAAAACAUGGUGACUGGACCACCAGGAACAUCAUCAAGGGAACCUAUGGUUAUAUCACCAAUCUGAAAGAAAAUGGUAAAAAAGAAAACCCAUUUAAGGACAUUGAAGUUAUAUGGCACUCUAGUUUCUGAAGAGUACCAGCGGCAGUAGCAUGUCAGUAUAGGUUCUAAUAAAAUGGAAAGUAUAAACACAAAUAAAAUUUGGCACUACUUAAAGUAGAUAUUUUGUAUUGCAUAUUACGGUUGUUAGACCUUUUCUUUGUACAGUGAUACCAAAAUCCUAUGUCCAAAGGAUUUACAUAAGCUGAGAAGACUAUGAUGCAACUGAUUAAAGAAAUGAAUUAAAGGAUAGAAUUGCAAGUUAAUUUUUACCGAGUCGAUAGCUGUUCUAAACAGCUCAGAGGCCCUGCGCCUCUCUGGCUUAUCCGGAAACACCUGAAUAUAGAAAAACUAUUAUAUACUUUACAAUUGAAAUGUAUAAAACACCUAUAUGAAAAGGAAGAUUCUUCUUACAAUACAAACUCUCGUCUCCUUUCUUUCUUUUAGCUUCCGUACAACAGCCAAGGCAAGUUGAACAUUGGCAUCAAUGAAGUCAUCUGAAGACCCCUUUACAUGUUUUAGGAAUUUGAGAAAAUCAAGUCACAAGUAUUCCACGUGCUAUGUGUCAUCCACAAAUAAUAUCAUGAGAAGUACCUUAUAGGAAGAUAUGUUGCUAGGAAGGGGCCUGGAGACACAGAAAAUGCCAUGAAAAAGAAGAGGUAUUAGAAGAAAACAGCAACUCCACAUAAAAUGCCUAACCAAAAACUAACAAAACAAAAUCAUCACGCGCAUGAAGAAAUGGAGAAAAACACUCUACAAGACUACAAUCCAUCUCAUAGUACAUUAUCAUCACACCACUUCCAAAAUAAAUGUUCUUUGUUAGCCAUCUAUGUUUAAGUUUUCAACCAAACUUAGAUUCUCCUUCAGUUAAAUAAUUCUACACAUCCCUAAUCAUGUAUCCAUGCAUAAAAUUAACAUUCUAGAAAGAUCUAAUCUUAAAAGCCUGUGACUUUGUAAGUUCAGGUCAAUAUUGAUUGGAAAAGCAAUGCAUUUCAGUUCAUGAAUGAUUUCUAAUAGCCAAGAACAUGCUCGAAUGUGAAAACCCAAACAUGGGUUAAGCUCAAAAAACCAUUCUUGAUCCAAAUUCAUAAGCUUUUUUCAAUCAAAAGCAGAAGGGCCUUACGGGAAGUCAAUCUCCAAGCGGGUCUUGCCAUCUUCAAGAGCAUAGGCAAGCGAGUUGGCAGCGUCAGUGACGAGAACCUCAUAGGACUUGGGCUUGUAGACUGCAACUCCGGUCUUGGGGUCGAGACUUGAAGCUUUGUCGACGCAUUGGAUUGUGGUUGUGGUGUUGUGGAAUGGGAGAGGUCGAAAUGAUGAUGAGGUGGUGAGGAAAGUGGCGGUGGUGGUUUUGGGAAGUGAAGAGAGGGGAGAGCGGGAGAGAAUGAGAGGGUGGUUGGUGGAGGAAUGUGGGGAGAGAGUGGAAGAGGAGAAGGCCAUGGUGGUGGUGGACUGGUGGUGAGAGGGAAAUGGAUGAGGUGAUGAUAAGGAGUUUUCAAAGGACUUCUGUUUUUGUUUACGUGCCCCUUGGAGCUUGAGAGUUGAGAUACACUCGAACCUCUACGAAUUAGGGGAUAAUUCACUUCCUAUCUAAUUUUAGAGAUCUUUUUCCCAUAAAUUUUGAUUGUGCUAGACUCUGCUAGGUUGAGUUGUUGUUUUGGUAGAAAUCUGGUGGAGACGUGGAGUCGUUUUUGGUUUGUUUGUCUGUAUAUAUAGUCAUGAAAGAUUGGUAAUGCCACAAUCACAAUUCAACAAUGAGGUCGGUGGUGUAGGUAGUAAGUUGUGAUGACAAUGCAUAUGAAAUGGGAUGAGGAUCCUCUUUUAAGCUUUUUUUUACCUAAGCUGUCUAAAAAGCUCUUCGGAAGAAUAAGACACAUGGAAACAUCAAAAUCUAAUGGUCUACAAGACUACAACAUGACUAAAAUGUUUUUCUCUCUUCUCAUAUUUGUCUUCUCUCCUAAUCACUUAGGGAGUCACUUCUGUUGCGAACCAUAAACUUGCGGACUCAAUGCGGACUUUUAAAAAUAAAUAGUUUUUUUUUUAAGAUUUUUUAAUAUUUUUUACCACAAAUAUGAAGGAUUUUUUUUUUUUUUUUACCACAAAUGUGAAGGUGUUGUCUAUUAAAUCAUAAUUAGAAAGCACAGGACCUCUAGAAGGAGAAGAGUGCAAAGAUAAAGGUUUGCGCAUGAUCUUUUGGUGGAUUUCAGCGGGAGAAGUAAAAGGCGUGAGAAUGUGGGUGUAACAGUGUAUGGUUGGGUGAUGUCAAUUCUAUUUUAUGUUUUAAAAUAUGAACCAUUCAUGUAAUUUGAUGGUGGAAAUUAAAAGUCCUAAACAAUUCUCAUAUAAUGAGUCCUCAUUAGAAGAGGCUCCAAUCACUUAGACUACAUUCCCAUUUUCUAAGACUGCAUUCCCAUUUUCCGUUUGUCUUCUGUCAUUCUUGUUCUUUGUCGUUCUCUCUUGUUUUUUUUCCUUUAAUUUCCCUUUCUUCUGUUCUUUGACUCAACUAUUUUUCACUAUCAGAGUUCACCACCCAAAAUCGCAAAAUUUCCUGACUUCUUCUAGUUAUUGGAAUUAAAGUUUUAGAUCUGACGAUGAUUAAUGAGCUUGAGAGAUCAGCUGGUUUGAUUGGAAUCUCAUUGUUGUAUUCAUGGUGGUGACAAAUUAGGCUUAAUCGUGUAACAACAUGACAAAUUACGUUGAUUUGUUCUUCUUCUUUUUUUAGAGGAAUUGUUCUCUUUUUCUUCACUGGAUAUCAUUCAAUUAAUGAAUUAAGACUAUUGAUUGAGGGGUUUGAUGAUUUACUUAAUUUGAGAGAACUUAUGGAACACCCAUCACGAAGUAGAUGUUUCAUGUUCAUCUAGACUGAUCAGAAAACCAGUUUUUAUGUACUAGGUGUCACCGAAAAAUUGAACUUUGUUGUGUUUUAUUAGAGAGAUGAUAAAUAAAUAUAAUGGCAAGAGUGAGAUAAAAUCAAGAAGAGAGCAAUUGAAACAUAGCUCUAUUAUGGAGAUGAUGAAAGACUAGUUUGAACAUUUUUUUGGAUGAGAAGAGCUGGAACUUGAUGAAGAAGAGAAAGAGCAGUAUACUUGGUUGUGAAAUGAGCAAGCGAUUGAAAAAUUGAAGUGUGGAAACAGUUACAUGUAAUUCUAAACACGUGUCACUACGUUGUUGAAAGCUUAGGUAGGUUAGGCAACUAAAGAGGUCAGGAGAGGAUCAGAUCUUAUCAAAUAUGAUUCAUAUUUGUUUAUCAAAUUCAACCUUAGAAAAAAAAAUUAUAUUAAAUCACUCACACACCCUACAUAUGUCAAUAAGAUUUAAAUUCAUAACCUCAAUGUUGUUAGUUAACACCUUAACUAACUAAGUCAUGACUCACCUUAAAGUUAUUGUUCUUUUGGUAUAUUUUGUCUUGUAACAACUUUUCUUGCGUUCUACAAAUCAAUGAUGAUAAUGCAAAACUAGUUUUGUAGAUGUAAUUUUUUAUUUUUAUAGUGAAAACGUUUCUUUAACACCCAACUUAAUUUGUUUACGUGUAUUAAUAAAUAUUUCAAGACUUAGCUGUCAAAAGCUAGAUUACUUUUCUUCAUCGUAAAGCAAAUCAAGGCAGUCAUAGAUUUUGAUCUAUUCAGCUGGGACUGCAAGGGAAUAUGUAAUGAUGACACAACUUGAUCUCUAAAGGAAACUUUGAAAAUGCUGCCAAAAGAAAACUAAACAUAAAUAGGGUUAACUUUGGCUUAAUCAGUAUGUUUUUGAGAAUUUGCAAGGAGAAAUAUGAACAACUGCUUCUACACCUUUAUCUUUAAAAAGAGAAAGUGCAGGUGCAUUUCGUGUAUCAUUUAUGGGUAUAUAUGCAACAAGAAAAGGCAUAGAACAGUAAAUAUAUGGGUAACUACACAAUUUAUGACAUGUUUGAUGUUCGCAUUACUAAUAAUUGGUUGCCAAAAAAGUUAAGAACAUGUUUGUUAUGGUGUACAAAAAAAUACACGACGACAUAAACUAGAGUAGUACAUAUGAAGAUUAUGAGUUGGGCAUUCUUGAAUUUGCAAAAAAUUGUAUCUGUCAUUACAAUAACGACUGCUCAAGAGAUGAGAGAUUAAACUUAUGGGAAAUGGAGGGCAUGCUCGAAUUUGCAAAAAAUUGCAUCUGUCAUUGCAAUAACGACUGCUUAAGAGAUGAGAGAUUAAACUUGUGGGAAGUGGAGGGGUUGCUCGAAUUUGUAAAAAAUUGUAUCUGUCAUUGUAAUGACAACUGCUCAAGAGAUGAGAUAUUAAACUUGUGGGAAGUGGAGGGUAUGCUCGAACUGCCCAAGAGAUGAGAGAUUAAACUUGUGGGAAGUGGAGGACAUGCUUGAAUUUGCAAAAAAAGUGCAUUUGUCAUUGCAAUGACAACUGCUCAAGAGAUGAGAGACUAAACUUGUGGGAAGUGGAGGAAGCAACAACGUCAUAUUGUUAGGCAGUCAUGUAUAGAUAAGGCAGCUCAUAGUUUUUACACAGAAGUGGACAUUCCACAAGAGAUCGACAAUUAUGACAAUAUUGCUACGAUGAUAUCAUGCAGCUUCAUUCAUCAUGAUAAGGCAAAUCAGGUAAGAAAAACUCAUCCUUAUAGUUUUCAAUUAAAAUAUACUCGUGACUGAUUGUUCUAUUGAUUUCAGGCUGUAACUUUACAAAGUCAUUGAAAAUAAGAAAAUGAAACAUUUUUACGACAAAGUAAAUGGGAAACGUCACAGUAGAUGAAUUACAUUAUGUGAAACUUAAUCAAUUCAUAAAACUAGCAAACUAAAACACGCAUUUGUAAGUCAUCUCAUCAUUCCCAAUGUCAUGUAAUCUACACUUCUCCACUUGAACUCAUCAACUCUUUUUUGUGUGAGUACCAACAUAAGCAUUAGCCAAAUAAUAAAAAACCUAUACAAUCAAAAUGAACCAUACUUUACUUUUCACUAAAACAUGAAUUAAUAAUAUAAUAUAGGCGAUAAAAAAAUAUAAAAAAAUCACAACCUUAUACUUGGAUUAUUUUACUUUUGUCAGUUGUGCGAUAUCAUUGUUCGAAGCUCUUUCAUAUUUUAGGAACUUGAGCACUUCGUUAAAGCUCCAACAUCAGCCUUUAGUGCAAGAAAUAGGAAAUUUAAUGCUUAUAUAGAACCUGAUUGGAAGUAAAUGGUAAAAGGAAAAAUUUUAAAAAUGGCUCAAUGCAGUCAAACAUAAAACCUGAUUGGAAGUAAAUAAAACCACUAGUAAUGAAAACUAACGCACACAUUCUCUAAAAUCUUGAGACCAAUAACCAACUCUAGCAUACCAAGGUUUCCUCUCCAACAUCAAAACCUAGACAUUCCAGCUGGUUUUUUUUUGUUUUAAUUUGUUUAAGCGGUAAAGUUAACUGCCAGAGUAAAGUAACCAACAUGUCAUAGAAAUAUGAAAAUGUCUGUCAAAUGAAAAACUAAACAUAAAUAAGAUUAAACUUUGGCUUAAUCAAUAUAUAUUUGAAAAUUUGCAAGGAGAAGUACAAACAACUGCUUCUACACCCUUACCUUCAAAGAGAGAAGGUGCAUAUACAUUUUGUGUAUCAAUUUUGAAUAUAUAUGCAAAAAGAUAAGGCAUGAAAGAAUAAUUACAUGAGCAACUACAUAAUGUAUGACAAGCUUGAUGUUCGCAUUACUAAUAAUUGGCUGCCAAGAAAAGUGAAGAACAUGUUUGCCAUGGUGUACAACAAAAAACACGACGACAUAAACCAAAGUACUACAUAUGAAGAUAAUGAGUUGAGCAUGCUCGAAUUCGCCAAAAACGUCAUAUGUCAUUGUAAUGAUGACUUCUCAAGAGAUGAGAGAUUGAAAUUGUGGGAAGUGGAGGAAGCAAAAAAGUCAUAUUGUCAAACAUUCAUGUAUACGAAUGAAACUUAUUAAAUGAGGCAGCUUAUAAUUUUUAAAAAGAAGUGGACAUUCCACAAGAGAUCGAUAACUAUGACAAUUGAUAUGAUGAUAUCCUAGGCAAUGGAGAGGCUCCACCAGCUCAUGAACCCAACAUAGUUCAAUUUUCUUCCUAUCUUUCUAUUUUACCUAAUGAUUGGAUAGGUCGGCGACCUCCGCGAUCGGGAUAAACAAGUUCUUAUACGAUACAUUUAUAACAAUUUUGAACAAAAAAUUGAGAUUAAUAUACUUAUAAUUUAUAUCAUUAACUAUGAUAGUGGGUACUGAUAUUAACACCUAUGCAACCAUUAUUGGGGAAUUAGUCCCCUCUGUUAGAAAUGUUUUAAGGAAUUCACACUGAUAAGUCAUCAGUGACACCCCAAAAUUAAAGUUAACGCACUAUCAUUUUUUUCCCACUAUUAUGAAAUUGGUGUGUAUUAUUGUUGCCACCAACAUUAGUGAUAAAUUUAGACGAUAUAUAAAAAUAUAAAAGAGAUUAACAAGUUGGGCCCACCUCAAAUCACAAAAUUGUAAAAUGAUUUGUUUUGUCCCAAUAUAAUUUCAAAUAAAAUACAUGAUAAGAAAUAUAAAUCUCUUCAUCUUUUGUUUUCUUAUUCACUUUUGUUGGCCUUUUCUUCUUUGUAUGAUUUUCUUAUCUGUACAAAACGCUGAGUAGUACAAAAUACUGAGUGGUACGAAACACGGCUAGGUAUAAUUCAGACCAAACAAAGUUGGAUUCUAACCUAUAGUAUGUAGUUAAAAUGUUGAGUAGUAUAUUAUGUAGUUGAAUUCUAACCUACUGGAAAUGUAGUUGAAAAUGCUAUUGGAAAUUUUGUAUAACGUACCAUCUUUCAAAUAUUUAUCUUAUAAAUAAUCUCAACUUUAGUCAUUUCUUGCACUUUUCAUGAUUCACUAUCAUUCUUCACUCUUCACUAUCAUUUUUCACUUUUCACUUUUGCCUCAUGCAUUGAUCUCAUGGUUUUAUGAUAAUGAAAGACUUUGGUACGUAGUUUGGUAAGUGAUUAGUUAAUAUCAUUAUAUGAUUAUUGCAUGUAGCUUUAUUUUAUUGCUAAUUAUUACAUAUCUGUGACAACCCGGAAUUUUAAUAUAAUAUAUAUAUAUAUAUUUGUUUGUUUAUACAUACAUAUUUAAUUUGUACUAUAUAUGCUGAAAAUUUAGAUUAGUUAUUUAGUUAUUUUCUUUUUGUUUUAUUGAUAGUGUUAUUUGGGUUAAGUAUAGAGUUUGAGGCCUUAACCAAAACUUUGACCCAAUACCCAGAAAACCCAAACCCGAGCCCAAAUUUAAGACAAUUUUUGUGAAAAAGCUGGUUGUCAUUAAACAUAGCAGAACGACGCCCAAACGCUACUUCACCGCCUUCUGCUUCUUUUUCACUGAUUUCUUCUUUCUCCCGACCAGUUGACCAGAUGCUUCCAAAUCUAAAACGUUGCCGCCAUGAAACAAGUUACCUAUUGGGGACUCCUCAAAGCUAGAUUCCUAGUCUAGUACCUAAACAGGUAAGGCUUAGAUUGAACAAUUCAAUUUUGCUUUCGUUGUUUGUGUCUUGGACGCCAAGUUCUUCCCCUUUCCAGACACUAUAAAUAGGUAGAGUGUUCUCCAUUUUUUAGAUAGGUUUCAGAAGUCCCUUCAUACUUGGACAGAGAGGGAGAGAUACACUGGUGUCGUAGGAACAUAGGAAGAACAAUUCAGGAGCUUGCUUCGGGUGAUCGACAAAGGUAGGGAAAAAUUGGGGAACCUCUAUGCUUGCUUUAUAUGUUGUUUCAGUGAUUAUAUGUUUGUAUGGAAUGCUUGUUUUCUUGCUGCCAUUAACAUUUAUAUGGUUUGUUUUAUGGUACAAAGUUGUUCUUAUCAUAUAAGGUGUAAGGGGAAUGAUAGUUCUAUGCAUACAUCAUUUUGGUAAAGAAGUUAGUGAUGAAACUUUUGUGUAGUUGGGUCCUUGUCCUCUGAAGUACCAUAUCCCACGAUGCCCGUGUGAAUGCGUGAUAAUACGCGGGAAUGCAUGAAAAUACGUGAUUAGUAUAUUUGAAAAGGGCGGGAUUGGCGAAAGAGGAAUGGACAAGAUGAUUUGCAAAAGAGGAAUGCGAGACUGAGUGGAAGGUAGUUCAUAUAAAUGAGUAGCCUAAGUCACCCUUGUGGUAAAAUACAUGGUUUGUGGUAAAAUACAUGGUUUGGGACAUGUAUGGUUUGUGGUAAAAUACAUGGUUUGGGACAUGUAGACUUAGUUUAUUCGGCUAUAUGAACUAUAUGUGUCAAACAUCGACAAGCGUGGCCCGUGGAUCAUCCUUGUACCGAUAUUGUCUCAACUUAACCACUUUUAAGUUGUUGAGUUUUAAUCACAAAAUGUCUCGGUACAAUUAGGAAUGGCCCACCCACUUAUGAGUUAUAUUUUCUUUGUCACUUUUCCAAUGUGGGAUCUCUCCUCUCCAACACUCCCUCUCACGUGCAACCUAACUUUUAGGUCUGCACGUGAAACUGAUUAACAAACUGAACCCGGACCCUAUGAUAACCGAAAGAACCCUAAACUUUAAGUUGUUGGGUUUUAAUUACAAAAGGUCUCGGUACAAUUAGGAAUGACCCACCCACUUAUGAGUUAUAUUUUCUUUGUCACUUAUCUAAUGUUGGAUAACUGAAAGAAACCUAACUUUAAGUUGUUGGGUUUUAAUCACAAAAGGUACUCGGUACAAUUAAGAAUGACUCACCCACUUAUAAGUUAUAUUUUCUUUUGUUCAUUUUUCCUAAUGUGGGAUCUCUCCUCUCCAACACUUCCCCUCACGCGCAACCUAACUUUUAGGUAUGCACAUGAAACUGAUUAACAAACUGAACCCAGACCCUAUGAUAACCGAAAGAACCUUAAACUCCCAAUGACAGCUGAAAGAACCCCAAGCUCGAAAGAACCCCUAAACUUGAAAGAAUCAAACCAGGGCCAUGACCUUUGAAAGAACCAACCUGGGCUCGUGGAGAAGCAAACUGGAGAGGGGUCCGUUGUAAUACCAUGUCAAGCAGCGACAAGCGUGGCUUGUGGAUCAUCUUUGUACCGAUAUUGUCCCAACUUAACCACAUUUAAGGUGUUGGGUUUUAAUUACAAAAGGCCUCGGUACAAUUAGGAAUGACCCACCCAUUUAUGAGUUAUAUUUUCUUUGUCACUUUUCCAAUGUGGGAUCUCUCUUCUCCAACAAUAUGGAGUUGAUAAUAGAUGCAUUCAACCAUUUUACUAAAGUUGUUCAUUUUCUAUCUUGUCUGAAAUUAUUUUUGCCUCCUACUGGAUUUAUUAUGGUCACGUACCCCUUUAAAUUAUUGUGCAGGUAAAGAACAGGUUGUUGCCUUAAUGAUGUUAUCAUCUUAUGAUUUAUGAGUGAUGCUUGCUUAUGUAAAAUUAAACUUAGACCCUGUUUCUGCAUAAUCCCGGAGGCUAUGUAGAAUCAUGGUGGAACAUGUACAAUAGACGAUCAUGAACAAGAGACAAGGACAUAUAGUGGUUCACCAUGUCAUCGGAGGACAUGGCUACAUCCACUUAAGCUUCUACUAUCAUGGCCAAUAGACUCUUGAUGUUACAAGAGCUCUCCAAGAUGGAGUGAGUAGGGAUCAUCAUCCAUCCUUUCUACAUAUAGGAAGCCUUCCUUUUAUAGUUAAGGAAAGUUCCCUCACAUAUUAUGUUUCCGAUGUGGGACUGACUGCACAUAUAUCUUCUUAUGGUGCCUUCUUGUGGAGCUUGAGAGAGCACCUUCCCGAUGUGGUACCGAUGAUCUUUCACCAUGACGAGAUAGCCCGGAUGUCGGUCUACUGGAAGUAUGUCGGGGGCGGGGCCCUUCGUGGCAGGAAAACAGUCUACAAGGUUGUUGCUUAUGCUUGCGGUAUAUCUACAUACAACAUGUCCCCCCCCCCCCCCCCCCCCCCACUCUUGAGUAAGAGGACCAUCUUACUUGGAGAGUUAUAAAUAAAUAAAUGGUAUGCGGCCAAGCACAAGUAACGACCGAGUAACGACAUACACCCCUUGUCCCCCCAACUCUCUAAGGAAGAAGGUUCUCUUACUCGGAAUUAUUUCCCUCUCCCCCUUUCUCACGAUUUUCUUCUCUCUUUUUGAAAGGAGUGACAAGAUUCACUAUGCCCCCCCAAGUCUUGCUCUCGGUCGAAUGCCACUCUCUCGGUGGUUUCUCAGUCUAAUCAUGAAGUCUUACCACUUUUAUAUCCUGAUUCUAUGGAUAGAGCUGCCGAAUUGGUGCAUAUAGGAGGUAUAGUAGUGUGGACACCUUCAUGUUAGAAUCUCGUAGAGUAAAAUCAUGUUGCAUUACCCGUGAUGUAUGUCUGCCACCCAUUUUCACUUUUUGUUGUUUUUGAUUCAGGGUGACAGCCUCUAAGCUCCCGAUGACAUCUGACUCCCGAUCCCGGAGAUGAAAGUGGUGGAGCCCUGACUUGCUCUUGGAGUCAAUUCUCUACUGUCUUUAAUAUCUUUACUUCUCCCGGUGGCUGACUAUUUCUUUUCUGCUCCUAGUGGCUGAACAUUUCUUUCUCUGCUCCCGAAACUUAAUCAACUUCAAAAUAAUGACUUCUGAUCAUCACCAACUUUCUAGCUCUCUGGGACUUGGCAUUUGCUGCAGCCUCCCAACACCACUUCAAUAGUCAACUUUCAAUAUCUAACUGCCAACUUCAAGAACAACGAUUUCCAUUCUCAAAUAUUGCUGCAAAGCCAACAUAAACCAAACUUCUUAAAACUGCUAAGGACACCCAAAAUCAUCAAAGAAACCAGCAAACACCAACAGGGCAGUAGAACCCCAAAAUUCAUAUCCUUCGAAUCUUAACCAAACUGAAAAUUAAUUAUACUUUCUGGUAGAGGUUGACAUGCAGACCAUAUUUGAUACAAAGUUUCAGACCAAAAUGAGUCUUAAAUCCUGAUGAAAUUCGAACUCAAGACAGCUACAAAGUUUCAAGCCAAACGUAGAUCAUAUCCCUUCCUAUCACAACAGGUAAUAGCAGCAUGUAUAAUACUGAUGAGUUCAAAACAACUUAAAAACCACUACUUAACUCAUGUAAUUGAAUUGACCCAAUCUAUGAACGUGCAUAGAACCAUGUCAUGAUCUUCACUCACUCCACAUAUCAAAUGAUCAUAAACCCCACUUUCACAAUCAACUGGCCCAGGAAUUUCAUCAAGUUGCUUCUAUGUUAGAGAGAUGCAUAAGCAGUCGAACAUAAACAUGAAGGCUUGCAUAAAAUCACACAAUAAUUCCACAAAAUGAUAUAACAACACACUACCCCACUCGCAUAUGAAUCACCAAAUUCCUCCACAGUAAUCCAAAAUCAAUUAAUCAUCGAUAGUUUAAAGAGGUGGAGUAAGAGGACUUAGCUUUGGCUUGCUUUGCUCAUAGAAGUAUACCGACGAGAGCACUGCACUGUUCUGGAGCUUAUCCAGAUUUCAAUUCUGUGUUUCGAGGAUGGGGAAGCUGCCAUCGGGUGGUCAAAUUUGAUGGCUGGUGUAUAGAGCAAACUCCCUCCUUUUUUUAUUUUAUUUUAUUUAUUUUUUUUAUUACUCCGAUGAGCUAUGGUAUCAUGAUCCUGACUGGUUCCACCGGUAACUCAUAGAGCAGGCGUUGCCAGAGGAAAGUGAUAACUGAACUUGACGACUGGGACCCUGCUUCUUGAUCGAGAUUAAAGUUUCAAAUUACUCUCCUGCCAACGGGACCCGUGCACACCCGGCCGAAAUCCCCUUCCUAAUGUGAAUCUCUCCCGAUGCUCCUAAUGAAUAUUCAUCUCGGUCGGAGAAUUGACGAACGCAGCCAGCGGGUGGAGGAGGUCGCUACCGAUAAGGCUCCCGGUCGACAUGACUAACUGCCUUGGCGAUUGCGUGAGCUCCGGGUCCCGGUGAUCCAUCCCCGGGUGCUAUCUGCCUGGAGGAGUCGCUUGAGUUCGCUCGGAGCUAGUUGGCGAGAUUAGACAAACAUGAUGCAGCUGGAGGCGUGGAGUCACCAGGAGAGGAGCCAUCGGGGAUGCAUCGGUAACUGGUGGAACACGAAACUCCCGAACCCACUACUUAAUUGGACUUGCAUAUAGAUUUAGGCCCGAUGGCAGUUGCUGGGCUUGGAUACAACCCGAUGGACCUAUUGCUCUCAUGGACUUGAGUGAACUGCCUCUUGGUGGAAUGCCUCUCUCGGUGGAAUGCCUCUUGGUGGUAGAGCAACGUGACUUUUUGUAAUGAUUCCCAUAAACGGCGCCAAAUGUUUCUGCAUAUGGGAAGCCUUCCUUUUAUAGCUAAGGAAGGUUCCCUCAUAUUACAUAUUUCCAAUGUGGGACAAGGUGCACAUAUAUCUUCUUAUGAUGUCUUCUUGUGGAGCUUAGAGAAGGACCUUUCAGAUAUGGUACCGAUGAUCUUUUACCAUGGCGAGGUAGCUUAGAUGUCGGUCUACCGGAAGUAUGUCGGGGGCGGGGUCCUUCAUGGUCGGAAAACGGUCUACGAGGUCGUUGCUUAUGCUUGCGGUAUAUAUACCAACAACCGACCCUAGUUAGUCUUUUCUUGUAAUUUUGGUUUGAGAAUCUAUUGUAAUAAAAAAUAAAUUUUAGUUUAGUGUUGAGUUGUUCCUUUCUAAUUUCUUUCUUAUUCUGAUUAUGAAAAUUAUAUUUCAUAAUUGGAAUAUGAGUCACACGAUCACACCUCGAAGGAAAAUUUUAUUUUCCAAAAAUUGGUGUGUGACAAUAUCGUUAUUUUAAUACAAUCCUACAUAUCUUAUUACACCCGUACGUUAUGUAAGAGACUAGUGAAGUAUUGAGAGAGAGAGAGAGAGAGAGAGAGAGAGAGAGAGAGAGAGAGAGAGAGUAGUAGUAGUAGUAGAGANNNNNNNNNNNNNNNNNNNNGAGAGAGAGAGAGGUUUGAAUUGGGAAGAUCCAACACGUGUUGAAGACUCAAUCAGGGAAAAAUACGUUUUGAACAAGUCUUCAUCAUACCAAAGUAACAUGUCUUCAUCUAACCGACGUAACAUGUCUUCAUCAAACCGACAUCAUGGAUUAGGAGGAGGAAGCUCUACAACUCAUGGAUCAGGAAAAGGAAGAUCUAUAGUUCCUAAAGGUGGAGAGAAAUUUUAAUAAAAACUUUUAUGUGCACUUUUAGGUAGAUACUAGAUAUUAUCAAUUGUUAGAACAUAAUCAAUUAUGAAUUAUCUCAUAUUGUCAAACAUUUACAUAUACAAAUGGAACUUAUCUAAUUAGGCAACUCAUAAUUUUUACAAAGAAAUGGACAUUCCACAUAAAUCAACAACUAUGACAAUUGCUACGAUGAUAUCUUAGGCGAUGGAGAUGUUCCACCAACUCAUGAACUCAACAUAGUUCCAUUUAUUUAUGCUACGUACUAUACUUUUUCAAAUUUUUCUUUCAUACCCUAAAGUCGAUUGUUUCUCCAUUUUCCCUUAUUAACUAAUCACUUACGAAACUACCAAAGUGUAUCACUAUCAUAUAUAAGAUCAAGAGAUCAAUGCAUGAGAAAGAAAUGAAGAGUGAAAAAUAAUAGGGAAUCAUGAAAGGUGCAAGAAAUGAGUAAAGUUGAGAAUUUUUAUAGGAUAAGUAUUUGAAAGAUAGUAAAUUAUACAAAAUUUCCAGUAGCAUUUUUAAUUACAUUUUCAGUAUGUUAGAAUUCAACUACAUUUCAACCGCAUACUACUGUGCUACUCAGCAUUUCAACUACAUACUAUAUGUAUGUCCCAAAGACAGUUUUCCCCUCCCAAGAAUAGAUCAAUUGGUUGACGCCACAGCAGGGCAUGAGCUGCUAAGCAUGAUGGAUGUUUACUUAAGGUACAACCAGAUCAAGAUGAGUAGCGGAUCAAGAGGCCACAAGUUUUACAAUAGACAAGACAUAUACUGCUACAACGUUAUGCCCUUUAGUUUGAAAAACGCGGGCGCCACAUACUAGCGGUUGAUGAAUUUGAUGUUCCACGAUCACUUGGGGAAGAUUAUAAAAGUGUAUGUGGACGACAUGCUUGUCAAAAGCGUCAAGGCAGGAGGCCAUGUGGUCAAUCUCAAGAUAAUCUUUGAAAUCUUGUUGAAGUACAAGAUGAGGUUGAAUCCAGACAAGUGCUUCUUUGGGAUUACAUCAAGCAAAUUCAUGAGGUACAUGAUCAGUGAGCGGGUCAUAGAGGCCAAUCUUGAGAAAAUCAAAGCAAUUCUGGACAUGAAAGCCCCAGUGAAAAAGAAAGACGUUGAAGUUUUGCAAGGAAGGCUAACGUCAUUAUCCUUCUUCAUCUCACGCCUAACCGAUGCGUGUGUUCCCUUCUUCAAAGCCAUGAAACGCCCAACAGGAAAUGAAGUGGAUUGGACACUAGACUGCCAAGCGGCAUUCUAGGGCCUGAAGGAUUACCUAGUGUCCAUUCCCUUAUUGUUAAUCCCCAAGUAGGGAGAGACAUUGUACAUAUACCUAGCGGUUUCCAGCUGGACAAAAUGGUUUUGGCGCUAAUCACAGCCGCUAGGAGGAUGCGUCAAUACUUCUAAGCUCACACGAUUCAUGUCCUUACAAAUCAAUCGCUCAAGAGUAUGCCCUCAAGUUCAACUUUAAAGCCUCCAAUAAUGCAGCAGAGUACGAGGCCCUUAUCGCUGGAUUAUUGUUGGCCCCUGACUCAGGAGCUAAAGACAUCAAUAUCUUCAACGACUCACAAUUGGUGGUCAACCAAGCCAACGGUUCAUUCCAAAUGAAGGAUUCACAACUAACGACCUACAUAGGAUAUGUAAAAACUAUGUUGGGCAAGUUUCAAUUCCACAACAUCACACAACUCCCUCAAGCGGAAAAAGCCAGAGCGGAUUCCUUGGCGCGAGUAGCAACAACCCAACCCCACCAGCAUAGGGAAGACACAAGGAUAGAAAUCUUAGACAAACCGUCUACAACUAAGACGCUGGCGAAGAUAUUUCAUAUUGAGACAUGCCCAUCAUGGAUGGAUGAGAUCAUGACCUAUAAAUAGGAUGGAACGCUCCUAGAAGACAAGUUGAUAACACAAACGUUGUUUAGGCGGCCACUAGAUACAACAUUAUAGAAGGGAAGUUAUUCCGCCAAGGGUUGAAGUUUCCUCACCUGAAGUGUAUCACGCCGGAGGAAAGCAAAGGGAAGUUAUCUUUUGUACUAGUGUAAGUAUCCCUCAUAACUUCUUGUUUAUCUAUAAAUGGUAACCGGAAGAGUAUGUAAUGGCUGCUCUAGCACCAGUUUUAAUCUAUAAAAUCUAUUGUUUUGCAUUUAAAAAAAAUUGUUAUGAACAUAUGGCUCAGAUAUUAAGUUCAUUACUUUUGUUAAGAACAAGUAUAAGUUCGUUAAUGUUCUGUCUUCCACUAGCUAGCUAGUUUAAUAAUCUGGGGCUUCUCCAGAACCACUCCAAGUUGGUCGGUUUCACAACUACUAGAAAUGUUAAAACCCUAAAAUUGACUCAUUUGACUCAUCACUUAAGGAGAAGCAAGAGGCUUCAACGCUCCAAGAAGCUGGACGUUCUCGACCGGGGAGUGACACCUAUAAGUAGAUCUCUCAAUAGGAGGCGAGUAGAGGUUUGUUGGAAUCAGCCAGAGAUAGUACAAGGAUAAAAGGCUGAUUGUUGAGAAGGUUCGAUGUGUUCAUUGUUGGUUAGAAGGAGACCAAUUCAUUACAGCUACAAGUCAAAAGAGGCUAAUUUAGUUGGUUAGAAGGACAUGUAUGUUCAUGCAAUUGAAAUUUUGAAACAUAUAGUGGAUUUUUGAAGGUGAGGUAAUUAUACCAAUAUCGUAAUGUAGAUGAAUAUUUAAUAUUUAUAGGUGUAUAUUGCUUUCUUUUGUAUGAUUCAAUGUUUCACUUCCGGGAGUGAAAUUCACACUCCACAAAUUACGAUAUAUUUGCACUCUUACUGUGAUAUAUACAUAUAUAUACACACACAUACAGUCGGGAUCACAGACGGACGUCCGCAAACCCGUAAAAGUGCGGACGUCCCUGAUUUUGCAGCGAUCAAGCGCCGACAACGUCCCUUCUCUUGCCGGACGGACACCAGAGGCAUCCGAGAUCUGUUUAACAUGAAGAUGAAGGCCAUGGAGAUCGGAGUAGAAGGACUGGGCAACAACCUCCACCCAAAACUCAGACAACAUCAAUCUCGGCUGCAAACUGGUAUUCGGCGAGUCCGCCGGCAAUAGGAAGCUCACGAUCAAGGUCUGGUGUCCGUCCAGGAAGAGAUGGGCCGUCGUCGGCGCUUGAUCGCUGCAAAAGCAGGGACGUCCGCACUUUUACGGGUUUGCGGACGUCCUCUUCUGAUCCUGUCCGUACACACACACACACACACACUUUUAGAGAUAGGUCCAUACCAUUGGAUCUAUUUUUUAAUGAGUUUGGAUAGCUAAGAUUAAAACAAAAAAAUUAACACUUAUGUCAAACCUAGACCAUUCAAGAUCAUUAAAAAUAAAUUUGAAUGACUUAACGAUCACCAAAUUUUCUGAAAACUUGUAGAGGUGAUCUUCUCAUAUAGACUUACAAACUGAACGGUGAAGAUGUGAUUUUGUGAUCAAAAAGUUUGUCAAAUACCUUAUCCCUAUAAAUGAACCAAAAUAGGGAUCCCACAAUGGAAGGAGCUGGUAUAUAUAUGAAAUUAUUUCCCUUAAGUUUUAAUCAUAUGUUCAUAUUAAUUAUUUAUAUAAAUAUAUGAAAAAGUGGAUGGAUUAAUUGUUUGUAAUGGUGUGCAUUGUUUAUUGUUUAGGGAGAGGGAUCCAUGGGGUGUUCAUGAUGAUUUUACUAAGGGAAAAGGGAAGAACAAUCGACUUAAGGGUUUGAGAGAAAAAUUUAGAAAGUUAUAGUACGUAGCAGAAAUAAAAGAGCUACCUAGACAUUAAAGACAUGCAUCCACAAUGGUAUCAUGGUGGUGUUGGCCGGUAAUAUUCAAAUUCGAUCCAACACCUUGUAUCUAGAAAGGGAGCGAGAAAUGUAAGCUGAGGAGAGGUUAAAGCAGGACCUGCAUGACAUCAAUUAUUCUACAAGUAUUUUCUUUUUUGGAACAAAAUUCUACAAUUAGGUUAGGCAUGAAAACACUGACAGGUUUUGCUUAAUGAACAUAACUGAACUCAUCUAGACCGUGGGCUUUAUCAAAUAUAGCGUGGUGUUAAAAUGUCAAGUACUCAGCCCAUAUAUAAGAAAAUGAAAAUCAUUGAUGCAUAAAGUCUUCAAUACAACUUAUGAUCAUAACUGUUGGGGGGGNGGUGGGUGGUGGUGGUGGUGUGUAGUGUAGUGUUGUUUAGUUUUAGUAGUUGUUAGUUAGUUAGUUAGUUAGUUAGUUAGUUAGUUAGUUACGUUAACGUUACCGUUAACGUUAAACGUUAACGUUAACGUUAACUUAACGUUACCGUUAACCGUUAACCUUAACCGUUAACGUACCGUUAACGUAACGGUUAACGUAACGUUAAACGGUUAACGGGUUAAACUUAACGGUUAAAACGGGGUAAACGGUUAACUUUAAACGGUUAAAGUUUAAACGGUUAACGGUUAAACCGGGUUUAAUUAACGGGUUAACACGUUUUAACGAACGUUUACGUAACGUUUAACUCGUUUAAACGAACUUUAACGUUUAACUUAACGUUUUAAACGUUAAAGUUCGUUUAAAAACGUUGUUAAAACGUUUUUAACGUUUAAACGUUUAACGGUUAAACGUUUAACGGAAACGUUUUAAAACGUUAACGGGUUUAACAACGUACGUUUUAAACGGUAACGAACGUUUAAACGUUACGUUUAAACGGUUUACGGUUAACGUUUAAAACGUAACGUUUAACGAAACGUAACGUUUAGAACGUAACGUUUAACGUACGAGUUACGUGAUNUANANAUANAUNAUANNANANNANNANAUANANAUANAUAUNNUNNNNNUNNUNAUGNNGNGNGUGNGNGNGNGGNGGGGGGGAGAGGGGGUUUAUAUGAUUUUCAUUAAACUGAAUGUUUUGUUUGUUUUUUUUUUUUAAAGAAGGCAUACCGAUUAUAUUGAUAUCUCAAGCCCGCAAAAACAAUUACAUAUCCUCCCUCUACAGACAUGGGUAGAUAAAGAGUUUGUGGUAGUAGCACAAAUGAUACAUGGAUUAAGUCCAAUCAUUUGAUGGUUCAAACUCAAUCAAGAGAGCCUAUAGACUAAUAACUAUUACAUAGUAGAUAGGUAGAGUACACAGACUUGAUGACACUUACUAAGACUAGAAAGAAAAUGUUGUGAAAGCAUAAAACUUGAACAUAGAUGAAUGGACUAGGGCAAAAAACCUUAGCCCAAACAAUGAAGCCCAAUGGGGCAGCCACCAAGGAGGUCCACAUAGGUCCAUCCAGUUGAUUUGGCCCAAUCCACCUUCUUUCCAUCUUUGUCUAAACUUCGCAGACGCACCACCUGUUGCUGCAAAAAACCACGCCACUCGAUUUGAACACCCAGACGCUAUCGCCGGCGACUCAAAUCGUCGCACGCGUCACCUCCAAAGCACAUCCACCCUUGCACCACCAACCAAAAACACACCGCCGAAAUCGAGUACAACCUCCCUCAGACAAACCCCAUGAGCAUAUAACACGUACUUGCUUUCUUGUCCGGAAGCAAACCCAAAGGCGACGACAAGGCCAAGAGGCCCACCGAAGAGUCUAGUCGCCACGGGACAAGAACAAGAUCUUGAAUCUGGAGGCUAGGUAGGAACGGUGCCUUAGGAUUCUCUUUCCCGGUAGACCACUAGGGUGUAUUUACUCACAUGAACCGAAAGUUUGAUCGAUAGAGAAAUAAAAAAAUUGCAUUUGAAAUCAGUUUUUCUGCGGUUUGGUUUAAAUCGGGUAGUUUAAUACUCGAAACUGCAACUGAAUCGCUUUUAUGCGGUUCAUGCAGUGUGACUGUAAAACAACACAGGUUUAGUUCGUUGCAGUAAUCAAAUCAUUUUUUGUGGUGCGGUUCGGUCGGCAACCAUAUUUUUGAUUGAAAUUAUCCACCCAUAUAUUAAGUAACGACGGUUCGAGGUAAUAAAAAACUUUGUAGAGAAAGUGAAAAGAAGAGGAUAAUGAUAAAGGACAUGAAAACAAAUUAUAAAAGAGAACAAAAUUGUAGACCAUUUAGAUUCAUUAUAGACACGUGUCAAAAUCCAAAUAAAAGGCGUAGGUAGGUUAGGUGAGAAUAUCCGUCUCUCACUGACCAAAACAAUCUGAAAUACGGCCAAAGAAUAAUAGGACAAAAUUAAAGAAUGAUGAAAAGAGAAGCCUCCCUCCCUCCAUGCUGAGGUUUCAGAUUCCCAUUCUCAUUUAACUCGGAAAUUAGAAAUGGCGUCCACGUGAGAUCACACUUUAUCUUCUUCUUUUUUUGAAAUUGACACUUUAUCUGAUGAUCACUAUAAUGUUUAAAGUGCAUGCAAAUGGCACUUCGCAGCUUUUGACUCUCUCUCUCUCUCUCUCUCGGCAAACUGAAGCAGCACAGAAAUGGACGACUUCAUCAACCUGAUUUGCCCUGAUUCUCCAUCCGUAAGCCGCUCUCUCUUUCUCUGCUGUUUUUCACCUUUUUGUUUUGUUUCGUAAUUUUGAUUUUCACCUUUUUUUUUCUUUCGUAUUUUGAUUUUCUCUCGUUCACUCAAUUUUUGAAUUCGUAGAAAUAUAAGUGAUUGAGUCGUUUAUUGGUGAUUGUGAAUUCACAGGUAUGGGAUGGGAAUGGAGUUUCCAAGUGCUACGGGGACAUAUAUCCUUAUAUUCUGUUUUGUGUAAAUUACUGUUUCAUAAUAUAAUGGAGAACUGCUCCUCCUUAAUUUACAAUCCUUACUCUGUUAGGCUUUGCUGCAAAUGUAGUUACUCUUGGUGUGAUUUUCGUGCUUGGAAUCGCGGCAAGGACUGGCACAAGAAGCUUGAGGGUGGGUUUUGUAUUGAUAUUUGAUUGGAACUAUCAGUUUAUUCGCUCUGUAUGGAUGAUAGAUAGUAUGUAAUGAUGGGCUUACAAAAUUUACUCAGAUGAACUUUUCCGAGAGGUUGUUUUUGCACGUGCUUCCUGCCAUCGGGGCUUGUUUAGCAUUUUUCGACAUUGCUUUACUCAUGAAGAAAGAUAGUACUGGUGUCUUAAUCACACGACACGAAUGGUUUUUCAGAUGUUCCCAGUUUGCAGUCUGGGUAAGGGCUUCUUCUGUUAUAACUUAAUUGGGAACUACAUGGUAUAUUAUGUUAUUUUUUUUAAUCCAUGAUUCAUUGGUUAUUUCAAAUAUGCAGACAGUUGUCAUACUCUUCUCAAGGUGGUUCAGUGCUUACCAUAUCUUUUGCAACCGCAUCUUGUCUUUCUGGUGGCUUGUGAAAAUGCUUUUGGCAGUGCUUCAUUUGUGCACUACAUAUCCUUCAUUCAAGGUACAUUUUUUGUGUAGAGGUUUCUUAUGGCUGAUUAAAUUCCAGUCCAUGGUGGGCUGUAAAAGGCCGUUAAGUUUAAAAGGAAAAUAUUACUUGACUGUAAAGUACAGUCUGAGAAUUUUCCAUUUUGUAAUCGGUUAGUUUUGAAUAUAAGAUCUGUCCAGACCAGUUCACUUUUCACCACUUAUGAUGCCAUUGAUUUGUGUGGUUGAAUCUAACUUGACUUUAGAUUACAUAUGUUUAAUAAUGAAACGAGAGGGGGUAAUAUGAUCAUGUUUUGUAAAUAGAUUUUGUUAUGAACUCCUUUCUCUGACAGGUCUUGUUGUCUCUUAAAGAGAUUUGUACUGUUUCAUUGGACGUCAUCUUUGGUAUAUCAAUUAACAUCAUCAGAAUAAAGAGGGCAUCAUCCAACAGAAGGUAUGAGCUGUUUAUUAUUAUUACCCCAAACCCUUUACGAUUAUGAUUACAUAGGUUAUAUUGACAGUUCCCACUAUAUAUUAAUAUACUGGUUAAAUUACAUUGAUGAUAACUUCAUAGACGAUAAUAUAUAAAGCCGAUUGGUCAUACCUUUCAGCUCCUCAUGAAGUAGGGGUUGAUUGAGAUCUUAUUAUUUAAUUGUCAUCCAGACAAAGAACCUGUCUGAAUGACCUAUAUAUUGAUGUAGUUGCAGUCGAUGAGUUACUCUGUGAUCAUACCAUCUUUGAUCCCGAACCCCAAUGGAAAAGUUUCAACUUUUACAAUCCAAUAGCCAGUAGGGUCAUACCCUGGGUUUGCUUCAGUGAUUUUUAUUUCUUAGCUUAUUGCAGAAUACUUAUAGUGUCCUUUUUUUAUAUUUGUAAAAAAUAAAGAAAUUUGAAUUAUUUACUUCUUUUGUUAAAAUUCCUAAUAAGAUGCCAUAUUUUUGGGAGUCAAAUAAUAAAUGUGAUAUAUGAGUGGUCAAACAAUUGCUUGUCUCAUAGUUUUCUUUAUUAUUUUAAUUUUUCAUAUUUAUAUUUUCUUUAGUUUUUGUAUAAUGUAACAUAUUCAUUUCUUUGUGCAAAUGAAAUCCUACAACUAAAUGCAGUUCAAUGGAAGAUUCACUACUUUCGUCUGACAUGGACCUCGAGGAAGGUUCUUUUAAGGACUCUGUAAGUUAUAUGCCACCAAAUUACUUGAUCAUAUUCUCUGUUCUGUUCAAACCUUUUCUAUGCUGUUUUCUGGUUCUGCUUUACACUUGCGUAAGUAUAAAUGUAGAUGCUGAUAUGCUUUUAAGCACAAAUUCUAUAAGGAUGGCUAUUCUAGAUGAAUGCAUAUUUUUUGGAAGAUAAAUUCUGAGUCAAUGCAUAGGAAACAGCAAAUCAACCAUAACUGCAAGGGUCAUAAUAUCUACCUAUAUCGAUUAUCAGUGACAUAAGAUACAAUAUGGUAGUGCAAGAAUGUGAUUUCUUCUUUUUUGACAAACCCUUCAUGAGUCUUUGUUGAAAAAGGGAAAGCUGUAUCGUUCCUCUCAUAGAUUAAGAAGAGGAAAAUAGAAAGAUGACAAGCAAAUUUUAGGAACAUAUCCUUGUACAGUAACUUGAUCAAAGUGUAAAGCCAAAAUGAUAAUUACAUUUAGAACUUCCAGGCAACCAAGAAUUAUUGAUCUGAAAUAUUUAAUGCUGGUCAUGUACUUUAAUAUCUGUCAUGUUAAAGUUGAAAUUGUUGAGAGUGAGAUGCCUCCUCGGUCCUAUUUGUUUCAGUCUUCUUUUGUAGCAAGCUCAUACUCACCAUCUUGUAUUAAUUUUCAAAGGGAGAUGGUCAAAGCUAUUUCGAUCUUAUGACAUUCAGAUCUAUCACUUCUGUGAUGAAUCAUGGUGUUACAAAGCAGCUUGAAUUUGAAGAUUUGCUUCUACUUCCCACUGACAUGGACCCUUGUUCCUGUCAUGAUGCAUUAUUUAGCUGUUGGAAAUCCCAAUUGAGUGAUUCCCCUGACCCAUCCCUAUUUAGGGCAAUCUGUUCUGCAUAUGGAUGGCCAUACGUUCGUCUGGGAUUGUUAAAGGUAAUUUUUUUUUUCAGGUGAAUGGGAUUCUCCCUUUUUUGCUUUCAUGUAUCGCAAUAGAUGGGUUAUAUAGCUUUGUACAUAUUAUGGUAGAUAAUUUGCCGCUGCUUUUAGCUCAUGACAAGUUUUUCUUUGCAGAAAAAAGUAAACUAUUCUUUUCAAACUAUCUUACUUUCAGAAAUUGUUUUUUUUUUGGGCAUAUGUUCUUCGAAUGUUGUUAGUUGUAGAAAUAGUUUCCUGCUUAUUUCUUUUUUGCAGCAUUGUGUGAGUGGCACUGCAUUAUAAAUUCUGAAAGAAUUUAAGACACCUCACUUGUGUAUUGGUAUUCCUUUUUUGUUUCUUACUGGGAUGUCCAAGGUCUACAGUUUGUUUCAGUUAUAGGGAUCUUUAGUUCAAUAUGCUGACAUUGCAAGCAAGAGAAAGACCAAUUUACUGGAACUUACAUGGCUGCUACUCAAUACAGUGAACUUUUGGAGUUAAUCUGAUUGUUAAUGAAAUAUGAAGCUUGAUAUAUUAAUGUUGUCAAUUUCCUACAUACUGUCAUAAGCAGGCAAAUAAAAGACUUGGCUUCUUACAAAUAUAAUAUUCUGAAUCGUCAGUCUCCAGGUGCUUAAUGAUUCUGUUGGUUUUGCUGGACCGUUGCUUCUCAAUAAGCUAAUUCGCUUCCUUCAACAAGGUCUGUCAUAAGCAGUUGAAUAUACUUAUAAUCUUUAUCUUGGAUGAAAAACAUGUAUAAUCUUAAACAUGCUACUUUAUUGUUCACAGAAUUUGUCACUUUUCUGUUUUUUUCAGGUUCUCAGAAUUUGGAUGGCUAUGUUCUUGCAGUAUCCUUGGGCCUCAUAUCUAUCUUUAAGUAACACUCUGAUCCUUGAACUUCAAUGACAUAAUUAAUGCAGUUUUUACUGUUUUCCUUCUUUUUGUUCUCCGCCUCCCCCUCUGCCUCUUCAUCCUCAUCCCCAACCCCCCCCCCCCCACCAUCUACAUUUUGAUAUUGCAGCUAGUGCUUUUCUUAUAUUUAUUUAUUUUGUUGAAACAAGGAAUCCAUUCCAGCCUCGUAUAAAUGAGUAUUAGAUUAAAUAGAGUACUAGCGGACAUAAUGCCUAAACCAUAGGAAAUAGAGGGCAUAUAGUAAUAGUUAUCUAUAGCAUUUAUGAGCCAAUUGGGCACCUCCUCUAGCCCAAAAUGGAUCUCCCUUCUGCAACAGAAAGUGAGCAAUCGUAUGAGUAAUUCCAUUAUAUUCGGAUCUCCCGUAUUUUCUUGAUUCAUGAUUAGUAUCACAUCCAUAGAGCUCAUUAUUAUUAGGUCCUGAAUAUUUUAGAAUGAGACAAUAGUCAACCUCUACAAGUACAUCCACUUUUUCUCUUUUUAUCAUGGGUGAAACGAAGACUGAUUUAAGUGGAUGUGAUACCAUUUGAGGGCAGAACUCCCUUGUUUAUGUUUCUUUGAAGAGUCGUCCGUUAAGUGUAAGUCUCCAAUCUUUGGUGAAUGGAGGUUCAAAUCUUCAGGUUGAUAUUGGUAAAUUGAACUUUAGGUAUAUUCACUUUCUGGCAUAGUACGCACAAGAUUAUUGCUGAAUGCCUAUUUAACUAUUGUCACCAACAGAAAAAAGUGAUAUGUGGAUUGUACUAAACCUAGUUUUUGUCCUAUUCUCCCUAUUCUCCUACUUCUUUGUUCCAAAACUUGUUCCCGAAGAGUGACUGCUUUUGAUAUCUUUUCUUUAUUAGAUGUAUACUUACAGUUAAUCGAUACAGAAGACCUUUUUCUUUGUGGAUGCAACAUUUCUAACAGUAAAGUUGAAUUACUUUUUUAUUUUUUUCCAAUUUUUCAAAUCGUUUUUGUUUCUAACAGUAAAGUUGAAUUACUUUUUUUUUUUUUUUUUUCCAAUUUUUCAGAUCGUUUUUGGAUACACAAUAUACUUUUCAUCUUUCGAAACUGAGGUUAAAGCUACGAUCUAGUAUCAUGACAGUUAUCUAUCACAAGGUAUGCGUUUUAUCUGUCCGUACCAUGAAUUGUUUGUACAUGCAAUUAUACAACUGAGUGAAAAUGGUUGUGCAGUCUUAGUGCUAUGAUUUUUUGUUCGGAAGAUAAUUAGCUAAUUGAACAAAAAGCAUCAUAUAAGAAGACAAGGUGUUUGCAACAGAAAAUAGAUAACUCCCUUUCUCUUUUUAAAUAUGAAAAAACAGAAAAGAAAAUUAUAAUUCCCUCAAUUCCUCAUUAUUUGAAAUUAGUAUUGAACACAAUCUUCAUUCAUAUUUGGGUCUAAAGAGAGUUAUGGUAACAUAUCAUUUGAAAGGUUCCUCUAAUUUACCUUUCUCAAGAUGAUGACAAGCACAUUAUUCCACAUUCAAAUACAUUAGAUGUACCUUUAGGACUGAGGGAAAUAUUUAGUUGUUCAAAAAUUAUCAGUAGAAUUUCAGAAAUAUAUAUAUAUAUAUAUAUAUAUAUAUUUUUUUCUUAAGCAUGUGCUACACAGGAUUUCAGAAAAAAAAAAAUUAGUACUAUUUAUUUGUGAUUUGUAAGGCAAUAGAAAAGUUGGUAAACUUAACACUGUACCCACCUUUCUUCUUAGUAAUUCUCAUGAGUUGAUUUAUAUUAGUUUAUGUACUUGGUAGAGUUGAUGCUUUCAGGUUGAAUUAAUGAUGCUUUGCAUUAUCCAGCUUCUCGUUCUCCUACCUGUUGUAGAGUUUUAUCGGUUAAAUCACUUAUGUAAUGAUGCUUAGGUAGUAUGUUCUAAUCUGAACUCUGUAUACUAGGAAAUGUUGUUGGAAAUAUGGUGAGCUUCCAAAAUUGAGUGCAUGCAUCUGUGGGUUUUUCUUUUUCUUCCUUUUCCUACUGAGCUAGGCUUUUUAUCUACUUUACUCCCUUGCUUUAUCUCAAUUCUCAAGUUUAUUUUGGGAAUUGUUGUUGCAAAUAUGGUGAGGAUUGAUUUGUUGAGCGAGAAACCUUCUGCUUUUGGCAGAGGAAAAAAGGCCAAAGUCCUUUUGUUGUUUUGGGGUAGCGUGCUCUGGGUGGUUUGGAUGGAAAGAAAUGAGAAAUUUGUUUAAGCUCAUAGUGCUGAAGAGAGAGAGUUGCAUUCUGGACGUCUCCUUUAGGCUUCUGUUUCCAGGGAGUUUUAAGAAUUUCACUUUAUCAUUUAUUAUGCCAAAGUCCAAUACUGUAUCCUAUAUAACAAUAGUGGAAAGCAGUAGUAUAGGAUCUUUGUCCAGGCUGGUUUUUUGUUCUACUCUGCUUUUAUGUAUGCUUACAAUAAAGCUGUUUCACUUUAAAAAUAAAGAAGUUUUAUUUUGUCUCCCAGUGCCUAUGUAUAAACCUAGCAGAGCGAUCGAAGUUUACUGAGGGUGAAAUCCAGACAUUUAUGGCCAUAGAUUCUGAUCGUAUUGUCAACUUAAGUAACAGUCUCCAUGAUAUGUGGAGGUAAGAGCUAUUUUAUUCCGUUUGUUGUAUAUCUUAUGCCUUUACUUUCUGGAUGUACUAAUGUAUCAUUUAUUAUGUUUAUUCAUUCAUUGGAUUUCAUAAAGUCGAAGAUUACUGGAGGAUCCAAGUGUGUCACCUACAAUAAUACUAUUUUCCCCUUUCUUUAUAACUUAGCAUUGUCUAUUAAAUACUUCCUUCAGUGGGAUUUGUGAUAUGGAGUAUUAAAUGCGGCCUCAUGUAAAUUAUAAGCAACAAGAUUCUAUAGCAUGCCAAGGGAAGUGAUUACGUGCAUAGGCUGUUUUGACAAUACAAUUUAUUUGAGGUUGGUCCAUGGAAAAAGAGCUUGAAAGUGGCAACACAAGUUUUCAUGGGCCUUUGUACCGGUUUAUGAACAAAGUGUCAAUUACAAUAUGUUUCAAUAACAAAAGUAUAAGUGUCUACUUAAAAACACACUAGACAACUCUCAUGUUAUAUGAUAACUGGUACAAUGAGUGAUGAUAUUCCACACCCUAUCUACCAUGUCGACAAGGCUGAAGUCUUUUCUUUACUGUCUAUUCAAAGAUUUCUGUACUGAUUACUCUUUCAGCUACUGAAAAAAGGAGAAGGGAUCAGCGGGUUGUAAUCACUAUUCUGAAAAGCUCAAUGUAGACCCUGAUAUGAUUCUGUUUUCCUGUUUUUAUAAAUUAGUAUUGUAGUUUACCAGUGGUAGUUUUUGUUCAGUUAAUAAAGAUGCUCAUUUUUGUAAAUUAUAAGGUUGAAUUACUAACUAAUUAAGGUUAUUAUUACUUUUAACAUGGCUUAUAAUUGUUCUUCUUGAGAUGAUAUCACUAGCCCAUUGUGUUCUCAGUAUCCUUGUGUCAAGUUUGUAAAUUAGUGGCUUGAUCCCCUAUUUAUGGUUUACUGACCAGCCUAUUUCCAUGAAUGUUUCAGCUUGCCUUUACAAAUUGGGGUGGCUCUAUUCCUUUUGUAUACACAAGUCAAAUUUGCAUUUGUUUCUGGGCUUGCAAUUACCAUUGCAUUAAUACCAGGUACCUUUGAUUCUUGGAUGGUUUUUGGAAUCAGCAGGUCACAGUUUUAGAUUUAUUUAAGCAUUUAAGUUAUUGAAUCACUUGAGCUGAUGCAAAACAUUUAUGCAAUAAUGAAAAGACCAUUUUACUUUCUAUAAAAGUUAUAUAUGCAGUGUGUGGAUCAAAGUUAUUAUCAAUAUGUAAAGAGUUAGCUUGGUUUAUCUUGUAGUAACAGUUGUAUGGCUGGGUAGAUUUACAUAUAGGUUCGUAAUCUCCAUCACAAUGGACUUUUAAUCCUUUCUACCUGUGGAUGGCUUGGAAGUAUUGGUACUUGGAAAUAUGUUAAUAGUGUAGUCAAUCACUUGAUGUAGUUUUGUUCUGAUUGAACUUUUUGUUCUGUAGCGAAUAAAUGGAUAUCUACGUUGAUUGCGAGGGCUACAGUAAAAAUGAUGAUGCAGAAGGAUGAGAGGUAUAUGCACUUAUUUUUUUUAUUUUUGCUUCUCAUUUAUGUGACAGUAUAAGCUUGCUCAGAACAUAUUGGUUGCUUUGAGGAAAUUAGAUUUGUAGCAUGCAGUAAUAGUUGUUAUGUUAGUUAAUUUUAUAGGAAGUGGUUAAACAAUGUAUAUUAAAACCAACAAAUGGAAAAUGCUACCAUCACUCCCACCUCAUGUGUGGGAUGGAAAUGCAUGUGUUUUGAGACACCUGAAAUGGAAAUGAAAUACUAACCUCAGAUAGUUACCACGAUGAAUAGAUUGUAAACAUCUAAUCACAACCUGAUAUCCCUCUAAGUUGGUGCGACCCCUAAGUUAAUAAAAGAACAAUGCAUCUGAGCCUAUUAGACCAACUCAAUUCACUUGGUGAAUUCCAUGAUCACUGUAAUUUGAAACUUCUUUCAGUCUGGAAUCAGGUUACAUUUAGUUUAGAAUCAUGGUGGUUAAGCAUGUUAAAAUAGUUAUUAUUGAGUUGAAUAAAAUAUUCAUAUAUAAUUGUCACAUAGGUUAUAUUAUUUUAUUUUAACAGACUCUGACAUCUGUAUGAAAUACCUCUAUGAAUAUAAUGACUCAGGAGCCUGUUUACAAAAUUUCUAAUGUUAUCUGGAGAAAACAUGCUAUGACAGAUUUUCCAUUUUUGCACUUCCAUCCUUGUAGUUCCAAUGUUGUAUCUAUCUCUGGCAUUCACUGGACCCCAAUAGUGUAAGCUGUUAGUCAAUGAGCCAAAGCUACUUAUUAGGCUGACGUUAGUAUCCCGGCUCCUUGGCAGGAUCAGAAGGACGGGUGAACUUUUGACAUAUAUCCGCACUUUGAAAAUGUAUGGCUGGGAGCUCCUGUUUUCUAGUUGGUUGAUGGAGACGAGAUCAUCAGAAGUUAUGCACUUAACUGUAUGGUUCUACUCUAAUUCUUGGAGUAGCCAAGAGAAAUACAAGUAAUGAGAUAUUGUUCCUUUUCUUUUACUGCUUGCUGCAUGAAAUAAUGUUCGAUUUUCUUACAUUUUUCAGACGCGGAAGUACUUGGAUGCUUGGUGUGUAUUCUUUUGGGCCACGACACCAACUCUUUUUUCUCUUUUUACAUUUGGACUUUUCACAUUGAUGGGGCAUCAACUUGAUGCUGCAACGGUACUAACUGUUCUGCUAGCUUAUACAUACUCGGAUCUUAUGAAUUUUAUUAUCUAUGCAUUUGAUGUGGGAGCCAAGUUCCAAGUAUAAAAGUUAAUUACUAAUCAUAUUUAAUUAUGAGUUCUCCUUUAUAUAAGAAAUGAAAACCGCAAAUGCAAUAUUAGGUUUCUUUUGUAUUUUGAGAUAUAUAUAUAUAUAUAUAGGGCCCUUCUACUAAGGGAUCCCUUUUUUUGACAUAUAUGAGGGAUCAAGCAUUAGAUCUACUUUUCAAUCACAUUUUUCAAUCUUAACCGUUCAGUUUUUAGGUCCUAAUAUGUAGAUCACUUCUGCAAAAUUUCAUCCAAAUUGGUGAUCGUUAAGGUGUUCAAAACUGCGAAUUAAAAUUAUAGGCAUGAACGGUUCAGGUUUGGCAGAUUUGAUCCAUCAAUUGAUUUCAGUUAGUUUGAAGCCUUAACGAUUACCAAAUGGGAUGAAAUUUUGCAGAAAUGAUCUACAUAUAUACAUCUAAAUAUUGAACGGUGGAGAUGUUGAUAUGUGAUUGAAAAGUUGGUCUAAUGCUUGAUCCCUCAUAUAUGUCAAAAAAAGGGAUCCCUUAGUAGAAGGGCCCUGUAUAUAUAUAUAUAUACAGUCCUUUUCAGAUACGGACGUCCGCACCGCCUUAAGGUGUGGAUUUCUCUCCGUUCGCCACCGUACGGCGCCAGCGAGGGCGUGCCUCCACCCCAGCGGACUCCAGCAGCUUCCCCGACCACUUUCCCUCCCCGGCGAGUCCGCUGAAUUCCAGUUUUCCGGCCAGAUUGACUUUGUUUGAAGUUUUGGGUGAUCUGGCCGGAAAACUAGAAUUCGGCGGACUCGCCGGGGAUGGAAAGUGGUCGGGGAAGCUGCUGGAGUCCGUGGGGUGGAGGCGCACCCUCGCCGGUGGCGAAAGGAGGGACGUCUACACUUUAAGAGCCGCGCGGACGUCCGCACCUGAUAACGAUCGUAAAUAUAUAUAUAUAUUUUUUCCAUAAUGUUGAAUGAUCAAAUGUUGUCAGUUAGGUCUUUUAAGAAUUCCUUAGUGCAUUAGUUUAAGGCAGGAGUGUUCUAAUUUCUCUGUGACUGAUUCCUAGAAUACUUCCAGUGUGAAGUUGUAUCCUUUCUAUAUUUUAUUAUUCUUUGGACACUGGCUGAUUAGAUUUGAAGAAAAGCUCAUCUCUGUAAAAUUCCAACUGCAGGUCUUCACUUGUGUUGCCCUAUUUAACACUUUGAUAUCUCCUCUAAACUCAUUCCCAUGGGUCAUCAAUGGGUUGAUUGAUGUAAGUUUUCAUAUUCGCUUCAGUCUAAACUCUAAUGUCAAGGUUUUAUUUAUUUAGUAUCCUUUUAUUUUAUUUAUAUUUCUUAUAACUUUUGCAAUUGUGUGAUGAAAUCAUACUUCUCUUUACUCUAUAAUAGGCGGUCAUAUCUGUUAGACGGUUGAGCAGAUUCCUAUCUUGCUCUGAGCGCAAGUCAAAGCUGGAAAAGACAUCCGAUUCAUCACCACAUUUCUCCAAUGAUCUAUCUGAAUUUACCUUUGAAGAUAUGGCUGUUGUGUUUGAUGAUUCAUCUUGUUCCUGGUCCAGCAGCGACGAAAAGGAAUUGAAUUUGGUGCUGAAUCAUGUCACUCUAGGUAUUCCAAAGGGUUCCUUCAUUGCAGUAAUUGGAGAGGUCAGGAUAAGUGUAUAAAUUUAAUUACUUCAUUUCUGGUAACUUGUUGGCAUGCAUUAAACAAUGUACCGAUAACUUUAAUUACUAUAGGUUUACAAAAGUUUUCUGUUACAAGUCAGACAUGAUAUCUAUUCUUGUGGCUCAUAUAGGAGUUCCUUUUCAUCAUCUUCCGCUAUAGUUAAAUAGCACCAGGGGACUAGGCUUGAUUUCACCAUCUUUUAUGAUUACAUUAAGACAAGAUCAAUUGUGUACUUCAUUAAAUAUCUCCCACUAACUCCAUGUAAAACCUAAAAACUGCGAGUACUAGAGUAAAGUUGCCCUACUUUAUGUAAGAAAGGUUCUGAUGAUGCAAUUUGGUGCUUAAGAGGCAAGAACAAUGACCAAGUCCAAGCAUCUUAUAUAUGUCAACUGUUAGAUACUGAUAAUAGUUUGGACUUAUUAUCCCUAUGGUGCAGUUCUCUGAUGGAUUUUUAUAGUAAUUAGGCAAUACUCCUCUAUCGUUGUAGAAAAUUGAGGCUUUGGCUAAGGCAAGAAAUUUCUUUCACAUUUGUUAAAUAUAAUAACACAAUUUAGUACGUAGAUAAAUAAAAAGUUUUCUUGAAUAUUGAAAUAUUCGUAUAAACCUUUCUUCUGGCAUAUAGAGUUUAAUUUAACAUCUAUUGCAUUUACAAUUUCUCAGGUUGGUUCAGGUAAAUCAUCGUUGUUAAAUUCCAUAUUGGGUGAAAUGCAACUAGUCCAUGGAUCAGUAUACUCUUGUGGAUCUAUAGCAUAUGUACCACAGGUUUGUAGACUAGUCCGAGUGCUGAUGGACCUCAAUUCUCGAGAAAUAUAAUUCAUCAAGCUUGCCUCUGUUUUGAGAUUGCAGGUCCCAUGGAUUCUGUCAGGAACGGUCCGUGACAAUAUACUCUUUGGAAAGCAAUAUGAUCCCAAAAGGUAUGAUUCUAUUGAAUAAUGAACUUGCGUGAUAAUGUGAUAUCCGUCCUUUCCCCCAAAAAGAAAUCAAUAAUUUCUAACUGUAUGUUCCAGUAGUCAUAUAUAAUUUCCUUAUAUUUUACAUUUUUGGUAUCCACAAUUUAGGAUCCUACUCGUCUUUGAUAGUUUGAGAUUAAUAAGAGGAUGCUUCUGAACUGUUUGGGACUAACACAACAAAAUAUUGGGGAUUUCUGCUCUUGGUUGCUUAGAAAUACAGUAACUUUCAAUCAUUUUAAAGCAAUAAUCAUAUGUGGAAAUUUAAAAUACUGCGACAAUUAAGACAGAAAAGUGACUAAUCAUAGAACUGGAUUGUUGGAUAUAAGAUAUAAGACUUUAGAGAUAUUAUUAAUCCAAUCACAGACAGCUGAGCUAGAAAAUAGCUAUGCUCAGGAGAUCUUUGACUCAACAAUACAGGGUAGACAAGCCUUCACUUCCUAAUUACGAACAUGAUUGUUCAUUUUUCUGUGAAGCAGAUAAGAUUUUUAUAUUUAUCUUUAAGGGAAAUGUUUAUCCAAUUUACUAAAUGUGAACCUUCUUUUAUAUCAAUAGAUACUCGGAUACUUUAGAGGCAAGUGCUCUAGACGUUGAUAUUUCAAUAAUGGUUGGAGGUGACACGGCUUAUAUUGGAGAAAAAGGAGUCAACUUGUCAGGUGGACAGAGAGCUCGAAUUGCUCUGGCAAGGUUAUUUCAACACUCUAUACCGAAUGUGUCUAGCUAGUAUUCAGCUCCAAUCCCGCAUUUUGUCCUUCCUACCAAGUUUUUUUUUUUUUUCCGACUGAUUAUAUUUGGACAUUGUGGAAUUGCAGGGCUAUUUAUAAUGGCUCCGAUAUGUUUAUUCUUGAUGACGUUCUCAGUGCAGUUGAUGCAAGAGUUGCUCGAUGUAUUUUAUACAAUGCAAUUUUGGGCCCACUGAUGAAACAACAAACUCGUGUGCUUUGUACGCAUAACGUUCAGGUUAUCUCUUCUUUUCUGAUUGCCUUUUGUUCUCUUCUAAUUUUGUUUUGUUUACAUAAUUUGAACAUAGAAAGAUCACUAGGACAGUUUACUUAAUUUGAACACAAAAAGAUCUACCUUUUUUUUUUUUUUUUUUCUGAUUGCCUUUUGUUCUCUUCUAAUUUUGUUUUGUUUACUUAAUUUGAACAUAGAAAGAUCACUAGGAUAGUUUACUUAAUUUGAACAUAGAAAGAUCACUAGGACGACAUUUCUCUGAAUAAUCUUUGAAAUUUCGUACAUAAACGAGUAAUGCAGUUUGAAUGUAAAUCAGAACCAUAAAAGUUUAUACCAAUUUAGUUUUAUGAGAAUAUGACUAUCAACUUAAGAAUAUUAAUGGGGUUGGAGUUCUCUGAGGAAUCUAUAAAUUCCAUUUUGUAAUAGUCUGAUAAGUUGGCUUAUUUUCCUUUCUUUCAUAUUGUCGUAAAUAGAAGCUCCAGCUUUCCAAGUGGGUUAUUCUUAUUCAUUUUCUGUAGAUUUGCUGCUGGUCGAUUUUCUAGAUUCAAACCUUUUAUAACUAGUAUUAUUGUAUUACUCUGUGUAUAAUUUAGAAAAUGCUGAGUAGAUUAGCAAGGAGAAACUUCUUGUAUUGUUCUGUGUAUACCUCCAUUUAUUGGAACUUUGAAAAAUUGUGAUUUUUUUUUAUUGUACAGGCAAUAUCUUCUGCUGAUACAAUUGUUGUUAUGGAAAAGGGACAUGUAAAGUGGGUGGGACGUUCUGCGUGUUUGCCAGCUUUAUAUUCAGCAUUCUCUCCACUGAAUGAAUUUGAUAAAUUCUCACUCAAUGAAGGAAAAGGGUGCAAUGGAGCUGCAGAUACUCUCAGAAAAGACCAACAAAAUCUUCCCUUAGAGAAAGAUAUUGUGCCUGCUUCAGAAGGACAAGAUUUUAUUGAAGUUGAGGCACGGAAAGAAGGAAAAGUAGAACUCUCUGUCUACAAGUGAGUAAACAUUUUCACCAUCUAUUAGUUUAUUACUUUCUUUUGAUGAUUUAAUACUCAUUUUAGUUUUACUUUUCUUGGAAAGUUUAUGGGUAACAUCCCUUCAUGUCAGAUAUUGCAUAAAGGAAAAAAUUGUUGUGGCUAUUGAUAUAGUUUGGGUUUUCCAAAUUUAAGUUUGCAUUAUUUUCUUGCAGGAAUUAUGCCACCUUUACUGGUUGGUUCAUUUCUGUUGUAAUAUUUCUAUCAGCAAUCCUAAUGCAAGCUUCUCGUAAUGGAAAUGAUCUGUGGCUGUCAUAUUGGGUUGAUGCAACAAGAAGUAGCCAGGAAGGAUACUCUACAUCCUUUUAUCUGGUACACCGCUACCCCUGUCUUCUAUAUUAGGGCAUGAUCUUGUCAUUUCCUUGAAACAGAUGGAUUGAAAACUUUUUCCAUAGUCCGUGUACGGUUUUCCAAAUAGUAAAAGAUUUCAAAAGAUAAAUUAACAGGCUUUUGCAAGACAAUUUUAUCAAAUUCACAGACUUGUAUCAGCAGAUUGUCGUAUAAGAAGAAUUAAUUUGUAGUAUAACUAGGCACUUAAUCAUUCUUUCUCUGUCUCUAUUGUUUUUCCUGUGAUUUUGGCUAUUUUCUACUUGGAUCCCUGUAGUUCCAGUUUUUGUAGUCAAUGAUAAACAAAAGAAUCCAACGAAUAAUUCCAAAUUUGUCAUUCUUCCACUAAAUUAUUAUAAUAAUUUUCGAAAAGAAAAAAAGUUUGUUUUCUAAUGUCAUUAGAGCCGUCUUGUAAUGGUGUAGUUUCAUUUUUGGUCAACACUGUAUCAAAAAGUUAAAACCAUAAUUAAAGGAUGCAAAUAUUCUUUCAAUGGUUUUCCAUGGUUCUCUCCCUAUCGUCUAUCACUUAAAUAAUGCUAAACAAUAUCCGCAUGUAUUUUUUUCUUGGAUUGUGUCAUAGUGUUUACAAAUACAAUGUAAUUCUGUCAAGGAUACCGAGGUACGAUCUUUAGAACAAAUCUUGUUCAACUAAGGUCGGAUUUACUGUUUAACUACAUUUACUGUUUUCGGUUGAAAGUUCAAAUGAUGAACUUACCUUUUAUACUGCUACAAUCUGGAUAACAGAUAAUGCAUUUAUUGGAAAAAAAACAUGUGGGAACCUGAAUUUAUUAGUUAGAUGCUUUUCUUUUUUGUUCUGAAAAUGUUAAUUAUACAGGUUAUACUGUGUAUCUUUUGCACUGCAAAUUCAAUUCUUACAUUAGUGAGAGCCUUCUCAUUUGCAUACGGCGGCUUAAGAGCUGCAGUUAAGGUGCAUGAUACCCUGCUGAAUAGGCUUAUCAAUGCGCCUGUUCAAUUCUUUGAUCAGACACCAGGUGGAAGGAUACUAAACAGGUUAGAAUUCCUUUCCGCUGUUCCUCAUUUAUCGACUGCAUUUCAAUUUUCUACUUAUUCUUUUUAUUUUGUAGGCUAUCUUCAGAUCUAUACACAAUUGAUGAUUCUCUUCCCUUCAUGCUUAACAUUCUCCUGGCCAAUUUUGUGGGCCUUCUGGGAAUUGCAAUAGUUUUGUCUUAUGUUCAGGUAUGGUGUAGAUUUUUGAAGAUCAAACGUAUUAUUGUUUAAUCUUUUUCUUUAGAAUUUUGAACUUUUUUUCCCAUGGCCAUCAAAUGUUGUCCUAAAGAGUUUAUGCCAAUCUCUAGGUCUUCUUCUUGCUUUUCCUAUUGCCGUUUUGGUAUAUCUACACCAAACUUCAGGUACACUUCAUGUCUUUUAUAUAAUUUCAUUGACAGAUCCCGGGUGCAGAUAUAAAUUUCUCAAACCAUAUGUCAAAAAUUAUACUUGAUGUUAAUAGAAUACAGUAUCUUCACUCUUAGUCGAAUGUGUCACUAGAACAGAAUUUUCAUGUGUUAUCUGAGGAAAUAGAGUGAUACUUCACAGUAGAAUGAGAACUAUUAGUUAUCCAAAUGCCAAUAUAGAUGGGAGCUAUAGUUUAAACAAGUCUGGGAAAGUUCCUUGCAUAUGAGAAGAAUCAGCGGACUCUGAUAGGUGGGAAUAAAUUAAUUCUGGAAAAAAAAAAAAAUAGUUUUUUAAAACUCACUGACUCAACAUACUCACAAGCUUCUAUUUAUAGUGGACUAACUAAUGACCCUUGAGAUGAAGCUUGGUGAAUGGAAAGUUUAAGGAACAUAAACUAAUUUUUGCAGAAACUUUCCAUUCUAGGCAACUGCAUAAUAGUUGAAGGAGCAGAAACUUUAAUCCGAAGUUUUUGCAUAACUAAUUUUUUUCAAGAAUUUGAAUCUUCAUCUCUCAGUGAAUGGAAAGUCCCAAGAUUCUAAUUUUUGGGAACACCACAUUUUGUACUUCAACUCUUUGAUGUUGAUUGUUCAUGUUAAAAUAUUAAGCAAUCUAUCAAAGAAUUGUUAUACAUACCUUGAUUGUUCAUGUUAAUGUAUUUGACAAUUUGACUUGCAUGCUAAAGCUAAUACCUAUCCAUUGGGGAAGUAUGGUAAACCAACAAGAUUUCACAUGGUUGGACCAUUAAAGCAUAAAUUUGGCAGUUAAAUCUCAAACUGCCCACUGUUAAUCUGAUUAGACCUACAAAUGUGAUAGAUUGCUUCUCUGAUCUCUAAGAUCUUAUCAAUGUGUGAGAAAUCAUUUUAAACUAGAAUAAAAGUUAGAGCUGCCUGGUCAAUAGAAAACUUUACACUUAUUCUAACCAGCCAAAUUUUACAGUUCUUUUACAGGUCAACAUCUCGAGAAUUGCGAAGGCUGGACAGUGUGUCUCGAUCUCCCAUAUAUACAUCCUUCACAGAGACACUUGAUGGAUCAUCAACUAUACGGGCGUUCAAGUCUGAGGUAGAUAAUGAACUGAAUGAAGUAACAACUAACAUUAUUCAUCCAUUGGGUUAGAUAGUACAGUUGCUUCAAAGGGCAAAAAUAUAGAAAAACCUAUGGGUGCCCAUGCACAUACAAAGGUGCACUACCACCACCCUCUAGACUUGAUAUGUUCUAAGGAGACAUAGCUUACCACUUUCAUGAAUUUUGAGUAGUUCCAGCCAACGAGCCUGGGGAAAAAGACGAUGAUUGAGAGGUGCUAGAGGCAAGGUUGGGAGAGCUGGUAAUGGCCCUAGUGGAAGUAGUGGUAACUUCACAAGUUUUGGGCUAUUUAAGUACUAUUGUGGUCUCACUUCAUGUAUUCAUUUCAAAGUAUCACUAAUGAUACAACUUAUUCUAGUUCCUUAGUAUAACACAUAUUUUAUUUUUUCUUACUUUUUUUAGAGUGGACACUGUACCUUUGUUUGUGAACUACUAAUGUGGCCUUGUUUGUUUUUUUUAUUCUGUGACCGUGAUGAAUAAUAUUGACUUGCUAACAUCUUGAGCUUUUCUAGUCUAGGGGUUUUCUAACAUGGUAUAAAAGUUUAAAGUUCUGCUUGUAGGAGGUUUUCUGUAUGAGACCUUGAGUUAGAAAUUUCCAGUCCUUACUCCUUUCUUCCUUGGUGGGGUUGUAGGAGGAUAAUACAUUGACAUACAUUGUUGACCCACUUUAUAACAGCUUAUGCUUCUUGCAUCUGGUGGUUCUUUUACUUUGCUUCUGGUCGUGCGCAGGACUUCUUUUUGGCCAGAUUCACUGACCAGGUGAAAUUGUAUCAACAAACUUCCUACACAGAGUUAAAUGCAAGUUUGUGGCUUUCCCUACGUCUUCAGGUAACCGUGUAUCUAAUAAAUACUUUACUAAGCCAAAUCCAAAAGUAGUAUAUACAUUUAAAGUAUAUUCCUAUUAUCUAAAGCAAAUUGGGUACGAGUUUAGUUGCAACUCAUAGUUCUUUCUAAGAGCUAUGGUUGGUUAUAUAUAGUGCUUAAGAUUUGUUUGCUUAAAAGAAGAGUGGUAUGUAUAGUCUUUUUAAAUUUACAAGAAAUAGAAUGAACAGAACCUGUUAAAAGCAGAGGUAAAACCACAGAUAUCACUAAUCCCUGACAUUGCAAAAAUGAGUUGAACCCUAUGGUCAGCUCUAGUAGCGGGAUACCUAUUAUAGCGGGGAGCUUUAGAAUAUACAAUAAUUUUUAGCCCACAUCCUAACAGCUUCAACUUUCGGGAUAGUGUACGUAGCCGAAUAGAGUUUAUCAUAACAUUUUUUAACUCACAUGAGAUGUUCUUUCAGUUGUUAGCAGCAUUUAUCAUCUCAUUUGUUGCUAUUAUGGCUGUUCUUGGAUCUCAUGGUGGAUUACCAAUUGGUUUCAGUACCCCAGGGUUGGUAAGCUCUUUUGAACUUCAUAUAUUUGACAGAAAGUUUGCUCCUAAGGGGUGAAAAAAAGACAAAGAAGCUGAAGUCUUGUAAUCAUUUCCCUCGUGUCCUAAUUGAAUUGAGAACUGAUGGUUAUGCAUUCUGUUAUAGGUUGGUUUGGCUCUAUCUUACGCAGCUCCAGUUGUGAACUUACUGGGAAGCUUUUUGACAAGUUUCACUGAAACAGAGAAAGAAAUGGUUUCCAUUGAAAGAGCUCUUGAGGUACAAAGAUGAACCUUCGUCUAAUUUAUGUUCCUACUAAUUACUUAUGACUUACAGUUAACACUUAACAGUAUAUGGAGGUUCCUCAAGAAGAAGUUCAUGGACUUCAAUCUUUGAACUGCAAUUGGCCAUAUCAAGGACGGAUUGAAUUCCAAAACGUUACUUUGAGAUACAAGCCAUCUUUUCCAGCUGCACUUUGUGAUAUUAGUUUUACUAUUGACGGAGGGAUGCAUGUAAGAGCAGACAGUACCUGAUAUUGAAUUCAUCUUGUCCAAUUUAUUUCAAUGAUUAUGUGUUUGUCUGUCAAAGUUCAUUUGGUUGUCUAUUCAUUUUCCCUUGAUUAUUAAUCAGGUUGGUAUUGUUGGAAGGACGGGAGCUGGAAAAUCUAGUGUCUUGAAUGCUCUUUUCCGCCUCACACCAAUAUGCACAGGAUAUAUCCUUGUGGAUGGUAUAAACAUAGCUACUGCUCCUAUCAGGGAUCUUCGUGGGCAUUUCUCUGUUGUUCCUCAAACUCCAUUUUUAUUUGAAGGAUCAUUAAGGUACUUGUAGUGUCAUGUACUUAAGAUUCUUCAUUUUCAUUUGAUACUAAUGCUGACUCUUAUAAUUUCUGUUAGCUAAAAGGCUAUGACCAGUAAUACAUUUUGUUUGAUUACAUUGACUACUCUACUAUUAAUCAGUAAAUCGGCAUGUAUGUCAUCCUAAUUUGUAGGGACAAUCUGGACCCAUUCAGGCUGAGUGAUGACUAUAAAAUUUGGAAGGCUUUGGCGAGAUGCCAUGUCAAAGUGGAAGUAGAAGCAGCAGGAGGUUUAGAUAUUCACCUAAGCGAAUCUAGGAUGUCCUUUUCUGUAGGGCAACGGCAGCUUCUUUGCCUUGCGCGUGCACUUCUCAAAUCUUCAAAGGUAAGAUGUUCCACAUUUUCUACACUAACAAAGAUUGCAAUAAUGCUUGAAGAGGAGCACAAUAAAAUAACCAUACUUUGAAUUGCGAUUUAGAUAUCAAAGCACUUCUCGAAGUUUCUUGUUCAAUUUUACACAAAAGUUUUCUUGUUUCUAAGAAGUACCUUAUUGCACUCUAUACGGAUAACUCAGACUUUUGUUGUACCAAGGAUCCAUUUAACAUGCAUCAGUGGUACCACCCUAGUCGCAUUCGCAACCAUUUCAAUCUUGUUAAAGUGCUUUGAUUAACUUCUAUGUUUCAGAGAUAUUGACCUCAUCACUUCUUUUAAUUCUUCUCUUCGAGCAAACUAUAAUUUCUUAAAGUGCACUUUAUUCAAAUUUACAUGUCUGUAACUGUUAUCCUGAGAAUCUAAAUGGAGAAUGUUUUUUAAAUCUCUAAUCAAUCCACAAUUUUACCACUUAAAUAGAGGCAGUUUGGCCUCGCAAAAUAUAUAUCAGUGGACAUAAUUUGGAUGUGGUUAUGCAGGAGAAGUUCUGUUGCAUGGUUCCUGUUAGGGAUGAAAUUUUUAUUUUAUUUACAGAUGGAGACUGACACUAAAUUUUCAGGUCCUUUGUUUGGAUGAAUGCACAGCUAAUGUGGACACUCAAACAGCAUGUACCUUACAGAAAACCAUAUCUAGUGAAUGCAGAGGCAUGACAGUUAUCACAAUUGCUCACCGUAUUUCCACCGUUUUGAAUAUGGACGAUGUCCUGAUCCUCGAUCAUGGUAUCCUGGUAAGUCAUAUGGGUUUUUCAGUACCCUUGUGUACUUCUAUUUUUGCCAUUCUCUUUUAUCAAUAAUUUGCAUGAAGAAAUGAACUGUUUGAAAGAAAAGUGAAAACUGUAUUGAAUUGUUCAUGUGGCAUGUGUUUCAUACUUUGAUUACUUCCCCAAUGAUGAAUACUCUCUGACUUAUAGUUGAGGACAACCAUAUAAAUUGAAACAAUCAUGCAAUAUUCCAAUUGAGGAAAAAGAAAACUAUGCUAUGUGAUGACUCAGACUAUCUUUUUCCAACUUCUAAGGUCCUUUACAUUAACUGGUUGAAUGUUUUUGGAAAAUACUUAUACCUCCUUGGUUGUCCCAUGACUCUCAUCUGUAGGUUGAACAGGGAAAUCCGCAGGAUCUCUUACAGAAUGAGUUCUCCAGAUUUUCCAGUUUUGCUAAAGCGUCUACGAUGUGAUGAGCCAACAAGUACAGCUGUUCUCAUUGCUGACUUCUUGCCAAUGGCAAGGUUUACCUACAAUAGAAGCUAUAUCAUUGCUAGGUGGAGUACCUUUGCAUAAUCCUCAACGUCACUCAGGAACCAAUUAAUAUCACGGUAAAUACAGUGACGUGACUUCUAUGAAGAUAAGCAUCAUAUGAUGAACGAAUAUGUAAGUGACUUCUUAUCAACUGCUUCUGAAGCUGAAAGCACAAAACUGGAAGUAACCCUUUUCUUAGAUUACAACGUAUCCUAGAUGGAUAGACUUAGAAUUACAUUCGUAGUGGUAUAAAAGACGUAUUUAUUGAUAUCUGGAUGGCCAUCUAUGUGAAAAACAUGAUGCUAACCACAUGGAACAAAAUGAUGCUAUUACAGUGGCCAUAUUAUUAGGAUUAUAGGAGUGUGUUACUCUAGGGUAGUUCAAAUUGUAACCUUAAAUUUUCUACUCGAUGAAAAUAUCUCAAAAUGUAGCAUUCAUCUCUUUUAACGUUUAUUUUACUUUCUGCUCUUAGCUUUCAAUAAUCCGAACUGGAAUCAAGGCUUAGUUGAAUAUUUGAUUGUCAUAUAAUAUUGGAAAGAAAAGAUUAUUCUUAAUGGAUAGGGUGUAAAUUAACAGAUUUUACCAGGUUCAGGAUGUAAAAUUUUAUUUUUACUGAUAGUAAAAAUAGACGUGUCAGAAUAUAGUAGGGAUGUAGAACCAUAUAUGGUUGCCAUGUGGUACUGCUGUAGCCACUGAAGAAUUUCCUUAUGGUUCAGAGUUGGUUAUUAAGCUUUGUAGUCAGUUUUAGGGAUGCACAAUCUCUUAUGCUUUGUGCUGUUAAUGUGCAGAAAUUUUCAGUGCUACGGAUUAACCUAAGUAGUUAAAUUUUGAACAAAUUCCGUUGCCGUUAAGCUAGCUUUCGUGCCAAACAUUAGGGCUGGGCUCGGGUCGGGCCGGUUCGGGUUUUUAGAAAACCCGACCCGAAACCCGAAAAUCUCGGGUCGGGUCGGAUCGGGCCUUUCAAAUUUUCAGCCCGAUUGGGUCCGGACUGAUUAUGUUUUUUCGGGCUUUUAGGUUUUUUCGGGCCCAAACAAGAUUUGAUUGUUUUACUAUACAUUUACUUCAUUGCAGCUUUAGAAAACCAAUUCAAAGCAUCAAACAUUGCAUAUCAAAUAUAAAGCAUCAAUAUUGCAGACAAAUAUAUAGCAACAUUCAACAGAACCCAAAUUAGUGAAAUUACAUAGGUACAACUAAAAACUAUUACAGCAGAAAAAGCUAAUUCAUUAGAUCAAUCGGAGGCCAAGUACAACUGCCAAAGACCCAACAUGAUAAUAAGUAGAUGGAACAAGAGCCAGGCUAAGAACCAAUGUCACUUAGUAAUGCUGUGCCAGAAGCUUUCUCUAAGGCCAGUAUCAGCUGGAACAAUACAUAUGCUUGGCAUGUACCAUUUCUCUCUUGCACAUGGCUAAGCUAUAAAUAUCUGCAAAACAGAACAUCAAUAGAUAAAGCAGGACAAAUUGGGAUAGAUUACAUUUGGUUUGUAGGAAGAAGUUGGAACAGAAAACCUUACGAGUGAAAGAAAACCUGACUUCAAGACUCAAAAUAGGUUAUACCCAAUUUUUGGAGACCUAGGAGCCAAUGUUUUCUGGACUUUAAAUUUGAUCAUAUCAUAUCAUCCUAUUAUAUAUAUUAGGAUCAUAUCAUCCCCAAUAUUUUAAGAAUGACCAUGUUAGCUUAAAUAUUAACUGUUAAUUAAAGUGGUCAGUAUAUAUAAACCAAAACACUAUUACAAGUAGUUUGAAUAAGUUAAGGAUCACUGAGCAGAGAUGAUGUAGAGCUGUAUAGAAUAGGUGUUUGCUUAAUAAGAUGAAACAGCAGAUUGAUGGCUUACAUGCAGAUUGAUGGCUUACAUGGUUAUCAAAGAGAACAUAUAAUAACAAAAGCUUGCGACACAGUGCAACAGCUAUGGAAAAGCGAUUAUAUAUGAAGUUUCAGAAGAAGCAGAACCGAAAAUCGAUCACAUCUAUAACAGAACAACAUACUGGUGGCUAUAAUGGACACAAGUUGAGGAAGCAUAACCAAAUAUCGACAAAUAGAGAAAUCAAUUGAUAUAAUGCAUAAUAUACAGAGUUUCAAUACAUGGUAUACAUAUACAGUUUAUGAUGCAUCAUAUGAUUCACCUCUAUGAUGAUAACAUAAUAACAUACAUAUAUAUAACAAUCCAUGAAUCUUCAAAAUACGAUUUCAUAUUCAUGUUUAAUAAUCACUUUCGUAUUCUUACAAAGAAAGAACAAUCCAUGAAUCUUCAAAAUACGAUUUCAUAUUCAUGGUAAUAAUCACUUUCAUAUUCUUACAAAGAAAGGUAAGAAAACAUUCAAAGAAAGAGCAUAGGAAACAAAGAAAGUGAGAGAAACCUAGAAAACCCAGGUUAGGUUUAUACCUGAAAUGCGUGAAUACUCAAACCCAGAAGCUGAAAAACUCAGAAACCCCAACUUUACAUCACCCAACUCAAACCCAUCUGCCUCCACUCUCCAAACAAUCGAAAAUUAGAGCUUCUUCUUCCUCAUCCCUUAAUCCCUUAUUCAUCAUCCCUCCAGUCACCGUUGUGUUGGACAACAAAAUCGGAAGAAGAGAAGAAGAAGAAGAGAGGCGCAGAGAAGAGAGUUUAAGAGAAGAGAGGAAGAAGAGAGGCGCAGAGAAGAGAGGCGCAGGUAUUUUAGUUUUAGGGUUUUUUUUAAUAAAAAAAAUUAUAAGGACCAAUAAGAUUAUGACGUGUGGCAAAAAUUUGUAUAUCGGGCCUGAACGGGCUUUCGGUUCAGGACCGAGCCCGAAACCGAACCGAACUGAGAGCAUUUGGACCGGUUUAUGACCCGGACCGAACACCUCCCAUUUUGGACCGAACCGAUUGGGCCCGAUCGGGCUUUUGGGUCGGUUUUUUUGAAUUUUUGGGCCCGAACGCCCAGCACUACCAAACAUAUUUGUCUGCACCAAACAAUGUUGAUAGAAACUAUUGGCUGGCUAGAGUUCAUUCAUUUUUGGAUCUUAAGAUUACCGGUUCCGAACUAAUAUUAAGAUGUAAGCAGACUAUGAACAAUUGACAUUCUGUGUAGAUUAAACAUGCUAAGAACGUAGAUCAUGAUCACCAGUAGGCCUUGUUAAAAGUCACGAGGGUCAACAAAUAUCAUCGGUGAAGAUGGUCGAGAGUUAAUCCAAUCCGACGGCGACGACAGUCCUUGCUUGGCUUCUGUGAGCUUCUUGACACACCACAUAUCCUCAGCCCAUGAAAGCUUCGUCCAAUGUGGGACUGCCUCUCUAACUGGGUCUCUCUGGCUCACCUCCGCCACCACGGCAGCGCAUCCAUGGUCAUCCCUUCCCACAUUGUGCACGAAGUUGCACAAACCCUUCAUCAACCGCAACCCGUGCUUGCCCUGAUCGGCAUGUAACCCGUACAUAAAAUACACCCCGAACUGCUUGAAAACGUUUGGAAAUGAAGGCAGUCUGAGCCAUGGAAGCCAUGCAUCCACUAGUCUACUUCCCACGCAACAUGCCUGUGUCAACUUGGACACUCCCUUCACUUGUAGCUUGAACACUUGUUUGGUGUUCCAAACGCUGAGGAUGGCAAAAGCACUUCUAGGGGGGAAUGUGCUUUUCUUAGGGUCCCAUUUCAGAAGGUAUUUUCUGGGCAGGGCCAUGAAAGUGCCUAGAUUUAGGGCACUAGAUAAAAUGGCGUCUAUAUCUUCCGGGAAGAAUUCCGAGUUGGCAUAGAUUUGGCGGUAGAUCGACUCGGCUAAGCAGGCGGGUAGUCGAACGAUGGCGAUGGUGGAAGGUACUGGUUUGUAGUGGGCGUGAACUGGCUGGACUAAGAUGGUCGGUGUGCGAAACUUUUGGUAUGAGCACUUGAGUGUGAACAAAUUGAUUGAAGCCUCGUUGGUGCAGUCUGUGGCCAUGUAUGCAUAUUCUGCUCCCUUUUGCUUGCACCAUUCUUCUAAAUGUUUCACUAGUUUUGUACCAAUGCCAAGCCUCCUGCAUGCGUUAUGAACAAUAAGAACAAGAGAAUUUCUCAUCCACAAUUAGAAUUCCAUAAAAGUAUUUGAUAGCAAUUCGAUUAAUUUAUUAUUGCAUGGUGUGAAAUUCAAUAUUGGAGGAAGAAAACAAAAUAAAGGGGAACCAGAAUAUGUAAAAAAGCAAAGGAGCAAUUGUGGGUGGCACUGUGUGGAUGAGGAAAUGCAACAUAAGAAUAGUUUUCUUUUUUUCUUUUUUCUUUUGGUCUGCAUAAAAUAACCAUAUAUAUAUAUAUAGGGAUUCUCAAGUGCGGACGUCCGCACCGUUUUCCGGUACGGAUUUCUGCCGUUUCUCCACCGUUUCAGCGCCGGCGACGCCUUUUCUUCUCCCCGGCGUGAUCUCAGACCUCCCCCGACGGUGUUGGAAUGAAGAAGAAGGCCGGAGAGAUCGCGAUCGGAGGUCCACCAUGAUCGGUCGUGAAGUUCUGAGUGAGAUUGCUGCAUAGACCUCCGAUCGAUCUCUCCGACCUUCUUCUUUAUUCCAACACCGUCGGGGGAGGUCUGGGAUCACGCCUGGAAGAAGAAACGGCGUCGCCAGCGCUGGAACGGUGGAGAAACGACAAAAAUCCGUACCGAAAAACAGUGCGGACGUCCGCAACAGAGAUGGCCUGUAUAUAUAUAUAUAUGUCACAAUGCGUAUUCUUAAUUGGUUUGUUGAGUUAAAGGUGGUACAUUCUCCAUAUCCCAAAUAGAUUUGUUUGGUUCAGGUAGGGAAUAAUCAACCCUCUUUGGCCAGGUUAGCUAGUUGCUUGAUUUUUUAUUUUCCAUGAUACGAGGAAUAUAAUAUUUCGUUUCUCUUUUAUGUGAGAAUCUAAUCUCUUUAUGUAGCUCUGCACAGUUUAUUUCUGUGGGGCGGGUAAUAGAAUCCUCUCACUUUCUAGCUAGCUUUCACUUCCAAUUUCUUUCUUUGAUUUGUGGUAGCUAAAAUGUAGAGGUCGAUCGACUAGCAACACAGGGUUCACAAAAACCAGAAAAUAUAUAGUUGAUCGAUCAGAAAAGGCACGCAUGAAGAAAGCGCACGUAACAGAAAGUGAAUGAUCGAUGGAAUGAACUGUCUCUUUUACUUUCAGUGCUAACCGAUCGAGCAAAAGAUGCAUGCGGAAACAUUAUAAAUAUGGCCAUGAUAAUAUUAAUUGGCUAAGCUGCAAUAACAGUAACAGAACUACAGAAGAGUACUGAAGUAUUACUGAAAUGAUGUGAGAGAGAGAGAGAGAGUGAGAGAGAGAGAGAGAGAGAGAGAAACCUGUGCAUGGGAGAAACCCUUAGUCCCAGGAUAUAAGCCAGCUUUACAAACACUGAAUUACCUCUUGUUACCUUUUUUACACAACCCCUGAUGACACCCACAAUUUCCUUUUGUUCUCCGUACACUGCAACCUGCAUGGUCAAUUUCAUUAGUAUAAAGUCUCAACAUUCGAAGCCUGAAGUGAUCACAGGUAGAGAUAUUCAAGUAAUGAGAUUGUAGUCUUACCAGCAUUAUGUGGGUCGGGAAAUGGCGGAUGCGACAUUUGGGGUCACCCAAGAGAUCAGUGACAAGAGAAGGCUGCUUUCCCCCACGCUGCCCAGCCAUUUCACACAGCCUCUCCAUCUCUUCCACCGCCACCUUGUCACUUUCUUCAUUGUAUUCCCUCACCACCACCAUGCACACCUCAUCAAGAGUCGCUGACGACGGUGAAUCCUCUGCAGCUAUCUUUAGCACCAUACUACUACUGUUAUCCUCAAUCUGCUUACUGUGCUUCUCUAUGCUUCAGUUCUGUUUCUAUUUAUAAGUAGAGGUGAGCUGAUGUAGCACGCACCCACCACUAUUUCAUCUUUUCCUAUGGUGAAUUUGACCGGAUAUAUAUAUUGUUUCAAACUUUCAAUUAUUGGCUCAUAUAUAAACCCUCCUUUGCGAGGUCGGCAAUAAUUAUAAAAAGAGUUCGAAACAUAAUAUACAACCCAAUAUACAAGUCUAAAAUUAUCAUGUGGACUUGUGGAGUACCUACGUAGUGUCAACUUAUAUAUGAUCACUAGUUCACUACCUUGUUAUCGAAAAAAAAAAAAAAACUUAAUGAUCGAUCACUUCAUGAAGACGAUCGAUGAUGAACAAUUGACGAUGGUGGUAAUGAUCAUAUUGGUCAUACAAAGUAGUAGUAUUAUAUAUAUUGGUCAUUACUCAUUAGGUCAUGUAUCAUUGCAGCACUCAUCCUACGUACUUUCAAUUUGAUUGGGAAAAUGCCAUAAAUCUUAAAAUUAAGGUAAUAAUCUCCAAUUGUCAUUCAACUUUGAUACGGAUAUAUAGCUCAAAUAUGUAUGUCGAUCUCUGACCCGCGAUUGUACUAUAUAUAUGCAGCAAUUACAGAUUAGACAAACAGAUUUGUGAUAUUAGUUCAGGUCUUUGUAAUCAAGGGUUUAGGCUCAAUGUCUCUUUUUGUAUCAAUAGUUUCAUUAAUCAAGGCUUGAGGGCAGCCGUACCAGUCCUUUAUUCAAAAAAAAAAAAACAGAUUUGCGAUAAGGAAGUUGGUCAAUAAUUAAUAUACGUAGCAACUAUUAGUAUAUAAUGAUGCUAAGAUGUCUAAACGUACUUCCUAUACCUCACUUGGAUAUAUAUAGCUAAUUGGAUGAAAACAAAUUAAACAGAAAACAUUUUAGGGAGAAGAUUCUUACUAUCUAGCUAGCUAGCUAACUAAUGGAAACACAUCCUUUUUACUCUACACCAAAUUCGUGUGCUUUAUGACUCCUAUAGAGACUAUUAUUACCAUAAUUAAGCUAGCCAUGUAUGUAGAUAUAUAUAAAACUAGCUAGUUUCUUCUUUGCACCAAUUAUCGUAUCGGUUCAUGAAGUAGCUAGUGAGAGCUGGAGCAUGCGAGAACCAAUUGGUUGUGGAUGAGCAUGUGAAUGGUCCUGUGAGUGUGAUCAUCACCAUUGCCACCAAAAAGAAAACGAUGCUAGCUCCUCAACUCGAUCCACAAUUAUAUGAGUGUACUAGCUACCAAAUUUUAAUUGACUAAGCCAAAAGAUUUAGCUCUGGAUAUGCUGUGCUCUGUUCCUGCAAGCUUACUUUGUCCUUUAAAUGCGAAACAUGAUAUUUUAUACAAAAGCACUUGGACAAGAAGCACGUUCUUGCUGAAAAGGGGAACCUACAUUUUCUGGGUGGACAAACCCUAAUUUGGGAAACACAAUUUUAUCUGAAAUUGAUGAUCGAUGAUAUUGGUUACUAGGAUUGUUGAAGGCAAUGGUUCGAAAACAGAAAAGAGACACUAUGACAUCCAGAAAUGAGAAUGUCGUAAUUGAAAAGACUAGGACAAACUCAGAAGUUGACACAUGAAUGCAUCCACCAAAUUGGAAAGACAAGAGUCGACACACAUUGCUCCCACGCCAUUUGUUUCGCACUCUCAUACCAAAAUAUAUAUGAAAUAGCUAGUCACAAAUAGGACCCGAAAGCUCGUCCUUACCCGUUCAAUAUAGAUGAGAUUGCAGCUAAAACGUGUUAUAUAUACAUGUUGAUUUUGCAGGUCAAUCUGUUCAUAUUCAAUUUUAGGUCGAGUUAAAUUGAGAAAGUGAAAAACUUGACUAUUUCUUUUUUACUUUUCAACCAUUGAAGAUACAGUUAUUUGGCGAUUAUAAGGUCCGAUCCAUACCUAUUUGCGAUGUAUAGAGUAUUGCACUUUCAUGUAACACAUAGAGAGAGAGAGAGAGAGAGAGAGAGAGAGAGAGAGAGAGAGAGAGANNNNNNNNNNNNNNNNNNNNGAGAGAGAGAGAGAUUAUGCGUUUACAAUUCCUUUUUACUUCUAUUGAAGUAAUGAUCUUAAUCUCCCUUCUUCGACAAGAAGAGCAGGAAAAAAAAAAUGCAUACGUACGUGGCACGUCUACAUAUUACAAUAAGUAGACUCAAACCUAAAUUUAGAAAUGUGGUGACUCGCACCAAACAUGCUCUUGAUAAUUGCCUUCUAUCUUUUCCCCUUUUACUAUUGGAAUGCAUGUGUUGUAUAUCUUGUAUGUAUGUACAAACAUGCAUGAUCAAAAUUACCUGACUUGUAUAAUCUUAUCCACAUGCUCAAUUUUACUACUAAGACAUAAAGAGAAAGAGUGAUAUAUAUCUCUGCCAUAAAAUCUUUUUAUUUUAUUUUAAUUUCAGAUAGAAUAAGAAAAUCUAGUGAUAUAUGUUAGAAUGUAAGUAUGAUGAAUCACUGCUAUGACACCAAUUGCAUGGCCGCUGCUUAUAGUUACUUAAACUUCUGAGUCUGGGAUUUCAUGAUACAAUCAAAGAGUUGUGGUGUUAGCUAGCUAGAGGCAAAGUGAAAGAAACGGUGUAUAGGAAAUGAUUCUGAUCAAGAUGAUGAUGAUGAUGAUGAUAAUAAUAAUAAUAAUAAUAAUAAACCAUUCUAUAUGAACAAACGCAAGGCAAAACAUAUACCUGGCCCUGGGAAUUGAUUCAGUUUUCCUUUAUAUAGAAUCUCUAUAUAUGUUUCAAUCCAUGGUUCAAGUUCCUCAAAGCAAAUGAUUGGAGAAUUCGAGGAUCCCAAGUGAUAUAUAUGAAAAAGUAAACAGUCUAGCUAGUAAUAUGGUAUAAAAGUUAUAUAUAUCGUUUUGAAGAUCUGUCAGUUUCUUUCUCAGUUAAUCACACACGUACAUCUACGUACCUAAUUGUGUGAUAAUAUAUAUGCUUCAUGAAAAGUACAGGUUGCGUAGAAACCAAGUUGCAUGUCUCAUAUAUACUUCCAGUCAGUUCAGAAUCGAAGAUGAUGACGAGACACAUUCUUAUAGAUCAUGCAUACAGCAUCAAAGGAUCGAGGAUAUAUUUAGAGAUCGAGUUGUUGGAUUUUCAAUUGCAGCAUUACUGCUAUAGCCUAUAGAGUGAUGAUUAAUUAUCAAAUGUUUACGUAAAUUAAGUCAAUGAACUAUGAUAUAUAUCCAUAUUGGUUUAAAAUGGAAGCCUGUGUAAAGCUUGGAAUCUCCUGCGAAUAAUAUAGCUAGAGAAUCAGACCCGAGAAAGCUAGCAGAGAGAUAAGCAUUGGCCGAAGGCUGAUCGAUGGUGCAUGCAUGAGUCUGCAGCUCGAUUUCUUUAUCAAACCCAGAACGCAUGCAGUGGCAGGCAAUAGCUAGCAUCUAUAUUAUAUAAUACUCCAAAGGGGGGAAAAGGUUUAGGUUUUUUCCUUGGCACCUGGGGGAUCACAUGGGACAAGUUGUCCAUGACCGGAAUAAUUUACUUUUCCUGCCGCCGUCUGUAGCAGUCACAGUCCUCCCUGCAUCCAUCUUCACAAGAGCAUAGUUAACAAAAGAGAAAAUUUUAUGAACAGUGUCCAUGAAGUAGGUUCACUGCGAAUUUCAGUACAUUAAGUUUUAAAACAUAGACUGUGAUACGUUAAAAAACUUGAGAUAUAGACAUGGGUGGAGCCUGAAUGGAUAGUAGAUAUUGUUAGCAUGUGUAAAUUUACGGCUUAUCCAUUUUUACAACAUAUCUAGCUACUUUGAGAGGAAAUGAUUAUCAAUCUAUAUAUUAAUGUACACUAAAAAUUAUAUUCGAUUUAAUAUAUCAAUAAAGUUUUGAUAUUCUUUUUACUGUAUAUCAGCCGGCCUCCCUAAACGUAAAUUUCUAGCUCCGCCCUCGAUUAAGGAUGCAAAAUGAAUGAACGAAGAGGAUGGAUUACGGUUUAUUUUUGGUGAAAGAAAAGAUGAUAGAUUAUAGGUGUAUGGCUUAUACUUUUUGAAAUUGAUGACUCCAUUAGUGUCCAUUUAACUCAAGUUUAACAUCUUGGGUGACGAUAGGAAUUAAAAACUGUAUAUAUGCCUAAGUUGAUAUUGUUCUACUUUAGAUACUUGCAUAUCAAGCACAGCGAACCAUGUGCAUAAAUUUAGCUAUCCCAAGUUAUGUGAAAGCUUGAUGAAAAGAAAUCUACAUCCCAGCCUAGGAACAUAACUAGUAAUAGAAACUGAAAUGUGGAAUGCUUAUGAAUAACAGAGUGAUGGAAUUACAGCAAAAAGCAACCACCCAUGUUGAGCACACAUAUAUCCUGAAGCUGACUAGUGUUGUAUUCGAACAGACGAAGACCCAGGGUUUGGACAGAGAAUGAUCCAGAAAUUGAGUUACAAGUUAAAAUUUCUGAAUCACUAGUAGCAGCGCUGCUACUAAGAAGAGGAGGACUAGCUGCAGGUUUUGAAUAGGAAUAUUUGAAAGUGAGCACAUAAAGAGUUGUCACCCAGAAGAAUGCAAAGCAUACUUGUUGACCUCCCAGAUGGACACAGCUGUAUGCGGUUCCUUUAAAUCCUUCAAGUGCACCACACAGACUUAUCUUAGCUACUAGUUCAAUACAAUCUGCAGUUUCACCUUGAGCGGACAGCACCAUGCGGGAGACUAUUAUCUUUUCAUAAUCAAAGGUGAAGAUUAGCUUCUCAUCCUCCUCCGAGUCCACGACUAAAACCUUGUUGAAAAUUUAUGGGAAAACACCCAUAUCGUCCCGAAUGCGGGGUUCACGAUCAGACCAUGUUGCCUUGGGGUCAGCCACGUCAAAGCACAGUAGCUGGCCUUCUGUCUCCUCCUCUGUGCGAAGUGUGACAAAGAUCUUGGUGUCCACAACUGCAACAUUGGAUGGACGAAUCGCUUCCCAUGAAAGGUCGUCUCCAGUUGGAAGACUUGGGAGAGAAGUCCAUGCUUUGGUUUUGGGGUCAAAUACAUUGAAAGCCGGACCAUCCUCCCCGGAUUCACGACCAGAGAGAGCAUAUAGCUUACCGUCGAUCUCCCCCAGCCAGGGACAAAAUUUCUUUCCUUUCAAUCCUGGAAUCACAUAGGGAGGUCUAUUAGGUUUGCAUGAAGAAAUCCAUCUGCUGCUGAUGAACCUAGGGUUGGGUUCCACACUUUGAUCAGUCUCCAAAACAUAGGUUCUUGUAGGGUGCACUCUCCUACCGCCGACCAGAACAAUUCGAGAGCCAAAGACACCAAUACCCAUAUUGAUGGGAACGUCUUCUCCCUCUAGAACAACAACUUGUUGUAUGACAGAAUCGGAUUGAGAAAAAAACAUGGGAAUCGGGGUAAGGUUAAAAGAGAACAAGUCGCUCAAUUUGAUGGCGUGAACACGGUAUCGAUUGAAUUCAUUGACAUAACCAAAAUGGAACUCAUAAGUACAAACGUACAGUUUAGCUUCAACCUCGUCCAAUUUCUUCUUAUCCCGACGGGCCAAGUAGGCAAUCCUACCUUCCUCAGCCCUCUUCAUCGCCUUCCUCUGAUACGCUGCACCUCCUCUACCCAUCCUUGGAAACCCUAACCCUAGGCUCCUACUAGCUAGUUUGCCCUAACAGUAACCCUAGCUCCGACUUUGUGGUACGAUGAACAUAUAUAGAUACUUCUUUGAAAAACUCUUAGCAGAAAUCCUAACAAAAUUAAACGUUAGAGAUAGUAUUGUCCUCGCCUAUAUUACUUUGUUGUUGUAGGAGAAACACUAAAGAGAUGAAGACAGCAAAUAGAUCGAACUCGGAGAACUGUGUAUCUUAUUCAUUCAUAAGAGUUUUUUAUAUAGGGAAUUACAAAACACAUUUUAGGUGUGUAGAAGGAAACAUAAUCCUGCACUAACUUGGUAAUCUAUAGAAACAAAAUUCUUAUUCCUGUUAGCAUUAGACAAAGCACACAUAAAGUGAAUAUUCUAAAACACUCCUCCUUGUGUCACAUGUGUACAUGUCGAAUGGUGCAUGCUAGAAAAGGUCAUCUGGAGUUGGAAGACUUGGGAGAGAAGCCCAUGCUUUGGUUUUGGGAUCAAAUACAUUGAAAGUCAGACCUUCUUGGCCACAUUCACGACUAGAGAGAGCAUAUAGCUUACCGUCGAUCUCCCCUAGCCAAGGACGAAAUUUUUGUCUUCCAAUCCUGGAAUCACAUAGGAAGGUCUAUUGGGUUUGCGUAAAAGAAUAUAUCUGCUGCUGAUGAACCUAGGGUAGUUGGGUUUCCACACUUUGAUCAGUCUCUAAACAUAGAUUCAUGCAGGACGCACUUUCCUAAACUGUUACACGCCGCCAGCUAGAACAAUUUGAGAGCCAAAGACACCAAUACCCAUAUUGAUGGGAAGGUCAUCUCCCUCUAGAACAACAACUUGUUGUAGGUCAGAAUCAGAUUGAGAAGAAAACAUGGGAAUCGAGGAAAGGUCAAAAGAGAACAAGUCGCCCAAUUUGAUGGCAUGGACACGGUAUCGAUUGAAUUCUUUGAAAUAAUCAAAAUGGAACUCAAAAGUACAAACGUACAGUUUGUCGAAUUUCUUCCUAUCCGGCCGGGCCAAGUAAGCAAUCCUACCUUCCUCUGCCCUCUUCUUCGCACUCCUCUGAUACACUGCAACUCCUCUACCCAUCCUUGGAAGCCCUAACCCUAGCUAGGCUCCUACUAGUUUGCCUUUUCAACUAGGAUAGUAUUGUGCUGUCUCAUAUUAUUUUUUGGUUAAACUAAUAGUAUUGUACUAUAUCUAUUUUUUGGACAAAAAUCCAAAAGCCUGCUAACUUGGAAACAUAAUUUUAUUCUAAGGACAAUGUCUAUUAGUUCUAAUUUUAAAAAUUUUAUUUUCACCAACAAAAUCAGAUUUUAAAAUUCCUAAGAAUCAACUUAAAAGACAAUUAUAUCCUUAAUGAUUUAAAUAAACUACAAUAUACUAUUAUAAGAAUAAUAUAUGUCUAUUUUGAAAUAAAUAUCUAUGACCGGAUUCUCGCAACCAAUGACCUUUGACCGUGAUGCCGACGAACUUUGACCGGGAUCCGACGACGUUGACCGGACCAGCAAUCGUUGACCUGACUCCGGUGACAGUUGACCGGAUGUCUAUUGAGGGCAGUAGGGGGUUCGUCGGGGGUUCUAUUAGGGACAGUAGGGGGUUUGUCAGGGGGUCUAUUUGGGGCAGUAAAAGGUCAUGUCGGGGGCCUAUUGGGGCAAUAGAGGUUCGUUAGGGGUCUAUUGGGGACAGUAGGACCUCUUAUUGCCCCUAGUAGGACCUCCUACUAGGGGCUGUAUGACUCUUGAACUUAACUGUACGUGUGCUUUAGUCACUUAUAACAGGUCCUUAUUAGGGGCAAUAUGACCACCUAUUGAGGACAGUAUGACCUCCUAUUAGGGUCAGUAUGACCUCCUACUAGGACCAUAUGACCCUUAAACCUAAUUGUGUGUUUUAGUCACUUAUAACAGGUCUCUAUUAGGGGUAGUAUGACCUUUUACUAGGGUCAGUAGGAUCUCCUACUAAGGGCAAUAUGACCGUUGAACUUAACUACGUGCUUCAAUCACUUAUAACAUGUCAAGACCCACCCCGAAUUUUACCCUAAAACCCGGAGUAAAUCUUGUGGGGACCACCUCUAAGGAAGAUAUUACCGAAAAUUCGGCAUAACCUCCCUUAAAAUUGGACAACCCUUCCUAAAGAAAACCUGCAAACACUCCUAAAAAUUCUCAAUUCAACCUUAACUUCUAGAGCCUACGUGCUCCCCAAAUACAACCACCACCAAUAACAAUAAAAACAUCAACUUCCAGAUCAUCACAUAAUUAUCCCACUAAAAUAGCAUACAUCUUCCUUUAAAUAUUCUAAAAUGUAAUCAUGCCUUCGCCCACAACCGAAAUAAUAUUAUACAAUAUCCCCAAGCGAAAAUCAGAGCUACUAGACACUAGAGGAAGCAAGAAAAACACUGGUAGGUUAAAUAGAUAACCUACUGAUGAAAGGUGGUGGAAAUGCGGGUGACUAUGCCUCGCCUCCUACUAGAUCCAACCCGAACUUUGCAGACUGGGCAUUUUAAAAAGAAGGGCCCAGGGGAAGACAUUUGAAACCGUUAGAGUGAGUGGACAAAAAUAAAUUUAAAAAGAAAUAAAUCUUUAUGCUUUCCCGAUUUAACUUCUGUGGAAAAACAAUUAACGGCAUGCAACAAGCUCAAAAGUUUUUAAAAAUUUACCGAAUUUACCGAAACGUGACUAACCGCACUAGUCACCAACACUUCAUAAAAAUAGAGCCUCUCAGGCUAAAAUAAAAUAUGUAUGUAUUACACUCGUCAUAUCCCUUGUAUGAAUUUUCUUGAAACAACAAAGACAAAUAGAAAUUCACACAAGGCUACGACGCUUGCGUUUAACACUCACGUCGCACCAUAAUGGAAUUUUACCUCAUUAUGGUGGAAAAGACGAUGUAUAUAUACGCGCAUAUCCCCUAUAUAAAUUCUUAUAUUUAUAUAAGACUACGACGAUUGCGUCUAACGCUCACGUCGCACCAUAAUGGAAUUUUACCUCAUUAUGGUGGAAAAGCACGUAUAGCUAGCUAGCUAGCAAUAUUUCUUUAUAUACAUAUUAUUCUCAUAAUCAUCCAAAUAUGGAUACAUAUAUAUACUCAGCAAAAUUCUCAAUUUUGGUUAUUCUCUAACAACGUAAAUUAUUUUGCAUGCACAUUAUUUAAAACAAAAAUCCCCUCACAAAAUAGGCCUAAGCCUGAUGUCGAUCCGAGGCCUCUUCUGCUCGAACCUCCUCACAUCCUGUUCUAAAUUUAAAAUUAAAUUGCCAACCAAAAAUCCAUUACUUACUCAAAAAUAGGCAAAUUAAACAUGAGCCGUAACCACGCUCAUUCUCGCCUAACUUCGAUAUUCCUAAAUCGAAACGAUCCAAAACUUUAAUACCAUACUCGGCAGCCAUAAAUACAACCUCCCCCAGAAUAACGACUUAAAUCCUACGGCCGGAUUCCACAUUAAUUAACCGCAAAAAAUACCAAACUUCAAAAAUUCUCAAACCUAUCCAAAACUCAUCCAAAAAUUUCAUAAUUUACAUCAAUAAACACCUUUUAAUAUUUCACAUUUAAAACCAUAAAAAUCUCCCAAACAGCGGCGGCGACGCCGCCAGCUCCGCCGGCAGCAGCGGCCGGAGGCCGACUUCGGCGACCUCCAAUGCCUAUGAAAUUUUGACAGCAUCUUCCUCUCAACUCACUCUACAACUUCCUUAACUAGAACAACACCUCAUUCCAAGCCUAACUAGGUCAAUCGAACGAAAACAUUCAUAAGUCCCUAGAACUUCAAUUAAACAUCUCUCCUUAUCAAGACCGAAUUAUGACGAUUCCUUGUAAGGGAUCACUAACCCUGAUGAGAGCUACAAAAUGAGCUAAGAAUCACGAGCUAUGGUGGCCGGAGGUGGAAGCUCCGGUGAAGGGCAGCCCGACGUCUCCGGUGGAAAAUCUCCCGAUCGGCGGCGUUACCGGCGCGGCCACUAGGCCGGGAAGAGAGAGGAGAUGUGUCAGGACCUACCCCGGAUUUCCCCUUGAAAUCCGGAAUAAACCCUGCGGGACCCACCUCAAGGGAAAUUCUAUCAAAAUUUUGGCAUAACCUCCCUUGAAAAUGAGUAACCCUACCUGAAAGAAAAAUCAUCAAAGCCCAUACACUUCUAAAACAAUUUAAUCCACAUCUUCUGGAGCCAUCUGUUCCCCCAAUAAACAUCCACCACCUCAACUCACAUAAUAAAUCGAAAUAAUUUCAUGAAUUUAAUCUCUCAUAUAACAUGCCAAAUAAACCUUUUUCAACACUCUUAGGUGGAGUCACAAGCUCUUAACUCACAACAUUAACAACAACAACACUUAAAACAUCCCAAGGUUAUCAGAACAACUACUAGGAAAGAAGAAAAUACAUAGGUAGGUUAACUAGUAACCUAUGAGAGAAAACUGGAUGAGGUGGGAAAUAUGACAUGCCUCCUACUCUCGCCGAACAGAGCUCUGCAGACUGGGCAUUUAAAACGAAAGGCCCAGGGGAAAGCAUUUAAAACGUUAGAGUGAGUGGACAAAAUAAAUAAUAAAAAUACGGACUUAAUGAUAGAACAUUAAAUCAAUUUAAUGCUUUUCCCAUAUUUUCCAUUGAGAAAAUAUUUAUGCAUGCCAUUCUUGGAAAUCUUUUCGGAAAUAAUUAUAGACAAAACUAAUGAACCAAUCCCAUUGGUUCCCAAUAAAUCAAUAAGAAUAGGGAAGAGGUUUCACCAUAACAAUGAGCCUCCCAAGCUAUAAUAGCGUAUAAUAGCGUCCCACGCUAAGCGCUCUACUCACAUAUGAUGAGGACCGCUUAUAAAGUUAUAAUAGCGUCCCGUCCCAUGCUAAGCGCUCAACUCUCAUAUGAUGAGGACCGCUAAAUAAUGGCUAGCUAACAAUAAUUAUAUAUAUAUACCGAUCGGUUGCCUCCCAAGCUAUAAUAGUGUCCCACGCUAAGCGCUCUACUCACAUAUGAUGAGAACCGCUAAUAAGACUAUAAUAGCGACUCACAUAUGAUGAGGACCGCUAAUAAGGUUAGCUAGCAAUAAUCUAUAUAUCAACCAUUUUAUGGUGAAGUACAAUAUUAAAAUAAAAUGAUCCACACUUUCCCAAAUAAAUUAUAAUAAACUCAUAGCGCACAGUACAGCCGUCCCACGUGUCAACUAAAAUUAGCAAGAGUUCCGGAAAAAAUUAAGUGGAACUCGAUAAUCCAACAAAAUAUUAUAUCUCCAAAUGCCUUUGAAAUUAAAUAACUUUCGCGCAUGCAUGAUAUUAAAAUCAAAGGUCCACUCACAGUGCUCGGCUAUGCUUGCUGACGGCCCGAGGCUUCCUCCAAAUGAUCCUCCUCACGUCCUGAAUAAUCAAUAAUCAUUAAGCCUCCAAAUCAGGACAAAACUUUAAUAAAAUUUCCGAAAUAAAAAGGAAGCCUAUAAUUUCUUUUCUCUUGCCCAACUUCUCCACUUUUUACCUAAUAAGGCUCACAUUACUCCGCACUUACCGAAAGCCAUAAAUUAACCUUUUUAGAUUUUAAAACCUGCUAAACCAACUGCCGGAUUUCCAUUCGACUAACCGUCUAAAUCUUUUAUCAUUGAUAAAUCCCAAAUCUUAUCAAAUCUCCUCCAAAUAUUCCCAACUAUACUUCAUUAAACUCCUCUCAUUCAAACAAACCCAAAAUCAUGAAAAACUGCCCCUAAGGGGCGGCGGCCGGCAACCGGAUUCCGGCGAGGGCCAAUGCUUCUCAAAUUUUCACAGAAUAUUCCUCUCAUCAUGCUCAACAACAUUCAUAACUAGCACUUAGUCCAUUUCUAAAGCUAACUAGGGCAAACGAAUCAAACUUCCAUAAAUCCCUAAAAACUUCAAUUAUACAUUUCUCCAUAACAACAACGAAAUAGACUAAUUCUUUUUUAGGGAAUACUCACCUUGAUGAGAGCUACAAGAUGAGCCAAAAAUUGCUGGGGGUAGUAUACAUGAAAGAUAGGAGUUGCUCUUAAGAGGCCUAUACAUUUCCAUCCAUUGAGGGAACAAUUUAAAAAUAUGAUAUGACCAUAAGUUAAAUGAGAGCAUCCUUCUUCAAUUCUACCAUCAUCAUCUUCUUCAAAACCUUGUGAAAGAAAGAAAUAAUUUCUGAAAAAUUAAUCCACAGAAUUCUAGAGUGGUUGCUCACUCAAAAUUAAAAUGAUCUAUAUAUGGAUAUAUACUAAAACAAAAGCUCCAACUUAUUCGAUACAAUAAUCAUAAAACUCAAUUUCCUAUCACAGCAAUCCACAUUGUGCUAACAAUUCCAAUCACAAAGACUCCAACUUUUUGCAGAUUCAUCGAAAACCCAGAAACAAAAACGCAUAACUCACAUCAUCAAGCUAUCAAACACUUCAAUUCAGCUAGAGAAGCAAACCUAACAAUCUUUAACAACUCAUCUAAGUCCUUAUCGUAUUCGAAUUGGCACGAAAAAUGCAUAAUACAAAAUCCACUUUCUUCCCAGUUCCAACAUCUAACCUUUAUUUUUUCUUCUACAUUUCUACCAGUAAUAAACCUAAAAGUCUAACAUGUGGCUUCUUCGCAUUGACCUUCUACCAAAAUCAAUAUAAAAUUUCUGCCAAAAUCAAUACAAAAUUUCAAUCAAACUAUAAGAUCUCCUUUAUUUCUUCUCUUUCUCGUAAAUAAAGCCAAGCAAUGUAAUGUUUGAUCAAAUUAGAAUCAAACAAAUUGAAACUAACAGAAUUAGGAAUGAUGCCAUCCAAAAUUUCUUGUAAACUCAAAUAUUAAUCCAACAUAUUUUAUACCAAUAGCUCAAUUUUCAAUCUGAUCGAAAUGAAGAAAUUGAUGCGACCAAUCGAUUUUAGUUCAUCACCGGAGAUCGUGAAGUGCUCGGAGUUCCAUACCUCUCUAGAGAUCGAGUCGUACCUCAAUCGGGAUCGCCAAGCGCGGCACUAAGCUUGCAUUGCCUUCCUACUCGGAUCCUCAAAGCCAUCGAGCAUGGCAAGGCUCGAAUUGUCUCUAAGUUUCUGGAGUCUGAGAUCAUCGUCGGCGGCCAGAGGCUUCUAUGGCCCAGAUCCAAGAGAAAGUGACACUACCAGGACAAGCACUUUAGCUGACGAAAAAUUUUCGUCGGCCUGUUAGCUUAAUUCGUCGGCUAAGAUUUCGUCGGGAAAAGGUCGUCGGUGAUGACUUUAGCCGACGAAAAAAAAAAUUUCGUCGGCUAUAGUCCCGCAGUUUAGCCGACGAAAAACAUGUCGUCGGUUUUUUUCCCAGACUUUAGCCGACGAAACAAUUAAGAUAUUCGUCGGCUAAAGUCUGUAAUAAAAAAAUUUUUCCCAGACUAUAGCCGACGAAACAAUUAAGAUAUUCGUCGGCUAAAGUUUGUAAUAAAAAAUUUUUUCCCAGACUAUAGCCGACGAAAUAUAGUAUGUUUCGUCGGCUAAACCUUAUAAAAAAAUUUAAAAAAAUAACUAUAGCCGACGAAAUAUAGUCUGUUUCGUCGGCUAAACCUUAUAAAAAAAUUUAAAAAAUAACUAUAGCCGACGAAAUAUGCCAUAAUUCGUCGGCUAAACCUUAUAAAAAAAUUUAAAAAUACUAUAGCCGACGAAAAAACCUUUAAAUAUCGUCGGCUAAACCUUUAAAUAUCGUCGGCUAAAGUUGCUGGUUUUUGAAAAAAAAAACUGCAGAAAUUUUCGGCCACUUCCAAUCACCACCAAAAUUUGACAGAAUCUUCCUCUCAACAUUUCGAACAACUUUCUAGAAGAAGUCGAAGCCCAAUUCUAAGNNNNNNNNNNNNNNNNNNNNCGUCGGACUCCCAAGGGGGGUGGAUUGUAAUAUCCCACAUCGGCCAAACGGAGAGGGGUUAUGUGCUCUAUAUGUACAUGCCCACCACCAACCUAAUACGAAGCUGCUCCUGAGCUGCCGGAAACAAAGCGGACAAUAUCGUGUUACGGCGGAGCGGGUCCCGGGAUGUGACAACAAUAGUCAAUCGGACACCAAAAACCAAAUCUGCAGCAUAGUGAAUAAUAAGGGUAAAUUGCAUUGACCUCAACUAUCGGCACCGAGGCUUUACCGGAAUACCGUGAUUUUUCAACCGUGGACGUAUUUCACCAUUCUGGUCAUAUCUUAUUUCACGACUUUUUUGCGUUUGAAGGUUCUACGUAUAGUUUUUUUUUCCCAAAUGAGUUGUUGUCCAGAUCUGCAAAUACAAUAUAAGGCACUUUAGCCGACGAAAUUAUAUUUUUCGUCGGCUAAACUUUUAAAAAUUUCGUCGGCUAAAGUUCACAGACUAUAGCCGACGAAAAAAUUUAUUCAGACGACGAAAUUUUAAUUUCGUCGGCUAAAGUUGACCAUAGCCGACGAAGGGAAAUUUCAUCGGCUAAAGUGGACUUUAGCCGACGAAAAAAUAAUUCGUCGGCCUGGUUUUUUUAUUUUCGUCGGCUAAAGUCUUUCUUCUGGUAGUGUGAGGUCGCGUCGUCUUCCUCAACGUCGCCUUGACCCCGCGGGUGAUAACUCGCCGGGGCCAGAAGUGGACGUUGACAACGAGAACGACGUUCUGACCGAGGAGGGAGAGAGAGAGAGAGGGAGAUGAAUGUCAGACGAUGUAGAGAGAAAGAUAUGAGAUGAGGGUAAUUUGGUCAGGAAAAAAACACAAAAGGUUAAAAGUUUUGUUAGUGGGAAUAUAUCUUAAGAGUUUAUAAGGUUGAUGAUAAUUUUAGAAUCUUAUUUUGUUAGUGAGAAAAAAAAAUAUUAAAAUUAGGGUUAAUGAGAAUUUUCCCUUUAUUCUAACUUGGAACCCUAUCAUUAUAUGGGAUUAGGAUUCUUAUUCCUGAAACAUAAUCUCAUUUUAACUUGAAAGCCUAUCACUAUAUGGAAUCAUGAUUCCUACUCUUGUGAGCGUUAGACCAAGAUACACAAAGUGAUUAUUUUAUAACAUUUGUUGAAUGAGUGCGGCUAUUGGGACCUCCAAAUUUACUCAGUAUACCUCUCAUUCUCUCUACACCUCCAUUUUACUUUUAAAUACAAACAUUUUCUCAUUAGACAUCCUUUCAAAUUCCUAAAAUAGUCUUGUUUAUGUAAUUCACAUAUAUAUUAGUAUAUUACUCAUUACACCUCUUAUUCACUCACUAUACCUACCAAUUCUUUUUUUUCUUUUGCAUACGAACAUCCAUUCCUGACUUCCAUUCUUUAAUUUUUUUUCUUUUUNNNNNNNNNNNNNNNNNNNNUUUUCGUCGGCUAAAGUCCUUUGAAAAUUUUCCUCCAAAUUUGGUUUACCGCCCCAAAAAUUUUUGACCUUAGCCGACGACUUUUUUAAUAUCUCGUCGGCUAAAGUCUAUAAAUUCACGAAAACGCUCAUAUCUCCCUCUAUAUUACGUAGUUUGGUCAAACCUUCCACACGAAAAACUUUCACGUAGAUGAGACGCAACCGCCUAUAUAAAAAUUUUGAGACAUUUGCCUUCCGACGAUAAGGCUCACUAUAGGGAAUAAUAACGGUAAAUAGGGUUGACCGCUACUAUCGGCACCGAGACUUUACCCGAUUUAAGUGAUUUUUGAACCAUAGCCGUAUUUAACCAUUCUGAACACAUCUUAUUUCACGAGAUUUUUGAUAAUUUUGCUUCCUAUAUAGAGUUGGUUCACAAAGUUGUAUAACCUACUAAACCAAAAUUCGACCGUCAGAUAUGAUCAUUAUGACGAAAGAUGUCUAUGGUAAAAAAUUCAACUGGAUCCGACAACGUUAAGAACUCAAUCAAAACGGGUAACCCUAAUCCAUCGUCACUUAUCACACGAAAACGCUCAUAUCUGCCACUAUAUUACAUGGUUUGGUCAAACCUUCCACACAAAAAACUCUCACGUAGAUGAGAUGUAACUGUCCAUAUAAAAAUUUUGAGACAUUUACCUUCCGACGAUAGGGCUCCCCAUAGGGAAUAAUAACGGUAAAUAGUAGACACAUUGUGAUUCCGAUGACUAAAAUUCACAAAUCAAAAUUCGACCCUCAAAUAUGAUCAUUAUGACGAAAGAUGUCUAUGGUAAAAAAUUCAACUGGAUCCGAUAACGUUAAGGGCUCGAUCGAAACGGUCAACUCUAAUCGGAAAUAAGAAAACUGCAUUUUGAAGCCCUAAACGAAUUCGGAUGGCCAAAAAGGCCCAUACAUCAUGGCAUUAGCAAUGAGUUUGACUCAUAGAGUCGUUACGCUUUCAGAAAGGUAUCACAAUUGUAAUAUCCCACAUCGGCCAAACGGAGAGGGGUUAUGUACUGUAUAUGUACAUGCCCACCACCAACCUAAUACGAGGCCUUUUGGUGGCUCAGCGGCUUCGGAGGGGAUGGGUACUCCGAGGUUAAGCAUGUCGAUGCGAGAGCAAUCCCAGGAUGGGUGACCUACUGGGAAGCUGCUCCUGAGCUGCCGGAAACAAAACCGUGAGAGCCGGUGGGCCCAAAGCGGACAAUAUCGUGUUACGGCGGAGCGGGUCCCGGGAUGUGACAAAUGGUAUCAGAGCCACUCUGCCGUGUGGUGCGAGUGUGCCGACGAGGGCGUCGGACUCCCGAAGGGGGGUGGAUUGUAAUAUCCCAC
rnacentral:lncRNA from 1 species